rnacentral:lncRNA from 1 species
UUGGACACUCCCCUGGUCCCAGUUCCUGAACAAUUCUCCUUUCAGUCGGGAUGGUGUUCUUCAUUUCGGAAAGAUACGCUCUCCCACCAAACACAAUCUGCAGUGCGGCGGAUAUUCCCGUCAGCAGCGAGGAUGUCAGUAGCAUACCCCCGCCAUGCAGCAGCGAAAUGGGCCCAGUUCCGGCACAGGCCGACGACGCCCCACAGGUGGAAAUUACGAGCAGCAUGAAACAUAAGCAAACUCUAACCUUCUCCACACCAACUUUGGACAUGGCCACUCACAUGCGGCCACUGUAUAUCACGGCCGAAGUCGAGGGAAAAAUGAUCAACAAGGUCAUGGUUGACACCGGUGCCGCGGUCAAUGUUGUCACAACCCGUACCAUGAGACUCCUAGACAUCCCGCGCUCGAUGAUCUAAACCACGUCCUUAACAGUCAAGAACUUCACCGGGCAAGUGUCCAGAACCCUAGGCUUGCUAUUCCUACGGGUCAAGGUCGGGCCGGCAUCACGGGUUUACACCUUUUUCGUCGCCGAAUGCGCUUCCUCUUACAGCAUGAUUCUUGGCCGAGAUUAGAUCCACAGAAGUUUUUGCGUGCCUUCCUCCAUGCACCAAGAACUCAUGAUUUGGGACGCCGAGAACCGUGAAGCAGUCAUCAUCAAAGCCGACCCGCGGCCAUUCUCUAUCUCUGCCAACUUCAACGAUGCCCGAUAUUAUACUACAGACUUGGGUCCGUUGGAUGUUCAAGGCGUCGAUAACAAGGGUCGCCCAUAUGGAAUAACGGCCUCCAAUCUCACGCGAUGGGGACUUACCCAGGCGAAGGACGAUUUGCAACGUCCUCACACCAUCGCUAAUCACACACCCCGUUCUGAUGAAUAGUGCCUUCUCAGAGGAGGCACGCGAGGCUGGCGAGUCCCUGUGCGAAAGACUCCUUUCGUACUGGGCAAAACGCGAAGCCUACGACAAGGUUGCGACUAUGGAAUAUGUAGAUGAAGUGGUGGAUUAUUCCGAUACCAAGGAGGAAGUUAUUCACUUAGCUCCCGCCGCCUUGGACGACACACCACCUCAAGUCCGCGACCCCAUUUCACAAGUUGACGUAGGGACUGCAGAAAAGCCCUUACUUAUUUCUAUCAGUGCUAAGUUGGCGGAGGACGAAAAGGAAACCCUUCUUGCCCUGUUAUGCGAGUACAGGGAUUGCUUCGUCGACAAAUACGAAGACAUGCCCGGCUUGUCCCCGGACUUGGUCUGCCACCGGUUACCAACUUAUCCGGACCGACGUCCAGUACGGCAGGACGGCCGAUUCAUGCGAACUGAGACUCAGAUUGUAGUCAAGGAAGAAAUCGAAAGCAUGCACCGAUCGGGCAUCAUUCGCGUGACAAAGUAUAACGAGUGGCUGUCCAAUAUUGUCCCCGUCCACAAGAAAAAUGGCAAGAUGCGCGUCUGUGUUGAUUACCGCGACCUAAACAACGCAACACUGAAGGAUAUAUACCCCAUGCAUGUGGCUGACCUACUCAUUGAUGCCGCCGCGGGGCAUGAGGUGUUAUCCUUUAUGGAUGGAACGGCCGGAUACCAUCAGAUUCCCGUCGCUGAGGAAGAUCGACACAAGACCGCUUUCCGCUGCUCUGGUUUUGCCGGCGCGUUCGAGUACGUUGUCAUACCUUUCGGACUUAAAAACGCGGGGGCAACGUACCAGCGCGCCAUGAACCUCAUCUUUCAUGACAUCUUGGGGAAGUUGAUCGAAGUAUACAUCGACGAUGUGGUAGUCAAAACCAAAACACGGGCAACCCACGUUGAAGACCUACGGCAGGUGUUUACACGGAUGCGCCGACAUAACCUGAAGAUGAACCCCGCCAAGUGUGUUUUCUUCGCGGAGGCUGGCGAUUUCCUUGGUUUCCUAGUGCAUCAAAGAGGCAUCGAAAUACCAAAGGACAAGGCACAGGCGGUAAUCACCGCUUCACCCCCCAACACAAAGAAGGAGCUUCAACAGCUGCUUGGGCGAAUCAACUUUCUCCGCCGUUUCAUAUCCAACGCGGCAGGGAAGGUCCAGCCUUUUUCACCCCUCCUCAAGCUCCAGGGGGCAACCGAGUUCGUCUGGGAACCACAACAUCAACAGGCCUUCGAUCGAAUCAAGGACUACCUUACGAACCCACCAGUCCUGAUCUCACCUCGCGACGGUACCCCGCUUAAACUUUAUAUCGCCGCUGCCGACUUGUCCAUCGGCGGACUCCUGGCCCAAGAUGAUGUGAACGGGGUAGAACAUGCUGUCUAUUACCUUAGCAAGGUGUUAACGGAGUGUGAGACACGAUACUCACCUAUGGAGAAGUUGUGUCUUGCCCUAUAUUUUGUAGGGUGCAAGCUGCGCCAUUACAUGCUUGCCUUUACCACGGUUGUGAUCGCUCAAUCCGACCUGAUCAAAUACAUGCUCUCUCGCCCUAUCUUGCAGGGACGCAUCGGCAAGUGGAUCUUAGCCAUGUCCGAAUUCUCGUUGUAAUAUGUUCCGCAAAAGGCCGUAAAAGGACAGGCAAUAGCAGACUUUCUCGCUCAUCACCCACCCUCAGAGCUCACGGCGUUUCGCGAGUUGGAAUUCGCUACCGUGACACUCGCUCCAUGGACCCUGUACUUUGAUGGUUCGCGGACUGACACCGCAGCCGAAGCUGGGAUAGCCAUAGCCAAUCCCGCCGGAGAUCGCUUCUCCUACUCGUUCCAGCUCGAUUUCAAAUGCACCAACAACCAGGCUGAGUACGAGGCGUUGAUCAUCGGCCUAGAAAUUUUGUUGGAUUUAGGAGUCCGCGAGGUUCAGAUCUUUGGCGAUUCUUUGUUGGUCGUUAACUAGCUGGUGGAAAAGUUUAAGUGCUUAAGCUCGUCAAUUGAGCCAUACCUGCGCAAGGCAUUUGAGGUGUUGGAUCGAUUAGACAACGUCUACAUCGAGCACAUACCACGCGAGUUCAAUUUCGCCGCCAACAAGCUCGCCCAAGUAGCAUCCGGUCUCAGCCUGCGCGACGGCGUACGCGAACGUUUGCUCAAAGUCGAACGCCGUACGCUUCCCUCUUUCAUCGCUAGGGGGCAAUUUCAGGCCAACACCCCCGAAGUUGCGGCCUUGGACCCUAUCGAUGAGGAUUGGCGGCUACCAUUUAUCGCCUACCUCCAGAACCCCAACGACGCCGCUCACUCCAGGCAAAUACGUUUCCUCGCCUUAAACUUUGUUUUACGCAAUGGCGAACUCCGGCGGCGUGGGGAAGACGGAAAUGAUUUCCGCUGCGUGUAUGGGAACGAAGCUAAACGUAUCAUGCGCGACGUCCAUUGUGAGGUUUGCGGCUCGCACCAGGCCGGGCCAAAAAUGCGAUGGUUGAUCCGUCGCCAUGGGUACUACUGGCCAACCAUUCUGAAAGACUGUAUUGCCUUCGCCAGAGGGUGCCAAGACUGCCAGGCUCACGGACCAGUGCAACACAUUCCCAACAUCCCGUUACAGCCUAUCAUUAAACCUUGGCCGGGUCGCGGUUGGGCGAUAGAUUUCGUUGGCAUCAUUUAUCCCCAUUCUUCUGAGCAGCAUAAGUUCAUUAUCGUCGCCACCGAUUUCUUUACCAAAUGGGUCGAGGCCGAACCACUCAAGGUUGCCUCCGCCAACUCGGUUCGCAACUUUAUUUUCCGCAAUAUCAUCUCCCGCUUUGGUAUCCCGGAGUGCAUCGUUACGGACAGGGGGGCAGCUUUCAUGGCUGAUUCAAUUGUUAAGUAUUUAAACGACUACGGAAUCAAGCUUCUCCACUCUACGCCAUAUUAUGCACAGUCCAACGGCCAGGCGGAGGCUAGUAAUAAGGUCAUCCUUGGCAUCCUCCGCAAGAUGUUGGAGUUGAACCCGCGUGUCUGGCAUGAGGAACUCUACCACACCUUGUGGGCUUACCGCACUUCAAAGCGCGGCCCGACGGAUACCACCCCGUACGCUCUCAUGUACGGUCAUGAUGCCGUCCUUCCCCUUGAGAUCAAUAUCGCUUCACUCCGCGUUCAGGAACAGUAUCAACUACUUGGCGAGGAUUACGUCCAAGCCAUGUGGCAGGAGCUUGAAGACCUUGACGAGCACCGCGUCACCGCUUUCAACAAUCUCGUCCUCGAGAAACAACGCAUCGCACGUUCGUAUGAUAAGGUCACGCGCGGACGGAGCUAUGCUGAGGGCUAGAAAGUGUGGCGCGCGGUACUCCCACUUGGGGAAAAAACUGACGGUCGGGGCAAGUGGUCCGCUUGAUGGGAAGGCCCCUUUAUUAUUCAUCGUAUACUUCCCAAGGGGGCAUACCACCUGCGCGAUUUGGACGGUACCAUUCAUCGCAAUCCUAUUAAUGGCCGCUUCCUCAAGCGCCACAUUGCAGGAGUUUGGGAACGCGAGGAUCCUCCACCUCCCCCAGGCCCCGUCGCCACUGUCAAUAGUGCUACGCGCCAUCGCAUUCUCGCUCCCCUGCCUAACACUAGGGGGCAACCCGGGAUAGAAGACUGACACAGUACGUUUAACAUACUAGCCUAAAAAGGCCAGUAUAAGAUUGGGGCCUAUUCCAGAGGCCCUAAAUAAGGAUAACUCUAUUUUUCUUCAUUUUCCGUAAACGUGCAAAGUCUAAACGCAAAGGCCAGUACAAGAUUGAGGCCUAUUCCAGAGGCCCUAAAAAAAACAAUAAAUUCAUUUAUUUUGCCUUUCUGGCGUUGUUUCAAUACAAGUUUUGAACAUCGGCUUUGCGGCCGAAACAACUACAUUUGACAGAAAGGGUGAAAUCAGACUAUGUUUACAAACAAAGGCAUAGAUCUGCAGAUAUUGGAAGCCUCAACCCGCAUAUCUUGCAGGGUUGAAGAAGAGACUGCCGCCGCAUCCUUCGUUUAAAGUUGGCAAACGUCCCGCUUCUUUAGACCAGCACGAGCCUUGACACUGGCCCGGACCUAAGACAAAUUGUUGGGAAGCUAGAGGUCCACUGGACUAGGGUCCCUCAUGCUACCGGUCAUGCCUGGAAGGUGCUUGAAAGGCACUGACCAGAACCUGAAGCGCAAGCAGAUGCGGAGCCUCGAGAGCCUCACGUUUGGACAGAACAGCCGGUGCAAGACAGAAGGUACCCAACCAUUAUUUCGUCCAAACAAAGGCUUGACCUGAGAGUAGUUUUUUAGAAUCACUCCCGGCCUGAGAGUAGAUUUUCAGAAUCAGAAAGAACGAAGAGUGAAAAUGUGAGGUGGGGGCUUUGUUUUAAGCAGGGACAAGAGGAUGAACAGAAGGGUAUAAGAGCUCAUGGCAAGGGGGCAAAGACUUAACUGGUACUUCGCCCCGGCCAAGCGUUUCUUUUUAUAGGCGAAAAGGGUGAUUUUCCUUUCAACAGAUGUCCUUCAUGUAGCGAUUUGCUCCGAGAUAUGAGCUUUGGAGAUAAGGUCGGACGCGUUGUUCCAUAAUGACUACCCGCAUUCCAAGCGAGUAGUUGCAUUGGAAACCCCUACCAAAUCUUGGAAGAAGAUUUUUUCCUGGGAAUGCAGUUCUUACACAAGAGUUGACAAGAGCGGGAAAGAUUUGAUUUAAUAAUAAUAUUAUAAAGGUUCAUACAAAGGGGGCAAAGCGCUGAUCGGGCCUAAACCCGCCUAGAAGCCCUAUACAAAUCUAUGAGAAGGCCUUCUAAGGCCAACUCUUCAACAUCUGCUUGGGCUUGGGCUUCGUCGGCAGCAGCAGCAGCCGAGUCCAAAGCUUCCUGGGUCUCUUCCGCGGCCUGCACACGGGUUUCUGCCUCUUUAGCUCGGGCCAAGUUCUGGCGAGCUUGAGCAAGCUGAGCUUGCAGCUCCGGUAUCUGAACCUCUAGGGCCUCCACUUGCCGAGCAUAGACAGUGCAUGGGUUCUCUGACGAUGCCUCAGGGAUUUCAGCGUCAUCAAGCUCGGCUAAAAGGGGCUGCCAUCUGAUCGUCUAAGGCUUGACAGACUUUCUCGUGAGCAGCCGACUGGGCACCGACAUCUUGAACUCGGCAAGCCUGCAGCUCGACAGCGUCGGUGAGUUCCAACACAUGGUCUAGAGCAGGGUUGCUCCCAGCGAGGUGCCGAAUCAGAGCUUCAUGGGCCUCGCGGGCGCGCCUCACCAAGUCGAAUACGUUCAUGUGGGGACCUUGGCGCAGUAGCCCGUGAAAGAAAGCCCGGGCUAGGCGAAUGGGCUCUGGAUCGGCAGGCGGGGUAAUCCGGGCCCGAAGACGAGCGGUCCGGGUAGCCAAAGAAGAAGCCGCCUCGCCAGAUGUUCUCGUUGGGGCCGGAGUGGUUGGUUCAACCUCUGCAACUGCCUCAAUCUCUGGAACGGGCAGUGGGACCUCAAACCGAGUAGGGACUGUCGGUUCUUCGGUGGUCUGGGCCGCUGAGUCUGGUUGCAAAGGAGAGGGCUCAAGCACCGGUUUAAGGUCCUUUGGCGGAACCGCCGAGGGGGCUGCAAAAUCAGAAAGCCGGGUGGUCUGGCCGAGAUCUUCAUCUUGAGCAAGAGCCGAGAUAGGCUCUGGAGGCGGGCCAGUUUCGCCUAGAGCGUCGGUUGGAGAAGGGGGUCGCAAGGCGACUUCCUCAGUAACCAUGGUUUGAUCUCCGACGAUUGGUUCCGGGGUUGGGACUUCAACUAUUGUUGUUGCUCCUUCAAUGACAGCGAGGCGAGGUCGGAUGCGGCGGCGAACCUGUCAAAUACAAAGUUAGCAAAUCGUUUGUUGGCUUUAAUGAGUUUGGUUCGAAGAAAGGUCGCUUACCAAAGCGUGCUCUUGCCGAUAUCGUUCAUCCUCUAGCAUCUCUUCUUCGUCCUCGACAGGGCGUUUCGGCCAGCCUUCGCCGCUCGUUGGCCGGGGAAUAACGGGAGCAGUCUCACCGUCAUGGUCCGCCGCGGGCUCCUCUUGAGUAGGUGUUUUCCCUUUGUCUCCGGCACCCUCAGGUCUUCUGACCGAUCUCCGACGGGGUGCAGACUGUAAAGGUAGACAGGAGAGUUAGGAGGAAGCAUUUUGUUGAAGUGGUAAAGGCGGUAUGGAAUUUACAUAGUUGGUGGUUUACCUCGGGUGCGGGAUCGCGUUCUCGAAUGACGAUCCCGGUCGAGCGAUGAGUAGCGGGAACUGGUGGGAGCGCAGGCCUAGACCCUGUCGCAGCCUUUGAACCGCUUUCUUCACGGUCGCGCUGGGCAUGAAGGAUGACGCGGUCUGACUCGCCCAAAGUGUCGUAUAGGGGAUAAAAGAUGGCAGCAAAAACAGCAUCAUCUGGGAACCCCCAAUGGUUGUCGGACAAAGAUCGCCACCAAGAGAGAUAGGCGGGGUCAACACCCAGUGAAGGCUCAAUCUCGAGCAAGUCAAGAGUGAGAGGGAAAAUGUUCUGCAGCGGGGUGACCCGGUCGGACUCGCCAAUCUUCCUCUAGGAGGUGUACUUGUUCACCGAAUGGAAGAGUGGAUAGGGGAUCCCUUGAAAGAAGCCGAGUUGUCUGGCGAAGUGGUUGGGGGCAUAUAGCUCGAAGCCUUGUUCAUCCUCGGCGAGCUGAAGGUCGCAGCAUGAGGAUGCUCUCAUGAAGACGGUCUUGGCAUCUGAGUUCGAAUCAGAGCGCGGGAAGAAGCCCGUCGAUAAGACUUCAGGGUGGCGCCGGCGAACCAUCAUGUCUAUGGUGGGAGGCGGUUCUAGUUGGUUGUACAGGAUGGAGAGGCUGGCGAAGAAGGACAGGGGAGUCCAGUUCGCAGCGUUCCUGCACACCGCGAAGCCAAGCAGUUGGUCCUCGGGCAGGAAUUCCAGCGGGGCUCGCAGGAAGAGCGGGAAGUACAGCUGCGUCCAUAAAUCCAGGAUCCACAUAGGGCCAGCAGAGAGAUGGAAGGGUCUUAGGGACAGCAUGUGCAAGGUCCGGUAAAGCGCGCCCAGCACGGGUUGCCCUAGCCCUACUUCGAUUCCAUUGUAGAGUGCCUCGGCCAGCUUUGUCCAUUUCUCUGUAGGUUUGUGAGCACUGCCACAGAAUAUGAAUUUAUCAAGCCAGUACUCAAGGAAAGCGAUACCUUCUUCGUGUUGUUCUGCGUGGCCGAUGUAGAACUUCCUCCAUACUCCAUACGAGCCUUUCAGGGCGCGGCGGGCCCCCAGGUUGCAGGAGUGCGUAAACUCGGUCGAUGCAAAGUCGUCUGGCGCAUAUGGCUUUGCAUGAAUCGGCAGCCCGGUGAUGGUGAGGAUGUCCAGCAGAGAAAUGCCCAUUUGCCUGAAAGGAAAAUCGAAAGUGUUGGUGGCACUGUUCCAUAAGUAGGCCGCGGCAGCAAUGGGUGCUCGAUCAGCAUGAGGAGGCAGUGAGAAGCUCAAGGCAAUGGCUUCGUUGAUGCCGGUUGCUUCCCAGAUCGCUUGGUCGGUCUGGAGGCGAGCCGUGUACCAUGCCCGGUCCUCCGCGGUGACGCUGGGCCAUUCCCCGACCCGGAUAUUUGUAUGAGAGUGGGCUUGGUGAAACCAGGAGGCGAAGUUUCCCGGUUCGCGACGCUGGGCAAGGAUUGGUCGACGCACGGAGGCGGUAUAGUGGUUCAGAUCAGCGGCGGACGGAGGUUGCGAAGGGGUCGGACCGAGCAGGGCUGCCCCUGUUUCAAGGAAAUAGAUGGGUGUUCCUUGAGGAGGGUUGUUGGCAAAACGGCGAGCGAAGCCGGUCGACCAAGAGCUCGCCGCCGUGAGGUUAAGGUUUGGAUCGUUAGCAGUUGGUUUGGGAGCCAUUGUUUCUGGGCGGAGUGAGUCCGGUGGUGAAGUUCUAUUGGUUGCAGAAGAAAGGGAAAAGUUUGGUUGGAAAGCGAUGGUGAGAUGUGGGGACCCGCAUCGAGGUUUAUAAAGGAGACGGACCGUAACGUCUUUUCAAUCAGUAGCCGUAAUGAGGAGACGCGAUGACGACUGAAACGUCAGCACGUUUCAAAUUUCAAACAGUCGCAAUGAUGAAGGGAGGCGAUGAUGCCGAAACGUCAGCACCUUUUUGAAUUGCGAAUUCCCGUAAAUGGCUCAUUUAGGCCUUUUCGCUUAUCCGUUGCAAAAUGGAUUAAGCUCAAGACCUAGGGGGCAAUGUUUGAGCCCAGUGGGUAUUUUUGGUCCAAGACUUAGGGUACGUUUUGGAUAACAUUUGGGCCAAUACCUGUGGCCCUUUUUUAAUGCGAAGCCCACGAAGGAUGGCGAAGUCUGGCUCCACGCGAGCUGGAGUUUUGCAAGGAUUCUGAUACCCCGCGGGAUUCGGUGUCCUCGCGGGAUCCUUUGUUCCAGUUCGUGUAGGAUUCUACAGUACAUGGCGAGGUAGAGUUGGAAAUGGACUGUAGUACUCCGCGGGAUAGGAUCGCUUAGUGUUCGAGUUCGCGUACGACGCUACAGUGAGAUGAUGCGGAGCGGUGAGCGAGACCUAGGCGAGGUCUGUUCUGGACACGUGUUGCACGGAUCGCGUGGCUCGCGAGCUGGUCGUAUCCUUGUGGAAUUCUAAUUGCUGAGUCCGAAUGGGUUAUGACUAGGUCUCUGCAAAUUGCUUGCGGGUCGUUAUAUAAGGGAGUUUGACACAACAACAAGGACACACAAUCAAUCAUACAAAAACAAGUACAAAUCCUCGAGCAUCCUCGAAACCCUAAGUUCUAAGUGCACUUCGCCUUAGUUCUCAGACCCCUCCCUGAUUCGCCUUUCUCCCUAUUUGUUGCUCUGCUCGCUCUAACAGUGAGUAUCGAUUCACAAGUGACAAGAAGUUUUACUCGUAAUCCCUCGUCCGCGAGGUGGCACCGGUAACCCCCUCUUCGCUUGUUUAGAAGUCUAGCCGCAGCGCAUUUCUUUCUUCGCCCGCGAGGUGGCACGCCCCGCAAUCUCCUUCUCUUUACUUUUGAGUCACCGGAAUUCCGACUCUGCCCCUGCUGAGACGCGUGGCCAAAACACCCCUUUCUCCCAUGAUCACAGUUUUCUCGAGUUUUUAGGGGCAUGCAAUGGGCUGGUGGCUUCAUGUGUCUUUCGUUCCUACGUACAAGAACGCUUGUUUAUAUGGAAUCCAUCCACCGGGUUCUUUAACGAAUUACCCUUCCGAGGUCAUAUAGAUGAGCAACUCAUGUUUGGGUUCAUGUUUGGGUUUGGGUAUCUUUCCACCACCGAUGAGUACAAAGUUGUGAUGGGUGCGGAGAUGUUUUCAUCCAAUAAGGGAUCAUGGAAGCGGAUUCAAGUACCUCCCUGCAGCGUCGGGCAAUCAUGUGGUGUGUUUUCUAGUGGUGCAUUGCAUUGGCUACUCUAUUCCUGUGAUCAAAAGCAGCAAGUGCCAAAUCUGUAUGCUUUCGAUUUGGAGAAAGAGGAAUUUUGGAUGAUGAAGCUGCCAGAUGCUCUUCAAACCCUGGGCCUUGUUAGGAGCAGUAUUUCAUACCAACUUGGUGUUACUCGUGAAGGGUGCUUGUAUGUAAUGGUCCAGAGUGAGGUGUGGGAUUCUGGUAAAUUGGCCUCUUUUUAUGUGGUUGAUUUUUGGGUCAUGAGAGACUAUGACAACAGUGAUUCAUGGACUAAAUCAUUGGGUGUAAAGAUUUCCAAUCAGCCUGCGCGGCGGGAUUGGUUUUUAUCGAUUGAAGCAAUUUCGGUUUCGGAAACUAGUGCAUUUGUGAGGAAUACAUAUGCAGCAGUAGAACAAGGGGAACUCAUGUCGACCAUUUAUCAUCGCAAUGAAGAAAGCUCCCGUAUGUAUAUUCUUGAGAAUGGUGCACAAAGCAUGGUUGUAUACGAAGAGUCUUAUCACGUUGUCUUAAUCCAACACGAGGCCUGACAUUUGGGAUGAAUGGUUCUUCGAUUCUUCCUUGCAUUGUGAGUCCUGUUUAGUCAACUACUCCACAAUUCUGUUUUUGAUUGUAGUCCAUGUUUCUUAUUUCCAAUUGCAAUCCAGUUUAGGGUAGGAGUAUUAUCACGGUAUCAGUUGGUGUUUUAAGUUAGUUUUUUAGAGUCGAAUGUGUUUUGGAUGUAAAGUCUGAGACCACCAAAAGGAAAACACCUCAUUUGUGGGUCAUUUUGGUUCAUCUUUUCUAUUAUGUCGAAUGCUGGGAGAACUGCUUAUUAAAAGCUCAACUGAAGACCAAAACAACUAAAACUUAAAUCGGCCAGCUCCCACAUUGACAGUAAGUAGAAUCCAUCAUCUACCAACGCAAGUGUAUAAAAGUAGCUUAGAUUUCAUGAACAUGACUUUGAUGCAUAUGAGAAAAUGAGAAAUAGAGCAAGAGUUUAAAUACGGAUGAUACUGACCAGAGUUUACAUGUGACUUCUCUUAAUUAUCCCCUAUAUUCCAUCUGAAUGCGAAGCAAGAGAUCACACAUACAAAAGUUUGAUCCACAAGAUGAGACUAACCAUAGUCUUAAUGUACAACUCACAACUCCGCUCCUAUACAUACAACUACUACCUAGUGUUUGAAGUAUAAGAUUGGAUGCAGAUAACAGAUACAAACUCCAAUCUCUGUACCUUACUAACUAUGCUUGUAAACUUGAGCACUCAUCUCAUAUCUGCAGUAAAACUCAUCAAAAUUACCAAGGGCCAGUCAAUGUUCGUCUCAAGCACUGCCUUUUACCUCCCCAUUCCCGAUUCAUUGUCUCCAAAAUCUGUUAAAUAUUGAAGAAAAGGGAUCGAUCAGCGUACUGUGCAGUCAAAAGUUCAUCUAUAUCAUUAAUUCAUUAUGCAGGUUACACUCCUCAUUUACAAGAAACGUCUAGAAGAAUAUAGUUGUUUUUAUUCACUGGCUAUGCCAAAGCAAGAAGAAAUAAGUCAAACAAAACAGAGGCAAGGCAGUAAAAAGUUCAAGAUACAUGAAGAAUGAUGUACCUGAUCUUUCUGCAUUUCCAUAAUUUCAGCCUACAACAACAAAGGUAAAGUCAGGGAGGGUUGGCUAAAACUAAAACAACCAGAGGAAAACCGAAAACCCAAUACUAUACCUGUUUUUUCUGCAACUCUUCAUUCAUUUCUUUAAGUUUUUGCACUUCUGCCUCUAGUUCCAAGGUGUAGGCCUGCAAGAAACCAAAAGAACAGGUUACAGUUAAGCAUCUUGUGUUUUAUUAUACAAAAGUAUGAAUGAAGCAGAAUGCCCACUAAUUUUCAAAGCUGAUUCAGGAAUCAUGUUCAAGUUCAAACAGAUCCCAAAGACUGCCCCAAUUUCACUCUCAAGAAAGUGUGUUCAAACUAAGAAGGGAUAUGAUAAAUUUUUUAAUAUUUUUACAUACUGGAUACAUCGGCACUUCAGGAGCUGCACUACACAUUAACGUCAUUCUUCACUUUCAUCAUAAGAUCAACAGUGGUUCAUACACACACCAAAACAUAGAUAAAUCACUGAUAAUAUAUGCAACUAUGUGUUCCUGGCAUUUGUUUUCCUCCCCACAUGACAUGGCUGUGUAAAGUAGACGUACAACCAGAUAUUUUCUAUCAGUAAACAAUAAAACCAAGGAUCAGAGCAGCAUGAUUUGACAUGAUGCGAUAUUGCAUCUAAACAUGUUAAUUCUGCUGCAAAGUGCUGCAGUAGCUGAGCUCCUAUGUUCCUUUAUGUGCACUGACUGUGCUCUUGUUAUUCAUCAGACAGAUCUGUUUCAACACAUUUAGGCAUUCAGCUGACUUCUAAGACUACAAAGUGUUUUCACAGAAAUUUUCAAUUUCCAACUAAGGAAAUAAGGGUUACAAUUAACUGAGAACACUUAGGCUGGAGACCAAGACCACCAUGGUCUCACACAAAGGUAACAAUUCCAAAUAUAUGUACAGAAAACGGUAUGAAACUUUGCCGUACAAAAUACAGUAUCAACGUAUGCAUUUGUAAGGUGCAGCCCAUAUCUAUGCUAAAAGCCUAAAAGCCUAAAACAUAACACCAGUACACCACCAUCCUAGACAUCCAAAUAUGGGUGGCCCCUUGAUUAUCACAUACAGAAAAGUGAAUUCGAUUUCAAAAGGCUAAGACCAACACAUUGAUACAGUAAUCAACAGAUAAAAAAAUGCAAGGAUGGGCAAAGUAGUGUGUACCUGUUUACGAGCUCGAGACCUCGCAGCAGAUUCUCUGUUCUUUAUCAUUCUCCUUUGCCUUCUCUCAACUACUUUCUCCAAAGCUCCAUUGGCUUUCCUUCCACGAGUGAACAUGUAAGGAAUCGGCGACAAUGAAGAUGUAUCUGCACUGCUCUUAACAAUCACAUCUGGUGAAAUCUUAUUUACAGGAGAUCUAGAUGCAACUGUAACACCUCCAGCACCUAAACCACCCAUUCCAAUCCCUGCACCCGGAAACCCACCACCUUGAGAGAAAGCAGUAUUCCUAGAAGGUUCCACAACGGCAGACAUCGGUCCCCUACUUCUUGGGCUAGUUAGCUGAGCAUUGCUUACCAAAUGCAUAGAAGGGGCAAAAGACAAAGUUGCAGGCUUGGGAAAGAUUGGUUGCUGCUGCGGGGGAAGCUGGUGCGUUUGCUGCUGCGAAGUUCUCACUCCACCAACAUUCAGUGCCAAAUUAGGGGACUGAUGAGGAACUGAAUUAUUGUUACUUUCUACUCGACUACCCAAAAGACCAUUGUUUCGACUUGCCUGUUGGAAACCAGGAGCUAAGCCGGUAUUGUUAUUACUAUGGCGAAACAAUUCACCAAAGAAUCCACUAUUACUGGGCCUUGCCAUUUCUUGAGCAUCUUCUCGCACCACCCCUGCUCUCGCCAAAAACUCCUCCAAAGUCAUCUCCCCCAAAGUCUGCUGUCUUUGUUCCUGUGGCAAAUCCGAACCCACACCAACAUUACCAAAUUUAACAUCACCACUCUCCCUAUUCAAUUCUUUCCAGACAUCAUCAACUGUCUUCUGACUAAGCGUCCGCGGCAAAGUCAAUGAGCCUUGUCUCUGCAAAUUCCCCACAGGGGCAUUUCCCUCACCUGCCCCAGAAGUAGAUGUAAUUCCUUGAGUCUCUUCAGCACUCCAUAUAUUCUUCAAAAGCUCAUCCAUGUUCAUCGACCCGAAAUCCUUCCCAAGUCCUCCCAUAGUGUUCUGGAACUCAUCAAACGUCAGGGAGUACACAGAAGUCUGCCGAGCCAGUGAGAAAUUCCCACCUAGCUUCCCACCAUUUACAUCCCCAUUUUGCACAUCACCAUAGUUCUUGAAGUUUAUAUUAGAUCCCAUCUUCUGGCAACUAUAAUAUCAACAGCUGACUAGGCAAGCCCCCUAUAUAUCCAUCCAAUUGAACAAUAACAAAUAUAAUUCUCAGUUUUCAAUAUCCAAACAAAAUAUCCACAAAUAGCUAAAGUUGAGACAAAAACAGAAAAUCUGAAACUCAUAAAUUCAGUGAACUCUCCUACACACACGUAUCAUAGGACACCAUAAAUGAACUUGGAGAAUCAUACAAAGACAUCACUUUUCUCUAAAGCAGCCAAGUAAUUGACAACAAACUACUACAACACUGGCUUUAUUCAACCACCCAACAGAAACUUGCCACAACCUGAAACCCAUAAAUAUCUCACUGAAGAUUCUACUGCCAAAAAGCAAGUUUUAACUUAUGAACAAGCAGGAAUGUGCAAAAUGUAUCAGAACCAAACAACCUAUGCAUCUGUCCCAUCAUUUCAGAUCAAAAAUUCCAGAUCAAAACUCCAGAUACCCAAAAAAAAAAAAGUCAGCAACUUUUGAUUCAUCUUACAUCUACACUCACAACCCGUUUCUCCAAUUUCAAUUCUUUUUCCACAUAACCCAUCAAAAACCCUAACCCUGUUUUGUCUCAGAACUCCACCACACCGAGAAAUUUUUCCCCCUUUUUUUCUAAAGAUCAAAACUUCACAACAGUGAAGCUCAAACAGACAUGUAUUAUGAUCUCAGAUUUUUUUUUUUUCCUUGACCAAAAAGAAUAAAAACCCAGGAUAAUUAGUGAAAAGGAAAAUUAUCAGGAAAAGACAAAACCCUAAAAUUAGCUGAAUUAUAGAGAAAGAAAGAGAAGAGGCUUUAUUUACCUUAAUUUCCUUUUUUAGUUUUAAUUUUUUUCCAGAAAAAGGAAAAAAAUUAAGGUAAGUGAAGAGAUUGGAGUGGUGAGUUUCUGUUUCUUCUGGGUGAACUCAGAACUGAGCUUUGGGUUUUGUCUGCUGCGAUUUCUGGGGUUGACAAGUGUCUUGUGCCGCCUCGGCACGAGUCGCUAUUUAAGGCUAAGAUAUCGGAAUUUCCUGUUAUUUUUUAAUUGCUAAAGUUGGUGCUUCACCAUCCAGCUCGCGCAACGUGGACCAAUCGGGAGAGGUGUUCGUGAUUUGAUGUCUGGCCACUACGGGUGUGAAACGUGGGGGGAUCUGGACCGUACUGGUGGGGCCCAGGUUCCGACAGGGUGAAUUGGGAGAUCUUUUGGGAGUAGGGAGUGUUUGGAUCAUGUGAGAUUGUGAGAGAAACUGUGAUAUAUAUGGGUGAUUGGCUUUUUUGAAAAGUCAAAUGCCACAAGCACUUUUGAGACGGAAAGGAAGUUGGUCGUGCUUAUCAAAUUAUCUUCGGUAAGUAAAUUUAAAGGUUAUCCCUAAUGAUUUUGACGGUGAGAUUAUCUCUUUGUUGAUGCAAUGUUGAUUUGGAUUAGGACCUUCAUAUUGUCCUAAAGUCAUAAACACGGUGAUAAUUUGAUGGAUAACGGUUGGAGUUCACUAAUCAUAGAACGAAGGCGAUACGAAACUUCUUUUAUAGUUCAUAACACCAAUUUGGAUUUUUCUAGUUGUACGCAACUUGAAUGUGAAACCUAAAGGUUCUGUUGACUAAGCAAAUGGAUAAUGUUAUUUUUGGUAAACAAUCUGGUCUUGUUAAAGAUUUGAAGCACAAUUUCAUAAAACACUAUCGAGUUCAUGAUAACUAGGUAACUAGAUGCUUAAGCUGACCAAAGCAACUAAACACUAAGUAGGGUUUCCAUGAUUUUUAGUCAUAACUCGAUUAAUAUAUUGUUUUGAAUUAGUUUAGACGAUCUCUUUUUUUGUUUUUACCAUUUAAAGGUUUAGAGCUUGUCCAUCGAGCCUAGUCCGACAGGAAUGCAUCAACCACACAAGGCCAUACAACCAUACAACCUAGGUACUUUUGACUCAAAGUAAUCGAUCUCGAGUAACACUAAAGCUAGCUUUGCAUGAUUGUUGGAGAGUGAAAAAUAAACUUGCUUAUUCUUAUAGCGCACAGUGAAAAUCCAAUAUAAAGGUUAGUCACGAACCACACGUACUUAUCGUUGUUUGACAUGGGUGUCAUACCCAAGUUCCUCUUUGGUCACAUUGUAUGCUCGAAAUGAACGAUGAGUCUUGAAAAGAUAUGUCAGCUUUGGUCUAUGAAAUGUGACUAAAAAAACAAAAGUUUUCAAUGUCGGAAUUUGUGCAUAUAUAAAAUUAGUAGUGAAGUGCAAUAUUAAGGACGUGUGAUAGUUAAUGUCUCACAUUAGGAAAGCGAGAAAAUGAUAUAAACUUUGGCUUAUUCCAAUAGUUACGAGAUGUUGUGAGUUAAAACGCAUUUAUGUGAGCCGUGUUAGAGACAAAACAUAAUCACACAUAUAUAAGAUUUUCCUAAUUGUACAGACGUCCAACGCUUGAUAGCUGGUUAAGUUUGACAUUGAUCAAAGUUGGAGCAAGUCACAUACAACAUUUGUUGUUGUUUAACAAUUUUCAGUACGAAAACCAAACAUUUUAAACCAAAUUUUUCAUGGUUGAAAUAAUUAAUUAAUUACUCAACUUUGAAUCUCAAUUGGCAGUUUGGCACCAUCAAUCUAUCGACCAUAAACACUAGUGUGUAUAAUUAUCAACAUACAACACAAGGAACCAAGGUACAUUGAUAUAGAAUAAAAACAUCUUAGUUCUGCUUAACAUCUUCUUUAAAUUAUAACUCUUAUCAUUUAGCCUAACAUGAUAAUUUAUUUGUAACUUUAUCGUUAAUUAAUUUAUAGACAAAAGUUUUACCGGAGACAUUACAUUAUAGAUUUGAGUUAGUUGUGAGCAUGUGUAGUGUUCCACACAAGAGAUGAAUUAUGAAGACCAAGAUUUUGCCACGAGUUCAUAUCAUAUUGAUCAACAAUGUAUAUAUGUAACAAAAUGUGAUCAGCAAAACUAAAUCAAAGAAGAUCAGACUCAUCCGAGUAACGUUUUUAGAGUGGUUCACGUGGUUGGUGAACAGUUUCCAGAAAAUGAAACCAUUACAUUAAAAUAUCUAAAAAAACAAAGUGUAGGCAUCGUUAAAGCAUGUGAGUAGAGUGGGGACCAGAGCUAAUCCCAAACGAUAAAAAAAAAAAGAUCCAAAAAAGAUGAAGAUGCCGUUUUCCAUGCUAAAAUAGAUUUAUGAAGCGAGGGAGACACCCCGGUCUAUAAAAAUCAGAUCUCUGAUAGGUGACAUUGUUGGUGGAUGUGUAGGCGACACGUGUUGGAGCUACCAUUCCUCUCCCUUUUUGAACACGGAUUCCGCAAGUGUUCCUCCGUCAUGGUGGACCCCGUGAUGGAAGUCUCAACUCUCAAGAAUGAGGCGAAAAGCCGGCCGCGGCGGGGCGGUGAAUAGUCGCUUAAGAGUAGCGAUGUUUUAAUCUAAUUUGUUACUCUAGCAUUUACGGUGUUGGCAUUUUACUGCCUUAGAGCGAGCAGCUCCAUCUUUUGGUUUUGUGAAAUUUGAAAUCUGACCUCUGACAUGGCAUAGUCAUUUUGGUUACAAAUCCUCUCUAGUGGAAUAGUCUUUUUUUAAAUAGAUUAGAGAGUAAAAUAAAUUAUUUUUAGGUUGCAAAACAGUGUUUUAAAGAUUAAUUUUGGACAGUAAAAGAAAAAGAAGAGAGAGAGAAGGAGAGAGAAAUAAUCAAUAAACAAACAAAUGACAGUAGAUCUCUCUUGUGUCAAAUUUGACAGUAGAAGCUGAGAGGUCAACUAUAUGUCGGCAAUUCCAUUGGAGAAGGUUAGGGCAAUCAUUUCCUACCGUUAGACCUCCAUGUGGAAUUUGACAAUUUCAUUGGAGAUGCUCUUAAGACUUCAAAAAUUGGCCAAAUUACUACCCAACAUUUUCGAUAUACAAAGAGAUAUAAGUUAAGAGUAAUCUCAUCUAGAAUUUUUUUUUUUACUCAUCUAGAAAAUUUGAGUGACAAAGUGAAGAGUAAUCCAUACAAACAAUUGGAGAAAAUGGAGUACAUUUCUCUCGUCCAUACCAAGCAAAUGAAUCGUCUUGCAUAUCUAAAGUUGGCGAAACUUGUAUACUGCUGCUACAACAUGAAGUUGUCACUAUGUAAUAGACAAACAAUGAUAGACCAAAUAAAUUAAAGAACAAAAUACUGGUCAAUCCUCUUAUUUUUGAGGUUUCGACAGUAUAAUUCUCUUUUUCUCAAUUUCGACAUGUCACUCUUAUUAUUUUCAAUGUCACACAAUUAGGUUAAACCGUCUACUUUUCAUCUAAUUUCAUCGUUAAGUUGUUGAACUGUCAUUUUCUCUCAUGCCAAGUCAGCUGAAUGAAGGGUAAAAUCAGUUAAACACCCUUUGGCUUCUACAUAAAAAAAAAAGAUGGAAAUCCGUCCAAAACUGAAACCAUUUCCCUCCAAAAUCAUUGUGCAAGAUAGUCAUUAAAAUUCAAGCUUCAAGAACUGAAGCAUAACUUAUAUAGAAAAGAAAAAAAAAAAAAAAACUGAAGCAUAACUGAAGGAAACUAAAUAAAAAACAAAUUUCACCUACAUUCAUAAAUAGGUCAUUCAUAAUACUGUUAUUGUCACCAAAAAUACAUUGCAUAUUUUUCAAAAUUAGCAAGCCAAUCAAUAAAGUGCUAAUUUACCUGAUGCAAUUUUUGUUAUGGAGGGAUUUCCAUACAAUUUUUGUUAGAGAAGCGGGAAAAUAAACCAAAAGGUGUUAUAGUGAUUUUAUCUUUCAUUCAGCUGACUUAACAUGAGAGAGAUAAAUGACAGCUAACAACUUAACGGUAAAAUUGGAUGGAAAGUAGAUAGUUGGACCUAAUUGUGUGACAUUAAAAAGUAAUCGGAGUAAACUGUCGAAAUUGAGAAAAGGAGGAUUAAAGUCGAAACCUCAAAAAUAAGAGGAGUGACUAGUAUUUUGUCCUAAAUUAAAACCCAUAUAUCGAUUCACUUCAUAUUAUUAGUGAGCCACUUUAUAAUGACAUUGAUCCGUUUUAAGACGAAAACAAUAAAUAUGGUUUUAUAGAUAUAAUCAACACGAAGAAGUAGAUGGGUGUUAGUCAUCCAGUUGAAUUCAUCGUUAUUAUCCUCUUAUUAGGGAAUUCUAGAAAAACAGUAUUUUAUAGAAAAAUAGUUGACAGAUCUAAAAAGAUAUAUAACAACGCUACCAUCAGUACUAUAUGAGUCACCCGAAGUCUGAUAAUUGUACUUUUAUAGAUCAGUGCAUCUUUUCAGCCACCCCGUGUCCAUUUCUGAAAUACUGGAUGUAGUAUCACUAGUAUGUACGUGAUACAAUAAGGAAUGACAUUGAUCAGACCCGCUCACCUGCGGGACUGAAUUUGAGGGACAAAACGAGACACUUCAUUUGUAGCCAUUAGAUCUAAAUGAGAGAAAUAUGAGGGGUGAGACAAACUUUACACACUUUUUUUUGAUCCACCCAAUCCCUUACCCUUCCCCAAUCUAAAUGAGAAAGGAAGUAGGCGGAGUGCAAAAACUCUUCCCCAAUCUAAAUGAGAAAGGAAGAGGCGGAGUGCAAAAACUGAAGGAGUGGAGGACCGGAGGGGUAAGGGAUUGGGUGGAUAAAAAAAAAGUGUGUAAAGUUUGUCUCACCCCUAAGAUUUCUCUCAUUUAGAUCUAAUGGCUACAAAUGAAGUGUCCCGUUUUGUCCCUCAAAUUCAGUCCCGCAGGUGAGCGGGCCUGUGACAUUGAUAUAUUGGAAAAAAUUUCCCCGAUACAUUUCCCCAAAUGGGCCGGGUUGAUAUGUUAUCCGUAUAAUCUAAAACCCUAAACCCCAGAACCACAGUGUCCGUAUAAUCUAAAACCCUAAACCUAUGGGCAGAGUCCCAGAUAAUUUAACUAUAUGCACCUCAUUUUUUCUCCCUGCGCCUCAAGAUUUCGCUGUGAUCGAACCAGCUCUCCCAUCCAGUGUGUCGAAAGUAGUCCAAUUGUGAUCUCAAGAUUUCCUCUCUCAUCUCCGCGCCUCACUUUUCCUCUCUCACCCAAUCUGUUUUUCUCUCUCGAAUUUCCGAAAUCCGGACAAAAUCUGAAGGAUUGCUCGAUUGUACGUCUUAAAUCUACAACCCAAGCAAGCCAUCGAGUGCUUUUGAGGUAAUUUUUCUAACCCAAUCUGAAGUGAUUUUAUGGUCGGAAUAAAAUGGAGUUUAAUGGGUCGCUUCUAAUUUGUAGGAAACUAAUGAUACAAGGCUUAUGAGGUAGUGAGUUGUACGGUUUAGGGUUAUACUGUGGCAGAAAAGCUCAUUCUAUCAUUGCUGUAGUAUGAAAUAGAUUUCCAGUUCCUUGGAACUAGAUCAAGGGGAACUAGCUUCAGUGUCAUGAGCCAUUAUAGUUUAUAAUUUGAGAACUAUCAGGCUUUGUAGCUUUUAGUUUUACACUUGAAAAUUCCCAGAACCUUCCUGUCUACGUAUAAACAAUUGAUGAUAAGCCGCUAUUAACCAAUAUCAAAACAAACAUGAAUACCAUUUCAAUUGUCUUAUCGUAUGUUAGUAUUAUGUUAUCUUUGACAAAGUUAUGUUAUCUUCCUGUCUACUGGAGUUGACUCAAGUGUUUUGAAAUGUCUAUUAGGAGAUUAAUUUUCAGUCUGUUGGAAAUGGCAUGCUAGCGGUUUGAAAUUCUAUAUCAUCUUUUUGUUAAGAAGAAUAAAAGGCCAAUAGCAAAUACAAAUUGGAGGAUAGAAAGAUGACAGUUAGACCGACUGAUCAAAAUGCUCAAUCCCAAAUGUCUCAUUGCAUUUUUUCAUCUUUAAUUUCUUUUAAGUAGAGUUGUCAUGAUCAGAAAAUUUCACACACAUGGCCAUGUUUAUAGAUUAAGUGAAUUGAAGUUGGCAUGUUUUUUUUUUACACAGAAUAUUGUGUACAUGAUGAAUGCAAUAAGGUGGUCCCAAACUCAGGGAGGUAAUUUUUUUUGUGAUUUGGUUCAGACACUACUACAAAGGACUAAAGGAGUACUAUGCAUAAUAAUAUAAUCCGUAUUGCUAGAAAUUUCAUGAUGGCAUACUUAUCUGCAUAAUAAAAGAAUCAGUUUGACUAUUCUCUUUUCAGUCAAGAUUGCUUUUUCUGUGCAGCUAAAGAACUGCUCAACAUACUGAUUUAUCAAUGUGGUUUCUUUUUUGUUCCAAUUAUGUUCCCUCUAAUUAAAAGUUAUGUUAGUGAUGAAUUAAGAUAACCGGGUGUUCUCUUUCAAGCUGUUUAAGUGCUGUUUUGUUAUAAUUAUGUCUUUAAAUAACUAAAAGGGAUGAAGGAAAGGGCUGAAUAUAUACUCCAGUAGAUAGUUCUUCGAUCAUGUUGUAUUUUGAUAUUGUGAAAGGAUGAUUAAUUGAUUUUAGAGUUCAGCUACAAAUUUUCUGUUGUUUGGAAUUGAUCAUAGAUACCGAGUUGUAAGACCAAUCUUAUUAAGCUGUUUGUUGGAUUUUGCAUCGAUUCUUAUCAAUAUUUUUCUAUUUUUGUAGGUUCUGAUUAAAGUCUCUGGGAGUCGGUCUCUAUUUCGAAGCUCUAGGUUCUUUUCCUUCUACUUGAUUGAAGGGUAUGUCUUUAUUUUUUCUUUUUAAUUUUGUUGUUCUGUUUUGCCAUUUGGGGGUUUGAUUCUAUUGGUCGGAAUGAUAAAACUAAAUGUAUGAUACCCUGCAGUCCUUUAUUCUUAUCUCAUCUAUUAUGUUUCAAUCUCAUGCCCAAACUAUGUGUAUGAUAUCCAAUGCACUAAGGCUUUAGGUUGAUAGCUUUCAUAAUCAUAAGAAAACCCUGUAACAUCGGUUUCCCGAAUGUAAAAAUAAUAUAUUCUGUUUCUUAUCUUCAGCUGAAAAAAAAAUGAGGCCCCACAUUAAUUUGAGUGAUACAAGUUUAUCAGUACAACUUCAAAAUGAGAGACUGUUUAUGGAGAAGCUUUGAAUUUUAUUUAAACUGCUAUAUAAACAACACGCGUUGGUUAAUUUGAUUCUGAAAGUGUUAAUCUUUAGUUUCUCUUGGUUUUGAUUGCAGCACCUGUAUGCACCUAAUUGGAGCAACUUUGGAGUAGAGAAAACUCUCUGUAAUAAUCAAUAUCUUGGUCGAUGUAAGUAUUAAUGCAUAUUCAUAUGUUUCUGUGGUUAGAGAUGGUGAAUUUUUCUACAAGUUAUAUGAUUUAGGUCUGGAUUGAAAACAAUUGGUUUCGAACUGAGAUUUUAGUUUGUUUAUAUCAUGGUCUUUACAUGGAAGCAGUAAUUAUGCCUCAUGGUAGUGUAAACUAAUAUCAAAAGUUUUGUAUAAGCCUUUAGCUGACAAAGUUUGAUCAACAAAGUAUAAGUCUUUGAGUCACAACGAUUAGCUGAAAAUGUUGUGAAUUUUGAUUCUUCAUUUACUGAUCAACUUGCAUAAUAACUAAUUUGGCCUCUACUGAAACAAGCUUCAUGGGUUUUAAUUUUAGUGAGUAAAGAUUUUACUUUUCUUAUCAUACAGUGUCUAUUCUAUUGUUUGCUUGAUAUUAUCUUGAUGAUGAAACCAAUUGAUGAUGCGAACCGGGAACCUGACAUCAUUUAUGGCCAUGAAUCUGACAGAUUCAGUUGAAGACUAAUCCGAGAAAUGGAUGUAAAAUAGCUUAUGGAUAAUGAAAUAUCUUUUGUUGAUUCAGCUGAUGGAUUUGGUCCUUUGCUCACAUAUAUAGUUUCAGCUUAUGGUUCUUAGUUUAUAUCUCUGAUUUAUUUCCAAAACAACAUGCUAAUUUCCUUUAUUGUACCUUUUCAGAGUCUACAAAGGCUGAAGAGAAAGAACAUGUUGAGAAUUCAAAGUAUAAGGAUUUGGUGCUAAAAUUGCAGGUUAGAUUUGGUGUAUUUAAUUUGAUUAGAUUUGCUCUUUGAUUAUUGAGGUGUUCUUCGACUUCUUUGUGUUUAGAUGCCAUUCUUAUAGAUUGAUUCUUUUAUUUCAGACGAUAGUUGCUGCUCUAUUUACUAAUAUUUACAGCCUUAGGGUUUACGAAAUGUUGUUAUUACGUAUUAGUAUUGCUUCUCUACGAAUUCGUAAAGAUUUAGUUAAAGUUACAUUUUAAGUAUUAGAUCCAUUAAAAUGAUAUUGUUAAUUUUUCUUAACUGUUAAAGUGCACUUAUAGUCAUCUAUUCUUAUGCUUAUGUGUGUUUUCUAUAUGCUAUGGUUCAGGUACAGACUGUUGUUGCUUGAACCAGCCAAAUUGGUGGGAAAGAAGUGUUUAGAAGUGCUCUACAUCACAGGUAUAUCCAUUCCACAGACUAGAAUUUACGUCCCUUCGGUGUGGGAAUGUAGAGUGUGAGCUCUUUGUUUCAUAUAUUAUUUAGAAAUGUGAGCCAAGGUAUACUAUUUGCAAAGUUAAAAAUCCCGCCCAACAUACAGAUGGAUGCAUAAACAUAUACAUGAUAGUUAGCAUUGAUAGAUUACAAAUUCUUUCAUAAGGUACAAACAUUAUAUAUUAUCAAAAAAGCUUAACAAAACUCAUUUAUUAUUUUGCUUUCUUAUGUGAACUCAGAGUAGAAUAUAUAUAGGUCCAAUAAAAAUGCUGACCAAAAAAGAUACUAACAAGUUAUUCUUGAUAUUUGUAUUUUUCUUAUUCUGAUCAUGUAAAAACAUGUUAUAAUUAUUUCGUAAAAAAGUACAACUGAAUUAUUGAGAUUGCUUAGGGCUCAGAUUGGAAUCAGUUCAAACAUAUACCGACUUAUCAGUUCUGGUUCAUCCUCCUCUGUUUGUCAUAUGCAGAUUUUAUGCAAAAGGUUCUCCAACUCACCUGUUUGCUACUGUUCCUCACUUUGGUCUUCUGCAUUAACUUAGUUGCUUUUUGUUACACAGAUUUGUACUCCGGUAAUAUCUUCGCAUCUUUAUAAACUUUGGAAAGCUAUCUGUAUUGUUAGAAUUAUACUAAUUCCACUUUUUGUGCUCUGUAGAUUUGGAUGGUUAGGGUUUAUCACAGAAGUCACAAAAUCAUAUGAUACAAACUCUGCAAAAUUCAAACCCGCAGCAAAGCGCGGGCAUAUUUCUAGUUCUGAUAAAAACACUCUACCACCUUAACACGGCCGGGUGUCCCAACAACAACAACAGCAGACGCAAAUUCCAUCUCUCCUGCAUUUCCAAUACUGGGUAUUAAUCUCAAACUAACUCUUCUGCUUACAGCGACUAAAAAUUCAGAUUGGAUCCUUGAUUGCUUUCAUUUUCUACUACUCCUUCUCCUUUUGCUUUGAUUGCUGGUUUGUUUUCAUGUGUAUGCUUUUGUGUGCUCAAGUUGGAGUGUGUUAUGGAAUAUGGAUUAUAUCAGCUGGUUUGAGUAUUUAUAGGUAUGUUAGAGGAAUAGAGGGUACUUGCCAGAAGUCAAGUUGUUCGUGUCAUUGAUUUUUGUUUCGAAUUCUGUGAUUUAGUUCAUUUAUAUCUAAUAGCCGAGCCCAGCUUCGUAUUGGAAUCCUGGUUUGAACACUGAUCUUGACCACUGAGAUUUUCUCCAAGACCUUCAUGUAUGUUCAGGUACUCGUUCGCGUUAUCUCUCUUCUUCUUCUCCUUCCAAUAUAAACGUCUACUGAGUGAGAGUCUUGAAUAUGGAUGACAGUUGAUCUAGAAAUUCAUGAUAUUUCAUAUUUUGGUGUAACUUUUCCUAAUUUGAAAAAUACAUAAAGCAUGUGACCUUUUCUUUUAGUAAUUGGAGGUAUUAUGCAGUUCGUGAUAUUUAGAUUGUAUGAAUUCAAUUGUUUGAUAUGAUUGUUUUUGAGCUGUAUUAGUCACAUUCAGGGUAUAACAUUAUUUCCCUUGUUUUGGAUUGCAUGCUUAAUCUGUAAAUACAAAUGAAAUUGAUUGAAUUUCAUCAAUAGGAAGGAAUAUGCUAUUGGUAUAGUUUCGUUUCUUAGCUUAUCCACUGUCUGGCUGAUGGUUUCGAAUAUUUCAUUCCAGUUUGGUGCCCACCUGCAAAGGUAGGCAUGCUUGCAAAAGUUUCCCCUCACUGCAAGUCUGGUACCAAUUCUUCUCGACAGCUACAAAUACUUUGCCUUUUGUAUCAGAUGGCUUUGGAAAUGAGACCAGAAGAGUUGAUAUCGGUCAUCUAUUUCAAUCCUGCACAAAACUUCACCAUGCAAAGCGUCUCCAUGCUCUUCUUGUGGUGUCAGGAAAAGCUCAAGAUAUCUUUCUUUCUGCCAAACUUGUCAAUCAGUAUGCUUACCUUGGUGAUGUCUCAUUCUCACGCCGCGCUUUUGAUUCGAUGCCUAGAAAGGAUGUCUAUACCUGGAAUUCGAUGGUAUCAGCAUAUGUUCGCAGCGGACGUUUCCAAGAAGCUGUUGAUUGUUUCUCUCAAUUUUUGGUAACCUCUGGUCUUCGACCUGAUUUCUACACAUUCCCUCCUGUCUUGAAAGCAUGUGGGAAUCUAAAUGUUGGGAAGAAGAUCCACAGUUGGCUCAUAAAGCUGGGUUUGGAAUGGGAUGUUUUUGUGGCUGCUUCCUUGAUCCAUAUGUAUUCACGGUCUGGAUUGAUUAGCGUUGCUCGUAAAUUGUUUGAUGAGAUGCCAUCCCGGGAUAUGGGUUGUUGGAAUGCAAUGAUUUCUGGGUUUUGUCAGAAUGGGAAUGCAGCGGAUGCAUUAGGUGUCUUGAUUGAAAUGAGAUCGGAGGGUGUAAAGAUGGAUCCUAUUACUGUUGCAAGUCUACUGACUGCUUGUGCACAAUCAGAUGAUUCCUUAAGUGGGAUCCUGAUCCAUCUGUAUGUUGUAAAGCAUGGACUAGAGUUUGAUCAGUUUGUAUGCAAUGCCUUGAUUAACAUGUAUGCUAAAUUUGGUUGCUUGGGACGUGCCCAGAGGGUUUUUUAUGAAAUGGAGGUAAGAGAUUUGGUGUCAUGGAACUCAAUAAUUGCUGCAAAUGAGCAGAAUGGUGAGCCAAUGGCUGCGCUAGGAUUCUUCAACAGGAUGCAACUAUCUGGAGUUAAGCCUGAUUACUUGACAGUAGUGAGUUUGGCUUCGAUUAUAGCUCAAUUAAGUGAUGCUGAAAUGGGUAGGUCUGUUCAUGGAUUUAUUUUGAGGAGAGACUGGUUCAAGGAAGAUGUUGUUAUUGGGAAUGCAGUUGUGGACAUGUAUGCAAAGUUGGGUGCUAUAGAUUCUGCACGUACUGUCUUUGAAAGACUUCCUGUCAGGGAUGUGGUUUCGUGGAAUACUUUAAUCACGGGUUACACUCAAAAUGGCCUUGCAAGUGAGGCAAAUGAAGUUUACUGUAUGAUGCAAGAGUGCGAAGAAAUAAUUCCAAACCAAGGAACUUGGGUUAGCAUUCUACCUGCACAUACCCAUUUAGGGGCCUUGCAACAAGGGAUGAAAAUUCAUGGGCGGGUGAUCAAGAACCGUCUUUACUUGGAUGUAUUUGUGGGUACAUGCUUGAUUGACAUGUAUGGAAAAUGUGGGAGGCUAGAUGAUGCAUUGUCGUUAUUCUACCAAGUGCCCAGAUGUCCGGUCGCUUGGAAUGCCAUGAUUUCCUGUCUUGGCGUUCAUGGGCAUGGCGAGAAAGCUGUGAAGUUAUUCAAAGAUAUGAUUGAUGAGGGGGUUAAGCCAGAUCACAUAACCUUUGUAUCUCUAUUGGCAGCUUGUAGUCAUUCAGGUUUGGUCAAUAAGGGUGAAUUGUACUUCCAUAUGAUGCAGAAAGAGUAUGGAAUCAAGCCUGGUUUAAAUCACUAUGGCUGCAUGGUAGAUUUGCUUGGCAGAGCUGGGCAUUUAGACAAGGCAUAUAGUUUUAUUAAGACUAUGCCUGUACAGCCUGAUGCUUCUGUAUGGGGGGCACUACUUGGUGCUUGUAGAAUACAUGGUAAUGCUGAAUUGGGGAAAGUUGCUUCAGAGGGCUUGUUUGCUGUUGAUUCGGAGAAUGUGGGCUACUAUGUUUUGUUGUCAAAUAUAUACGCAACAACCGGGAAAUGGGAAGGUGUGGACAAAGUGAGAUCUAUGGCUAGAAACCGCGGACUGAGGAAGACUCCUGGGUGGAGCUCAAUAGAAGUUAACAAUAAAGUUGAUGUCUUUUAUAAUGGGAACCAAACGCAUCCACUAUGCGAACAGAUAUACCAGAAGUUGGGGGAACUAACUGAGAAAAUGAAGAGCCUUGGUUAUGUUCCUGACUUCAGCUUUGUGUUGCAGGAUGUCGAGGAUGACGAAAAGGAGCAUAUCCUCAACAGUCAUAGCGAGAGAUUGGCAAUUGCUUUUGGAAUCAUUAGCACACCUCCUAAAACCCCUAUCCGAAUCUUCAAAAACCUGAGGGUUUGCGGUGAUUGCCACACUGUGACGAAACUCAUAUCAGUAAUUACAGAGCGGGAGAUCAUUGUGAGAGAUUCAAACCGCUUUCACCAUUUCAAGGAUGGAACUUGCUCUUGUGGCGAUUAUUGGUGAAAAUUGGAAUCGAUAGAACAGUUGUGUCAUUGCCAAAUGGGCAAGAGGCUCAGACCAAAAGAGAAAAUGUACAAGAGGCUUCAACUGCAACCAACUGAUGCUUAGAUGUGAAGGGAAGCCAGCAACAAACAACAUUAGCUGUUGAUGAUUUGGCUUCCACCUCAGUUGUGAUUCAUUCACAAUUGCCAGCUUGUUUUCAGUCACCUUGCUUCACUUUGAGAUCAUGAGAAAAGGAAAAGAAAACCAAAAUCCAAGCAGUUUUUGUGUUACAGAUGUUUAUUUGAUUAAAAUAGUCCUGCUCUGAGGUGGCAUUCCACCAAACCUUUUAUCUAUAACAACCUUUCCCCCCAAAUCCACUCCCCCUAAUCUUACUACGAAAUCCACGACGUGGUGUACAUUGACGGCGAGUUCAUGGCCGACCCUCAUGCACCUCCGCCUUGGCCUCUCUUCAAGCAGAACUCAUGGUCGCCGGACAUACUCCGUGAGGAGACAUGGCAGCGUCAAAAGAGCAAUUGGGGCACACGGAGUCUCAACCGCAGCAAAAGCAUUUCAAACGACGACUUGGAGGAACUGAAAGCCUGCAUUGAGCUGGGAUUCGGGUUUGAUUCACCGGAAAUUGACCCCAAACUCCGCAACGCCUUACCUGCAUUGGAGUCUUACCAUGCCUUACAUAAGCAGCAGUUCAGUAAAAGCUUAUCAACAGGUUGGUUAACAUGAUGAAAUUUUUUCUUUUUCCUGAUCCAAACUCCAAAGGGUCGUUGAUUCAUUGACUUAUUUGUGUUUGUUUUCCAGAAAGGGAUGAUGCAGAGGUGGUGAAGAUGAGGUUAAAGCAGUGGGCGCUAUUGGUUGCCUGUGCGGUCCGGGAAUCUUCUUCUUCCGGAAGAUAAAAAGUCGAUCAGGAGUUCAUCUUCUGUUACUAAUUUCGAAUUAAUUAUCACAAAUUGUAAAGCUUCUAUUUCUCAUUGUAAAGUAAAGGGAAAUUACCAUGCACCAGAAAGUAUUAUAAUUUUAGCUCCAACACAUUGCUUUGGUAAGCAAAUAAUAUAGUUCUUCUGCAAAAUCCAACAAAUCUUCCUUUCCCAUUCAAUUGCCUUGAGCUUCCUCAUUAAUUUCCCUGAAAGGACAUGAAUAUGCAUUUCUAGACAUGUCUGGAAUACACAUUAAUCCAGUUGUUGACACAUCAGGGUCCGAGAAGGUUGUGGAGAGUCGAAUACCAUUUGAAACAACGACAUUUCAGUUUGGUGUCACGUCGCGAGUUCGACACUACUGACAUAUUUUUUAUCAUACCAAUUCUCACUCGACACAUAUGAAGUCAAUUGAUUGCAACUUUCUAACAAUCUUCUAUCCAAAAAUAUCAUGGAUUUUUUUUUUUCUUUGAAAAUAUCAGGAUCAGGAUUUUUUAUUUAUUGAAAAAUAUCAAAAGAAAAUCAUAGCUCUCAACAACCCUCUUCAUUUUAUCACAAACUCACCUAUCAUUUUAUCACAAACUAGACUUUUACCCAUGCAUUUGCACGGACUCAAAAUUUUCUAAUAAUACAGUUAAUGAAUCUCUUGGUCAGCUACUGACCAAGUGAACAUGACUAAUACAGUUAUUAUAUCCGGUUAUACAACUUACUACCCACUUUUCCUUUCUUAAUUAUCUCUUCAUUUUAUUUAUUUUGUUAUUUUUUUAUUUACCAUAGUAUCAUUUUUUUUAAUAGUCUGAAUUAGCUUAAUAGGAGUAUUAUUAACAAAACAAAAUUUGAUAAUUUCCAACUUGUUGGGUUUAUAGUAGUAGAGAAUAGAGAUUAGCUAAAAAACUUAACAGGGUCGCUUAUCGUAAAUCUCUGAUCUUUUCCCUUGCGAGCUCUCUCUUCCAUCAUGUGUCUUCCGUCGGCUGCAGUCUCACACUUGUCCUCUCUACACACGCAAGCAGACAAUCAACUCUCAAAAUAUCCAAACACACCCGCGCGUGAGAAACACUCGCCCGCACCGCCUAUCCCUCUCUCCCUAUCGGAUGCUAAAUAUUAAAACACAAAAUAUCUGGAUGACCUCGGACUCAAAGAAAGAUAUUUCGGAUAGCCGACGUGGCACCACUUGACACGUGGAAAAGGCAUGCCAUGUGGCCACUUUUAUGGGCCCCAUCACAAAAACUAAAAUAAAAUAAAGUCCCUCUUAUUCUUCUUGCAUUCUUCACACCUCUCCGGCGAGAUUAGAGAAAGAGAGAGAGAGAGAGAGAGAGAGAGAGAGAGAGAGAGAGAGAUUGAGCAAAACGCACCGUUUCGCAUUUCUCCGAUCAGAAAAAUAGAAACCUGCAAAUGGAAGAGCAGCUUAUCCCGCCGCUGAAAUCGGAUCCCGAGUUCACAAGCGAGUUGACUCGCACCAUUAUCUCCAACUCGGCCUCGUCCGCCUCCGUUGCUCUCGGGACUCCUGUGCAUGCAGCACCGGUAAAUCUCUGUUCUUCACUGUAAAUAUCGAUUUUGAGUUUCCGUCCUGAUUUUUCUUUUAAUUUAUUUUGUCCAUUGUGCUUUGAUGGCGCUUUGCAUGUCAUUUUUCUUUUUUUUGAAUCAGAGAAUUUUCUUUGUUUCUGGCUUUGAUUAGCUAGUUAUGUGUAUAUAUUUGUUUUUUUAGAAGAAAAAUGCUGGAUUAGAGAUGGAGAUCUCAUUUCUCUGGAGGUGUAAUUUUGGUUGAGAAAUAAAUGAUGUCAUUUCUGUUUUGACUCAUGUGGAAAGAUAUUUUGGGAUGGAUUCAGAGGUUCAUAGUGGUGAACAUGGUUUUCUGUUGAUUCUUUAGUUGAGUUUUCAAUUUUGAGCAAGGUUUUGAGUUUAGAAUUGAAUUCGUGUGGGAUUAUGAGUCCGGGAUCUGGUACUGAAUUAUGGAUGUUUUUCCUUCCUUAUCGAUACGACAGUUUGUUACCUAUUUAGGAAUUGAUUCAAUUGAAGGUGAAAUAGACAGUUUAAACUGAUUAGUUCAAGGGAUCUACAAUGUUGCCCUUCUGUAACGACCGUUUGUGGCCCACUUUUGCGCUGGCGUAUUCUAGAUUUCUCCACAUUUCUUACACAAUAAUCAUGAAAGUGAAAACAAACAAAUGUAUGUGCUGCCCGAGCUUAGCAAUAUCAAGUAAAUCUCUUGCAUCUUAGUUCCUGAUCCAUGCAUUCAAUGUAAUUUGGGAAUUUAGCUUUACAUAGACGUCCAAGUGUCUCCUCGCUCUCUAUUAAUUGUUUUUAUCUUUCAGUAAUUUAUUAUACAAUUUCUGAAUGCAGGUUCUAGUCUAUACUUUAUAAAUAACAAGCCCUAAGAUUUUUGUUUUGUUUUUUAUUGUUUUUUUUUUUUUUUUUUUUUUUUCGUUUUCUGCUAUUAGCCACAAGCCUACCACCUCUUCCAUCUGCUUGCCUGUGAAUAAUUUGAAAAAGAAAAGGUGUGGCUGGCGCCUACUACAGUUAACUAUUAUGAAUUUGCAAUUUUCAAAUUGGAAAUGAAUGUAGGAAAAGUUUAUUUUAUGGUUUUGUUCUACUUCAACUGUUGAAAUUUUCCUCAAGAUCUGAAUUAAGCUCCUUUCUUCCUUUUGUUCACUUGAUUGUGAUAUUCCAUUUCAGGGCAUACCCAUAGAGUGGACAAAUGAGAAGCAUAGAUCGUAUAUAAAUUCCCUAGAAACAUCAUUUGUUAAUAAGUUGUACCAGUCCAGGCGUUUGUGGGACUGCCAUCCACAAAUGUAUGUUCAGGGGGCACAUCCAUCACAAGAGUUGCCUUUCAGGACUUAUAAUUCUUCUGACCAGGUCCGGGAGUCAAAUCUGGUAUAUAACUGUUGUCUGUGUGAGCAUGUUGGUUUAUCUGGAAUCUUAUUCAUUUCCCUUCCUGUAUUUCUUAUCUUCUUGAAUUGUUGCAGUUCAUGGUUGUUCGAGAUAGGCGUUCUCAGAAGAUCAUCUCUCUAAGGAAUGAAACUCCGCUGGAAAGCACUGCUGAUUCUAACGUUACUGUGGAAAGGCCCAGGAUGGAUAAUAUUGUGUCUUGUUAUAAGGAGAUCCACUUAAGAAGGAAACCGACCUCAGAACACUUGGGUGUAACCGCAAGAAGUUCCGAGAAGAACCCUGCAUUUCGUCAGGAUUUAGUUGGCAGUACUGCAGGUAAUGCUGAGUCUGACUAAUUUUCCUUGACCUUGCAAAUUUGUCCCUUAAUUUUCUAAUAAUUUCGGUAAUUGCUUCCAAAACCAAUCUCUGCCUUACAUAAAGUUGCCAGAAGUUUCUCCGAUAUAUUGUAAAUUGCUUUCUGCAGUAUGCAAACCCCUCCAGCUUAUUUAUGUACAUUAACAAAAGCAGGAAGUUUUUUAUGUGUUGUUCUCCUGGACUUACCUCAUUUCUACUUAAACCCACCUACUCACAUGUUGGGAAACUUAGCAUUAUCUUUGAUCUUUCCACUCUCCCUGGAAUCAAUAAGGGUUCGGUAAUUGCUAAAUGCCUUUAAAUCAUUAAGGGUUCCAUUAGUUUCUUUGUUUGCUUUGUUAUUUCUAAAAAUUGGUAGCUUUGAGCAAAUUAGUAACUGAUUUUACUUUUGUUGAAGUUUUUGUGUGGAAGAUUAGUUUCAAGGCUAUUUUUAAUCUAAAUCUUUGUCUCUCAACAGAAGUUUCGGGUCAGAACUUUGUGGAGGAGGACCAUAGAGGGAAGCCAAGCUGUGAAUUCAUACCAAAAAGGCUUAGAAGGGCAGCCGAUACUUCCAGCAACGAUCAAGUAAUGUCCAUGAUUACUUCAAAAAGAAUAAUUUAAUUGCCUCACUUAUCAUGAUUCAGAUAACAUGAUUAUUUUUCAGUCUUGGUUAUUUGGGUACUUACUUUUGUUAAUUUGCUGGUAUGUCCUCUUUCCAGCUUGUGCCAUUGGGAUAUGAUACAAAAGAGGUUUCAAUGGCCCAUAACGCUCCCUCCAAAGGAGAAGAACAAGAGCAUCAUCAAUUGCUAUUGGAACACCAUGAGAGCUUCAUCUGUCCAAAAUCUAUCUUUACUGUUUCUUAGUGGGCAGCUUGGUUGCAAGUUGCAACUCAGUACUGGAGUUUAAGUAGAUACUGAUAGAUUGAAACAAACUGGAGAUAAUCUUAUUCUUUCCAUUCUCUGCUAUUUGCGGUAAUGCUAUCGAAAGACUAGGAAAUAUAUAUGUAUCUGUUAUGAUCCAAGUAUGGUGGUGGGUGGAUGGAUGGAUGGAUAUAGGGAGUAGGUUUAGUUGAUAAAUAGUAGUAGCUUUAGGUUUCUCGGUCAUUUGCCAUCACCUCACCAGUUUUGUUGUUGUUUGUGCAUUUCAAGUUGAAGUGCGCUGUUUAAAGAAAAUGUAGAAGGUAUGUAGUAGUGGAGUCUCCAUCCCAACUCCAUGUAUUACAUUUGUAUCUAAAGGCAUUUUGGCCAUUCGGUAGUAAACUCGUAAGUGAAUUUAGUCAUGCUCUCUGAUGGCAUGGUGAACCAUUGUACACUUGCCUCCUUUGUGUCUAUUAUGUAUGUUCUAUCAUGCUUUUACAUAUCAUACGGAUUCAUGCAAAAAUAGUAGUUAACGCAGAUCAAAAUAUGCUUUGAAUGAGUAGGAGAUAUGAAUAAUGUUAUCGAGAGAAGAAAAAGAUCUCCUAUUUGUGUUUUUGUUUUUGAAAAUAGAUCUCCUAAUGGUAUUCACAUAGAAUGAAACACACAUUUUUUUGGUACGUUAUGUUAGAACUUAGAAGAAUGAAGUAUACAAAGAUAACCUCCUCUAAAAAUAAAACAAAGAUAACACAGAAGCAUGUGACAUAUGCUUUUGUAGUUUUGUUAUUAAACACUUCCUUUCAUGAUGCCAUUUUCCACCACACUCCUCCCUUUUCAUGAUGCAGUUGCCACCACACUCUCAAGUCUUAACGACUCAACCUACCUCUGCAGAAUAUAAGCGCCAAAUUCAUCAAUUGAAUUAUUAAUGUGAAGUUUACACAAUGCGUGCUGUUUUGAGAGUUUAAUUAUUUAAAAUUUAUUUAUUAUUCAGUUUUUAACAUUAUCUCUUUUAGUUAACGAUAAAAAAAAAUGUUAUUCUUUUUAGUUAGAGAGAUCGAGUUAAUAAGAAAUCGACAUAAUGUCCAUAACAAACGUAUGACUGAAAAUUCUUCUAUGCACAAAUAUACAAAUGAAUCGAGCAACUAGUAUGACACGUAAACAUGACAGAUAUAUUUUCAAAGUAAGAUAUUACAUGAAAGCGAACAGCAAAUGCAUGCGAUUAGAUAUAAAAAUAGCAACAUAACUAGAGGUCUCAAUUCUGAAAGAGCAAACACUGAAAAAUGCGAACCAAAUUUUCAAAUCGUCAAGCUUUGAAAGUUUCCAAACUUUCCAUGUUUGUCCAACCCGACUCUGCCACCGUGGUUAUCCUUGCGUCUCCUCCAAAAAAACCCAAUUGAAUUCUCCGACUCUUCCACCUUGUUGACUUGAAACUAAAGCAAUAAAACCAAACCCAUUUCCUUCUCUCUCGAAACCCCCACGAUGCUUCUUCUCUGCUAAAACCCCCCAUUUCUUCUUCCUCUCUUUCUCGCCAAAACAAACCAGAGAGACCCAUUUCUUGAUGGGUGUGUUUUCGUUUCAACGAGGAUCGAGAACCGCGACGACCCACGAAGCCUUGCCGGUCUCCGGCGCCGGUGCUUCCUCGCCGGCGACGAACAAGCGACGAUGGUCCAAUCUUAUGCCGUUCGUCGUUGCGUUUGUGGUCAUUGCGGAGAUCUCGUUUCUGGGUAAGCUUGAUUUGGCGAACAAGGCUGCGUUGGUGGAUUCGUGGACGGAGUUGUUCUCGCCGAUUCCGAUGGUGAGUGGUCGUGAGGAUUUGGGCCUGGCCGGUGAUGAUUUGGGCCUGCUGACCUGUGAGGAAUGGUUGGAGAGAGAGGAUGCUGUUGAGUAUUCCAGAGAUUUUGCGAAGGAGCCUGUUUUGGUCUCUGGGGAUGAGAAGGUGUGUAGUUCUAUAAACUAGUUUGAAAUGUUUUCCAAAUGCUUUGCGUAUUGUGUUCUUAUUGUUUCUGAGUUUUCGGCUUUUCGGUUUGAUUAUGAUCAUGUACUUGUUGUUUGCAAGUUCUUGUUUUUAUCAUUGAGUUUGAGAAUUGGGAGGAAAAUUGGUUCUUAGACGACAUAUAUCCUUGUUAUCGAAAGAUGGAUAUGAAGGUUGGGUAUUUGCUUUCUUAACAUUAUGUUAGUGUUGGCUAGUUCUUGUUACACUACUUAAGCUAUUGAUACUUGAGUAAGAGGAGGAUUAUAUCGGUCAGUGUGUUAGUCUCGUGUAGAGAGUGGUGCAGCUAUGAUGGGACCUAGAACAUUUUAGUUGUUGGGUUGAAGGCCAUAUUUUAAUUACUGUUGAGCAAAAGAACGAGAAAGAUUUGGAUUGUGAUGACUCGAGAGAAUGGAAAGUUUGUGACUUUGUGCAAUGGACAGUAGUUGACAAAGUGUGGCAGUGAGGUAUUUUGUUGGUGAAGUUGAUAAUUCUUUUAUUCUUUUGGGUCACAAAGACCAUCUGUAGAACAUACCAUGUGCAGUGUUUGAAUUGGGCCUCUCUGUGUGUUUUGGUAGAAAGAAGGAAACAUUAGUUUUAUUUGUUCUUGAGGGAUUUUAUCAUGAGCCUUUGUAUAUAAGUGCGAUUCAAUAUUUUCAUGUCUUGCCUUUGUUCUUUAAUGCUUUCUGCUCACUUCUGCACAGGACUGGAAAUCUUGUUCUGUCGGAUGCCAGUUUGGAGACAAUUCUGGUAGAAAACCUGAUGCUGCAUUUGGUUUUGGUCAUCAAGAUGGGACAUCCAGUGUUCUCCGAUCCAUGGAAUCAGCUCAAUACUACGCAGAGAACAAUAUUGAUAAUGCAAGACGGUGGGUAAGCACGAUUUAAAAUGGCUGUUGAAUUCUUAAAAGUACCUUUUUUUUUCUUUCUUUUUUCUUUUUUUUUCUUUUCCAAAUAAACGUAUUAAUUCUUUGUUACAGGAAUUGCAGUUUCAUAGAAAAUCUUCUUCAACUAGUUUUAAGAUUGUUUAUGGUUUGGUUUCUCGCAAAAUGUGCAUAAAUUUGAAAAGCUUUUACAAAUGAUUUCAUUUAUUGUGUGUUGAAUAGCCAAUUAUCUGUCUAGUUGUUCAUAAUAUAUAACAAAUUUCGUUUCUUUCCAUGCUGUUUCCAAAUUAACAUUUUUAGCUUUAGAAGUUUACAAUAUCUUUACAUGAGUGUUAUUUCUUCAUCAAACUAUAGGAGGAAAUAAAGUAGCAUAUAGACAUUUAGUAUAUUCCUCAUUUCAUUAAGUAGAGUGUUCAGUUCUUUUUAUCAUCAAGUUCUGAACAGAACUUACAUGAUGGUCAUGUGUUGCAUUUUUUAUACAACUUUGCUCCUACAGAAAGAGUGUUUACUAUGUUUUGUGCUGUUUGUGUUGCAUAGAAACACUUAAGACCUGGAAUUGUGUUUAUUGAAUAAAAGCCCAAGCUUGUUGGUGGGUCAUACUGUUAUCAUGCAGUCAUUUAGAAUUACCUACCAGACCAUUUCUCAAUUACAUGGCUGAUUGUCCUUCUAGAGACCUUUUUGUGUUGUCUCCCUUCUGGCAGUUAAGGAGAUAGUGGAUCCUCCUCGAAUGUCAAUUUCAUUUCUGUUGGAAACCUUUUGGUAUAACUCAUAUUUGUAUUUAUUUGUUUCUGUGUAAUAGGAAGGGUUAUAAUAUUGUUAUGACUACUAGUCUCUCAUCGGAUGUUCCUGUUGGAUAUUUUUCUUGGGCCGAGUACGACAUCAUGGCUCCUAUCCUGCCUAAGACUGAGAAGGCCCUUGCAGCUGCAUUUAUUUCCAACUGUGGUGCUCGCAACUUCCGCUUACAGGCUCUUGAAGCUCUUGAAAAGACUAACAUCACGAUAGAUUCUUAUGGUGGUUGCCACAGGAACCGUGAUGGAAAAGGUGCGUAGAUUUUAAAUAUGCAGUGUCAUUCUACAUCUCUGAUUGCAUUGCUUGCUUGGGGUAUUCUAUAGGUUUGCAACAAACAAUGGCUGGAUUGUUGAGACAUUUUUGCAUUUGUGAUCUGUGUUGGCUUUGUAGAUAAUACUGGUUAGAUUUGGAUAGACAUAGAUUAACAGGCAUAUGGUUUUUUUUUUUUGGGUACCCUUGUCAUUUGUUUCAUUUAAGUUGUUUUCCCUGGCUUUAAGGACAUAAGAAUUUCAAAGUGGCUUUCCCGGAAAAUAUUCUUCAUCUCAUGGAUAAUUAUCUUAUUUAUCAGUUAAUCUUGCUAUAAGGUGGCAAGAAACCUAUAUUGAGUGAUAUCUGUUGAACUACUUUCAUGUUCUUGGAAUUGGAUUACCUUCAUUGAUUUUUUAUUUUAGUUUUUAUUUCCUUCAGAUUAUGUGGGGUAGCUCUAAUUUAAAUUGCAGUUAAACUUUUACUUGGUUUUCCUUCUAUUGGUUAGGAUCUCUAUAUACUUGCAUGCAUGGUGUGUAUGUAGACAUGGCUUGGUGAUAAAUUUUAUAUGGCUUUUUAGUAUUAUAUCUUACUCUCCUUAGCACUGUACUAUGAUUAAUUUCUUUUCCUUUAAACAAAUUUCAGUGGACAAAGUUCAAACUCUGAAGCGCUAUAAGUUCAGUUUGGCGUUUGAGAAUUCCAAUGAGGAGGAUUAUGUUACUGAGAAGUACUUCCAAUCUCUAGUUGCUGGUAUGAAACUACUCUCUCUGUCAUGCUGAUUUUGUAGUUGCUAACCUAGAGUUGGGAAAUCUCUGGGACACCAAAAUGGUUGAAAACUCAGAGAAAAGCCACCGGCAUCUCAUGGAAAAACUCUUCGUGACAUUUAGUCAAGCUUGAGAUUUCAAUAUGGAUGGAUUAUAUUCGCAUGUGCUUUCAUCUUUGAAUUUGCAAUGUUUAGCCUCUACGAAUUUAUAAGAUCUUAUGGUUCCUGUUUGUUACAUUUAAUAUGAGGACAAUUUACUACACAAGGGAAGAAAAUGCAUUUCAGUGGCCUAAAGAAUAGUUCUAAUCUGCAAUACUUAUGUUUGGCAAAAGAUGCUGAUGGUGGAUGUUGAUAUUCCUUCAGGAACUAUACCUGUAGUUGUCGGUCCUCCAAAUAUUGAAGAGUUUUCUCCUGGUCCUGGUUCAAUUUUAUUUAUAAAGGAGCUAAGUGAUGUUGAGUCAGUAGCCAAAACCAUGAAAAAACUUGCAGAUAAUCCUGAAGCAUAUAAUCAGUCACUGAGGUAUGUUUGUUCCCUCCUAAUUGAAACUCUGAUCUUCCAAAUCCUAUUGUUUAUGUUAAAGAGAAAAAUGAGGGCCAUUACUGUGAUUUGUUUUUGGGGAUAUGUUGUAGUGUCGCUGUUUUCAAAGUUUGUUUCUUUAUGAAGAUGCUAACAUGUUGAGAUAUCUGAUUACUAGAUGGAAGUAUGAGGGCCCAUCUGAUUCUUUCAAGGCCCUUGUGGACAUGGCAGCAGUACAUUCAUCAUGCCGUCUUUGCAUUCACUUGGCCACAAUGAUUCGAGAGAAAGAAGAAAGCAGCCUAGAGUUCAAAAGACGACCUUGUAAGUGCACCAGAGGUUCAGGAGUUGUGUAUCACUUAUAUUUGAGAGAAAGAGGCAGAUUUGAGAUGGAAUCCAUUUACAUAAGGUAACUUUAUUUUUUUUUUAGAACCUGGCCAGAUGGAAGUAUUUUCAUCUCCUUGCAUGACUCAGAUGUCCCUAAAAUUCUUAUAUCUGAUUUUGCCGGGCAGGUCGAGCAAUCUGACUCUUGAGGCCUUUGAGUCUUUGGUGCUCACAAAGUUCCAAUCGCAGAAACAUGUGCCCAUUUGGAAAGAGGAAAGACCUGAAGUCUUGAGAGGAGGAGACAACUUUAAAGUCUAUAGAAUAUAUCCUGUUGGUUUGACACAGAGGCAGGCUUUAUAUACCUUCAGAUUUAAAGGGGAUGCUGAUUUUAGAAGUCACGUAGAAAGCAACCCGUGUGCGAAGUUUGAAGUCAUAUUCGUGUAGAUAUAUGCAUUGUCACCUUUAAGCAAGGAUAUGUCAACUUUUAGUCAUUCUCCAUUGAUACAUUUACGGAGAGAUUGAGGUGAUCACAACACAUUCGGGCAACUUUGUUAUGUCCUCAUUUACACGUUGAUUGUUACAGGAGUCUUUAGGAAGAAGGUGAUAGACUGUACGUUGAUGAUAUGACCAGCUAAUUGUGAACCCUUGACAAAUAGGGGAGAAAAAAAAUCGUAGUCCAGAUUUACACAUCUUUUCUGCCUUGUAGUAAAUGGAGCUGAUUACAAACGUUCGACUGUUUAUUUGAAAGUUCUCAGGGAAUCCUUAUUUUAAGGUAAUCAUUCAAUUUCUCAAAUCAGACUUCAUGAUUAGAUCAUUGUAUAGAGAAACUGUCAGAUUUUACUUUCUCCUAACAUUCUUCACUCCGCUUCAUUUCUCAACUAAUCAAACGGUUUUAGAAACCUGUUGUGUUGUGUUUUGGCUCGUUGAUAUGAUUUGGAAGUUAGGAUUCAGUAAGCAAAUCCAAGUCCAGAAAGGAAAGAGGUUUUUUCUAUAAGUUCUAGGAAAGUAAUCUUUCAAGAUCUGUUAGGAUUUUGUUUGUUAGGUUUAGGAGUCCUAAAACUUUAUUGUAUCAGCAGCCCCUAUUCACUAGAAAUAGGAGCUGCAGGGGUUUUUUAAGGUUAAAGAUAGAGAGCACAGAAAACCGAGAGCUAAGGGUGAUAGAGAGAUCUAGCAGGGAGUUGGGGAUUAGCAUAGAGAUUUCAAUAAGUACUUGUAAUCAGGUUGUUAUUCUCCAUAGUGCUAGUGAUCUCUCAAGAGAGAUCACAUCAGUGGACGUAGGCCAGGGUUUUGGCUGAACCACUAUAAAAUUGUGUGUGCUGUGUUUCUAUCUUUAAGUUCAUCUAUCUACUUUGCUUAAGUCGUAAAGUACCAGUAAAGACCAGAAAAGAUCCUAGGGCGCUAACCACAAUAAGUGGUAUCAGAGGUUCGGCUCUGGUACUUUGCGAUGGUAGACAGCAAAGACAUGGUCGAAGCAGAAGAUGUGAAAUCGUUCAUUAAGCCCUUAAAUGGCAAGGAUGACUUCACGCUUUGGCGGAGGAGGAUGAAGAGUGUCCUGAUUCUACAAGAUCUGUACGAGGCUGUUCUCGGGAUAGAGAAUAAGGCAGUUGAUAUGGCAGAUAAGGUUUGGCAGAAGAUGGACAAGAAGGCAAGGAGCACAAUAGAGUUGCAUCUUGCAGAUCAUGUACNNNNNNNNNNNNNNNNNNNNNNNNNNNNNNNNNNNNNNNNNNNNNNNNNNNNNNNNNNNNNNNNNNNNNNNNNNNNNNNNNNNNNNNNNNNNNNNNNNNNNNNNNNNNNNNNNNNNNNNNNNNNNNNNNNNNNNNNNNNNNNNNNNNNNNNNNNNNNNNNNNNNNNNNNNNNNNNNNNNNNNNNNNNNNNNNNNNNNNNNNNNNNNNNNNNNNNNNNNNNNNNNNNNNNNNNNNNNNNNNNNNNNNNNNNNNNNNNNNNNNNNNNNNNNNNNNNNNNNNNNNNNNNNNNNNNNNNNNNNNNNNNNNNNNNNNNNNNNNNNNNNNNNNNNNNNNNNNNNNNNNNNNNNNNNNNNNNNNNNNNNNNNNNNNNNNNNNNNNNNNNNNNNNNNNNNNNNNNNNNNNNNNNNNNNNNNNNNNNNNNNNNNNNNNNNNNNNNNNNNNNNNNNNNNNNNNNNNNNNNNNNNNNNNNNNNNNNNNNNNNNNNNNNNNNNNNNNNNNNNNNNNNNNNNNNNNNNNNNNNNNNNNNNNNNNNNNNNNNNNNNNNNNNNNNNNNNNNNNNNNNNNNNNNNNNNNNNNNNNNNNNNNNNNNNNNNNNNNNNNNNNNNNNNNNNNNNNNNNNNNNNNNNNNNNNNNNNNNNNNNNNNNNNNNNNNNNNNNNNNNNNNNNNNNNNNNNNNNNNNNNNNNNNNNNNNNNNNNNNNNNNNNNNNNNNNNNNNNNNNNNNNNNNNUUGGUGUUUGCAAACUGAACUUCUGCAAGAAUGGUACUCUUGGGAAGCAGAAGGUGGCAUUCAAGUUGGUAGAUUGUGAGAACAAAAGCAAACGAUUGCUGGAUUAUAUUCACUUAGAAGUAUGGAGCGCAACACAAGUAAGGCGUAUGGGAGGCUUCAAGUACCUUGUUACUUUUCUAGAUGAUUUUUCAAGGAAGAUUUGGGCCUACUUUAUGAAGGAGAAAUCCGAGGUUCUCUUCAAGGUCAAGAAAGGGAAAAGCAAAGUAGGAAAUCUAGAAGUUAGAAAAAUCAAAUAUUUGAGAAGCAAUGGUGGCAGUGAAUAUAGAAUGAAAAGGUUCUUACAGUUUUACAAGGAUGAAAUCACAAGGUGCAUCACGGUGAAGGAUAAUCUCCAGGAAAACGAGGCUGCUAGAAGGAUGAAGAAAACUUUUUUUGAGAAAGAAAGAGGCAUGCCACUGCAUGCUGGGUUACCAGACACGUUUUGGAAAGAAGCAGUUAACCAUGCGUGUUAUUUGGUUAAUCGGUCACCAUCAAAGGUCUUGGACUUCAAGUGUGCAGAGGAGAUAUGGUCAAGAGAACUAGCUGGGUAUUCUAACUUAAGGAUGUUUGGUAGCAGUGCGUAUGCUCAUAUUUCGAACAAUGAGCAAACCAAACUCAAGCCAAAUUUUCUAGGUGUUGAGAAAGGAGUAAAGGGCUACAAGUUAUGGAAUAUUGUCAGCAAGAAAAGGGUUCUAAGUAGAUAUGUUAUUGAUGAUAAGACUGUGCCGUUUAAUGAAGUAAAGACAAGUAAGGUGAAGACGAAGACUGAUGUUGGUGUUGUAGAAGAAGCAACAGAAGUUCCUCUAACCAAAGAGAUCAUGGAAGAGACUCCAGCUCAGGUGGAGCAAAUUGAGCAGGUGGAGCAUGAUAAAGGGGUUAUCGAGGUAGAAGUCUUAGAGCGGCAACAACAGUCACUAAUACAAUCUCAGGUGGAGCAAUUAGCACUGCGAACCUACGACUCAGUUCGUCAGUCGCUUGAGCAGGAGUUCCAGAGAAGCAUAGCAUUGGACAAGUAUGCUCUAAGUUUCAGUCCAGGAGAUCCAACCACGUAUCAGGAAGCUAUAGCAAAAUAUAUACGGGAAAGUUGGAUGGGAGCUAUGUUGGAACAGAAGAAGAAGUCCAUACCAAAGGACUUGGUUCAGGAGUCGGUUCCUAAACCCAAAGAAGGAAAUCUGGUUGGCUGUAAAUGGGUUUAUAGGAAAAGGGAAGAAAUGCAUGAUAAGGAAGCCAUGAGUUGCAAAGCUUGGGUAUUGGCUAAGGAGUAUGCGCAUAAAGAAAAGGUCAAUUAUGACAAAGUCUCACCAGCAGAGAGAUGCGUUUAUCAUCAUGUGUUCAAGGAUAGUGUGAUUUUACUAUCAGGUGACGUGUUAACUACAUGUCAGGAUGUGUCUAGAAUUCCAAAGUUAAAGACACAACUAAGGAGGGAAUUCGACAUGAAGGGUCUAGAAGCUGCACAACAGAUCCUAGAAGUGAAGGUAAGGAGGGACAGAGAAGCAGGAAAAUUAUGGCCGUUGUCUGAACCCAUGUCUACUCCACCAGUAGCAGCACACUUUCAGUUUAGUGUGCAGGGGGGAUCAUCUACAGUUGAGUUAGAUGAGAAGAUGCAUGUGUCUUAUGCAAGAGUAGUGGGAUGUCUUAUGGCUAGAAUCUUCAAAAGACCAGGUUUAACUCAAGGAUUGAGCAUUGUGUCAAAGUAUGUGGUGAAUCCGGGUAGACAAUACUGGCAAGCAGCGACGUGGAUUCUGUAUUACUUGAGAAACACAAAGGAGCAUGAAUUUCUGUUUGAAAGACAACAAGAACAAGCAUGCAUUGCUGGUCAUGAGAGGUCGGAUUUGGCAGGAGACUUAGACAAAGGAAGAUCUGCAACAAGUAAUGUAUUUACUUGCAACAAAGGUUCCAAAAGUUGUAGAAAAACUAUGGAAUCAGCUGAGAUAUUGUCUACCACUGAAGUAGAUUGCAUGGCAGUAACAGAAGCUUCCGCAGAUGCGUUAUGGCUUAAUGGGUUAAUGAGUGAGUUUGAGAUUCAACAAGAAGCUGUGGUGAAGAAUGGUGUCAUCAAUUUGACAAGGAAUCAAGUGUUUCAAGCAGAGAGUGAACAUGUUGAUGUUUGUGGUCAUUGCAGCGAAGGUUAGGUGAGCUCAGGGAAGAUAACAACUGAGGAAGAAGCACAUUCGAGGGAGAAUGUUUCAGAUUGUUUGACCAGGACCAUUGCCAUGGAGGAGUUCAAGUGUUACUUGAACUUGUUCGAUCUCACAGCUUGUUGAGAUUGAGGUGGAGCACCUCCUCACUUGAGGUGCGGUAAGGCAAGAGGAGUCUUGCCAAGGUGAAGGUUCUUGGAGGUUUUGUUCAGGGUUACUUCAAGAAGAUUCAAGAUAUCCUGAAGGGUGCAACAAUCAUUUGGUAUCAACUCACCAAGGUGGAGAUUGUUGUGUUUUGGCUCGUUGAUAUGAUUUGGAAGUUAGGAUUCAGUAAGCAAAUCCAAGUCCAUAAAGGAAAGAGGUUUUUUCUAUAAGUUCUAGGAAAGUAAUCUUUCAAGAUCUGUUAGAAUUUUGUUUGCUAGGUUUAGGAGUCCUAAAACCUUAUUGUAUCAGCAGCCCCUAUUCACUAGAAAUAAGAGCUGCAGGGGGUUUCUUAAGGUUAAAGAUAGAGAGCACAGAAAACCAAGAGCUAAGGGUGAUAGAGAGAUCUAGCAUCAGCAGCCCCUAUUCACUAGAAAUAGGAGCUGCAGGGGGUUUCUUAAGGUUAAAGAUAGAGAGCACAGAAAACCGAGAGCUAAGGGUGAUAGAGAGAUCUAGCAGGGAGUUGGGGAUUAGCAUAGGGAUUUCAAUAAGUACUUGUAAUCAGGUUGUUAUUCUCCAUAGUGCUAGUGAUCUCUCAAGAGAGAUCACAUCAGUGGACGUAGGCCAGGGUUUUGGCUGAACCACUAUAAAAUUGUGUGUGCUGUGUUUCUAUCUUCAAGUUCAUCUAUCUACUUUGCUUAAGUCGUAAAGUACCAGUAAAGACCAGAAAAGAUCCUAGGGCGCUAACCACAAUACCAGUCGUAAGUUUUGUAGUAGUUUACCUCAUACUAUUAGAUUUCCUAGUCUGAUUGCAAAUGUCCCAGGGCAAAGGAACUUGGCCAGCAAAGCCAAAAAACUGAUUACAAACCAAGGAAGCUCUUCUAAUGCUUUUAAGUUAAGGACUAGUUGAAGAAUUUUCGACUUAUCAUAUAUUUCGAUUUUAUAUCCAUAUCUUGACCGUUCAGUUUAUAGGUAUUUAUGAGUAGAUAUCUGCAAAUUUUCAGCCAUAUUGAAAAUAGUUAAGACAUUCAUAAGUGUGAUUUACCAAUUAUGAACUUGAACGUUUCAUGUUUGACAAAUUUGGUUCGCCCAUUAAUUUGAUCUAGUUUGUUACCUUAACGAUCACCGAUUUGGCUAAAAAUUUGUAUGACUGAUCUAUUCAUAUAGACCUAAAAACUAAACGGAUGAGAUGCCAAAAUGUGAUCGAAAAAUAGGUCUUCUAAAUCAUAAACCGAAAAGUCUUUAACUAGUCUUCAACCAAUACAUUAGUCUGCACAAAGAAAAGAUCCAUAAACGCAGUUUGCCACUGUAACUGUUAGAACAAGUGAACAACCACUAAUAGUAGUUACAAAAUCUAAGAUCACUCGAUAAUCUUAAACAAGUAAUCUGAUUCUAAAACCUUCUCCGGCUUUAGGUCACUACCAAGACAAGCACUUUAGCCGACGAAAAAUUUUCGUCGGCCUGUUAUCUUAAUUCGUCGGCUAAGAUCUUAGCCGACGAGCCUAUGUCGUCGGGAAAAGGUCGUCGGUGAUGACUUUAGCCGACGAAAUUUUUAUUUUCGUCGGCUAUAGUCCCACAGUUAGCCGACGAAAAACAUGUCGUCGGUUUUUUUCCCAGACUUUAGCCGACGAAACAAUUAAUAUAUUCGUCGGCUAAAGUGUGUAAUAAAUAAUUAAAAAAUAACUAUAGCCGACGAAAUUUACUAUAUUUCGUCGGCUAAACCUUAUAAAAAUUUAAAAAAUAACUAUAGCCGACGAAACAUGCCAUAAUUCGUCGGCUAAAACCUUAUAAAAAAAAUUAAAAAUACUAUAGCCGACGAAUAUAGUGUUUAAAUAUCGUCGGCUAAAGUUGCUGGGUUUUGAAAAAAAAACUGCAGAAACUUUCGGCCACCUCCAAUCACGACCAAAAUUUGACAGAAUCUUCGUCUCAACAUUUCGAACAACUUUCUAGAAGAAAUCGAAACUCAAUUCUAAGCCUAAACAGGUCAAUCGACUCAAAAUAUAAAAAUCCCAAUUUUAAACCCUAAAAACUUCAAAUCUUCGAUUCUCUUCACACACACCGAAUCGAGCUACCAAAUUCUAGGGGAAUGUAGUACUAAUCAAACUCAACUUAUCCAUAUAUAGAACUCACCAAAUGGUGACCUAAGGAAGGAGAAAUUUGAUCGACACCGAAUACCGANNNNNNNNNNNNNNNNNNNNUUAUCCCUCAUGGCGGCGCCACUCGAUGCACCACCUAUCCAGCAAUGAAGUAGAGACGACGGCGAAGCUUUUGGGACAAGUGUGACGGUCUCCGGUGGCUUAACGGCGGAGCUAGGCCGAGAAGAAAUCUGGCAGAUAAUAGACUUCUUACCAUCCAUCUUCGCCUAUAUAAAGAACUUUAGUUGACGAAAUUCUUUAUUUUCGUCGGCUAAACUCUUUUGAAAAUUUUGGUUGACCGCCAAAAAAUUUUGGUUGAAAAUUUUGAAAAUUUUUCGACUUUAGCCGACGACUUUUCAUAUAUUUUCGUCGGCUAAAGUCCUUUGAAAAUUUUCCUCCAACUUUGGUUUACCGCCUAAAAAAUUUUGAAAUUUUGACCUUAGUCGACGACUUUUCAUAUAUUUUCGUCGGUUAAAGUCUAUAAAUUCACGAAAACACUCAUAUCUCCCCCUAUAUUAAGUAGUUUGGUCAAAUCUUCCACACGAAAAACUCUCACGUAGAUGAGACGCAACCACCUAUAUAAAAAUUUUGAGACAUUUACCUUCCGACGAUAGGGCUCCCCAUAAGAAAUAAUAACGGUAAAUAGGGUUGACCGCUACUAUCGGCUCUGAGACUUUACCCGAUUUACGUGAUUUUUGAACCAUAGCCGUAUUUCACCAUUCUGAACACAUCUUAUUUCACGAGAUUUUUAAUAAUUUUGCUUCCUAUGUAGAGUUGGUUCACAAAGUUGUAUAACCUACUAAACAAGUUAUACAAUAUUAGUAGACACGUUGUGAUUCCGAUGACUAAAAUUCACAAACCGAAAUUCGACCGUCAGAUAUGAUCAUUAUGACGAAAUAUGUCUAUGGUAAAAAAUUCAACUGGAUCCGACAACGUUAAGGGCUCGAUCGAAACGGUCAACCAUAAUCCAUCGUCACUUAUCACACGAAAACGCUCAUAUCUCCCUCUAUAUUACGUAGUUUGGUCAAACCUUCCACACUAAAAAACUCUCACGUAGAUGAGACGAAACUGCCCAUAUAAAAAUUUUGAGACAUUUACCUUCCGACGAUAGGGCUCCCCAUAAACCCGAAUAACAGUAAAUAGUAGACACGUUGUGAUUCCGAUGACUAAAAUUCACAAACCAAAAUUCGACCGUCAGAUAUGAUCAUUAUGACGAAAGAUGUCUAUGGUAAAAAAUUCAACUGGAUUCGACAACGUUAAGGGCUCGAUCGAAACGGUCAACUCUAAUCGAAAAUAAGAAAACUGCAUUUUCAAGCCCUAAACGGACUCGGAUGGCCAAAAAAGCCUAUACAUCAUGGCAUUAGCGAUGAGUCUGACUCGUAGCGCCGUUACGCUUCCGGAAAGGUAUCACAAUAGUCAAUCAGACACCAAACGCCAAAUCUGCAGCAUAGUGAAUAGUAAAGGUAAGUCAACUAUCAGCACCGAGACUUUACCGGAAUACUGUGAUUUUUCAACCGUAGUCGUAUUUCACCGUUCUGGUCAUAUCUUAUUUCACGACUUUUUUGCGUUUGAAGGUUCUACGUAUAGUUUUUUUUUCUCAGAUGAGUUGUUGUCUAGAUCUGCAAAUAUAAGUCCACUUUAGCCGACGAAUUAUAUUUUUCGUUCGGCUAAACUUUUAAAAAUUUCGUCGGCUAAAGUUUUAAAAAUUUUGUCGGCUAAAGUUCACAAACUAUAGCCGACGAAAAAAAUUAUUCAGCCGAUGAAAUAUUACUUUCGUCGGCUAAAGUUGACCAUAGCCGACGAAAAUUUUAAAUUAGCCGACGAAAAAAAAUUACGUCGGCCUGGUUUUUUUAUUUUCAUCGGCUAAAGCCUUUCUUCUGGUAGUGGGUCCCGGCAAGCUUGUUUCAAUCUCUAGCAUGACCUUUGUUGAUGCCAUGGCUGUUGGCUACUUGGCUUAGCAUCGUGGGGGUUUCCAGUUACCUCCACACUACAAGUGUUAUGCGACUCAAGCGAUUGAAGUUCUAUUCUUCCUCUUUCUAUGGCUAGGUUAUAUUGCUUGAAUCCAUAAACCCUAGAAGUGGGAUAAGCUCUUACAAAAUCGUUUGACACAUCUUCUAUUUAUAUUUUAUAAGAUUAAGAUUGUCUCAAUGAGUAGUACUACAACAAGACUAAGAUUUCAAAUUGAAAUUAGGAUAAUAUCUUAACAUUUUCUAACUCUUUCAAGAUAUUAUGGGUUCAGUAUGACUGAGCUCUUGAAGAGCUUAUAUGAAAUUUAUCAAUAUUGAUUAAUAUAUCUAGCUAGGCAGCCAGGUUCAUUUUCCAAGGAUUCUUUUGCUUAUUGGUGUAUGCUUAUUUCAAUUCAUUUUUUCUUUCAGUUAUAACAAAGAGAUCUCUAUAACAAAUUAUUUUUCUACAAGCUUUUCCAAUUUCUCCUCAAAUUACGAGAUCGAGCUAGUGUCUUUUUCUGGGGUUUCUAUAUACUGCCAUUUGCAGUUAAGAAUAGUUUGUCAUGCAUUUCUGGUAUCCUUCAAUUUUCUAUAUAUGCUUGUUUCUAUAUUUGCAUGUAGACUGUAAUGCACUGAUGCUUAUUUUGGUUAUUUGCCUUUGUCAAUAACAAACUGAGCAAUGAAAUUAGCUGUAAAUAGAAACUGCAACAAUCAGUUCAUUUUCUACACUAUAUAUUCAACGCCCUCAUGCCAAAUAACUUCACCAGGUGCAGUUCCCGCAGGACCCCCUAUAGCAAAAUCUCUUCAGCACAACAUAAAUUAUAGGGUUAAUACUAUAACUUGGAAUAUAUAUAGAGCUUCAAAUGGCUCCCAAUUUCUUUGUUGCGUCUGUUCUCCUCCUACAGCUUGCGGCAAUCGCCUUCUCCAUACGCUUGCCAUAUUAUGUAAGUUCUUAACAAAACACCCUCUUCUCUUAAACAUAGUAUACAUUUACUUCCUGUAUUUACUUAUGUCUUUGAUUUCCAUUUUGAAGUGAUAUAUACUUUAGAUAUGCAUGUCUCGUUUAAUUUUCUAACUAUCAAAAGGUACAUGUGUGACAUUAUUUUGUAUCAUAUAGCCACCACGGCCGGAUAAGGGUAUUCCAGGAGGUCCGGCGCUUGGACUUCCGGGAGGACCGGCAGCGGGGAUUCCUACGCAGCAAGAGGGUCCGGCGGGAGGAAGUACUACUGCACCUGGGGCAGCAGUAGGAGGAGCCAACAGCGGGAAGAAGUGGUGCAUUGGGAAGAAAGAUAUUUUGACAAGCCUUUUGAAGACUGCCUUUGAUGAGAUUUGCAAAGAGGUCGAUUGCUCGCCCACAGGACCAACAGGAAUAUGCUAUGAUGAAUCCAUUUGGUCCAAGGCUUCCUACGCCAUGAAUCUCAAAUAUCAAAAGAAUGGCCAAAAGGAUUCUGACUGUGAUAACCAAGGAACGUCACAUAUCGUCACCAUCGACCCUAGUAAGCUAUCAAUAUUGUUUUGCUUUGCUUUACUUACAUAUAUUGCUUAUUGUGAAGAAAAUUCAUCUAAUUUCAUUUCCAUUUUGUUUUUCUUUUUGUAGGCUGGGGAAAAUGCGUGUUGAUCUCUUCUUAAGAGUUGAAGGGGGAAGAAGUAGGUGUUGAUCGUGUAAUGUAUCAUCAUAAGUACUAUAAGCAAUCGACCUAGAAAAAGAAAAGGCAUAUAUGUACAAGUAACUUAUGAAUAAAUGUUGUGCAUGUUAUCAAUGUGAUAUAUUUUUCAUAGAAUAACAAGGUACAAAGUAGGACGAGCUACCAAACGAAACCUUCAUAUCCACGAACAAUAUGAAUGGAAUAGAUAAAAAAAUAAAGCCAAGCAAAUGGGGGAAGCAGAAGUUUAAACAAAGAUCAUAUAGAAUUGUUUUAGAAACGAGAAAACUUUCAUUAAUCGCACUCAAUUACAGUCGUUCAAUAAUAUAUCAACUAAAAGCCUAAGGGGAAAUAAAAGAAAAAUUACGAAGUCUAUUUCGAUGAGCUUUGCCAGCAAGAAGUAGCCUCGUUCUUCUCUUUGUAGAUCAGUAGAUGUUAAUCUCUUUGUAGAUAUGCAUGAAGUAGCAGCCAGGUAAAUGAAUAAGGGCUAUUCAAGUCUUUGUAGAGCAACCUAGCUCAAGUCUGGCCAAGUAAACCUUAAUAGUAUUUGGUGAACUUAAAGUCAUGCAUAUGGUAAUUAAGUUGUUUGGUAGAUUACAGAGAGGGUUAUAUAACUGAACAUAUAACUAGCUAGAACAAAGAUAGAUAGAGUUACAAAUUUUACAUUGUUUCCCAUAUACUCUCCAUGUCAUAAUAUUUACAAGUUUUUGAUUACAAAAGUGUGGAUCCUGCAAUUUAUUUCCUCUUCUUUAAUGCUCAAUUGUGGGAACUGGGGACUGAACUUUACUUCAGGUGGGUAUCAUAAUGUGGAGAGUUCAGUGGAAACGGUAUAGUCGAAUUGAGAUCAUGAGGUCAAGUUUAGAUCUGCUUAAUGUUGGUUUGACAUGGGAAAUUAUAUUCAGGUUGUCUUUGCCACAUAAAAAGUGUAGUAUCAAUCCACUGUGGAUUCACCAAAAACUUGCCUUUUUUUACCGCCCAACAUGACUUCUGUGUUCGAGCAUCUGCUGCAACCACAUGUGUGACUGAUGGAUCCACUUGUGUCGAACAAGUAGCUCCCAACUGCUCUGCCAAUUUCCACAAAGGAUGAGUGUCAGCCUUCACAUUUGAAGGCCAGAUAUGACUAAAUACUAAUUUACAUCCCUUCAACACUUCCUUCUGAAGGAUUUUCAAGACGGGCCUCACGUCUCUGUCGAUGAGAUCCCAUCCCUUUAACUCGACUUCAUUAAAGAAGAUGGUGUGGACAUGCCUAAGAAGUUGCAGUACACUUGCAAGAUAAGCUCCUCCAUACCGAUCACAUUCAUCGGUCUUCAACUCGGAAUAAGGCUUACUAUUACUGAUUCCAUAUUGUUGACAACUAGAACUGAUGCCAUAUUGUUGACAACUAGAUUUAAAGAAAUGAUACCUUGGCAUUACUAUUACAUUAUCCUGGUUGUUAUUUUGCCACACAUCUUUUGUAUCAUCAAGGAUGACAACAGCAGAUUCUCGGGCAAGCAUGUUAUCUAGAGCCUUCCGAUCUUCAUCUGUGCUAUCACUACGUGAUAUGACUCUACCCCCAAAGAUUUGAUUUGCAGGAUCAAGCAGCUUAGCCAUUUCUAGCGCAUAGUCUUGUGUACCCAUGGUGUAUAUAGACAGCUCAAACAUUUGACUGGCUUCCAUUAAAAACGUCCUAAUAUAUGGCCUCAACUUGGUCAUCACUUUCAUGUUGGGAGUAUCCACAAUGUGAACAUGUUGCAGGGAAUGAUCAGAUUGGGUUUGUGUCUUCAGAUAUUCUUCGUCUUGUGACAUCUUAUCAAGGGAAGUGGUAUUCAACAGGGUGUGGUCUAGAUCAAGAACCAAAUGAAGUUUCUUAUGGUUCAAUAAUAGAUUGUUAGUGUUUUGGUUGCGUAAUUGAUCAAUUACACCAUCACUAAGCCCUAACCCCUUGUGUAAGGACCCAUACCUCACUCCAGAAGAACUCGAUUUCUUGUAAUAUGCAAGUCUUGCUUCUUUUGAAAUUUCCUGAUUAGAGGUGUCUGUUAUCUUACGCCUUUUGGUCUUCUCUAUCGAAGCUAUUUCACUGUGAUCGGAAUCUAGUCGUCUUUUUUCGUAAGAAACCCAACAAGGUUAUCGAUAUUGUGCAAAAUUGGAGAGACGGUAGCCACGGUUUCCUGAUUAGAGGUGUCUGUUAUCUUACGCCUUUUAGUCUUCUCUGUCGAAGCUAUUUCACUGUGAUCGGAAUCUAGUCGUCUAUUUUUCGUAAGAAACCCAUCAAGGUCAUCGAUAUUGUGCAAAAUUGGAGAGACGGUAGCCACAGUCAUCGUGAUAUUGAUGAUGAUGAAUUUGUUACAGCAAAUUCAGUGUAACAAAUUCAGAGUUAAACCAAGAACACACGAUUUUGACAAUUAGGGUGUCGCUAUUUGAACUUUUUUAUUUAUAUAUUCAGUAUUACAGAAGAGAGAGGAGAAAUUUUGAACAAAUGCAGAAAUAUUGAAACAAUGACUGGUUUUCUUUCCCUUUUUGCAAAAGGGGAGAUUAGGAUUGCAGUGCGAUGAAGGGAAGCCAAUACGGGACUUGUAUAUAUAGGCAUUGUUCGUAAAUCAUAUGGUAGUGGGAUUAGGAGUACCUUAACAUACCGGGAUUCGGAUUUCGGAAUGCCUAUUGUUAGUGGGAUAUGAAUGCCUAGUUGGAAUAGGAGAAAGGAAUGCCUAGUUGGAAUAGGAGAAAGGAAUGCCUAGUUUGUUCUUCCAUCCCCAAUUUAAAAAAGUAAAAAUAAGCGCUUAUGUGUGGCCUAGCGCGUCUCCUAGAUUUGUACCUCCCAGAAUUUCAAAUCCGAAGUUUUCAUGGAGGCUAAACAUAACUCACCGCCCUAAUCUGCAGACUACAGAGCUCCACUCAAAAGCGGUCCAAAUCUGAAGCCUCUGCAACAAAGUCCACGCCCGCAUUAUAGUCUCUGGAUCUCACGGCAGCCGAUCAUUUCUCAAAUAACCGUGGCGAGUGUGGGGUUGCAUGGAUGUUGUUCGAUGAAAUGCCUAAGAGAGAGAGAGAGAGAGAGAGAGAGAGAGAGAGAGAGAGAGAGAGAGAGAGAGAGUAGUAGGUNNNNNNNNNNNNNNNNNNNNGAGAGAGAGAGAGAAGCGAUUGAGGUGUUUAAUGAGGUGAGGGAGUUGACACAUCAUUGGCGUAUUUCAUUGUCAUCAGGUUUCAGUGAUUUCUAUUGUGAACUGUUUAAUUCAUGAGCCUUGCUCAAUGUAGGAAUCACGUUCAAUUCUGGAAUGCUUUUGUUUUGUUACUGCAAAGUACAAGUUUUAAAUCUUUGGUUUAUUCCAUCUUAGCCUUGCUCGUUCAAUAAAUCCAGCUCUGUCAAGGCAAUGUAGUGGACAAAGAAAAAAUGGUUGUGGUUCUUUCAAAUAUUGGAAAAUUGUAUCAUGGAGGAAAACUAUAUCAUGGAAUGGUUGGUUGUCCUCUGAAGGAUCUAACGGACAAUGUUGAUGCUGGUACUUUUUUUCUUUCAAUAUUUCAUAUGCAUUCUGUGAGGAACAUCGUGUUGUUGAAUGUUGGUACUUGUUUCCAUAUUUCUCUGAUGAUUGAUGAAUAUGAUCACCACACCUAACUACUAUAUGCUAUUAACUUGAAUCUUGAAUUGAUCUGUUUAAACUUGAAUCUAGCCACCUCCCAAUUUGUUCUACAAGAUGGUUACCUUUGGCACACAUCAGAUCUUGAACUCUUUUUUAUAUCUGUGAAUUUGUGUUUUGUAUUCUGAACUCAUCUACUGUUCUAUAUAGAGGCCUCUUUACAAGUUAAUGGAUCUUAUUUUUACAAGGAUUUAGGAUAUUUUGACUCAUGUAAUCAGUAGUAGUAUAACUAGUAUUGAGAUCGAUUGUUCUAAUGGGUUUAGGUUUAUGUUGAUUAGGUGACUUUUGCAAAAUGUCAGUCUCAGUUUUUAUAUGUUUAGCUCCUGAAUUUUUUUAAGACAACGCUGGCUAUCAUGUGAUUCUGCAAUGCUGCUGUACUGUUCUUUGCUUAGUAAUUUCCAGAUAGUGAUCUCUCCUGAACGAUUUGAUAUCUCACUUCUCAUUCCGAUUUGUAUUUUCAUCUGUGUAGUUCAAUUUGUUAAGUAUAGAUUGCAAUCCGAACCUGAAUUUUGAUCAUGCAGAAAAUCGGCAAUACCUGUACUGGCUGUACUAGAUGCAAAAACUAUGUCCAUUGAUCCCGUGGCAGUUAUAUGGAUCCGAUUCCUACUUUGUGACAGAGGUCAGUGCCACUUCCAGUGUUCCUAAGAUGCUCUUCAAUUAUUAUUUGAUUUUUGCUUGGCUUUUGAGUCUGCUUUCCGAUUCUCGCAUUUAUAUGUCGUUCUACUUUUGCAUCUAUUUCUUAUAAUCUACAAUUGAUCAUUCUGACUUUGGAUUGACUUCUAAAAGAAAAAAGAAAAAAAAAAGGAUUAUACAUCUGCCAUAAGGAAGUGGAUUGGUGACGCUGUGAGAUAGAGGUAUAUAUAGAUUCAUCAAAUUUAAAUUGUUCACAAGGGUAGUGGGUUGGUUAGUAGUGGUAAGAAUCAUCGUGAGAAAUUGUCCCGUGAUCAUUGUCAAACAUAUUUAAUAACUUCAUCACUUUAAAGCUUAAUUUUGCCUUCAACUCAAGUUUCUAUAUCCACAAGAUUUGAAGACAAAACUUAUUUUUGGAAUUUUGGAUAUAUAUAUAAUAUAUCACAAACAAAGAUUCAGAUAAAGUUUAUUUAAUAAAAUAAGGGGGAUUUUCAUAUAUACUCAAUUUUAAAGAGUGGUUUUAAAUAAAACCCACAUAAUAUUCUUUUCUGAUAGACAUCUAAAAUGUAUCAAUUAUGAUACAUAUUAUGUCCUAUUUUUUCUAAAUUUUACACAAUUGCCACCAUUCAACUAUAACAUAUAAACAUAAUAAAUAAUCUUAAUUGAUGUUUUCUUAAAUACCUUGAUUAUGAGUUUUUCUUUUAACACCAACAUUUUUCAAUCAAUUUGCAAAAAUCAUGCGGUUUUUUUUAUUUUUAUGAAAAAAUCUAGGUGAAAUGAAUACAUUCUAUGAUCUAUACAUAGGGUAAAAUACAAUAUAAAUAAGAUAUCUGAUUAUUUGAGUAAAAAGAAAAAAAUUUAUAAUGUUACCGUAAGCCCUAAGCCCUAAGCUCUAAACCCUAAACCCUAAACCCUAUACCCUAAACCCUAAACCCUAAACCCUAAACCCUAAACCCUAAACCCUAUACCCUAUACUCUAAACCUAUACCCUAACCCUAUACCCUAAACCCUAUUAACUUAACCCUAUACCCUAAACCCAAUUUUGGGUUUUUCUUUUUAGGUAUAUUAUCAUAUCAUGUUAGAAAUGUAAAUGUUCUCUCGAUCAGGAUGAGAAAUGAUAUAAUAAUAUACCUAAAAAUAAGAAAAUUAAUCAAAGAACAAGAACGUGUACCUUACAAUCAGACAUUUUUCGACUAUGUAGAGAGAGACACCAAAUGUGAGCUUAAAAAUGAAAAGAAUUAUUCUAUUACAAAUGACAUACUUCUAUAUAUAACAUAUAUAUACACUCAAGUUAGUAAUAACAAGGUAAGAAAUUAAAGAAUGUAAUUGAUUAUGAUAAAGUUAAAUCCAACUAAAUUUUAGCUUAAUAUUUGAGUUUCAAAUUGAUGCUAAAAUUGAGAAAGAUACCAAAUUUAGCUUUAUAUCGUCUGAAUGGCAAAUCAGAGAAACUAGAAAAUGAAGAAAACUAUUAAUUAUAGACAUAUGCUCUAUAUAGUAAGUUUGCUUAUGUGGAGUGGGUGUAAAAUGAAAAAAAAAUAUGUAUGAGUUUAUCUUAAAAGAGGUCUAGUAUUUUGGGUUUUUAUCUAAUUUUCUUAUAAAAUAACUGAAGUGCAUGUUUGCCUCUGUAGUCUGUACUAUUGCCAAUUUGCCAGUCUUGGGUGAUUUCUUUGACCCUAUCGCUCUUUUGUUGAAUGGAAUCUUUAGUGGAAAAACUAUGCGCUAUGUAAGUUGGUAGUUUGGUACUAAAGCAUUCGACCUCUCGAACUACUUCAGACUCUGGAUGUCAAAAAGAGGGCAACUUGAUCGAUAUGGAGUGCCAAGAUGGAACCAACUCUCGGGCCCUUGGCGACAUCUUUUAUGAACAACUUGCAAGCAGAAGUUGAAAAGUAUGAAGUAUAUCAACUUGCUAGUAAAAGUUGAAAACUAUGACUAUCGAUAGGAGCACAAACGACAGUUUCAUCCCCAUCCCCUUGUCUACUUUUACCAGAAAAUGAAGUGGUUAUCUGUAUGACUUGGAUCUCUUCUUCGUUCUGUUCUGCAAAUGUUGUUAUAGAUUGGAAGACCGUAAACGUGCACUUCAUUUUCUUGAAGAUUAAUGAAACUAGAAUGUCCUAUUCAUCUAGUCAAAUCAUAAUUUCAUAUGACAGAAAAAUCUCCAUACUAUGCUAGUUUACUUCCUUUUAUAAAUACAAAAGUCUGUCAAUGUAGUUUCCAGCGUUUUACAUGGGAUUAGGACUUGUGCUACUGAUUCUCGAAUUGUAUUGUUGUUUACCGGCUUUGUUCAUAUUUUUCAUCAGUUUAAUAGCAGAUUUAAUGUUUAAAUCCCGUUUGACAAGAUCAAACAAGUAUUUGGUUUUCUGUUUGAUUCGGUUUAAUGGCGUCUUAUUACCAGGGACACUUGUAAGGUCUUCGAAGUCACCUGAGGGGUCUUAUCAACCUCUAUUUGAUUAUGCUGUAGUCCGUCAUGGACUCUGUCAAAGACAGAGAUGUUUUAUGUUUUAAUUUUAAUUUGUCACAUUAUAGAAAUUGACUUAUAUUUAUUGAUGGUGAUACUAUGACCUGCAAAUGUUUUUAUUGCUUAUUUACAAUUCCUUAAGAUUAUCCUCUCAAACUUCUAACCCUGUUCUUCUUUUCAUCUUUCCUAACUUCUACUAAAAUCUUGUCGAGAGUUAAAGAGCUAGGUUGGGAGGCAAAUGGGCGGUUAUGAGGGCAAUGUUAGAGUUUCACUUUCCAAAUUCCUAUUCUUGUUCAACUUGUUUCAGUCACAUAAUUGCUAUUCAAUUUAUAACAUAACUGCAACCCAAUCACUGUCACUUGGACAAACUCUUAUCUCCCCCAGACAAGAGUUUGAAUUAGGCUUCUUCACUCCUAAUGAUUCUAGGAAUCAAUAUGUGGGUAUCUGGUAUAAGAAAAUUUCUACUGGAAAAUCUGUAUGGGUGGCCAACAGAGAAAAUCCAAUUACAGUUUUAGAUCCUCCAGCUAGUCUAAUAAUCAGCAGCAAUGGAAAUCUGGAGCUCGUAGAUGGAAAGCUACAGUCCUUGCGGUCAACCAAUAUAAGUGGAGUAGCAUCAGCAUCAGAUCAAAUAGUAAUAUUACCACCUUUGUUGUCCUCUCCGACGAUGGAAAAUUGAUCCUCAAAGAUGGCUUAUCUGUGGAACCUUUGUGGCAGAGUUUUGAUUAUCCUGGUGAUACUUUCCUACCACCAAAUACAGCACUUGGGUUCAAUACUAAAACUGGAGAGAGACAUGUGUUGACUUGCUGGGCAAGUAACACUGAUCCAUCCCCAGGAAAAUUUGUUGUUGGAACUGUGCCACAGAAGCCACCAGAAGCAUUCACUUGGAAAUUAGAUUCAUGUUCAAUGCCAUACUGGAAAAGUGGACCAUGGGAUAAUUCGAUGUUCAUUGGGAUACCGAUAAUGGAUUCAAACUUUGUUCAAUCUUGCAGAAGAUGCAGAGAAGGGAACUUCAUAUUUCUCUUUUAAUACAUACAACAGCUCCACUGUCUACAAUCUGGUGAUUUCACCUGAAGGCAUUUUAAAGCUACUGAGUAAGAGAGAAGGCAAAGAUUGGCACUUAGUUUGGGAGGCUCCGAAUAAUCCAUGUGAUAUUUAUGGGCGGUGUGGUCCUUGAAACCUCAAGUUGCAAGUGUUUGGAAGGGUUUGUGCCAAAGUCAGAGGAAAAGUGGAGCAAAAAUAUCUGGACAGAAGGGUGCGUGAAGCGAACUAACUUAUCUUCAUGUGGUAAUUCAUUGCAAGGGAAAAGAGAUGGAUUUAGGAAGAUGGAUGGUAUCAAACUCCCAGAUUUUUAUGAAUUUGUGCAGCUUGGUCAGAAAGCUGAAAAUUGCCACAUAUGGUGCUUGAAUAACUGUUCUUGCUUGGCAUAUGCAUAUGUAAUUAAUAUAGGGUGUUUGGUCUGGUCCAGAAGCCUUGUUGACAUCCAACAGUUCUCCUCUGGUGGACAACAACUUUAUUUCCGUCUCGCACAUUCAGAACUAGGUAACAAUACCAGUGCUGGUAUCGAAUAAUACUUGGUUAUGGGAUAGGAUAAUGCUAUUAUGUUGUCUCUCAAAUAAUCAAACCACUUCUGAUAUUUUGUUUGCUUCAAUUUUCAGUUGGUGAUAACCAGACACGGAAACCAUCUAUAUUGUUGUAGCUGUUUCUGUCGUUACCAUAUCUGGAGCCAUCAUAAUUUUCAUAUUCAAUAAGCGCAGAGCUAAUAUAUGAAUUCCUGCAGAACAAAAGUUUGGACACUUUCCUGUUUGGUUGGUUUCUCUAAGCCUUUAUUACUGAUGCUUCUUUGUUAUGUGAUUCUAGCAUCUCUUUCACACCCUAAGAAAUUAGAACUGGUAUUAGUACUACUGCAUUAUAACAAUUUUUCGUUUUAAUUAAUGCAUUUCUAUUAUCUUUUUUUAUCUUGUUUUUUCAUAAACUUCGUGAAAUCACGAUCAUUCACAGAUGAGUAACAACAGGUUCAGUAAAAUGAUCACAUGAAUAUAAUAUAACACUAUAACAGUGAUGAUUAAGAAGUCACAAUGUAGGAGAGAUACAAUUAAUUAAGAAUAAUAUGACCAUGACUACUACUCUACUAGGCAGAUAAAGACAAAUUGGGAGGAAAAAAAAACAUGAUAGAAAAAUGCAAAUAUCAUGAAACUUGAAAGAUGUACUUCACAAUGAUCUUGUUGUCACAUAAUUUGUAGAAGAGAUGCAAAUAAGUAUGUAAGAAUAUGAUGACCACUUUGUCAUUUCUAUAUGAUGAAUUGAGGCCAGAAGAAUCACUUGAUUAACUUAAGUUGUGAUUUUAUUAUAACUACAAAUGCUUAUGUGUUUAUUUCAGUUUUGUAGAUAUGGACCUAAGAUAUCAGGAGAAACUAAUACCUAAUUAGGAUGCGGUUAAUCGAGUCUAAUUUUUAAUCCCAUCCCUCUAGUAGUGAUCUUCACCCGUAUGAAACUAACCCUCUUAAGAAGCUAAAUGAUAUUAGGGUGCAAUAUGAGACUCAAAGAAAACUCAAAUACCUGCAAUAACCUGCUUGAAGAAAGCCAAAAAUGUUAAUUAAGCACUGUAAUAGGAACAGUGGGUUAGAAUUGCAUCAUGGGUUGAAGUAUUAUAUACUAAGCAUCCUUGCGAGUAAGAUCUAGAAUAUUUGUGCAUCUAACAUGUGUCUAACACGCAUAUUUAUACAAAAUAACAUAAAUUUCUAUGAUUCUCAAACAACUAACAACAUCAUUGGAGUGAAUCAUAGUGAAAUAUUAGUGUCACCAUGCAUUUCUUCAUAGUUAAAUUUACAUCUAAUUAAUAAUGGUCAGCAGCUUCAAUAUUUUUGAGCUAUGUUAAUCUUGAUAGAAGUUCUAGCAAUUUAGUUGCAAACACUUGUUGAUUCUUUUGUAUGUCAACUAGAAUUAUUAACUUCAUCACUUCAAAGCUUAAUUUGGGUGUGAUCAAUCUAAUGUAUGUCAAACAUAAUUAACAACUUCAUCACUUUAAAGAUCAAUUUUUCCUUCAAGUCAAGUUUCUUAUAUAUGACAAGAUAUGAAGACAAAACUUACCACAUUUGGUUUGGAUAAAUAUAUCACAGUCAGAUGCAAGUUUAUUUAAUUUAAGAACAUAGACUGAAGUCAGUGAAAUGAAUAUUUCCUCUGUAGUCUGUAUUAUUGCCACUGUUGAUUUCCUUGACCUUAUUGCCACUCUUGGGUGAUUGCUUUGACCCUAUCACUUUUUUUUAGAAGAAAAUUCAUUAAUAAUCAAAAGAAAUUACAGAACAUUGAAAUAACCGGUUGUGAUGCCUACACCACAACACAUAUUCAUACUAAGAUAUGUAGUUACAGGUCCGUCACUAGGGGCAACAUCGGGUCCGUCACUAGAAACAACAUCCAUGAGCCAAAAGAGCCCAAUCCCUAACCAAAUUUUACGUUUGACACGAGCUACUCAAACCUAAGAGUAACGAUACAACUUUACCACUAACAAUAAACUGAGUCAAUUAUUUUUCUUCAACACCUUGCCCCUCCUGGGUGAUUGCUUUGACCCCAUCACUCUUUUAAACUGUUUUGUUGAAUGGAAUCUUUAGUGGGGAAACUAUGUGCUAUAUAAGUAUUGCCACUCUUGGGUGAUUUCUUUGACCCUAUCACUAUUUUGAACUCUUUUGUUGAAUGGAAUCUUUAGUGGGGAAACUAUGUGCUAUGUAAGUUGGUAGUUUGGUACUAAAGCACCGGACGUCUCUAACUACUCUCGACUCUGAAUGUCAAUAAAAGCCUAAAAGGGCAACUCGAGAUGGAGUGCCAAGAUAGAACCAACUCUUGGCGACACCUUUUAUGAACACCCUUUAUCAACUUGCAAGUAAACGUUGUAAAUUACAUGACUAUCAGUAGGAGCAGAAACGACACAAAUUCAAUUGUUCUUCAUAAAUUCGAUUUAUUCUAAAUCGGAGUAGGUUGCUAUUGCUAAUCAUCCUAUGGGUAGUGGAAAUCAGGUCAUGUCCUCUUUUAUUGAUUCUUUUCGUUACUGGACAUGCCCAAGUUGUUCACUUCUAUAUUCUCUUUCAUUUUCCUUAGACGACUGCAAAGUCUUUUUGAGUAAACGAGGAGACAACGAUGGAGAAAAUGUGAGUUGUAUAAGAAUAUAGCUCUCACCCACUUUCUCUUCCAUACAGAAUAUAUGCUUUUACAGCAAAAUUAUCAAACCAACAAUUAUGGGGCUAUCACUGAGCUUGUGGGAUGGUCGCAUGCUUUCGGCACCAGUAAUUCUCUUUGUGUUUCAUUUCUUUGUUUUUGCCAACUCUCUAAACUCUCUGCAGCAGCCAUCAUCUUUCUGCCAUGACGAUGAGAGCUUGGCAUUGCUCCAGUUUAAGCAAAGCUUUGUAAUCGACGAAUUUGCUUCUGUUGGUGAGGGUGCUUAUCCAAGGGUUUUGUCAUGGAAACCAGCUGCUGCUAAAGAAUGCUGCUCAUGGGACGGGGUCGAGUGCGAUGAGAAGACAGGUCAUGUCAUUAGCCUUGAUCUUAGUAGCAGUUACCUCUCCGGUUCUAUCGAUUCCAACAGCACCCUCUUCCACCUUGUUCAUCUUCAGAGGCUGAACCUUGCCGACAAUGACUUCAAUCAAUCUCAAAUUCCUAUUACCAUCAGGAAUCUUCCGGUGCUUCAUUAUCUUAACCUCUCUGGCUCAUUCUUUUCUGGUCAAAUCCCAUCUGAAAUUUCUCAGUUGUCCAAGUUGUCGUCCCUGGACCUAUCCUCCAAUACUGAUAGUACUGGUGAAAGAUCCCUGAUGCUAAACCAGUCCAAUCUAAAAAGGCUGGUUCAGAACUUAACCAGUCUAGAAAAGCUUCAUCUCAGCUCCGUCCUCAUUUCUGCACCAGUACCCGAUUCUGUGGCAAAUUUACCAUUUCUGACAUCUCUCCUCCUAGAGUAUUGUGAUCUGCGAGGCCAUUUCCCGGUAAGUAUUUUAAAACUACAAAGUUUAAAGUUUCUUAAUGUAGAAUCCAAUCCAGAUCUCUUUGGUUUUUUGCCGGCAUUUGAACAAACUAGUCCUCUAAUGUCACUCAGAGUUUCCAGAACAAGGUUUUCAGGAAGCCUUCCCUUUUCAAUUAAAAAGCUUGAUUCACUGAACGAAUUAGUUGCCAGUCGAUGCAAUUUUUCAGGUCUGCUUCCAUCUUCACUCGGAAAUCUUAGGCAGCUGGUUUAUUUAGACCUUUCAAAUAACACACUUAGUGGCUCCAUCCCUGCUUCUUUGGCUACCCUUAGCCAACUGUCACAUCUGUCCCUUGAUAAUAAUCAUUUCAGCGGUUACAUCCCAUCUUCUCUUGGUAAUCUCAUCCAGCUUACAACACUUUCGCUUGCAACAAAUCAACUUACCGGUCCAAUCCCAUCUUCUCUAGGAAAACUUAUCCAGCUCACUGAGUUAGACCUCUCUGGUAAUGAUUUUGGUGGUUACAUCCCAUCUUCCAUCGGAAAUCUCAACCAGCUCGUAAGACUUUCGCUUUCUUCGAAUCAAUUAACAGGGCCAAUCCCAUCUUCUGUAGGAAAUCUUAGCAAUCUAAUUGAGUUGGAUUUUUUCUCAAACCAUUUGCACAGUUCCGUUCCUGAGUCCUUAUUCAAUCUCACAAAUCUCGUGACGCUUUAUCUAGAUAGUAAUAGACUGAGCGGCAAAGUGAAUUUCUCCAUGUUUCAAAAGCUGCAAAAUCUCCUCAUACUGUAUCUCUCUGGAAAUAAAUUGGAAUUGUUGCUCGAAGAGACAAGACAUACGAAUGCAACAACUUUUCCAAAUUUUAUAACUCUAGGAUUGGGUUCUUGCAACAUAACCGAGUUCCCAAGUUUCCUAAGAUAUCAAAAAAAUUUGCGAUGGCUGGAUCUUGCUGAGAAUGGAAUGCAUGGCCAAGUACCGAGAUGGAUGUGGAAUGUAAGCAUAGAAAGUUUGACGGUUAUGAACAUUUCUCAUAACUUCCUUUCUGGCUUUGACCAACCUCCAGAUAUUCUUUUGUGGAGUGGCUUACAGCUCUUGGAUCUUUCGUCCAACCUGAUUCAGGGAUCGCUACUGAUACCUUCACCAUCAAUCGAGUACUAUGUAGUUUCAGACAACAAGCUAAGUGGGCAAGUUUUACCUCUGAUUUGCAAUCUGACUUCUCUGAAGUACCUUGAUUUGUCAAACAACAACUUGAGUGGGAUGCUGCCACAGUGUCUUGGGAAGUUCAGUAAAAAUCUGCGAGUUUUACAUCUUGGAAACAACUCUUUUGAAGGCCACCUCCCGGAAGCAUACACAAGCAGUCUAAUCAUGAUUGAUGUUGGUAACAAUAAGCUGCAGGGAAUCUUGCCCAGGUCAUUGGCAAAUUGUUUGAUGCUUGAGUUUCUUGUUAUAUCUAACAAUGAGUUCAGUGAUGUUUUCCCUUUUUGGUUGGGAACUCUCCCAGGGUUGAGACUCUUGGCAAUGCACCAUAAUGGAUUCCAUGGGGUGAUAAGGAAACCUGAAAAGAAUCCAGACUAUUUUCUUCAGUUGCACAUUCUUGAUCUAUCUUUCAAUAAUUUCUCAGGCAACUUCCCCUUUGAAUACAUUUUCUCUGGAAAUGCAAUCAAAGGUAUCACUUCCGAUCAGUUCACAUACCUGAAGACAACCGCAGAUGUUGUUUAUGAUCCUUCAUAUCAUGGCGGGUAUUUCUCCUUCACAAUGACAAGUAAAGGUGUGAACAGAUUCUAUCCCAAGAUUCGAGAGGACUUUGCAGUCAUUGACAUCUCAAGCAACAAUUUUGAAGCUGAGAUUCCUGAGUUUAUUGGGGACCUAACGGGGCUUCGUUUGCUAAAUAUGUCGAACAACAUUCUCACUGGUUUGAUCCCCUCAUCCUUGGGAAAAUUAAAGUUGCUUGAAUCGUUGGACCUUUCACAGAACAAACUCUCAGGGGAGAUCCCUCGUCAACUGGCACAGAUUUCAUUUCUUGCGAAAUUCAAUGUCUCUCACAACAAUCUCAGUGGUCUUAUUCCUCGUGGUUCCCAGUUUGCUACCUUUGACAGUACUUCAUAUGAAGGAAACCUGGGGUUGUGUGGAGAUCCAUUGCCAAAGAAAUGCGGCAAUGAUGCUCCUCCGUUGCCACCUCCUACAGAAGAAGAUGAUGAUUCUGAUUCUGGAAUUGAAUUGGAUUGGAAAUUUGUACUAGCAGGAUCUGUGAGUGGCAUGCUAGUUGGAGUGGUUCUUGCAGAUGUCCUCCUCACAAGGAGGCGUGAGUAUUUUCUUGAGAUUGUUGGGAUACUAAUCAGACUAACGAAAAGGAAAAGAAAGAAUAGGGCUUGGAAAGAUUGAGUUUGUUUGUUUUGCUAUGCAACUAGUCAACUACUCUUUGUUUCUGUUGUUCCCCCAUAUGUAUUGUGUUUUUCUUUCUACAUAUCUGUUGGCAAAGUAGAGAAAUAAUGCAUACUACUUCUAUAACUAAUUUGAUUAUAGAGCAACUCAGAGCGUCGUUUACUUUUAUUUUUACACAGGAUAUUUUCUCAGAUAUCUUAUUUCGACAAUAAUUUCAAAUUUACGAAUAAUCAUGUUGCUCAAUUCUAAUGAAACAUAAGACUAGAGAGAAAAAAACCCAAAAACAAAGCUCUGAUUAACUAAAGAAUGGACUAACCUCUUCCCUAGUUCCCUUGAUAGCAUUCUUAUGUAGUGAGUAUCAGGAAAAUGUGCUGUACCAAACAGUCUCAAUGCUUCUACCCAUACUUCUACGUCACGUUUCCGAGAAAUAUGAUGCAUCUCAAGCAAUGCAACCAAGUGUCCAAGACCAAUCUAUCAUAUUCUGUAUCAGUCCACCCCUAGUACAAGGCACCAAUCCUCUUACAUAUCACCAAGUCACCCACCAAAGCCUCCAGAGGUCGAGCCAACCCCAUAUCUUGCAAUGCCAUGUUAUCAGAAUCCCGAACCCGCCAUACCCCCUGAGCUUCCAAAAGGAAAUAAGAGUAACAGUCGUCCGCCACACUCGAUUUCUUUCAUGCAUUUCAUCGAACACCUUAUCUACAGAACUUUGCGUCCCCAAAAUCUAUCCAAUACAACAAUCAAUGAUGGCCGAAAAGUCGAAACCAACAAAACAGCCAAACGCCAAACAAGUAUCCUUCCUCCCCAGACGCCACAUCCAAACCACACGACUUGCCGCAGAGCCUGUAGCCAUCAGGCUUCAAAGUUGAAAAGCCUUGGCAAAUAAUUAAACCAAGGGGCACAUGCCAGACAGACUCACGUUACGUUAAAACGUAAAACAAUGUCGGUUAACCCAAGGGACAAAAUGGUAUUUACAGAGACCAACGGUGACCGUUUCACCCCCGGGAAAUAGUUUCUUAAACAAAGGCGGUGACCUUUGGCACAACCCAAAAGUCCAUCCUCACCCAAAAUGAACCUCUCCCUCCACCUAAGGUCCUCACCGCUGCGCCCACAUUCUUCCCCUACAAAAAUGGCCACACUCUUCUCUCUUUCCUUCUUAUCAUCACCAUCAACUUCUGAAUCCAAAGCAUUCAAUCUGCCAUGUCGUCAUUUGGGUUCCUAUCUCCUCCUCCUAUAUCCUCCUCGGCUCCCACGAGGCAGCUCUCCGCAGCCACUACUCCGGCUGCGGCACCGAUUGUCGCUCCGGACGUGGCUGCGGAGAGGCUGGAGCCGAGGGUGGAGGAGAGACAAGGGUAUUGGGUGUUGAAGGAGAAGUUUCGACAAGGGAUUAAUGUUCAGGAGAAGGUCAAGAUUCAGAGGGAGCCUAUGAAGCUAUAUAUGGAAGGCGGGAUUGAAGAGCUUGCUAAGUUGCCUUUUGAGGAGCUUGACAAAGCUAAGGAUACUAAGGAUGAUAUUGAUGUUAGGCUCAAGUGGCUUGGUCUCUUCCACAGAAGAAAGCAUCACUGUAAGUAGAUUGAUCAAUCAUUUUUAACCUCUAUUAAUAUUUAUUACUAUCAGCAACUUAUUUGUUCGACAAUUUUCUUGCUGAAAUUUGCCUAGAUGGUAGAUUUAUGAUGAGGCUGAAGCUUCCGAAUGGGGUCACAACAAGUGCACAGACAAGAUAUCUAGCGAGUGUGAUACGGAGAUAUGGCAAGGAUGGUUGUGCAGAUGUGACAACCAGGCAAAAUUGGCAAAUCCGCGGAAUUGUGCUGGCAGAUGUGCCUGAUAUUCUGAAGGGUCUUGCUGGAGUAGGAUUGACUAGUCUGCAGAGUGGGAUGGACAAUGUGAGAAACCCAGUUGGGAAUCCACUUGCAGGCAUUGACCCGCAUGAAAUUGUUGACACAAGACCUUACACGAACUUGUUGUCCCAAUACAUUACUGGCAAUUCACUCGGCAAUCCAACUAUAACAAACUUGUAAGUAAUCUAACUCUCUCAUUUACCCUGUUGGGUUAUUACUAAGCUUUAAUUUCAUACAAAUGUAUUGUUUGAUCUGAUAUCACCUUAGUCCAUGUAGUUUCAAUUUAGCAAUCACAUCCCUUAGUUUAUUAAAUGUAGCAUUAUGAUCCAUGUAGUUUCAAUCUAGCAAUCGCAUCUGUUAGUUUAUCAAAUGUAGCAUUAUGAUCCAAAUGCAGUUGUUAAAUUAUUGCAGAGAUGUUAGUUGGUUGCUUGGCUUAUUAAGUUAUUUUUCAUCUGAGCAGGCCAAGGAAGUGGAAUGUGUGUGUGAUAGGGUCUCAUGAUCUUUAUGAGCAUCCCCACAUCAAUGAUCUUGCGUACAUGCCUGCAACAAAGGAUGGGAAAUUUGGAUUCAAUUUACUCGUUGGAGGCUUCUUCAGUCCCAAAAGAUGUGCAGAGGCAGUUCCUCUUGAUGCAUGGGUCUCAACUGAAGAUAUGAUCCCAGUUUGCAAAGCUAUUCUAGAGGCUUAUAGAGACCUUGGAUUCAGAGGCAACCGACAAAAGACAAGAAUGAUGUGGUUGAUCGAUGAACUAGUAAGUAUUACACCAUACUGAUUAUAUAAUAAGAUGCCUGUUAACGUAAAAUGUGUAAUAUUUAAGUUACUCUACUACUUAGUUAUCCAUAUUUCAACAUCUCAACUCAUGGAAUACGUGAAGUAUAUACUUUCAAAUGUUCACAGUAACUUUUGUUAUUGUGUACUAAUAUUGUUGCCUUGCUUUAGGGCAUAGAAGGAUUCAGAUCAGAGGUUGUUAAGAGAAUGCCCUUUAAGGAACUGGAAAGAGCAUCUACUGAAGACUUGGUACAGAAGCAAUGGGAAAGGAGAGACUAUAUAGGUGUCCAUCCACAGAAACAAGAAGGUCUAAGCUUUGUGGGUCUUCACAUUCCCGUAGGCAGGAUCCAAGCAGAUGACAUGGAUGAGCUAGCUCGUAUAGCUGACGAGUAUGGCACUGGGGAACUCCGUCUCACUGUGGAGCAAAACAUUAUUAUCCCCAAUGUUGAGAACACGAAACUCCAAGCAUUGCUUCAAGAACCGCUUCUGAAAGAAAAAUUUUCACCUGAACCUUCCAUUCUCAUGAAAGGACUAGUAGCUUGCACUGGCAACCAGUUUUGCGGCCAAGCCAUCAUCGAGACAAAGCAACGGGCCUUGAAGGUGACUGAGGAGGUGGAAAGGCAUGUGUCAGUGACUCGGCCAGUGAGGAUGCAUUGGACGGGGUGCCCCAAUACCUGCGGGCAGGUGCAAGUGGCAGAUAUAGGUUUCAUGGGGUGUAUGGCAAGGGAUGAGAAUGGAAAGCCUGUUGAAGGGGUUGAUGUCUUCUUGGGAGGAAGAAUAGGAAGUGACUCUCAUUUGGGAGAUAUUUAUAAGAAGAGUGUCCCUUGUAAGGACUUGGUGCCCUUAGUUAUUGACAUCUUGGUAAAUCACUUUGGGGCUGUCCCAAGGGAGAGGGAAGAAGGGGAAGAGUAAAUUGAAAGACUUAAUAAAACGAAGGGUUCAGUGCAGAUUUUUCAUGGGGGUUUUCCUUGGUUGAAGAAAAGUAAAGAACGAUUGAAGGGUGCUGUGAGCAUAAGAUAUCUGACUUUAUCGGAUGUGAGCUUACCCUGUUUCCACUGUUAUUGUAUACCAAAGUAGUACUUGAGCUUGAUCAGGUAAAUAGUUAAUUCAUGUUUGCAUUUAGUAUAUUUAUGUUCAUCACUAAUAAGAUGCAAUCUCUAUAAUAUUCAGUACAAAUCUUAUUCCCAGAUUCAACUGAAGAGUUUAUUACAUGUAGACUGCAUUGUUCGUGCUAAUACACUUAUUUUCAUUAUUCAAGAAGAAAAAAUAUAAAUAUUUACAUGUUGCUUAGUUUGGUGGUGCUUUUUGUUCCAAGUAAUAUCCUGAAAAAUUGUCAGGAUCGGUCACGUUAGUCUAUCAAAUCGUUUUUUGUUGUGUCAUAAAUUUGUGCAGACUGUUAGUGAACAGAUCAUCACUCUCUCUACCCGUUUUAGAGUAUUUAUGGGACAAACUCGGAAACAACUUCUCGCGACAACUCAAUGAUUUGUUUUUUUUUGUUUUUUUUUUUUCACACUAUAAAGCAAAUUAAUAAAAACGAAAGUUAGAGAGACCAAACUUAUCUCCUUGAUACAACGACAACUCAAUGUUGAACAUGGUUCUUUUGUGGUUUUGUAAUUAGGAAUGCAGAUGAAAAUCUUCAACAUGCCUUUUGAAGUCCUUAUUGCCAAAGUUGUUGCUUUUUAGAAAUAGUUUUAGACUUUUGGAAGAGUUUAUGUUGGGUUGAAGGGGACUGGAAAUCCUUAUUGAUAGUAUUUGGGUCACUAUACUGUUGGAAAUUAUGUCGAUCGUAUCCAAUAAAUAUGAAUGAAAAUUUUGAUUACUCAUGACCUUUUCCUCUGUAAGGUUACAUGUGUUUUUCCUAUAGUUGUCUUUAGGAAUUAGUGUCUGUCUUAAGGAGAUAAGGAGAUAAGGAGAUAAGAACGUGAACCGGUGUAUAACUGUUGGUUUACUUGGGUUCUAUAUGAAACAAAGAAAGGACGAGAAAGAUCAAUGAAUCAAAUCAAUGAAGCAAUGAGUCCUCAUUUCUUCUACAAGACUACAAAUCUCCCUCGUGUCAAGAUUGUUAGAAUCCAAAAUUGUAAUGUUUUUAUUUUGAAUCAUCGAUUAUUGUAUUCUAUAAGAUGGACUCACCGAACUAUAAGCCUCAGGGUAGGGGCGAAAUAUGUCUUUAGUCAAAUGCAUUUUGCAUGCCUCAAUGGGAAAACCAAGUCACUUCUUUGGAUUAAUUACAAAACACUACCCGAAUUAUAAUGUUAUUUUUAUUCUCAUACUUCAUUAUCAAAAACUUGCAUUUUCAUACCCGAAGUUCUAUUCCGUUAGUAUUUUGAUACUCUGACCACUAACACCGUUAAAUUUUGAGGGUUUUUUCGUCAUUUCAAUAAAUGUAUCAUUUUUUACAUUUACUUUAACAAAAUAAUGUAUUUUUUUGAGGUUAUCAAAUACAAAUAGAAUAAUUUUUUUUUGCAAAAAUAUUCAAAAAAAACUCCAAAAUUAAAUAUUUAUUUUUGCAACAAUAGUGAUAAAAGUUAGUAGAACUCUUAUAUGUAUAUAUAUUUUUGGAGUUACAUGUUAAGCUAAAAAAAAAAUUAAAAUAAAUUAUAUCGAGAAAAUAUCGAAUAUCGAUGAAAAUUUUAUCAUAUUUUAUAUAAACAUGAUAUAUUUAACCAAAAAUAUUUUGUUAAAGUAAAUGUAAAAAAUGAUAUAUUUAUUGAAAUGACGAAAAUGCCCUCAAAAUUUAACGAUGUUAGUGGUCAGGGUAUCAAAAUGCUAACGAAAUGAAACUUCGAGUACGAAAAUGCAAGUUUUUGAUAGUUAGGAAUCAAAAUGAAAAUAACAUCAUAGUUCAGGUGAUAUUUUGUAAUUAAUCCUUGUUUUUUUAUGAAUUGAAAUUUGUUUAGUCAUUGUGAUUUGAAGUCGAUAUUUGUUCAGUUCAUGUGGUUUUAUUUUAAUCUGAAUGGUCUUUAAAGUCAUGAUUUUUUAUCCAAAUGGUCAUUCCGUCAAUUUUCUCAGUUAAAUUACUGAUAUGGCCGUUAAAGACUGUAAUUUUUAACUACCAUGUCAGUAAUUUCACUGAGAAAAUUGACGGAAUGACAAUUUGGAUGAAAAAUCGUGACUUUAAAGACCAUUCAGAUUAAAAUAAAACCAUAAGGACUGAACAUAUGUCGACUUCAAACCACAAGUACAAUAUUUUACCCUUUUUGUUUAUAGGGUUGUGAAAUUCACACACCUUAAAUUGAAAUCCACACACUCUUUUUCUUUUUUUGGUUAAAACAUUCACAAAAGACAAAGUUUAAGUUACUAAAAGACAACAUUUAAGUUACCAAAAAAGGGUGUGUUCAUUUUUUUUUUUGGUUACAAAAAUGGUAGUCGAGUGAGCUACCAUUUCGGAGUCGGGAGCAAUUUGUAGGUAUGACCUCUCCCCAAAAAAAGGUGUGUAGAUUUUAAUAUAAGAUGUGUUGAUUUCACAUCCCUUUUUAUAAUGCUCUUAUACGACUCAAACACUAUUACACUCAUAAUUUAUAAUUUAUGUUUCUGUUAAUUUAUGAUUGUUUCCCUACAUAUACCGCAUAGAGUAUCUAAGUCUUUGGAGCAUGAACCAGCCACACCCUCUUCCUCUAGCUCUGAUUUUUCCUAGACCCAAUAUGAGAGGGUAAUGGCAAGAUGUAAACCGCGAAUUAAUAAUCAAAGGGCAAUCUGUAACCAAAUUUCAUGUGUUUACUACUAAUACAUGAAUUGAAAUUGGUUUAUGUUCCAUCUAUUUAUCCUGAAUACAAAACGAGGUGAUGGUUUAUGAAUCAAUCAUAUGUAAUCGAUAUUUUUUCUCUCAUUAUACUUGUUGGUCAGCUGUGGUCUAGUUGGUUAGCUAGUCUAACUGACAUCGUUGAGGUCCAAACCAGACUAACAUAUAUAAAUGUGAGGUAGGUUAAGAAAUAAUAUUUUUACAGACAAAAAAUAACUAAACAUAUCAUUCUAGAUUUCUAGUGAAGAAAAGAAGAAAAUAUAGUAAAGAAAAGAAGAAAAUAGACAUGCCACAAUAAUUUCCCAUUUCUUUAUGGAAAAAUGGUCCAAACAGUGUCUCACAUUUUGAAGAAGCAAAGCUUUGGUAUCUCACAUUUAGAAAACUUCAAAACAGUAUCUCACGUUCUUACUUCGACUAAAGUUUGGUAUCUAGAACCGUUAGCUCCGCUAAAAAAAUUGACGAGACAUUUCUAUUCAUAAAAUGACCAAUAUACCCUUGAGUUUUUAUUUAUGUUAUUCUUUUUAUAUAAAAAGAGAAAUUCGUCAUAACGGUACCUCAUCUUUUCUUCCUUAUAAACUUUGGUACUUCAAGUUUUGAUAACAUCAGAACGGUACCUCAAGUUUUCUCCCCAACCUAAUUUUAGUACUUUUAACCGUUAGUUCCGUUACAGGGGUUGCUAGGUGGCAAUUUUUAAAGGCUAUUUUCGUGUCUUCAUGUCUUCAUUCAUUUUUUACUUUAGAAACAAAAACAAAGAUUCAUGAGUUAUUGUUUUCAUGAGUUUGCAAUUGAUGAAAUUCAUAAACAAAAAUAAAGAUUCCUGAGUUUUUAUUUUUUUCAUUUCGUAAUUUGCUUGUCAUAAUAUCAUAAGCAUUCAAUAGUUAAUAUAUUUGUACAAACUCACUUAAUAAAAGAUUCAAACAUCUUUCUCUUCAUCUCUAGUCUAGAAAAAAAAUAUCACUUUUUCAAGAUCCAGCUCUUUUCGUGAAGGCCGUGAAGCUCCUAAUUUCCUAAAGAUAGAGGAAAGAAAAAGAUAACAAUUUUCCCACUACAAAAAAAAUAAUUUUUUAUUAGGAUUAAUUUCAGUUUACUCCCCUCAAAGGUUUGGGGUUGACAUCGUUUUACCCUCCAUACUUUUAAUUUUGAAAAUUUACCCCCUAAAGUUUCUGAUUUUCAUAAAUCAGGCUCAAUUGCUAAAAUUCCGUUCAAUUUGGAGGUUAAAUGCUAGUAUAAAAUCUUAGAAAAAGGGUCCUAAAAGGCGAUUUAUGUUAUCAUAUGACUAUUUUAACGCUUUUAGUGAGUGAUGAAGUCAAAAUUAACGCCUGAAUUAGAUGAAAUUUCAGUAAUUAGGCUUGAUAUAUGAAAAUUGGAAACUUUAGGUGGUACAUUUUCAAAAUUAAAAGUAUGGGGGGUGAAAUGAUGUCAACCCUAAACCUCAGGGGGGUAAACUGAAAUUAAUCAUUUUUAUUAUUACAUAGAUGAAAUAUAUAUUUAGAGAAAAAAUAAUGAAUUGAAAUAUGAAAAGACAAAAAAUACCCAUGAAAAAUGGUCAGCUAACGAUUACCCUAUCGGAGGUUACGGCUAAAAAUACUAAAAUUGGGUCGGGAUGAAAACUGUUGAGGUACCGUUCUAAUGUUUUGAAAAAUUGAAGUACCAAAGUUUAUAAGCAAGAAAAGAUGAGGUAUUGUUAUGACAAAUUUUUCUUUAUAUUAUUUCUAUUAUAUAUAAUGAAUAACAAAAAUAAAACUUAAGGGUAAAUUAGUUAUUUUAUGAAUAACAAUAGUUGUCAUCAGUUUUUUAACGGAGCUAACGGUUCUAGAUACAAAACUUCGAUCGAGAAAGAUACUAUUUUAAAGUCUUCUAAAGAUGAGAUGCCAAAUCUUCGUUUCUUUAAAAUAUGAAACACUGUUUAAAAAAUUUUUCCUUUCUUUAUUUUCUUAUAUAAAUCCGACCUAUGCUGUUGCCCUCGUCAUUUCACUACCUCCGCCGAUAACACUGAAAAAUGAGCAGCCGGCUCAAAACCCUAAAGAGCACAGACGAUGAUCCGAAGUUCCGAACCACCAACCCCCCGCCGCCACAAUUCCUUACUUACCAGACAACAUCAUCGAGAAAAUCCUCUCCUUCCUUCCGAUCAAUCUGGCUGCCCAGGCCAACACCGUCUCCAAGCAGCGGGCGAAGCUAUGGCCUUCCUUCAUUGUAAUCGAUCUCGACGAGGGCUGCUACAGCGAACAUGAACGUUUCCUCGACAUGUUGUACUUUUCUCUCAGACGAUGCAAGGAUCAGAGGGUCUUGGACAAGUUGAGGAUUCGAGCCAGCCUUGAACUCGGCUUCCAAGAGGUAAUUGAAUGGCUUGAUUUUGCAAUGGAAAGGUGUGUCAAAGAGUUAGAUAUUCAAGAUUUGGAUCAGAAUAGAAUCAAAAACGCUACGAAAAACUUUUUGAUUCCCCAUGACGUUUUGACUUUGGAAUCUUUGACCACUCUGAAUUUGGAGAAUGUUAGACUUUAUGCAAGUUCCGGAAUUGAUGGUACUGUGAGCCUUCCCUCAUUGAAAAACAUGUCCCUCAAAGACGUGACAUUUUUGGUGGAUGUGGAGGACACAGCCAUCAAGGCCUUACCCAGCUUAGUUUCGGGAUGACCUUGCCUUGAGCAUUUGUCAAUCGAUGGAUGUAAGCUCGGCUACUCUGCCUUUCGGCUUGAAAUUCAAGUGACAGUCUCAAAUCCUUAGAAAUUACGCAUUGUCCUUCUAGGACUGUAGAUAUUACCGCCAAGAAUCUGGAGUCUUUUACAUUCUAUUCGGAUUGCACUUGUGCUUACCAUAAGUUUAUGUAUUUGUGGGAAUGUGAUAGCUUGAAACAUGUGGACAUCUCUUGCAAGGGUUUGAGACAGCUUCUAUUGCACAAUUGCCUAGAAACUAUGGAGAACUCUUUAAACACUCCCAGUCUGGAGAUUUUUGAGUUUAGUGGUUAUCUGAAGGCCCAGAUCCAUUUUGUGGAGGCUCCAUCAAAUUUAAUAAACUCUAUAAUCAGAGUAUGGGAGACCAUAUGGCCCAUUGAAUAUUAUUCUGCUAUGAGAGAUUUUCUUGAAAGUUUCGAUUACUCCAGAAAAGUGAAGAUACAUAUUGAAGAGGCUGAGGUAAUAUAUAUUUAAUCUCUUUUUCAUUUUGUUUGUUGCUGCUUAUAGUUUGUAGCCUCAUAUUUCUAACAUUGCUCAUAGUUUCAAAAGCUAGAUAAAAAAGAAAGUAAUUAACUUUUAAAUUUUAACCCAGUUGCCUGAAUUCCUUAGCCUUUGAAACUUUAUGAAUCUGGACUCGCUUACUCAAAGUAAAGGUAUGUUUGGUUAGUUCUUCAGCCAGUUAUGGUAGUAAAGAAAUUGGAGCUUAGGAGGGAACUUGAUAUAGAAAAGAUGGGCUGCUAUAGGACUCAGAUUGGUUGUAUGUUGCUUUUUGUUGGUUAAUGUGAGCAUUUGAAUUUUAUUAUCUUAUACAAUAAGUUGGAAGAGUGCAUAACACAAUUAGGCAUAUAUUGUGAUUUUCAUCUUUAAUAGUUUGUUGUUGUCAAUGGCUUGUAGGGUGUCAUAAUACCAGAACAUUGCAGAAUGGAAUGGUCUCCCCCAUUACCUAGUAUUAGGCAGCUGCAGCUGUACUUUUCGGCUCCAUUGGGGGACACAGAAUAUUGUUUGAGACCCUCAUUGCUUUGGAUGGCACCAUCUGCAGAGGUUCUACCUUUUCUACAUAAUGAUGACGACAGUGAUGAUUAUGAAGAUAUGGUCGACCGCAAUAACAAUGAUCACAAUGAUUAUGAGGACGAUGAUGACUAAUAUAAUAAAGCAAAUUUUUUUGGCGGAUAAUGGGACUCUGAGAGAGUAGUAUGAUGUACUGCUUCAGUUGGAAUCCCUCGUUUGCAUGUCUUAAGCUUUUAGAGAUUAAUUUUGGGCCGCCUUGUCAUUUUGAAUUUGCCAUUAGUCUCAUUUUUUAUUUUUUUCUGAGGUCUGAAAGUUCAAUUUCAGUCUUUAACAUCAAGAAUUUGAAUCCGGCUCAUUCCCUGUUUUUGAAUCUGUUUUGGUACGUUAGUCACUAUUCUUUGUCCUCUCUUGUCUGGUGGUAUUCUCUGUUUUUUUCCUUUUUCUUUAUUUCAUUAUGUCCUUGUUGAGAGUGACGUGGAGAGUUAAGAUCAAUCUAUUAUGUCUUUGUUGGGAGUGAUGUGGAGAGUUAAGAUCGUUGUGGUUUUGAUUGAUUUUUGGAGGUGUUGAGUUGAUUUUUAUUAUUAUUAUUAUUAUUAUUUUUUUUUUAUUAUUAUUAUUUUUAUUAUUAUUAUUAUUUUAUUUAUUUAUUUAUUAUUUUUUUUUUGUCAAAAGUGAAACAUACCAUCUAUUUUCUUGGUAUCUAUUUAGAGGAGGUCAAAUCUUUACUAUUAGAAAGCCAGUGUCUUGGUAGAAAAUUUUGAGAAAAAUAAAAAUUAUAGUUAAUAUGGGCUUUGACUGUAAAACACCGUUUGACAAAAAAAAAGGAGAAAGAAAUAGGAUUAGCACAUUCAUCUCCUUUUAAGUGGGGUAGAUCAAGUAAAACUUUUUUCAUUUUCUAAUCUAAGUGCAGAUGCACGGAUAAAAGGCUAGUAUAAAUAAAGCGUUGAAAUAUUGGUGAGUUGUUGCCUGGUUCGUUAGGUAAUCUAGCUAAUAAUGUGAAGCUUAUGGUUCAAAUCUCGAUGAUAUGGUAGGUUACACGAUUUUAAUAAAAUAAAAAAAAAUUGUGAAAUGACCCAGAGCGGCUUUAGUGCACCACGGUGCACUUGAACUAUUCACGUAUGUUAACGGACAUUAGUGAGACGGAGAAAUUCCAUUGGUUAGUCAGAUGAAGACCAAUAAAAACGAAACUGUAAUAAAAGUGUAAAACCAAAAAGAGUACAACCACCCUUCUGCACCACGUCCACUGCUGUAAACACCCAUUUCCGACUGGGACCUCGACUCCCGCGACUUCCUUCUCCACCACAACACCGUCGACCUCGAUCAUCUCAAUAAGAUCUUCGUCGCCGUCGAGUUCUCUAGGCGGGCCUAACCUGAUUCCUUGAAAGGAGGGGUCCACCACAACGUGCAAAAACUAUAAAAUUUCCCUUUAGGAAAAAGGGGAAGGGGGGGUCCCCAACCCAACCAAACCGGUGACCAAAAAAAACCUAAAUAAAAAAAAAAGGAAAAAAAAAAAAAAGGAAAAAAAAAAGGAAAAAAAAAAAAAAGAACAUAAAUCUAAUCAACCAAACUUAUGCAGUCACAUCUAAGCUCUAUGCGCCUCAACCCAAAGGUCGCCGCUGACACCAAAACAGAAGUAAAAGAAAACAAAGAAAGAGAAACAAAGUAGGAACCCAGAUGAUACAUGUCAAGGAAGCUAAAGGGGCGAAGUAGGGAAGAAUCAACCAAGUAGGCUUGACGGUGACAAAGAGAGGACGAGGAGAAAACUUUUCUUGUGGUCUUGUGGAGUUCGGUUAGUUAGUGCUUGUCAGAAUACAUGAAUUUAGUAUGAAAUUUUUUCUUUGAACGGGUGUAUGCAACUCAACCUAGUUGGGAGGCUCAACCUUAUGUCUCUGUUACAAAAAUAUAAAAAGCUUAUAUAUUAAGUAUGGAUCUGGGCUACCCAAAUGUCAACAUUGGGCCCUCCGGUCCCCUCGACCCAAACUAUCGCUAAAAUGUGGGGUGGCCCGAACGUCUUUCCACUACUAUAUGACCCGAGUCACCGGACCUCUACCAAUACUGCCGCCAUUUCACAAACCCUCCCACACUGAAAAAUGUGGAGGAGGGAAUGGUACAAAUUCCUAAGGAGCACAAAAGAGGAUGAUAAUGAAACCGCCGCUCCACAACAAUCCCUUACUUACCUGACAACGUCAUCGAAAAAAUCCUCUCCUUCCUUCCGGUCAAAGACGCCUUUGAGGCAACCGCCGUUUCGCAGCAGUGGAGAUCCCUUUGGCCUUCCUUCCCUGUUAUCGAUUUCGACGAGGAAUGCUAUAGCGAACCUCGACGUUUCCUCAGUUUCCUGCGCCACUCUCUCAGACGAUGUUGGGAUCAGAGGGACUUGGACAAGUUGAGGAUUCGAGCCAACCUUGGAUACUGCUAUGUUCCGGUAAAUGAAUGGGUUGAAUUCGCAAUUGAAAGGUGUGUCAAAGAGUUUGUUCUUCAUGAUUUGGAUGAGGGUAACAAAUUUUAUAAAAACUUCCUGAUUAACCAUGAGGUUUUGACUUUGAAAUCUUUAACUAGUUUGGUGAUAGGCGCAAAAGCACCUACAAAGAUACCCUAUUAUCAAAUCAAUUAUAUCAAUGUAGUAAACGGCAAAUAGGGGUCAUUACCCGCAGAGGAUUGGUGAUGCUAAGACUUAAACACAUAAGAACACAAACAGACGCGUAAACCAGAAAUNNNNNNNNNNNNNNNNNNNNNNNNNNNNNNNNNNNNNNNNNNNNNNNNNNNNNNNNNNNNNNNNNNNNNNNNNNNNNNNNNNNNNNNNNNNNNNNNNNNNNNNNNNNNNNNNNNNNNNNNNNNNNNNNNNNNNNNNNNNNNNNNNNNNNNNNNNNNNNNNNNNNNNNNNNNNNNNNNNNNNNNNNNNNNNNNNNNNNNNNNNNNNNNNNNNNNNNNNNNNNNNNNNNNNNNNNNNNNNNNNNNNNNNNNNNNNNNNNNNNNNNNNNNNNNNNNNNNNNNNNNNNNNNNNNNNNNNNNNNNNNNNNNNNNNNNNNNNNNNNNNNNNNNNNNNNNNNNNNNNNNNNNNNNNNNNNNNNNNNNNNNNNNNNNNNNNNNNNNNNNNNNNNNNNNNNNNNNNNNNNNNNNNNNNNNNNNNNNNNNNNNNNNNNNNNNNNNNNNNNNNNNNNNNNNNNNNNNNNNNNNNNNNNNNNNNNNNNNNNNNNNNNNNNNNNNNNNNNNNNNNNNNNNNNNNNNNNNNNNNNNNNNNNNNNNNNNNNNNNNNNNNNNNNNNNNNNNNNNNNNNNNNNNNNNNNNNNNNNNNNNNNNNNNNNNNNNNNNNNNNNNNNNNNNNNNNNNNNNNNNNNNNNNNNNNNNNNNNNNNNNNNNNNNNNNNNNNNNNNNNNNNNNNNNNNNNNNNNNNNNNNNNNNNNNNNNNNNNNNNNNNNNNNNNNNNNNNNNNNNNNNNNNNNNNNNNNNNNNNNNNNNNNNNNNNNNNNNNNNNNNNNNNNNNNNNNNNNNNNNNNNNNNNNNNNNNNNNNNNNNNNNNNNNNNNNNNNNNNNNNNNNNNNNNNNNNNNNNNNNNNNNNNNNNNNNNNNNNNNNNNNNNNNNNNNNNNNNNNNNNNNNNNNNNNNNNNNNNNNNNNNNNNNNNNNNNNNNNNNNNNNNNNNNNNNNNNNNNNNNNNNNNNNNNNNNNNNNNNNNNNNNNNNNNNNNNNNNNNNNNNNNNNNNNNNNNNNNNNNNNNNNNNNNNNNNNNNNNNNNNNNNNNNNNNNNNNNNNNNNNNNNNNNNNNNNNNNNNNNNNNNNNNNNNNNNNNNNNNNNNNNNNNNNNNNNNNNNNNNNNNNNNNNNNNNNNNNNNNNNNNNNNNNNNNNNNNNNNNNNNNNNNNNNNNNNNNNNNNNNNNNNNNNNNNNNNNNNNNNNNNNNNNNNNNNNNNNNNNNNNNNNNNNNNNNNNNNNNNNNNNNNNNNNNNNNNNNNNNNNNNNNNNNNNNNNNNNNNNNNNNNNNNNNNNNNNNNNNNNNNNNNNNNNNNNNNNNNNNNNNNNNNNNNNNNNNNNNNNNNNNNNNNNNNNNNNNNNNNNNNNNNNNNNNNNNNNNNNNNNNNNNNNNNNNNNNNNNNNNNNNNNNNNNNNNNNNNNNNNNNNNNNNNNNNNNNNNNNNNNNNNNNNNNNNNNNNNNNNNNNNNNNNNNNNNNNNNNNNNNNNNNNNNNNNNNNNNNNNNNNNNNNNNNNNNNNNNNNNNNNNNNNNNNNNNNNNNNNNNNNNNNNNNNNNNNNNNNNNNNNNNNNNNNNNNNNNNNNNNNNNNNNNNNNNNNNNNNNNNNNNNNNNNNNNNNNNNNNNNNNNNNNNNNNNNNNNNNNNNNNNNNNNNNNNNNNNNNNNNNNNNNNNNNNNNNNNNNNNNNNNNNNNNNNNNNNNNNNNNNNNNNNNNNNNNNNNNNNNNNNNNNNNNNNNNNNNNNNNNNNNNNNNNNNNNNNNNNNNNNNNNNNNNNNNNNNNNNNNNNNNNNNNNNNNNNNNNNNNNNNNNNNNNNNNNNNNNNNNNNNNNNNNNNNNNNNNNNNNNNNNNNNNNNNNNNNNNNNNNNNNNNNNNNNNNNNNNNNNNNNNNNNNNNNNNNNNNNNNNNNNNNNNNNNNNNNNNNNNNNNNNNNNNNNNNNNNNNNNNNNNNNNNNNNNNNNNNNNNNNNNNNNNNNNNNNNNNNNNNNNNNNNNNNNNNNNNNNNNNNNNNNNNNNNNNNNNNNNNNNNNNNNNNNNNNNNNNNNNNNNNNNNNNNNNNNNNNNNNNNNNNNNNNNNNNNNNNNNNNNNNNNNNNNNNNNNNNNNNNNNNNNNNNNNNNNNNNNNNNNNNNNNNNNNNNNNNNNNNNNNNNNNNNNNNNNNNNNNNNNNNNNNNNNNNNNNNNNNNNNNNNNNNNNNNNNNNNNNNNNNNNNNNNNNNNNNNNNNNNNNNNNNNNNNNNNNNNNNNNNNNNNNNNNNNNNNNNNNNNNNNNNNNNNNNNNNNNNNNNNNNNNNNNNNNNNNNNNNNNNNNNNNNNNNNNNNNNNNNNNNNNNNNNNNNNNNNNNNNNNNNNNNNNNNNNNNNNNNNNNNNNNNNNNNNNNNNNNNNNNNNNNNNNNNNNNNNNNNNNNNNNNNNNNNNNNNNNNNNNNNNNNNNNNNNNNNNNNNNNNNNNNNNNNNNNNNNNNNNNNNNNNNNNNNNNNNNNNNNNNNNNNNNNNNNNNNNNNNNNNNNNNNNNNNNNNNNNNNNNNNNNNNNNNNNNNNNNNNNNNNNNNNNNNNNNNNNNNNNNNNNNNNNNNNNNNNNNNNNNNNNNNNNNNNNNNNNNNNNNNNNNNNNNNNNNNNNNNNNNNNNNNNNNNNNNNNNNNNNNNNNNNNNNNNNNNNNNNNNNNNNNNNNNNNNNNNNNNNNNNNNNNNNNNNNNNNNNNNNNNNNNNNNNNNNNNNNNNNNNNNNNNNNNNNNNNNNNNNNNNNNNNNNNNNNNNNNNNNNNNNNNNNNNNNNNNNNNNNNNNNNNNNNNNNNNNNNNNNNNNNNNNNNNNNNNNNNNNNNNNNNNNNNNNNNNNNNNNNNNNNNNNNNNNNNNNNNNNNNNNNNNNNNNNNNNNNNNNNNNNNNNNNNNNNNNNNNNNNNNNNNNNNNNNNNNNNNNNNNNNNNNNNNNNNNNNNNNNNNNNNNNNNNNNNNNNNNNNNNNNNNNNNNNNNNNNNNNNNNNNNNNNNNNNNNNNNNNNNNNNNNNNNNNNNNNNNNNNNNNNNNNNNNNNNNNNNNNNNNNNNNNNNNNNNNNNNNNNNNNNNNNNNNNNNNNNNNNNNNNNNNNNNNNNNNNNNNNNNNNNNNNNNNNNNNNNNNNNNNNNNNNNNNNNNNNNNNNNNNNNNNNNNNNNNNNNNNNNNNNNNNNNNNNNNNNNNNNNNNNNNNNNNNNNNNNNNNNNNNNNNNNNNNNNNNNNNNNNNNNNNNNNNNNNNNNNNNNNNNNNNNNNNNNNNNNNNNNNNNNNNNNNNNNNNNNNNNNNNNNNNNNNNNNNNNNNNNNNNNNNNNNNNNNNNNNNNNNNNNNNNNNNNNNNNNNNNNNNNNNNNNNNNNNNNNNNNNNNNNNNNNNNNNNNNNNNNNNNNNNNNNNNNNNNNNNNNNNNNNNNNNNNNNNNNNNNNNNNNNNNNNNNNNNNNNNNNNNNNNNNNNNNNNNNNNNNNNNNNNNNNNNNNNNNNNNNNNNNNNNNNNNNNNNNNNNNNNNNNNNNNNNNNNNNNNNNNNNNNNNNNNNNNNNNNNNNNNNNNNNNNNNNNNNNNNNNNNNNNNNNNNNNNNNNNNNNNNNNNNNNNNNNNNNNNNNNNNNNNNNNNNNNNNNNNNNNNNNNNNNNNNNNNNNNNNNNNNNNNNNNNNNNNNNNNNNNNNNNNNNNNNNNNNNNNNNNNNNNNNNNNNNNNNNNNNNNNNNNNNNNNNNNNNNNNNNNNNNNNNNNNNNNNNNNNNNNNNNNNNNNNNNNNNNNNNNNNNNNNNNNNNNNNNNNNNNNNNNNNNNNNNNNNNNNNNNNNNNNNNNNNNNNNNNNNNNNNNNNNNNNNNNNNNNNNNNNNNNNNNNNNNNNNNNNNNNNNNNNNNNNNNNNNNNNNNNNNNNNNNNNNNNNNNNNNNNNNNNNNNNNNNNNNNNNNNNNNNNNNNNNNNNNNNNNNNNNNNNNNNNNNNNNNNNNNNNNNNNNNNNNNNNNNNNNNNNNNNNNNNNNNNNNNNNNNNNNNNNNNNNNNNNNNNNNNNNNNNNNNNNNNNNNNNNNNNNNNNNNNNNNNNNNNNNNNNNNNNNNNNNNNNNNNNNNNNNNNNNNNNNNNNNNNNNNNNNNNNNNNNNNNNNNNNNNNNNNNNNNNNNNNNNNNNNNNNNNNNNNNNNNNNNNNNNNNNNNNNNNNNNNNNNNNNNNNNNNNNNNNNNNNNNNNNNNNNNNNNNNNNNNNNNNNNNNNNNNNNNNNNNNNNNNNNNNNNNNNNNNNNNNNNNNNNNNNNNNNNNNNNNNNNNNNNNNNNNNNNNNNNNNNNNNNNNNNNNNNNNNNNNNNNNNNNNNNNNNNNNNNNNNNNNNNNNNNNNNNNNNNNNNNNNNNNNNNNNNNNNNNNNNNNNNNNNNNNNNNNNNNNNNNNNNNNNNNNNNNNNNNNNNNNNNNNNNNNNNNNNNNNNNNNNNNNNNNNNNNNNNNNNNNNNNNNNNNNNNNNNNNNNNNNNNNNNNNNNNNNNNNNNNNNNNNNNNNNNNNNNNNNNNNNNNNNNNNNNNNNNNNNNNNNNNNNNNNNNNNNNNNNNNNNNNNNNNNNNNNNNNNNNNNNNNNNNNNNNNNNNNNNNNNNNNNNNNNNNNNNNNNNNNNNNNNNNNNNNNNNNNNNNNNNNNNNNNNNNNNNNNNNNNNNNNNNNNNNNNNNNNNNNNNNNNNNNNNNNNNNNNNNNNNNNNNNNNNNNNNNNNNNNNNNNNNNNNNNNNNNNNNNNNNNNNNNNNNNNNNNNNNNNNNNNNNNNNNNNNNNNNNNNNNNNNNNNNNNNNNNNNNNNNNNNNNNNNNNNNNNNNNNNNNNNNNNNNNNNNNNNNNNNNNNNNNNNNNNNNNNNNNNNNNNNNNNNNNNNNNNNNNNNNNNNNNNNNNNNNNNNNNNNNNNNNNNNNNNNNNNNNNNNNNNNNNNNNNNNNNNNNNNNNNNNNNNNNNNNNNNNNNNNNNNNNNNNNNNNNNNNNNNNNNNNNNNNNNNNNNNNNNNNNNNNNNNNNNNNNNNNNNNNNNNNNNNNNNNNNNNNNNNNNNNNNNNNNNNNNNNNNNNNNNNNNNNNNNNNNNNNNNNNNNNNNNNNNNNNNNNNNNNNNNNNNNNNNNNNNNNNNNNNNNNNNNNNNNNNNNNNNNNNNNNNNNNNNNNNNNNNNNNNNNNNNNNNNNNNNNNNNNNNNNNNNNNNNNNNNNNNNNNNNNNNNNNNNNNNNNNNNNNNNNNNNNNNNNNNNNNNNNNNNNNNNNNNNNNNNNNNNNNNNNNNNNNNNNNNNNNNNNNNNNNNNNNNNNNNNNNNNNNNNNNNNNNNNNNNNNNNNNNNNNNNNNNNNNNNNNNNNNNNNNNNNNNNNNNNNNNNNNNNNNNNNNNNNNNNNNNNNNNNNNNNNNNNNNNNNNNNNNNNNNNNNNNNNNNNNNNNNNNNNNNNNNNNNNNNNNNNNNNNNNNNNNNNNNNNNNNNNNNNNNNNNNNNNNNNNNNNNNNNNNNNNNNNNNNNNNNNNNNNNNNNNNNNNNNNNNNNNNNNNNNNNNNNNNNNNNNNNNNNNNNNNNNNNNNNNNNNNNNNNNNNNNNNNNNNNNNNNNNNNNNNNNNNNNNNNNNNNNNNNNNNNNNNNNNNNNNNNNNNNNNNNNNNNNNNNNNNNNNNNNNNNNNNNNNNNNNNNNNNNNNNNNNNNNNNNNNNNNNNNNNNNNNNNNNNNNNNNNNNNNNNNNNNNNNNNNNNNNNNNNNNNNNNNNNNNNNNNNNNNNNNNNNNNNNNNNNNNNNNNNNNNNNNNNNNNNNNNNNNNNNNNNNNNNNNNNNNNNNNNNNNNNNNNNNNNNNNNNNNNNNNNNNNNNNNNNNNNNNNNNNNNNNNNNNNNNNNNNNNNNNNNNNNNNNNNNNNNNNNNNNNNNNNNNNNNNNNNNNNNNNNNNNNNNNNNNNNNNNNNNNNNNNNNNNNNNNNNNNNNNNNNNNNNNNNNNNNNNNNNNNNNNNNNNNNNNNNNNNNNNNNNNNNNNNNNNNNNNNNNNNNNNNNNNNNNNNNNNNNNNNNNNNNNNNNNNNNNNNNNNNNNNNNNNNNNNNNNNNNNNNNNNNNNNNNNNNNNNNNNNNNNNNNNNNNNNNNNNNNNNNNNNNNNNNNNNNNNNNNNNNNNNNNNNNNNNNNNNNNNNNNNNNNNNNNNNNNNNNNNNNNNNNNNNNNNNNNNNNNNNNNNNNNNNNNNNNNNNNNNNNNNNNNNNNNNNNNNNNNNNNNNNNNNNNNNNNNNNNNNNNNNNNNNNNNNNNNNNNNNNNNNNNNNNNNNNNNNNNNNNNNNNNNNNNNNNNNNNNNNNNNNNNNNNNNNNNNNNNNNNNNNNNNNNNNNNNNNNNNNNNNNNNNNNNNNNNNNNNNNNNNNNNNNNNNNNNNNNNNNNNNNNNNNNNNNNNNNNNNNNNNNNNNNNNNNNNNNNNNNNNNNNNNNNNNNNNNNNNNNNNNNNNNNNNNNNNNNNNNNNNNNNNNNNNNNNNNNNNNNNNNNNNNNNNNNNNNNNNNNNNNNNNNNNNNNNNNNNNNNNNNNNNNNNNNNNNNNNNNNNNNNNNNNNNNNNNNNNNNNNNNNNNNNNNNNNNNNNNNNNNNNNNNNNNNNNNNNNNNNNNNNNNNNNNNNNNNNNNNNNNNNNNNNNNNNNNNNNNNNNNNNNNNNNNNNNNNNNNNNNNNNNNNNNNNNNNNNNNNNNNNNNNNNNNNNNNNNNNNNNNNNNNNNNNNNNNNNNNNNNNNNNNNNNNNNNNNNNNNNNNNNNNNNNNNNNNNNNNNNNNNNNNNNNNNNNNNNNNNNNNNNNNNNNNNNNNNNNNNNNNNNNNNNNNNNNNNNNNNNNNNNNNNNNNNNNNNNNNNNNNNNNNNNNNNNNNNNNNNNNNNNNNNNNNNNNNNNNNNNNNNNNNNNNNNNNNNNNNNNNNNNNNNNNNNNNNNNNNNNNNNNNNNNNNNNNNNNNNNNNNNNNNNNNNNNNNNNNNNNNNNNNNNNNNNNNNNNNNNNNNNNNNNNNNNNNNNNNNNNNNNNNNNNNNNNNNNNNNNNNNNNNNNNNNNNNNNNNNNNNNNNNNNNNNNNNNNNNNNNNNNNNNNNNNNNNNNNNNNNNNNNNNNNNNNNNNNNNNNNNNNNNNNNNNNNNNNNNNNNNNNNNNNNNNNNNNNNNNNNNNNNNNNNNNNNNNNNNNNNNNNNNNNNNNNNNNNNNNNNNNNNNNNNNNNNNNNNNNNNNNNNNNNNNNNNNNNNNNNNNNNNNNNNNNNNNNNNNNNNNNNNNNNNNNNNNNNNNNNNNNNNNNNNNNNNNNNNNNNNNNNNNNNNNNNNNNNNNNNNNNNNNNNNNNNNNNNNNNNNNNNNNNNNNNNNNNNNNNNNNNNNNNNNNNNNNNNNNNNNNNNNNNNNNNNNNNNNNNNNNNNNNNNNNNNNNNNNNNNNNNNNNNNNNNNNNNNNNNNNNNNNNNNNNNNNNNNNNNNNNNNNNNNNNNNNNNNNNNNNNNNNNNNNNNNNNNNNNNNNNNNNNNNNNNNNNNNNNNNNNNNNNNNNNNNNNNNNNNNNNNNNNNNNNNNNNNNNNNNNNNNNNNNNNNNNNNNNNNNNNNNNNNNNNNNNNNNNNNNNNNNNNNNNNNNNNNNNNNNNNNNNNNNNNNNNNNNNNNNNNNNNNNNNNNNNNNNNNNNNNNNNNNNNNNNNNNNNNNNNNNNNNNNNNNNNNNNNNNNNNNNNNNNNNNNNNNNNNNNNNNNNNNNNNNNNNNNNNNNNNNNNNNNNNNNNNNNNNNNNNNNNNNNNNNNNNNNNNNNNNNNNNNNNNNNNNNNNNNNNNNNNNNNNNNNNNNNNNNNNNNNNNNNNNNNNNNNNNNNNNNNNNNNNNNNNNNNNNNNNNNNNNNNNNNNNNNNNNNNNNNNNNNNNNNNNNNNNNNNNNNNNNNNNNNNNNNNNNNNNNNNNNNNNNNNNNNNNNNNNNNNNNNNNNNNNNNNNNNNNNNNNNNNNNNNNNNNNNNNNNNNNNNNNNNNNNNNNNNNNNNNNNNNNNNNNNNNNNNNNNNNNNNNNNNNNNNNNNNNNNNNNNNNNNNNNNNNNNNNNNNNNNNNNNNNNNNNNNNNNNNNNNNNNNNNNNNNNNNNNNNNNNNNNNNNNNNNNNNNNNNNNNNNNNNNNNNNNNNNNNNNNNNNNNNNNNNNNNNNNNNNNNNNNNNNNNNNNNNNNNNNNNNNNNNNNNNNNNNNNNNNNNNNNNNNNNNNNNNNNNNNNNNNNNNNNNNNNNNNNNNNNNNNNNNNNNNNNNNNNNNNNNNNNNNNNNNNNNNNNNNNNNNNNNNNNNNNNNNNNNNNNNNNNNNNNNNNNNNNNNNNNNNNNNNNNNNNNNNNNNNNNNNNNNNNNNNNNNNNNNNNNNNNNNNNNNNNNNNNNNNNNNNNNNNNNNNNNNNNNNNNNNNNNNNNNNNNNNNNNNNNNNNNNNNNNNNNNNNNNNNNNNNNNNNNNNNNNNNNNNNNNNNNNNNNNNNNNNNNNNNNNNNNNNNNNNNNNNNNNNNNNNNNNNNNNNNNNNNNNNNNNNNNNNNNNNNNNNNNNNNNNNNNNNNNNNNNNNNNNNNNNNNNNNNNNNNNNNNNNNNNNNNNNNNNNNNNNNNNNNNNNNNNNNNNNNNNNNNNNNNNNNNNNNNNNNNNNNNNNNNNNNNNNNNNNNNNNNNNNNNNNNNNNNNNNNNNNNNNNNNNNNNNNNNNNNNNNNNNNNNNNNNNNNNNNNNNNNNNNNNNNNNNNNNNNNNNNNNNNNNNNNNNNNNNNNNNNNNNNNNNNNNNNNNNNNNNNNNNNNNNNNNNNNNNNNNNNNNNNNNNNNNNNNNNNNNNNNNNNNNNNNNNNNNNNNNNNNNNNNNNNNNNNNNNNNNNNNNNNNNNNNNNNNNNNNNNNNNNNNNNNNNNNNNNNNNNNNNNNNNNNNNNNNNNNNNNNNNNNNNNNNNNNNNNNNNNNNNNNNNNNNNNNNNNNNNNNNNNNNNNNNNNNNNUCUUUCUUCUCUUUCUCCCUCUUUGGUUUGGCUGCUCCCUUUCUUUUUGUCUCCCUCCUUCGUCCUUUCUCCCCUCCUUUUUCACGUAGAAAUAGGUUAGUUAACCUAUAUGUCUUCCAUCACCAACCCAACUAGGAUUAGGGAUCCUAAUUAAGCCCAAUUAUCUCCUUUUCUUUGUUUGACUUCAAAACACCUAAAAACAAAUAAAGUUAAUUAAAAAUAGGAAAACAUCACAAAAUAACUAAGUAAUAAGAAUAAUUAGCAUGAUAAAAGUCGCACAAAUAUGCGACUAUCAUUUGGAUUUGGAGAAUGUGAGAGAUUGUGCAAGUUCUGGAAGUAUUCAUGGUCCUGUGAGCCUUCCCUCUUUAAAAACCAUGUCCCUCAAGGACGUAACAUUUUUAGAUGAUGAGCAGGACACAGCCAUCUGUGCCUUCCCCAGCUUAGUUUCGGGGAGUCCUUGCAUUGAGCAUUUGUCAGUCGAUGGAUGUAAGCUCGGCUACUCUAUCUUGCAUAAUCCUUGGAAAUUAUGCAUUGUCAUUCUAUGAGAGUCACAGUUAGUGCCAUGAAUCUGGAGUCGUUUACAUUCUAUUCGGAUUGUACCUGUUCUUAUCAUAAUACUAUGUACUUGUUGGAAUGUGAUAGCUUGAAACAUGUGCACAUCUUUUGCAAGGGUUUGAAAAGGCUUCUGUCGCAUAAUUGCCUACAAAGUAUGGAGAACUCGUUUUAUACUCCAAAUCUAGAGUCUUUUGAGUUUGGUGGAUAUCUGAAGGCCAAGAUCCAUUUUACAGAAGCUCCAGCGAAUUUAGUAAACUCUACAAUCAGAGUUUCGGAGAACUUAUGGCCCAUUGAAUAUUAUUCUGCUAUGAGAGAUUUUCUUGGAAGUUUCGACUGCUCUAAAAAAGUGAAGAUACAUAUUGAAGAGCCUGAGGUAAUAUAUAAUUAUAUAGUCUGUAUUUCAAUUCUUUUAUUUCUUGCUUAUUGUUUCUGGCCUCUUAUAUCUAGCAUUGCAAUUUACACAUAGUUCCAAAAGUUAGACUAAAAACAAAAAGUAACUUCUAAUUUUAACCUGAGUGCCUGAAUUCCUCAUCCUUUGACAAUAUAUGAAUCUACAGUCGCUUACUCAAAGUAGAAGUAUUUUUGGUUAGUUAUAAGCCCUUUGCCCUAUUUAGUAAGUCCGUGGGGAGAUGAUUUCACAUUUGGAAGUGAGGGAAUGGUUGAAUGCUUGGUAUCAUGCUCUUAAUCCCUUUGGGCAUCCACAGAUUUGUUCUACUCUGAUGCAUUUAACCUGUGAUUCAGAACUUCCUUGUAUAAUACUCCUCAUGACUGAUAGGUAUUGGAGUCAUCAGAAUAGUAGGGAUGUGGUGGAUAGUUGGGUUAGAAUUUAGAAACCACUCAAAAAUGUCAAUUUGAUAAAGAAGUUUUAUUAAGAACUAGCACUAGACUUCUUCCCUCCUUUCUAUUUUUCCUUGCUUCUUCUGUCAAUUUGUUCCUCAUCAGGCUUUGUAAUAUAGAGGUAUACUUGAUAGGCACUCCAGGGUAUACAUAGACUAGCCUUUAUACUACGAACCGGUUAAGUUAGUAAAGAUACUGGAGCUUAGGAUGGAAUUUGAUGUGGAAAAGAUAUCGGGGUUUGAUUCUGUUGGCGUUUGAAGAUCUGCAGCACUGAUUGGGGGUUAAUCCUAUAACCUUCUAAUUACCAUAUCUGAUCUAAGAGAGGAUAUGUAUGCUGCUAUAACCUUCUAAUUACCAUAUCUGACCUAAGAGAGGACAUGUAUGCUGCUGUAGGACUCAGAUCGGUUAUUUGUUACUUUUUGUUGGUUAAUGCGAGCAUUUAAAUUGGAUUAUUUUAUACAGUAAGAUGUGAUGUGAAAAAGAAGUUAUAGUUGAAAAGUGCAUAACGCCAUUACGUUUUUCUUGUGAUUUUCAUCUUUAGUAACUUGUUGUCAAUGGCUUGUAGGGUGUCAUAAUACCAGAACAUUGCAGAACAGAAUUGUCUCCCCCAUUAUCUAGUAUUAAGCAGCUGCAGCUAUACUUUUCUCCUUCACUGGGGGAGAGAGAAUAUUGUUUGAGACAAUCAUUGAUUUGGAUGGCACCAUCUGCUGAAAUUCUACCAUUUCUAGAUCACGAUGACGAUGAUGAUUCUGAUGAUUUUGACGAUGAUGAUUACAAUAUUGUUGAUGAUGAUAAUGGCAUUGAUGAUGACAAUGGGAAUGUUGACAAUGAAGACGGCGACGAGUAAAUUGUGAUUAAGGUAGAUAUUCUGCAUGUUGUGUUACUUCAGAAAAAUGAUCAGUUCAAGCUAUAUUGUUGUGCCUAAUGAAGAUUGUUAGUUCCUAUGAAAAAAUUAAGAUUGUUGUAGUUCUUUUAUUUAAUUUAAGUAUAACGUUUUAUACUCGCAUUGACAUGGCCGAACGAAGCUAAUAAUUAACUGGUAUCUUCAUUCUAUUGGCGCUUAUUCUCGAUCAUUGGCAAUGGAGAGCGUAUUCAGCGCACCCGUCCAUCUCCGCCGUCCAUUUGACGCGGACUUUUGACUUUUUCAAAAUGGACGGCGGAGAUGGACGGGUGCGCUGUAUAAUUUUCGAUUGGCAAUGAUAUGUACUGCUCAAGUGAGAAUCCUUUGCAUGUCUUAAGUAUCUUAAGAUUAAUGUUGGGAUGCCUUUCCAUUUUGUAUUUGCCAUUAAGUUCAAGUUUUCUUUUCUUUUCAGGGAGGUGACCUCAUCCAGCGAAUUGGAAUUCAAGCUGUGAUCUCCAGUCUUUUAGUAUUUUGUACUUUUGUCUGAAUGGUGUAGUUUCGUUAAUUUGAAAUAUAAUAUUUUAUAUUAGCUUCUACGUUAGCUUUGGCAUAAAAAAGGGAAUAUAAGCUUUCACCACUAGACUUUCUGUCUACUUCUGCGUUAGAUUUUCCAGUUUCAAGAGGGUCUAACAGGACCGAGAUCUAAGCUCGAGCAAUACAGAACUGGAGAAGCCAUUAGCAAAGCAAGGGAUCAGUCGGAUGUCGGAUCACUGAUUGAGAAUUUGAACCUCCUGGCUGAAGCAAAAAGCACAGAGAAAGCUUAACUUGGAGACUGCCCAUAUUCGCAGUCGAAAUCGAAGAAGCGGCUCAACAACCUCAUUUUCAGCUGGCUCAUAAGCUCUUCCUUCUCCCAUGUUCUCUCUGUUCUACCUAUUCCAUCAUUCCAUGUUUGUGUUGACGGUAUUUGUAAUCAAGAAUUUCAUGAUAUGUUAGAAGUAAGAGCUCAUUCCCUGUUUUUCAAUACCCAAAUGUGUUGGGCCCUCUAAUCCCGUAGGCCCAAACGUCAUUCUAUUCCUAUAUGACACCUGACCUCUAGAGAGUCCUCUAUCCCUACCUGUCCUCAUUUCACUACCUCAAAAAAUGUGGAGAAGGAGAUGUUACAAAACCUCAAGUCCCCAUUUGUUUAAUGGGAAAUCAUGGUAUGGAAAUGUAAUUAGUUUUAUUUUCCAUUCUAAUGUGUUGCUUGGUUGUAAAUGAAGAUUGGAAAGGAAACAAAAAAUGAGAUAUGACUGAAAAUGACUCCCUUAUAAAGCCUGAAUUGUAUUACCUAGUUAGGGGUGAUAUUCUAUUUCCAUUCCCACCGUCAAAGGUAAAUUACAGAAAUUAGACAUCUAUAAAGUUUAAAUUUUCUUAAAUAGAUUACAUAUGCAAUUAGUAAAAGGGUGUUACUGGAAAUUAUAGAUUUAAAGUUCAUUAUUAUGACUUAUUAAAUAUGGUGUAAUUGGAAUAGAAAUAAAUUAAUAAUUCAAUUAUAAUAACAACCAAACACCUACAUGGAAAUAACAAAACCUUUUCCUUUCCAUAUCAGUCGGGAAAUGAAAAUAAGGAAGCCUUUCUAAUGAGGACCCUUAAGUUGAGGACUUUUCGGUUUAUCCCACAUUUCGAUCUUAUAUCCACAUCUUAACCGUUCAGUUUAUAGGUAAUUAUGAGUAGAUCAUUUCUGCAAAUUUUCAGCCAUAUUGAAAAUAGUUAAGACAUUCAUAAGUGUGAUUUACCAAUUAUGAACUUGAACGGUUCAUGUUUGACAAAUUUAGUUCGUCUAUUAAUUUGAUCUAGUUUGUUACCUUAAUAAUCACCGAUUUGGCUGAAAAUUUGUAGGGUUGAUCUACACAUAUAGACCUAAAAAUUGAACGGAUGAGAUGCCAAGAUGUGAUAAAAAAAUAGGUCUUUUAAACCAUAAACCGAAAAGUCCUCAACAUAUUUCAAACACUACUAAAUCAUUUUCCUAUCCUGACAUUCUUGCUAACCAAACAUGGCAUAAGGAGCAUAGAAGAAGAGGAUGAUGAUGAAACCUUCAUUGAUUUGGAUGGCACCAUCUGCUGAAAUUCUACCAUUUCUAAAUCACGAUGACGACGAUGAUGAUUAUUGUAAUACCCCGGAAUUUUGAUAUUAGUUUCUAAUAUUAUUUGUGAAUUUUUCGAGUUAGAAGUUAGUGUGUUUUGAGGUUCGAAGGAAGAACGGAGGUGUUCGAGAGAUUUCUUUGUUGAAAAUGCUUUAUUUUGAAGGGUCAAGAGUUGACUUUUUAUCUGUAAGUUAUUUUCGAAAACUUCCUUCAUGAAAGUUAUAGAGUUUGUCGAUACGAGUUCGUAGACAUGCGGCACGCAUAAAACGGAUGUCGUAUGAGAAAGUUAUGGUCAGAGGAAGUUAGUUUCCGGUUUUGGAAAUGUGUAUAAGUAGAAAAAUGUGUGUGGGUUAUUUUUAUAAACCCUAAAUUGCAGCAGCCCCAUUUCAGUUUCUCUCUCUCUCUCUCUCCCGUCUCCAUUUUCACCCUCAAACUUCUUCCGGCCAUAACUCGGCCAUCCGGCGACGGAUUUAGGUGUGCUUGGUAUCGUUGGAAAGCUCUCACUCCCCUCUUUCUAUUCAUUCCAGCCUCACACCCUAUGGAGCACUAUGCACGGCGCAGAAAGGCCCGCAAGUUACUGCUGCCGCCGGCGGUGAAGCUCCGACCUAUUCCGGCGACAUCGAGGUUUGAGGCUACCCAUUUCUGGAAGUUCUUGUCCUUCUAAGCAUGAUGAUACCAGCUUUGAAGCCUAAUUCUAAGCGUGGAGCUUUCGAGUUCAAAGUGCUCCUUGUUUCUUUCCGGCGACGUUUGGUAUCGUUGGAAAGCUCUCACUCCCCUCUUUCUAUUCAUUCCAGCCUCACACCCUAUGGAGCACUAUGCACGGCGCAGCAAGGCCCGUAAGUUACUGCUGCCGCCGGCGGUGAAGCUCCGACCUAUUUCGGCGACAUCGAGGUUUGAGGCUACCCAUUUCUGGAAGUUCUUGUCCUUCUAAGCAUGAUGAUACCAGCUUUGAAGCCUAAUUCGAAGCGUGGAGCUUUCGAGUUCAAAGUGCUCCUUGUUUCUUUCCGGCGACGUUUCCGGCCGAAUUGGCUUUGGCCACAGGUAUGAAAACUGUUUCAUUUGAUGUGUUCUACAAGUUUCAUGUUGUGAGUUUCCCCAAAUUUUGAAGUUGGUGAGGCGUGUGGGGCUCACUCGCCGCCGCCGCUUGUGGUGGCGCGUGGGAGCGCGUCCGGGCAAUGUGAUUGAGUUAGUUGCUGUGUUAGCUAGUUGUGUCAUUGUGAGUGACUGCUUUACUGAUUUGAUUUGGUUUUUCCUUAUUUAAUCUUCUGGAAAUUUGGGUAUGUUGCUAUUGCUAUCUUGGUUGUGUAUCGAAUUUGGUUGGUUAGUGACCUUCUUUUGGUCUCGACCUUGUGUCCUAUUUUUAUUGAUCUUUCUGGAAAUUUAGGAUAUUGUUGUUGUAGAUAUGAUGUGGGUGUGUCAACUUUUCUGUGAAUCUUGAGAGGUCUCGAGGAAAGCUUGUUCUCAAGGGACAAGUCUUUGGGUUAAGUUAGGGUCUAGGUCCAAGAGUGAAAUGUCUUGGUCGCAACUAGUUAGUGUAAAUGGCAAUCACUUGUUUUGUUGGUCACUAAGUUGUUUGUGAUAUCUAGGUGAUUAGCGAAGUUGGUGUUGUGCUUGUUCUUAUUGUGUGUGAAGACGCAACAGGAGUUAAAGGUGAGUAAAUCUCACAUGGGUUCAUAAAAGAACCGAGUUUACUUUAUAGUUUAUUAUUGCUAAUUAUGAAGUUGUCCUUGAAGGAAAAUGAUUUUGUCUUUAAAUAUAAAUGAGUUUGAUCGUCAACGACUCAUGGUAAGUGAAACAAGUUUUCUGUUAAUAAUACUCUUUCAAAAGGACUUCCGAUCAUGAGUCAUAAUUAGAGUUGGUAGAUUAUUUUUGUUUUUAAAUAUUUAUAUCCAUGUGUGUAUGUGUGAAAGGCAUAUUAUGAUCAUGUGAUAUUGUGAUGUUAAAAUAUGGUUGUUGAUAGAUUAUUCUAGUGGGAAUAUCUAUGUUUUUUUCGUAUAAAUAUAUCUAGGUGGAAAGAUAUAAUUUAUGAUGUGCUCUGGUGUUGUUGUUGAUGAUAUUUUUUUUAUUGUGAAUUGUUGUUUAAAUAGUCAAAUCGGGUUCUAAGCUUUUAAUCGGGUGAUUGGUUACGGUUAUGAUGAUUUUUUUUACUUUGUGAUUUGUUAAGUGUUAUGAUGAGAGAGUAUUUGAAUGUGUGCCUUAGUGGUACGUGAUUGUGUGCAUUAGUUGUGGAUGUGUGUGCUCUAGUGGUGAUCGUGUGCAUUAGUUGCGGAUAUGUGUGCCUUAGUGGUGAUUGUGUGCAUUAGAUUAGGAGCCUUCGUGGUGGACCGGGAACCAAGCCUUGGCCGGGUGAUUGGUUAUGGUUAGUAUAGAGCUCUAGUUUGUCUGUCAGUACUUCAUGGGAGAUGACUAAUGGGAGAUGACUAAGUGUUAACGAACCCAUGAGUACGUGUUUGUUUGGUUACUUAUGGGGGAUGACUAAGUAUUGACGAACUCAUAAGUAAGAGUAGAGAAAUGAUUGUGUGAUGUUCUUAUGUGUUGUUAUUUAAAUUUCUUGCUUUGAGUAUCUCCUGAACUAUGCUUAUCCGCAGGAGAUUCAUUAAUCUUAAUUAUGUGAUUUUAAUAGGAUUCAUUUAUGAUUUUGAGUGAUUUUGAAUUGUUGUGUUUUUCUUAAUUCUUUUUUUUUUGAAUUCUCUUGCUUUUAGGUGAUUCCUGAACUAAGUUGCUCAUGCAGGAAUUACUAGUUUUAUUAUAUGUGAUGUUGGGAUUGUUGAGUUAUUAUUUUGAGAGUUACUUAUACGAGCUUUUUAGCUUACCGGGUUUGUUGUUUACAACCCGGUGCACCAAUUCAUGGUGUAGGGGUUAGACCUGCAGGUGAUGAUCAACAAGGUUGAGGCAGUGGCUUAGAAGCUGGGUUUUAGACGAUAUACAUUUAUUUGUAUAUUAUGGCAAUUGUUUUUAAGCUCAUGUGAGCAACUUUAUUAUCACUAGACUUUUGAAGUUGAUGUAAUUAAGGAGUUAUAAUAUUUAACUCGGUUGAUGAGCUUAUUGACAUUUACAUUCCAGUAUUUGUUUUUAGUUUGGAAGUUGUUGAGCAGGUUUUGGGAUAUUAAGUUUUUGAGUUAUAUUAUGCCCAAAUUUUUAAAAAUUUAACCUUCGAAAAUUGGGGUGUGACAGUUUGGUAUCAGAGCCUAGGGUUGCAUAUUUGGUGAUAAUCAGUAUCUUUGAGUGAUGGCCCGACUACAGCGGAUCCCCAUCAUACUCUUUGGUACUGAUAUGUCAUUGGGUAUGCGGGAGGCAAAGAUGUUGUCUUAAGCGUUAGGUUUCCAGAGCAUAGGUUUGCUCUGUAAGCAAGGAGUGCGAGUGUGGGUAGAGUUUCUUGAGGAUUAGUCUUUUGAGGAAUAAGAAUCAUUAGAUUGACUCCUUUUCAGCUGCCCGUGGUAAGCUGGAGGAUUUGUGAUUGGUGAGCAAAGUUUAGGAGUGAAAUGUACUUUGUUCUCUUUUCUUCUUCAUGAGAGUGAGCUAUGAUUUUUGGUGUGUCUUUUCUGUGAUGUUGUGGUGGUGUGGUGUUUUGAUUAAGUUAUGGAGUUAAGGUCUUGUGUUGCAGUUAAGGUCUUGUGUUUGACUUCUGUUGUAGAUGUGAUGCAAUUGAAUUAUGUGGCUCAUACAUCAUUCUUUGUUGUGGUGGUAGAGAUUCUCUACCAUGCGAUUUUGUGUGUGAUCUGAUGUCAUGAUCUUUGUGACUUAUUCGGGGUUAGCAUUUAGCUUGGUUGUGGUGUUCUAAGUGGUUGAACACUAUUUGAGUUAUACCCCAUGUGUUAUUGACUCUUGAAAGAUUUAUGUGUAGUCAUUGUUUUAUGUUAUAGUAGCAGGAUAGUUGUGUGUGCGCGGAAAUGCUAUAUUGCCUCGAGUUGGAAGGCGUUAUUAAUUGUUGUUAUGUUAAGUGGUGCACUUAUGCUGAAUCAUUGAUCUUGACGCAUGUUGACCUUCGAGGUCUUACGGCCAUGCAGAGUGCUACGCGUCUAAUUUAAGACGCGAAUUUGUUGUCCGUAGCUUGAUAGAUGGGUUGGACAAUGGGGUGGGGGAAAUGGUCAAUAUGUGGUGAGCCAUGUUUGACUUCUAGGUGAGCAUUGUUAUGCAUCGUAGGAUGUUGUUACGUCUUUGUUAUGCUGGUGGAAAUUCUAUGUCAUUUUUCUUAUUGCAUAAUCUCAUGUUAUUAAGAUAUAUAUAUAUAUAUAUAUAUACAUUUUUUUAUUUUUUUAUGUGACUAUAUGAAUGAGUUUUUGUGUGGAUCUGAUGACUUCGUGAUUUAUGGACUUGUAGCAAUGUUGAUUUCGGUUGUGUGCCAAUGUUCUUUUGAAAGCUCGUAGUGUCAUGGUGAGUUGACAACGAUGCGAUGUAGAUAUUGUUUUGGGUUGAGUUCACAUUCUUGUGUAGUUUGUGUGUGUUAUUUUGGUUAGCAACGUAGUGGUUGUGAAAUAUGCAGGGACGAGUUUUGCGAACCAUUCAGUUACCACCAAGUGGGGUGGUAGGGUGAAUUCGUGUCUGGCUUCAGGUGACCAAGACAACGAAAGCGGUGUGGUUACAUUCAUUGUUGAUGUUCGACUUGAUUUUCUAUGAAGUUGUAUGGCAAAAUUAUUGAGGAAACUCGAUAUGCUUGUGGAGGCUUUGAGACGAGAGAGAUUGUUUGGUAGUAUGAACCUGUUUUUGGGGGAGAAGUUAGCAGCACUUGGGUGGAGUAGUGCAUUUAAAUUUCAGGGACGAAAUUUCUUUAAGGGGGGUAGAAUGUAAUACCCCGGAAGAAGUUUCAACUAUACCAGUUUUUUUGAUACGAAAGUAAAUCAAAUAUAAAACAUUACAGACAGUUGCCUCUCAGACAACCAGUUCCUAAAUUAUCAAAUUGAAUACAUCGGGUGACUCUUCUCAGAAGGUUGUUUUCCCAUACUCUUUCUUCUGUGGUUUGGUGUCUUGUGCUUGCAAUUGCAUCUGCCGCAAAGUUUGCUUCUCUAUAAAUGUGUUUAAAGGAGAUGGUGCUGAAACCUUUUGCAAUUUUCUUGAUGUCUUGGACAAUUUGCUUAAUCCUCCAAGGUGAACUGAUAUUCUCAUUAACUGCCUCAAUGACCAUUUUUGAAUCCCCUUCUACUUGGAUGUCAGUGUAACCUUUUGCUUUAGCGUUGAUUAGGCCGUCUCGUAAGGCAGUAGCUUCUGCUAUUGGAGCUGAAGUGAUGCCCAGGUUUCUUGAACUUGCAAAAACUGGGUUCCCUUCUGAAUCUCUGAAAAUUACUCCUGAAGCAGCAGAGGUGUUUGAAACAGAACCUUCAAAGUUGAUCUUCAAAGUCCUAUCAGGAGGGGGAAGCCAUCUAAUAGCUUAAGUAGGGUUUUGAGAGGUCUCUCCAUGAUAAACCUGGUUAUGAAGACUGUAGCUUUUUUCAAUGGCAGCACCAGCAGAAAUUACUACUUGUGGUCUUUCAUUGAUAUUUCUAAAGGACAAGUCAUUUCUUGCCUUCCAUAUUUGCCAACAGAGAAUAAUAUAUUUAGCAAAGAGAUCUGUUUCAAUAUUUUUUCCUGAAGAGAGUUUAUUUAGAUUUUCAAUAUAGUUAUAAGAAAAAAGAUAAUGGUGUAAAUUGGAUUUUCUCCAAACUUCUAUAGCAAAAGGGCAGUUCCCAAAAAGGUGUUCUACAGUUUCAUUAUCAGAAUUGCAGAGAUUGCAAGUGAAUUGCAAGUGUUGUCAUUCAAAUAACCAAAUCUGGUUAACCUGUCUUUUGUUUUCAGUCUGCCUCUCAUAAGAAGCCAACAAAAAAUUUUCACUUUUGGUGGGAUAUUUAGUUUCCACAUCUUGUUCAUAAGCCUAGCUUGGGGGUGUUUUUCAGUAUCACUGCAUUGUAUCCAAGUAGCAGUUUUUAUGGAGAACUUACCAUUAGCUGCAGGGCCCCAGACAAAUUGGUCUUUUUGAUUCCCUGAAGGGAUAGGAAUUCCAAUAAUUUGUUUAACUAUUUCCCAGUCUAAAACUCUGAGGAGUUUAACUUUAUCCCACUUAUGACCUGUAAUAAAAUCUUUGACAGUAGCCUCCCAAUUGAUAUUAUUUCUUUGGUUAAUGGGAAUGAGAUUAGCAAAGAGGAAAUGGGAAUAUCCAAUUGAAAGUCCAAAACUUAAUGCUUUCCCCAUUUCCAAUUGUCCAUCUCAUACCUUCAUUUACCAGCUCUCUACUAUCUAGAAUGCCUUUCCAGGCAUAAGAGGCUUUAACUUUCUUGGUAGCCUGAAAGAAGGAUUUUUUCGCAGGUACUUUCUUUUAAUAAUUUGUACUCACCAAUUAUUAGGCUCCGUAAUUAUUUUCCAAGCUAGUUUAGCAAUUGCAGCAUUGUUAUAGAAGGCAGUUGGUCUCACACCAAGUCCCCCAACUUUUUUUGGGGUGCAGACUUUAUCCCAAGCAAUUGGGGGAGUUGUAGCAUUUGAACCCCAAAGAAAGUUUCUAGCUUCUUUAUCUAUAGAAUUUGAGAGCUUCUUAUUGCAUUUGAAAAUGAAAGAACAUGGUUUGGCAUUCCAGAAAGGUUUGUCUUAAUGAGAGUUAGUCUACCAGCUCUCGAUAAGGUACUUUUUUUCCAACCCGCGAGCUUACCAUUUAUUUUGGAAAAGAGUUCUCUAGAGUUAACUGGGUCUUUCCAGAAAACUAUAUUAUGAAUUCCUAAAUACGUCCCUAUAACUUUUUUCUGUCGGAUACCAAGUAUACUUGAGAUAUUGGUUCUAACAGAGUUGUUAGUAUUAUUAGAAAAGAAAAGGGAGGACUUAUGAAAGUUGAUUUUUUGACCUGAAACUUUAGCAAAAAGAUCUAGGCUAUGUAGAAUGUUUUUAGCAGCUUUGUUAGUAGCUUUAGCAAAGAUCAAACGGUCAUCCGCAAACACUAGGUUUGAGAUUCUAAACCCACAGGGGGAGGAAAGAAGACCAACAUUUGUUUUCAAGUUUUUGGUCAGAGAAUUUAGAUUCCUAAUUAAAGGUUCCAUGCAAAGUAUAAAGAUAUAAGGAGACAGAGGAUCUCCUUGUCUUAUUCCUCUACUUGGUUUAAACCAAUUAAUAGAUCUUAUUGCUUUGUUGAUGCGAAUGAUAAGCUGUUAACUCAGACGACUAAUUUCUAUUAACUGCAACUAUGAUUGACGUGUGACUUUCGUUUUUCUCCUUACACCUCGUGGUUGGUAUUGUGGUUUUUGUUUCGCUGAAUUAGUGGCUUUCGUUUAUGCAUGUACAUUUCUGGUGCGUCUAUUGUUACACUACUAAAUAUUUUUGUUCGCUCUACACAUCUUUGGUUUGUUGUAGACUAAAAUACUUUAGAAUUACAGGAAAACACUUGUUUUAGAAAACUUAUUUACCUAAUAACCAAAGUACAAUUUUCUUUGGGUGAUAUACUUUUCACCGGUUUCAGAAUGAUGCCUCCUUUGUUCUUCUUCUUAAGAUUUUCCAUUAGACCUUUGAGAUCAUGGAUUGCUGAUUUCAAAUCUUUGAUGGUAAUGUUGCAAAUGCAUGCUUUUAAGAGACGCUUCUCCGGUUCUCUCCAUUUUAGAGCUAACCAACCAUUGCUGGCAGUGGAUCAUCUCCUAGCUCAUUUAUCAAAAUUCAGAAGCAUCAUUUGACAUGCAUGAUACAUCGUCGCAAAGUUAUUUUACAAAAAAUAACAGUAAACGAAAAGUUAGUAAAGGACACAAGUCACACAACCACUAAGAUCAAAUUUUUACUAACAAUAUUAAUAGGGAAGUAAAAAUACUCUAUGAGUCUAUUAUGAGUCUUUUUUGUAAGGAACUCUUCUAACGAGGACAUUUAACUGUGUAUUGCUUCAUCCAUUUAAUAGGGAAGUAAAAAUACUCUAUGAGUCAAUUAUAAGUUUUUUUUAAGAAACCUUUCUAAUGAGGACCAUUCUAGCAAAGUUUUUAUGUAGUGUUUUUCUUACCACGUGACGAACUCACAGUAAGACGGCUCAAUAGAAUCACAGAAAAUUACAUUGAAUGACAAAAUUACCCAUACUUUUCUAACGUGUAAUUCUCAUAAUUACCCUGAUGGCCCAAGUGUAUUUCAGUCUUUCCAUUCCUAUAUGCCCAAAGCCCCCCCCGACUUAUCCUAGUAGCGUCGUCACAUUUCACUACCACCGCCGAAAACACUGAAAAAUGUGGAGAAGGAAAUGGUACAAAACCCUAAGGAGCACAGAAGAAGAUGAUGAAACCGCUGCCACCUCCGCCAACACAAUCCCUUACUUACCUGACAACGUCAUCGAGAAGAUCCUCUCCUUCCUUCCAGUCAGAGACGCCGCUGUGGCAACCGCCGUUUCGAAGCAGUGGAGAUCCCUCUGGCCUUCCUUCCCUGUUAUCGAUAUCGAAGAGAAACGCUUUCGCGAACCUCGAUGUUUCGUCGACUUCUUGCGCUACUCUCUCAGACGAUGCAGGGGUCAGAGGCACUUGGACAAGUUGAGGAUUCGAGCCAACCUCCAAUACGGCUACUUUUUGGUAAGAGAAUGGGUCGAUUUUGCAAUUGAGAGGUGCGUCAAAGAGUUAUAUCUUCAGGAUAAUAAUAAAUUGCAUCAAAACUUGCUGAUUACCCAUGACGUUUAACUCUGCAAUGUUUAACUGGACUGAAUUUGGAGAAUGUGAGAGUAUAUGCAAGUUCCGGAAUUAAUGGCCCUGUGAGCCUUCCCUCAUUGAAAACCAUGUCCCUCAAAGACGUGACAUUUUUGGAUGAUAGGGAUGCCACAGCCAUUGGGGCCAUCCCCAGCUUAUUUUCAGGGUGUCCUUGCAUUGAGCAUUUGUCAAUUCAUAGUUGUAGGCUUGGCCGGUCUACUAUGGACCUUGAAAUUUCAAGUGACAGUCUGAAAUCCUUGGAAAUUGUGCAUUGUCAUUCUAUGAGAGUCCAAGUUACUGCCAAGAAUUUGGAGUCUUUUACAUUCUAUGCGGAUUGUACCUGUCCGUACCAUAGGACUAUGUACUUAUGGGAAUGUGAUGGCUUGAAACAUGUGCACAUCUCUUGCAAGGGAUUGAAAAAGCUUCUAUUGCAUGAAUGCCAACAAAGCAUUGAGAACUCGUUUAUACUCCACAUCUGGAGUCCUUUGAGGUUAGUGGAUAUCUGAAGGCCAAGGUCAAUUUUGCGGAAGCUCCUGCGAAUUUAGUAACCUCUACAAUCAGAGUUUGGGAGACCUUAUGGCCCAUUGAAUAUUAUUCUGCUAUGCGAGAAUUUCUUGGAAGUUUCGAUUGCUCCAAAAAAGUGAAGAUACAUAUUGCAGAGGAUGAGGUAAUCUCUAUCUCAAUUCUUUUAUUGCUGUUUAUUGUUUCUGGCCUCUUAUAUCUAUCAUUGCAAUUUGCACAUAGUUGUUCCAGAAGUUAGACCAAAAACAAAAGGUAACUUUCAAUUUUAACCCGAUUGCCUGAAUUCCUCAUCCUUUUAAACUUAAUGAUUCUAGACUAGCUUACUCAAAGUAGAAAUAUUUUUGGUUAGUUAUAACUUAUAUACCCUUUCCCCUGAUUUGUAAGUCCGAGGGGAGAUAAUUGCACACGUGGAAAUGGGGGAAAAGGUCAUUGCGUUACAUCAUGAUCUUCAUCCCUUUGGUCAUUUGCGCCUUUGUUCCACUCAUGCAUUUAAUCGGUGUUUCAGAACUUUCUUGUGUAAUACACCUCAUGAUUGAUAGGUAUCGGAAUCGUCGGAAUAGUAGGGAUGUGGUGGAUAGUUGGGUUAGAAAUCACUCAAAAAUGAAAGGUAAGAUAAAGAAGUUUCAGUAAGAACUAGGACUAGACUUCCCCCACCCCCCUUUCUACUUUCCUCUCUUCUUUUUUUUGUGUGUCUCCUCAUCAGGCUUGGUAGCAUAGAGGUACAUUUGAUACGGAAGCUAUACAUAGACUAGUCUUCAUACUACGAAGAGGUUAAGUGAGUAAAGAACAUGGAGCUUAGGAGGGAAUCUGAUAUGGAAAAGAUGUUGGGGUUUGAUUCUGUUGGCAUUUGAAAAUCUGCAACCCCUGAUGGGGGCUAAUCAUAAACCUUCAAAUUACCAUAUCUGACCUAAGACAGGACAUGUAUGCUGCUAUAGGACUCAGAUUGGUUUUAUGUUACUUUUUGUUGGUUGAUGUGAGCAUUUAAAUUAGAUUAUUUAGUAUGAUGCGAUGUGAAAAAGAAGAUAUAGUUUAAGAGUGCAUAACACAAUUACGUAUUUCUUGUGAUAUUCAUCUUAAUAACUUGUUGUCAUUAUGGCUUAUAGGGUGUCAUAAUACCAGAACAUUGCAGGACAGAAUGGUCUCCUCCAUUACCUAGUAUUAAGCAGCUGCAGCUAUACUUUCCCUCAUUAGGGGAGAGAGAAUAUUCUUUGAGACCUUCAUUGAUUUGGAUGGCACCAUCUGCUGAAAUUCUACCGUUUCUAAUUCACGAGGAUGAUGAUGAAUAUGAUAAUUUUGGUGAUAACGAUUACAAUAUUGUUGAUGAUGAAAAUGACAUUGAUGACGACAACGAGAUUGUUGGAGAUGAUGGAUGACCGCGACGAUGAGUAAAUUUGGAUUAAGGUAUAUAUUCUGUCUGUUUUGUUACUUUAGAACAAUGAUCACUUGAAGCUAUACUCUUGUGCCUAAUGAAGAUUGUUAGUUCCUAUGAAAAAAAUUAAGAUUGUUGUAGUUCUCUUAUCUAAUGUAAUAAAUAAGGGUUUAUGCUCGUACUGACAUGGCCGAAGCUAGUUAAAUAACUGGCACCUUCAUUCCUUGGGCGCUUAUUCUUGACUAUUGACAACGAUAUGUACUGCUUUAGUGAUAUUGAUAUCCUUUGUAUGUCCUAAAUAUUUUGAGAUUAAUGUUGGGAUGCCUUUGCAUUUUGUACUUGCUAUUAACUUCAUGUUUUCUUUUCUUCCCAGGGAGUUUAAGAGUUCAAGUUUCAGUAUUUAACUCUCGGACUCAUCCAUUGCAAAGCACAGCGAAUUGGAAUUCAAGUUGUGAUCUCAGUCUUUUUGUAUUUUGUCUGAAUGGUGUAGUUUCGGCAAUUGCAAAUAUAGUCUUUAACUGUUGGACCUCAUCCAGUGCAAAGCUUAGCAAAUUGAAACUCUUGCUCUGAUCUUAGUGCUCGCAUUCUUGUUGGAUUAGUGUAGUUUCCUUUGCACAAUUUGAAUCAUAUCAUCAGUUCAUCACUCCUUGUCAGAUAGAGAUUUCGGAAGAGUGGGAAGUCUCCUCCCGUGGAAACAAUUUUCUGCUUGCAGAACCAAACAUGGCGCUGAAUAAGAGCAUGGAGCAAUUAUCUUCAAGCUCUUUUAUAUGGUGAAUGGAGAGCAUUGCUGAUUAUCCUAGAUGCUUUUGCCUUAACUUGAGCAUGUUAAACACUAGAAUCCAUCUUUUGCAAUUGUCAGUGAUCUUAUUGCUUUGUUGAUGCAAAUGAUACUUUGUAAACUUAGACAACUAAAUUUCUAUUGAAUGCUGAUAUGAUCGAUGCAAGUACAAAACAGAACAAAGCAAGUGUAAGCUUGAAUGUUGGGUCAGUGAUUGAAGCUCAAGUCAUGCUCAUACAUAUGCGUAUUUUUGAGGAGCCUCCCCUCCUUGCUGAAGCUAAAAUCACAGAGAGCUUAUGAGGAGAACCGCGGAUCGCCUAACUCUGCGGUCAUUGUUACCUAUUUGCGUGAUACAAAUGAGGGUUCAGGCUUGUAUACCGAGUGAGAGUGCUCUCGAAAGAACUUUGGGGCGUGGCAAUUUAGCAAUUUAUGUUGUCACUAGCUAAUCAAGAUAGUGACAGUGAAUUAGACACUAGUUAGAAUUAUCAUCUACGUUUUGAAAUAAGAAUAAUAAUUCAAGAACAUUUUUACCAGAUUCUCUCUCAGCUCGUUAGUUAUACUAGAAAACAUGUUUAGGCUUUUAUCAGUUUGAGCAUGUUUAGUUUUAUUAGGUACUAGAGUAGAGUAUAGUAAUAUUUGUGAUUCUUUUAUUGAUAUCUUUGAUUGCUAUGUACUAUUCAUGUUCAUGUGCAUUCCAAGGAGGCAAGGAGUGGUUAUAUGGCUCUCCAUUUUAUUUUCAGUUAUUUUGCUCCUAAAUAUUCAGAGGCAUCAGACUUUCUAUAAUAUAAACAUUCAUUUUAAUUAGCUACUUUUUAUUCAUAUUGAUUAAACUAUAUAUGUGACCACAACAUGGGAAUCAUGCGACCACAACAUGGGAAUCAUGCUUCAAUGAAUGAAAAGCAUUUUAUCACUCAAAUGAAAAUAAAGCUAGCAUGCAUAACUCAUCAAAUGAAUAAACUGAGGGUUCAAAUGAAUAAGCUAGCGUGCAAGAUUGAAUGCUUCGUGUCUUCUUUAUCAAUAGAGCUCAUGUCAAUGGGGGGCCAAUGAACAAGAAAAUAGUUGUACCAGAUAAUGAGAUUGGGACAAGAAAGUGGAGAAACAAAAAAUCCGGGCCAUUAUCGAAAACCAAAAUACAUGCAUUUUGGACCAUACCAAUAGUCCUUACUCAUAAGUGAUCCCAUCUACUUGAAUGAAACCUCAUUUUAGAUGAACGAAAAGUAGUUAACCCUCAAACUUUGAAGGUACAGGUUUAUUAGCACAAAUUGACAAUGUCUGAAUAUGAAAAGGGGAAAGACAUUGUCCCCGGGAAUAGAUUGAAAAGCCUCAAUCACUAUGAAUAUGACCAUUACAGGCAGCCACAUAUGUAACAAUCGUGGUACUAUUUACAUACAUUUAUAUAAAUUGACUAACGAAUCCUUCAUUAUUGGUUGGUUUGAAUCACUUGUAUUUCUAUUGAUCAAAAUAUUUUCAGUACACGACAUGUAUUUUCAUUUUCUUUUUAUUGAAUUGUUCUUAUUUAAAUUCAUUUAAUGUAAACUACAAUGAAAAUAGUUAGAGUGUUUCUUUACUUCUCUGUCAUCAGCUAUUUAGACAGGAAACUAAAGUGAUAAAUCAAUGAUUCAAUAGCUUUAUUAUUAUCUUCGAUCUAUUUUNNNNNNNNNNNNNNNNNNNNAGGAGUCUCUCUCUCUCUCUCUCUCUCUCUCUCUCUCUCUCUCUCAUGAAGCAUGUAUGGUGCUCUAGAGAGUGCAUCCCCUCUAUUCAACCGGGGUUGUUUGGUUGAUUAUUGUGGUCCUCGGGUGGAGAUGGAUCGGGAUUUAGUUUGUUGUAGGUGAAGGAAUUUUAAUUAGUGCGGAAUUAGUUUAACCAUUAAACUACUAACUAAAUAAAAAUUCCAUUCCUUUAACCCAUGAUCUUGGUUUAUUGUGAUAUGUAUAUAAACAUAGCAUAUAUGGUAAGGAAGAACAAAGAGGGAGUUUAUGUUCUACUCACCCUUGGAGCGUGAUUUCAAUCCGAUCCAAGUGAACCACCAAAGCUCUUCUCCUUGAUCGAUCUCUCCUUGUGUGUGUUUCCUCCACCUUGAAACACAUGAUUAAGAACUCAUUGUGCUAGUAAGCUCUUCCUUUAUGUAGUAACUAAAGCCACAAAAUAAUGUGACCUCUAAGGAUCUUCACCAAGUAAGUCAAGAGAUGAAGAAGAUGAAAGGAAUGAAAGAAGUAUGCAAGUAUUCUUUCUUCCUUUGUUACCAAAUUAUGAAAAUGGAAAGAGAGAGAGAGAGAGAGAGAGAGAGUUUUUCAGAUCAACUAGAGAUAGAAAAUGAAAAACUCAUAUUACCUUACGUCCAUGCUUUCACUUUAUAUAGUUGGAAACUUUCACUUUAUAUAGUUGGAAACUAUUUCAACAUUAAAGUGAAAUAUUGACUUUUAUAAAGCCAAUAGUUGGCUGGUCAAUAUGUACUAUUGGGCCUAAAAAAUGUGUCUUGAGCUUUCAUUUAAGUAUCUCUUAGUGAGGCCCAAGCACAUACCAAAAAGGCCUGACAAUCAGUUAGGCCUAAUAAGCUCGGUUUUACCCAAAGAUCCUAAUUAUGUCCAAAUAAUAAAUCUAAUUAAUAUUUGGUCAUAACCAACUCUUAUUUAAUCUUCUUUAUCUCAAUGAUCCACUUAUAUAGUGUGCGAUCUCUUAGGUUCUAAUUAACAAGGCAGUAUAGUUUGUUGAACAAUUCUAUUUCGUUUACGAAUCAAAACUCCAUUUUGAUUAUCCCUUGUUACUAGGAUUGUAAAAUCAAUCCUCAAGGACUUCACAAGCCAUGAGCAACGUCUUGCAAUAUAUCAUGACUACCCUAGUUAAUAUAGAAUGACAAAGAACCUAUACAAUUGGAAUCACAAUACAAUACGGUCCUUCUCUAAUACAAUGUUCUAAAUCACAUCAUCGGGGUAUGGAAAUAAUAUGUCAAUCCCCUAUUGUGAUUUCCAUUCUCAUGUGAUUCGUAGAAUGUGAUUAUAGACUUCUUUUAAUCUCAUUCAAUUGGAAUCACAAUACAAUACAGUCUUUCUCUAAUACAAUGUUCUAAAUCACAUCAUCGGGGUAUGGAAGUAAUAUAUCAAUCUCCUAUUGUGAUUCGUAGAAUGUGAUUAUAGACUUCUUUUAAUCUCAUUCAAUGAUUUGGCCAAAGACUAUUUGAAUCACAUCUUUGAACAUACACCUUAUUUACUUAUGUAUAGAGAUUCCUUAUUGUACACUCACAUGUCUCUAUAAGCGAAUUGAUUACACCAAUGAGUGCAUGGAUCAUAUCCAUUAAGGGACAUAAUGUUACUGCAUCAUCAAGAGCAAAUUCAUUCACUCAUAAGACAACCAUAGUGUCUCAGGUCAAAUGACUAAUUUGUAUUAUUGCAAUUUAGAGUUCAAGUUUGACAUGUAAGUAAAACUCCAUACAAGAACUCUAACGAUCACGUUUAGUGUACUCUUUAAAAUAAGAGCACCCACAUACGUGUAUUAGUGUCUCUACACAAAUGAAAAGAUCGAGACAUAUCAUCCUCCAUCUUGAGCAUACAUAAUAUGUGCUAGUCUUUCCGGAUUAACAAUGUCCAAAUGAUAAUACUAUGACUAGGAACAUUUAGGAUAAGAGUGUAAAAGAGUAAAUGUCUCAUACAUCUAACUCUUUAGAUUACUUUCUCUUUAACUCAAUUUCCUUGGACCUUGUUCAAUCAAAUAUUAAAUAUAAGCAAUGAACGAUCAACUUGCCCUUUUGAUUAAUAAUAACUACAAUAAUAAUUACAUCAUAAUGAUUGUUUUAGGACAUAACUCCUUCAGUAGGAGAUUGAUCUCUGACAUUGGAUUGCACGGGACAUUCCGAUUUUAGGAUCUCGGAACCAUCCUUUUCUUUUUACGAGUUAGAAGUAUUGGCUAUUGUGUAGUCAACCGAGGGCUAUUUCUGAUUGACUUGUUGGACCUGCACGGGUGGGUUAUGGAAUUUGCGGCAUUUGGCUACAGCCCAGUGUCCUAUUUGGUGUCGCGGGGGUGAUAAAAUGCUAGAACGGCAGCCAAAAUCGAAGCGAGUCAUUGUGUCAACAACAUGGAGGUUGGGACUGUUAAGGGCCAUUUCUAGUGGAAUACGAUGGGGCGACGGUGGAGGUCAACGCCAAAGCGACGAUGGAAGUCGACGUUGCGACCACUGACAGUGUCAACGCUGAGACGUCGACAAAGGUCGAUGGAAAGAUAUAUGGAUGUCCAAAGUAGGGUUGGAUCCCCCAUUGUGGGAUUGGGCUAUUGUGGGCCUGGCUAGAGUGAGGUGGGCUUUCUUAAGACCUACUCACUGUUCUCGGAUAUAGGACCCAAGUGGUUGGUUUGGGCUGAUUUGGGCUCUAACUCUUUCUUAGAAUGGAGACCCAAAUUUAUGGUUCAUCUUCUUAUGGUUUGAUUGCUAUCCAAGUUUCUAACACGUUUGGUGGCCUUUGCUCCCUCGAAAGUCACCUCCCUCUCCUCUAGUAUGGUGUAUCUCCUUAGUUACAAAUAUAAUCCUGGUUACGUACAGUUACUACUACAUUUACAUUACUCUCGUGACAUAUGCGCACAAUGUAGCGAUGUCUUGCGACAUCAAGUCACACGAUUACCUCUCAUUAAAGAUGUGUGUUUGUGCAUCUUGGAUAAUAUAUAUCACAUCGUUAACCAUCCAAUAUCCAGCUCGAAAAUAUGGGUAAUAUAUAUAUAUAACUUGGUUAUUGGUUGUUGUUACAGUUGCUCUUACCUUAAUACCCUCCUAAAUAAACCAUUUGUAUAUUAAUCGAUCGGUGUAGGUUCUUGAUCAGUAAUGCCUUGUCCCCUUGAUGUUGUGGCAGUAUAGAUCGCCGUAUUACUAGCUUCAGUAACAUAGGGAGAUUUGAGGUACGCCUUAACUUUGUUUAGAUUACUAUACAAACUUAAUUUCUAGAUGACACUCGCCAAAGUAUGACGCUCUUCGUGAAUGGAUUUGGAGCUAGGUUAAACUUUCAACGCCACCAAUUUGAUGUUAUCCUUGUUGAUAUAUGAAUCUCACAUCGGGAACAUGAGACAUUGUCUGUGAGUUUAUAAAAGUUUGAGUCUCUCCACUCAUUGCCAAUUGGUUUUGAAUGUGAACCCAGACUAAUUUAUCAAUCCUAUACGUUGGAGUAGAGCUGCAUUCAGAUCAGAUUCAUUUUUUAAAAUAUUUUUUAAAAUAGGAUCCAUGAUCCGAACUGUUUAAUUUUUUCGGUUCGGAUUAUGUAUUUUUUAAAAAUAAGAUCUGAAUGGAUCCGAAUACGAAAAUAUCGGUUCGGAUCUCGGUUCUUUUCGGGUAUGGAAAGCCUGAAAUUUGAGACAUAUCUCAAUGAAAGCAAAGACAUAUUUCCAAGAUUCUAAGAUUCCAAAAAUUCAUACCAACUCGGACAGAGAAUAACAUUAAGCACUAAGCAAUUCAAAGUUUCAAACUUACCCAGGUCUUGACAAAAAAAACAAAAAAAUCAGAGAAAUGAAAAUGAAAUAAACCAAAGUCACAGACGAACUUGAAUUUUGCCAAUUGCAAUAAGCCUGGAUACCACACUCGAGCUCGUUCUUGACUCGGGAGUAGUCACUAGGUGACGAAUUUGAGUUCGGAGUUGUGAGCGUUUGUGGUUUUUCUGCUUCCAGAUUAGGUCUUUAUUCUUUAUUACUGUUUCUGCAUAAUCCCGGAGACUAUGUAGAAUCACGGUGGAACACGAACAUGAACAAUAAACAUCAUGGGCAAGAGACAAGCACGUAUAGUGGUUCACCAUGCCAUCGGAGGACAUGGCUACGUCCACUUUAGAAUCAACUAUCAUGACCAAUAUGCCUUUGGGGUCGGGAGAGAGAUCAUCAUGCAGCCAGCUAGCUAGAGAGCUUUCUACAUAUGGGAAGCCUUCCUUUUAUAGCUAAGGAAGGUUUCCUCCUCUUACCUAUUAUCAAUGUGGGACUAACUACUACACAUGACUAUUAUCAAGGUGUCUUCUUGUGGAGCUUGGAGGAACACCUUCCCGAUGUGGUACGGAUAAUAUUUCACCAUGACGAGGUAGCCUGGAUGUCGGUCUACCGGAAGUAUGUCAGGGGCGAGGCCCUUCGUGGCCAGAAAACAGUCUACGAGGUCGUUGCUUAUGCUUGCGGUAUAUAUACCAACAUGUCCCCCCAACUCCCGAAUAAGAGGACCAUCUUAUUUGGAGAGUUACAAAUAAAUUGUAUGCCGCCAAGUGUAAGUAACGACCGAGUAACGACAUACACCCCCUGUCCCCCCAACUCUCUAAGGAAGAAAGUUCUCUUACUCAGAAUUAUUUCCCUCUCCCCCUUUCUCAUGAUUUUCUUCUCUCUUUUUGAAAGGAGUGACAAGAUUCACAAUAUCCCCCCAAGUCUUGCUCGGGUGUUUUUCCAUUUUAGCAUAUAGGUGUUAUCCCCGGUGUUGCUUUCUAUUUGUUUAUACCACCGAGGAAUUUGGUACUCGGGUGGGUAGUUUUCAAUGUGAUUCUCGGGUCUUGCUUGUUGAUAUUCUAUACUUUUGACAUAUUGGUCUUGCUCCUUUUUACACAUCGGUGUUACUCAGGUGUUGUCUUUACUUGCUACCCAUUAAAUCUUACUCUCGGUUAAUGUUAUCUUUUCCUUGUAACGUAAGAUCUUAUUCCGGGUCUUACUUUUUCUUGAUAUACACCAUAAUCUAUAAGUCCGCUGAUAAGACAAAAAAUGUCCCUCUAGACCCCCAGCCUCAAAACUUACUCGGCCGGGCGAUAUGUUUUCACGUUUCCAAUGGCAAGAUACCGUUGGCUCCCCUUUUACGGCCAUCCGGGUGUUACACUUUCCCAUGGACAAAGGUAGCGAGCCCUUUCCAUAUCCUGUAUUUCUACUCGAGUGACGGGGUGUUAACGUCGUCUGUGGUUUAUCAAGCCACUUGCUCCGUUUUUAAGGGGAUGAUAUAAAACUUAUGUCUUUCGGUGGAUUACCUAUCCCGCUUGGUGUUACUCGGGAUUUUAAUGACUUAUGCCUCCCGGUCAAAUACAUAUCCCGUUCGAUGUUACUCGGGAUUUUAAUAACUUAUGCCUCUCGGUCAAAUACAUAUCUCGCUCGAUGUUACUCGGGAUUUUAAUGACUUAUGUCUCUCGAUCAAAUACAUAUCCCUCUCUUGGUCGAAUGCCAAUCUCUCGGUGGUUUCUCAGUUUAAUCAUGAAGACUUAGACUUUCAUAUCCUGAUUGUGUUUUCAAUCUAAUGAAAGGCAAUCAAAUGAGGGACUUAUCUGCCGAAUGGGUGCACAUAGGAGGUACGGUAGAAUGGGCUUUCACUGGAGUCCCUAAUGUACUGACAUAAUCACAUCAUUAAUUAAAUGAACUUAAUAUUGACCAAUCAUAAAUUCAUCGACCAAUCAUAACUCACAAAACAUUUCAUCUUUUGGAUGCUUACAUUUAAUCGAACAUGUCCAUACGGCCAUUUCAAGGCCUCACAUGCAACCUUAGAAUCAUACCACAAAUAGGUCUAGCAUAUCAUAUAAGCAAACAAAAACCAUAUCAAGGCCCUCACGUACAUAGCAGCAACAUUAAUUCCAAAACCACACCACUCACACCAAACUACUAUGGACACCCAAAGCUCAACAGAAAACAAGGAAGCAUAUUCAAAAUUAAAAACAGUGUGCAAGAUGCUGUCUUUGACUUCAAUUUCUACCCACUCAACUCCAACCAAAAUUAUUGAACCCAAGCCUAUUUUAAAGAUGGUACUACAGGCUUUAAAUACAUAGCUUAAGUUUUGAAAACAAAGCCCUGGAUAGAAAGUUACGGUCUUGCAAAGUUGGAACAAAAUCUGAAAAUCCAGAAAACUCAGUUUUGCUGAGUCUGCUACUGUUUUUGGCAAGCUAUUUGUCACACCAAAAGGGAACCAAAACCUGUGAAAUUUAACACACACAAUGAUGGAUAUAUGAGCUUUACCAAGGUAUUUUCAGAUUUCAAAACAAAGGCCUGAGCUGAAAGAUAUCAUGCCUCAAAGUAGGCAAGAAAAUCAGCUUUUCUGCAGAAUUCUGGAAAUUUACAGCAAGAACAAGACUUGGUUUUGGAAGCUUUAAUUCGACUUUGGAAGUACCAAAACAAGUUCUAAAGCUUCAGAACAGAAAGGAACAGACUUCCAGAACACGAAAUCAUCUUAAACAUAGCAAACAAGGAAUCAAAAUGACCCAAAAUUUACUCUGGACACCCAAACUCUGGACAGCAAAACAACAAAGUUCUUCAACCCUCAAUACCAAAUUUAUUAGAUUCGAAUAACCAAAUAUAACCCAUCCACUCUCUUUCCUACCCACAUUUCUCAACUCAAUACUUCCCCAAUUUACUUGCAUGCCUUUACAUGAUUCCUUCAUCUUCUUACCAAGACAACCCAAAUAGGGAAAUUUUCAGCAUAUAUACUAAACAAUACUACUCAUAACAUGCAAAAGCAAGCAACUUUCUUCUUCUUCCCUCUCUAAUUUCACAGCUAAUUUAUACAUGCAAACCAAAUCUACCAACUACCACAGUGUUUAAACACCAGCACUGGCAAAUCAAAGCAGAAAGAUCACAACACAUAAACAUUCCCAAACCACAAAUUUUCAUCUCAAAAACACAAUAAUCACAAAUUGAAAUCAAUGCAGGGUGUUAAGUCCAUAGCUUGAGACCCCCCAAAACAGCCAAAAGCAAAACCAUGAACAAAGCUAAGGCGGUUUCACAAAUUGACCAAUGAACUUCACAAAUUGCUUCUAUGGAAGAGAGAUGCAUUGCCCAACUCAAUAUAAACUCAGUGGAAUAGCUUGUAACUAAUAACCCCAUCAAAACAGGUAUUUGCAAUUCUAAAUGGCUAAUGCCUUAUGACUUGCUUCCUCCCAACUCUAACAUACAGGACUGAAUCUAUUUGCAUAUAUGGACUGCCUGCCAAUGUAAUCAAGGAUUGGAUCCCGAACACAAGCAACUCUAUUUGCAUAUAGCAAAGCUAGCACAAAAUCACACAAUAAUUAAACAUGCUUCCCAACGAAUUCCCAAAUUUAAUCCCGGACAGAUUUGAAUAGACUUAGGAGUAGAAAGACUUAGCUUGUUUGAUUGGUAUGCCACUUUUAGAAUCUGGGGAAGAGCAAGAUGAAUCCAGAGCUCUGUAUAGAAUUUUGAGUGAUCAAAGUUGCUCGGAGUAGACUGGAAAUAGCUCCGAGUUGUCCAUUCAUAGGAUAUCACGCAGCAUAAUGUACUGUUCCCCAACCCCGGGAGGGAGACGAAGCUCUGAUCAGAGAUUCUCUCUGCUUUGAAAGUUUGAGACAUAUUGGAUCGGGUUUCACCGGGAGAUCAAAUUGCUACCGGGAAGGACUUCUUCUAUGAACGGGUGUCCAUAGCAGUUGGCCAAUUGUUGUUAGGGUGCCAAGAGUAUUCUUUCCCUGCUUUCAACCGAUGCCGACUGAGAGCAGAGCAUGCCGGCGCCCGGCGAAUCAUUCCUGGCCGGCGGUCGACGAGCUUGUCCCGGAAGAGUUACUCGGGUCGGACCCGGGAACCGGCAGGUGAUAACAACGGAUCUGCAAGCCAGCUCGUCCUUAUGUGGUGAACCAGAUAUUAUCCAGACCGAUCCCUGCCUCCCGAUCAAUGGCGUCGAAUUGAUCGGGCCUGAUCCCAAUUCGCACAACUCUCUCCUCAUGAACUCGGUCAACCAGACACAUGAAGACGCUUGGCCCGAACUUGAAACCCGCUUCCCGGAGACUGCUCAUCCCGGAGACUGAAUGCUAGGCAGGUCCCCUCUUUCCGGGCGACAUCUCAUCCUGGGCUGGAGCCACCGGGAUAAGAAGAUGAUCGGGACCCGGAGAGGUGGUGCUGUAAGUUUUUUUAAUUAAUUCUAUACCAGAUCAAUACACGUAAACUAACAUUGUGUUUAUAUGUCAAUUGUACUUAGGAUUGCAAACAUUAUAUUUAUCCUAUAUCUGCAUAAAACAUGAAUAUAUAAAUAUGAACUCAGAAUUUACCAGAACCAUUUUGAUUAUCCAUUCAGCCUUCUUAUUUCACCUCUAAGUUCUUUUAGUAAUGGGACUAAGUAUGAGAAUCAGAUAUGCAUAAGAAGGGACUAACAUACAUAUAUAUAGCAUAUUGUAGGUAGUUUCAUCCAUAAAGAAACUGUCAUAAACUUAACUGUUUUGUCAUAAAACUGCUCUCAACUGCAAUUUAGAUUUCAAAUUCAAAUGUAAAGCUUAUCUACAGAUUUAUCUUAAGGCUUUUACACAUGUCUUAAACUCAAAUCACAUUAUAUAUAUUUAUACUGUUUUUCUAAUAUCAGUAAACAAGUCUUUGUCAAGUUCUUAUAAGCUGAUAUGCUUACAAUCUCCCACUGAACUUGACAAUCCUUUAAAUACAUGUAUUACAGUAUAAUCACAUAUAACAAUGAUUUACUUAAGUGUGCACUGUGAGUCUAAAACUUUCUUAAAUAAUUCAAAAUCCUUCAAUUGCAAAUUCUGUCAAUAAUACUUAUGUCAAGGAACUCAAGAACAACAUAGGAAUAGAAUAGACAUCAGUGUUCCAAAAUCACCUCUCAACAAGCUAAAAUCACAUGAAUUUCAACUUAAUAGCAGUAAACUGAAUGUGUUAUAUAUAAAUGCAUUCUAAACACAGUAAUACCAAAUGUCUUACUUAAUACCAAAAUUUCUAACUAAAUAGAAAUAAGGCAAAUUAUAUUCACCGUAAACUUCAUCAUGUUCUGCAUAUAGGUUUGUAUUGUCAUUCAAAGACUUACAAAAUGAAGUUGUACAACUUAAUGUGCAGAUUAAUAACAAGAUGAAAUCUUAAUAAUAUAAUCUUAUUGAUCAAUUUCACAACUAAAUAAUAAAACAUAAUACAUACUAACUGAUUAUGAUGCCAUCUGAAGUCUCCAACUUUAAAGUUCAUCUGCAAUCCCCAUAUUCCUUGUAUGCUUGACAAAAUCUGCUACUGGUAGUGCCUUUGUCAAUGGAUCUGCCAACUGCUCCUUUGUACCAACCUUAACAACCUCAAUUUCACCAUCUCUAACACUCUCCCUUACUGAAAAAUACUUAACAUCAAUGUUUCUUGAAGCUGAUGUUCUCUUGUUAUUCUUAGAGAAAAACACUACUGAUGAAUUAUCACAGCAAAUCAUCAAAGGCCUUUCAAUGGACUUAAUCAACUUCAAAUGAGAAAUAAAAUUUCUCAACCACAAUGCAUGUCCAGUAGCUUCAAAAAUAGCAAUGUAUUCAGCCUGAAAUGUUGAUGUUGCUGUGAGACCUUGCUUUGAAGUUUUUCAAGAAAUAGCUCCUCCUGCUAAAAGGAAAAUAUAACCAGAUGUAGACUUUAAGUCAUCCACAUCUGAUUUAUAAGAGGCAUCUGCAUAAGCCUCUACUUCAAGUUCUUGUUCAUCACUUCUCCUAUAAACUAACAUGUGAUCUUUAGUCUUCUUUAAAUACCUCAAGACCUUCUUCCCUGCUAUCCAAUGAGCAUGCCCUGCAUUGGAUUGAAACCUGGCCAACAUGUUUACUUCAAAUGAGAUGUCUGGUCUUGUACAAAUCUAAGCAUACAUCAAACUUCCCACUAAUCUUGCAUAUGGCACAUUCUGCAUUCCCUUUGCUUCGAACUCAUUCUUAGGACUUUGCUCUUUAUGCAGCUUAUCUCCUUUGGAAAUUGGUGCAUCUCCAGACUUGCAUCCUUGCAUACCAAAUCUGUGCAAUAUUUUCUCCAAAUAAUUUCUUUGAGACAAACCUAAAGCAUGGUGCUUUCUAUCCCUGGUUAUCUCAAUUCCCAACACAUAGUGUGCUUCUCCCAUGUCUUUCAUGUCAAAUUGACUCAACAGAAAAGCUUUUGUUUCCUUCAACAUGCAAACAUUACUACUAGCAAGUAGUAUAUCAUCAACAUGUAAGAUAAACAAAAUAAAAUUGCUCCCACUGGUCUUAAUAUAUAUGCAUUCAUCAAGUUUAUUUUCCAGAAAACCAAAUUGAGUGAUUACCUUGUCAAACUUUAGGUACCACUGCCUUGAUGCCUGCUUAAGACCAUAUAUUGAUUUCUUCAGUUUGCAGACUUUAUUUUCAUCUUCUACAAAACCAUCAAGCUGCAACAUGUAGAUUUCUUCAUGCAAAUCACCAUUCAAAAAUGCAGUCUUGACAUCCAUUUGAUGUAACUCGAGAUUCAAGUGUGCAACAAGAGCCAUAACAGUUCUGAAUGCAUCUUUGGUAGAAACCGGAGAGAAUGUCUCAUUGUAAUCAAUACCUUCCUUCUGAUUGUACCCCUUAGCCACUAACCUUGCUUUGUGCCUCUCUAUUUUGCCUUCAGCAUUUCUCUUUGUCUUAAACACCCAUUUGCACCCAAUCAGCUUAAAAUCACAUGGCUUAUCAACCAAAAUCCAUACAUUAUUCUGAGACAUACUCUUAAGUUCAUCUUCCAUUGCCAAUUUCCAUUUUGCACUAUUCACUGAUUGCAUAGCUUGUGCAACUGUAAGUGGAUCAUCCUCAUCUCCCAAAUCAAUUUCUUCAAUUAAAUACAACUAAUAAUCAUCUGGUAUAGCAGGCUUCUUGAUCCUUAAAGAUUUUCUCAAAGCUAUAGGUUCAGACACUUCUUCGUUUUGCACUUCACUUGCUUCCAUUUGCUGCUGAUCUUCAUUUCCUUGUCCUGCAAUAUUUUGCUCUAUUACAGUAGCAUCUUGAACUUCAUUUUCUGCUUGUUGUGUAGAUACGUUAUCAUUCUGAUUCUCUGGAACAAGAUUCACCAGUGUUUCACUUCCUGAAGCCAUAUUAUUAUUAUUGUUGUCCUGAACUGGGAUUGAAACAGCACUGCAAUCCUGGUACACAAACCACUCUUCAAAAUUCUUGUUACUCCUUUCCAAUGCUUCCAUAGGUUCCUUUGACACUUUACUUGCAUCAUUAUCACAUUGUUCAUCAUAAAACAUGGCCCUAUGUGACUCCACAAUUCUGCAACUUCUCUUUGGACAGUAAAACUUGAACCCCUUGGACUUUUCACAAUAGCCAAUAAAAUAACCACUUACAGAUUGAGAAUCAAGCUUUCCAUUUGCCACAUUGUGUACUCUAAUCUCUGCAUUGCAGCCCCAAACAUGAAAAUGAUUCAAACUAGGCUUGUAACCACAACUCAAAAGAGGUUUUCAACACAGCCUUGCUUGGAGUUCGAUUGCAAAUAUAAUUUGUUGUUUUCAAUGCUUCUCCCCACAAAAAUUUUGGAAGUGCAGACCUCACUAUCAUGCUUCUCACCAUGCUUAUCAAUGUUCUAUUCCUCCUUUCUGAAACACCAUUCUGUUGUGGGUUGUAUGGAGUAGUGUAUUGUGCUACAAUUCCACAUUCCUGCAAAAACAAUGCAAAAGGGCCCUUACGUUGGCCCUGCUCAGUAUACCUUCCAAAAUAUUCACCUCCCCUAUCUGAUCUGAUAACCUUAAUUACCCUGCCUGUUUGUUUUUCAACUUCAGCCUUAUAAAUUUGAAAAGUUUCCAAAGCUUGUGAUUUUUCUGAAAUUAGGUACACAUAACAGUACCUAGAGAAAUCAUCAAUGAAGGUGAUGAAAUAACAAUUACCACAGAUAGUAUUGACUGGAAAAGGACCACAAAUAUUUGUAUGAAUUAAAUCAAGAAGACAUUCACUCCUCUUUGAACUUGUGUUCCUAGCCUUAGUCAUUUUCCCUUUCAAACAAUCAAUACAAGUCUCAAAAUCUGUAAAAUCUAAUGUAGGCAGUAUGUUUUGUUUCACAAGUUCACUCGGUCUUUGUUUUGAAAUAUGACCAAGUCUUUUAUGCCAAAGAAAAGAUGAUUCUACAAAUUUUCUCUUUGAAAUCGUUUUACUUAAAGCAAAAACAUAAUGCUCAGCUUGAUUUUCAGAAACAUUAACACAAUUAACAUGCCAAUAACCACUUAUCAAACUUGAAUCACCAAAACACUUAUUAUCAUAAUAGAAAUUCAUAGCUAUAUUAUUACUUGAGAAACUAUAGCCAUUGUUUGCUACAAACUAAGAACCAGAAAUCAAAUUCCUACUAAUACUAGGGAUACAAUAGACAUCGUUCAAUACUAAUACAUAGUUAUUCCUAAACUUGAGCUUGACACAUCCUACAGCCUUAACAGCCACCCUUUGGCCAUUUGCUGUACAAACUUUUGUUUCAUUCCUGCUUGGGAUGGAAAUCUCUGACAAUCCCUGUAAUGAAUUAACAGUAUGAAUGGGUGAGCCAGUGUCAAACCACCAAGAAUCAUCACUUACAAAAUCAUUUGACUCAAAUUUGAAAACAGAUUUAACAAGAAAAUCACCUUUCUUCUUCAGCCAAGCUUUGAAACAUCACAAUCUUUCUUAAAGUGACAAGGUUUCUUACAAAAGAAACACCUAAUGCCACCUGCAGGUUUGUACCUUUUAUCAUGAUCAAAUUUCUUAAUAGGUUUAGAGGUGCUUACAGAGGUACUAGCUUUGCAGUUCUUGUUGCCAAACUUCUUGAAUUUUCCCUUUGACAUCAGAUUCACAGCCACAGCCACACUUUUUCCCUUCUUCUUAACUUCAUCCUCAACUUCCACACAAAGUGAAAUUAGCUCGUUCACUGUCCCCUUUUCCUUUUGAGUCUUAUACAACGACUUUAGUUGAUCAAACUCAUCAGGUAGAGAAUUAAGCAACAUGUAAACCAGAAAAGGCUCCUCUACAAUCAUACCAAGAUCCUUCAGACUUUCAACAAUAUUGGACCCCUUCAUAAUGUACUCCCUUACACUGCCCUUUCCAUUAUACUCCAUUCUCAUGAAGGAUUUCAUGAGUCUUCCAGUCUCAGCUUUGUUGGAGAUGAGGUACUUUUGAGCAAUAGAAUCCAUGUAGACUUUUGCCAAUUCAGAAUCUGGGAUGCUACCCCUCACACUGCUGAUCAUGCUCUUCUUGAUCAUUAUCAGUACCAUCUUGUUGUGCUUGUACCAGUUAUCAUUCUUCUCUUUCGCAUAUGUGCUUGCAUUCUCAGCCAAUGCUAAUGGUGGAUCUUCCUUCAGCACAUGAUCGAAAUCCAAGAUUCCCAGAUUAAGUUCUAUGUCACAUUUCCAUUGCUGAAAGUUUGAGCCAUUCAGAUGCUCAAUCUGAUUUAUGGACAUUGGAAAUUGCAUAGCUGUAUGUGAAAAAAGAUCAAACAAGUUAAUCCAGUGUAACUUGAUACCAGAAAAAUUUGAAUGUCCCAAAUAUAGUAUAUAAAUGUAUAUGCAUACAGUGAUAUGAAACUUAUCAAAUUCAAGACUCUGACAACCUUUGUGGUGUACACAUCUUUAUUGAUAUGAAUGUUCAUUUACUCUUUACACAUACCAGAUCACAAAACCAAAUGUCUAAACUGAGUCUCUAUGGAAACCAGAAUAAAUUUAAUUUUAAGUUUUUAAGUUUAAGAUCUGUUCUUGAUGAUGGAAUUGUUGCAGUCCUGUUUAUCUUCUAACAUAAAGCCACUAUGGCAGCACAAAUGUUCAAAAGAUCAACUGAAUGAUACAUAAAAUUUCAUUCAAUGCAUUUCAGGUCACUAUGGCAACACAUAAUGCAUACACCAUUUAUAUCACUCAUAUCACUUAUAACAUCAGCAUAUUCAUAUAAAAGAUAUAAUAUAAAUCACUGCAUCAGAUGAAUAGGCAUAUAAACGAGCAUACAUAUAUAUUGCAAUAUAUAAGCAUGUAUUUUCUGGCUUAAUGUGGAUUAAACAUAUAGAUUCCCAGCAUACAAGUUAUAAAGGAAAAAAGUUUCUUUUACAUGCAAUUGAUCUAAGCAUAGUCGCUCUGAUACCAAUUGUAAGUUUUUUUUAAUUAAAUCUAUAUUAGAUCAAUACAUGUAAACUAACAUUGUGUUUAUAUGUCAAUUUUACUUAGGAUUGCAAACACUAUAUUUAUCCUAUAUAUGCAUAAAACAUGAAUAUAUGAAUAUGAACUCAGAAUUUACCAAAACCACUUUGAUUAUCCAUUCAGCCUUCUUCUUAUUUCACCUUUAUGUUUUCUUAGUAAUGGGACUAAGUAUGAGAAUCAGAUGUGCAUAAGUAGGGACUAACAGACAUAUAUAUAGCAUAUUGUAGGUAGUUUCAUCCAUAAAGAAACUGCCACAAACUUAACUGCUUUGUCAUAAAACUGCUCUCAACUGCAAUUUAGAUUUCAAAUUCAAAUGUAAAGCUUAUCUACAGAUUUAUCUUAAGGCUUUUACACAUGUCUUAAACUCAAAUCACAUUAUAUAUAUUUAUACUGUGUUUCUAAUAUCAGUAAACAAGUCUUUGUCAAGUUCUUAUAAGCUGAUAUGCUUACAGGUGCUGCUGCCGGAUGGGUGUCCAUAGCAAUUUUUCAGUGGGCACCCAACCGAACACAUCUGCAGUUGAAUGAUGCCAGCAGAUCGAGUGACCCACUCCAAGUCGAUCGAGGCCGAUCACAGUCCCUCGGUCAGGUCUGAUCCCAACUCCCACAUUAACUCCCUCUCCUGUUGAAUCUGACCAACCGGGAACAUAAGCUUGCUUUGCCUGAACAUGGACUCUGCUAUCCCGGAGGCAAAGUAACUGUUGGUUGCUUAUUUCGAUAUCGAGUCUGGCAUUGAACUCGACCAUGAUAAAACGGGCUCCCAGCGAAUCCGUUUGCCCCUAACUGAUGAACUUGACCCGAAGGAGCUCAUGAAGCCGGUCCUGAGUGGUGUCGAAGAUCCCGGUGAGUUACAGCUGGCUGCACACCCGCACUUUGACGAAAUCGUGAUCGAGAUCAUCGACUGCCAUUAAGACGAGAAGGUCCCGGAUGCUGGCUACCGAUUGGGAACCCGGGAGGGUCACUCCUUGGACUGUGCGGACAAGGGUCCGGGAUGGGUCUCACGGCUGCCGGCAGAGAUCUCUGGCGAUUUGGAACAAACCGGAGGCUGCCACCGGGAGAGGAACCCUUGGGUCUCGCUGAAUCAUCUCUGGGACGGUGGUUGGAGUUUGUUGUUCGGCCUUGGCAACAUCCCGAUGAUAAAAGGACCGGGCGGGUCAUGCCAUCCCUCUUAGUGGCAUGGGCCUGCAUAUGGCCUCCUAAUGGGUUGGGCCUGAGAUGGUUCAGGCCUGCAUGAGCUUACUGGCAGGGCAACAAGACUUUUUGUACUGAUUCCCACAGAGGGCGCCAAAUGUUUCUGCAUAAUCCCGGAGACUAUGUAGAAUUACGGUGGAACACGAACAUGAACAAUAAAUAUCAUGGGCAAAAGACAAGCACGUAUAGUGGUUCACCAUGCCAUCAGAGGACAUGGCUACGUCCACUUUAGAAUCAACUAUCAUGGCCAAUAUGCCUUUAGGGUCGGGAGAGAGAUCAUCAUGCAGCCAGCUAGCUAGAGAGCUUUCUACAUAUGGGAAGCCCUCCUUUUAUAGCUAAGGAAGGUUUCCUCCUUUUACAUAUUUCCAAUGUGGGACUAACUACUACACAUAACUAUUAUCAAGGUGUCUUCCCGAUGUGGUACGGAUAAUAUUUCACCAUAGCGAGGUAGCCUGGAUGUCGGUCUACCGGAAGUAUGUCGGGGGCGGGGCCCUUCGUGGCCAGAAAACGGUCUACGAGGUCGUUGCUUAUGCUUGCGGUAUAUAUACCAAUAACAAUUACUUCUUUAGGAUUAGGUCAAACUGGCGAAGGAGAUUCAUUUUUUUGUUUUAAUUUUUUUUCUUACCUUACCAAUCUAACAGCUUACAAUAAACCUAGUUCAAUCUAAUGGUUAUUUGGGUUUUUGUAUUUUUUUUUUAACAGGGUCCUAUCCGAACCAGAAUUUCCUGAAACAAAUCGGAUAAAAAAAAAUUUGUUUUUUACUAACCAGGAUCUGAUCCGCACCUUAUUAUUCGGAUCGGAUCGGUUUGAUCGGUCUUAGAACCGAGACCCAGAUAUGCAACCCUACAUCAGAGUGUGUCUCUGUUUCUUCUGAGAAAUGUGGGUAGACUUGGUAGUUCUGGGACAUGUGUAUAUCAUGCUCCGGUCAGUUUCUCAUACAGUGGACUGUAGUUGGUGCCUUGAUGGUUCUCGUUCUAGUAUUAUUCAUAUCAUUUUUCUUUUUUGAUAAAAAAAAGAACUAGAUUAAAUGGAUGUGCCUCUAAUGCACCCGCGGUUUAUAGAGUCAAAAGACAACGCUAGGCUAGCUUCCAGAGGAACAAUCUCCUCCUAGAAACGAACAUCUCCUACUUUGUGGCUAAAAUUUGCAACAACAUUAGCUACAAAAUUGGCCUCUCUAAAAACAUGCUUGAAACUAAUAUAAUCAAAGGAGUUCCUCAAAAUUCUAAUUUCUUGAACUAGGUUGAGAAUCCUCCAGGGUGUAGCAACAGUGCCAUUAACUGCAUCGAUGAAAAGCUUCGAGUCUCCUUCAACCUCCACUUUGGACAAGCCUCUCUCCUUGGCACAAAUGAGGCUGUUUCAGAGUGAAAGGGCUUCUGUAACUGAGAUUGUGAUAAUUCCGAAAUUGGAAGAAGCUGCAACAAGUGAAUUGCCAUUAGGGGUUCGGAUUACGAAUCCUCCUGUUGCAGAGUUCCUCCAGACUAAGCCAUCAAAAUUGAUUUUAACCCUAUCAUUAGGGGGUGGUGACCACCUGAUCAUUUCAAAUCUGUGCCAGGAGUAUUCAAAUUCUUAGUUGAACUAGGAUCACUCUGAGUAUUACUCAUAGCCUGUAGAUGAGCUACAACAGCAGCUACUGUGGCAUUGGAUCUAGGGGUUUUGCCCCUAAAAACCACAUCAUUCUUGUCCUUCCAUAUCUGCCAACAAGUCUAUCACAAUAAAUUUCCCAAAAAGAUUAGUCAUAGUGAUUAUCUAUAAACCAUUUACGAGCCACCUUAAUAAGGCAUUCCUCCCAGUCAGUAGGAGGAGUCAUGGCAGUUGCAUUCCACACAGAAGUUGCAAAUUUGCAGUAACCAAAUAAAUGGUCUAUUGUUUCAUUAUCCUCAUUACAAAUCACAUCUGAUCCCAAAACGCGAUAGUCUGUCCCUUGUUUUAUGUCUACCUUUGAAAAGAAGCCAACCAAAGAAUUUCAUUUUUGAUUGAAUAUUUAGAGACCAAAGCUUCCUAAUAAGCCCCAUCUGAUCAUGUUUUUGGCCAUCCUGUAGUUGCAUCCAAGUUGCAGACUUUAUAGAGAAGUUCCCAAGAGUUAUAUAACCCCAAACAAACUCAUCGUUAGUAGGUAUAGAAGGAAUAGAGAUUCCUAUGAUUAUUCAUAUCAUAAAGAGUCCCGUACAUCUCCCCUAAACAAAACUAUCAGCAGCCUAAGCACGCGAAAGUACUAAGAAGGCACAUACGGGAUAGACGUCGAUGAUUCAUAAUCCACGUACGCAUGGUUUUCAUUUUCUUCCAGCUAGCUAGCUAGCUAGCCACUUAUUAUUAGGUAAAACCAAACCCUAGCUAGCUAGCUAAGGCGUGGUCGAGUUAGGCACAGCACGAAUCCGUAUAUGAAAUCAUGAUCGAUCCCCGCCGUAUGCUCCAAAAAUGGCAAGACAGGUUGGAAUGAUGUGCCAUCGAAUUGUCAGCCGGCGUUAUAAAAGGUGGCACUGUUCUGUUUGGCCAAAUCUGGAUAGAUAUACAUGGAUUAUGGAGCUGCUGCCGCACAUAAGUCAUUCUGGAUAUCUGGGAGCAGUAUUGGAAUCUGUUUAGUUCUCUGUGUUGUUUCGUGGGGUAAUUCCAAAACAUCUUUUGGCUUCAGGAUUCAGGAAUUUGAUUCCCAACUCUUUUCCAUUAUUCGGCAAACGUGGCCAUAGCACACGACUCCCUAUUAUUUGCUGGCCUCUUCCAAUCGGAACCAUAUAUACAUGCAUACAGAAGAGACACCUCUCGAUCACUGUGACGAUCCAAUAUUAUCUUGUGGAUAUGUUGCGAUUUUGUGAACGAUUUUGCAUGUCGGGGUCUGUGAUUAUCUUCAGGCUAGCUAGUCAUACGAUCCUCGACUUCUGAAAACAUCAAGAUCGGAAGCCGGUAUUGGCUGUUUGUGUAUUUUGUGCUCAUUCUGUCUAGAUAUUCUGGAUAUCGGCCGUAUGGUCUAAAUUAAGUCACACGUAAUGGAAGUAAAACAAUGUCAGCCUGUAGAACAUUUAUCACUAGUUGUUUGCAGAGUUCAAUACAUACUUGUUCUGCUAAAUAUGAACUUUUUAUUGUUCACUGUAGCAUUAAAAUUAGACGUGUGUACUUUUUGUGUACAUACUUAAAGAAAACAUAUCUAUGGGAGAUUUUGUCUCUAGAGAAAUCACCUUAAGAUUUGUCUCUAGAGAAAUCACCUACGGAGGACAUAUAUCUACGUGGUUGUUUCUGUUAAGGUCCUGCAUAUUUAUUUAUGGAAAGAAAAUACUUGCGUCCGGACUAGUAUUAUGUAUGUGUGCGUUCGGGGUUUCUCUUAUUUACAUACUUUUGUCAAUGUAAAUCAUAAUUUUAAUAGUUUAAAAGUUAAAUUAACUAACAAAGAUUAGCUAUGCAAAAAAAUCAAUGUAAACAAAAUUCGUUUGCUCAGCCCAUUUUAAACAAAUAGACAAUUCUGGUGAAAGUUAGCAGUCUCAUGAUUAACUGUUAAUUUGUUUGAUUCAUUAAGCUAAGCAAACGAUUUUUGUUUACAUUGAUCUUUUGCGGAGAUGAUCUUUAAUUUUGAGGGAAUUUACCCUAUCAUGUAUUGGGCAUGCAUGUAUCGUUGUGGUGUGUAUUUAUUUAUUUAUUUAUUUUUUUGAAAGAGUCAGUUACGACUUUCAUUAAUUUAGGUAAAACGAAUGUUAAAAGCAGCUAUUACAUACUCUACCGCUAUCAUCUACAGAUAGACAAGUAGUUAUGAGGCAUACCUCACCUAGUACAGAGGAUAGAUUACUUUUUAAUAAUCGUGCUCACUUAUUCUGUAAGUCUAUUUCUACUGAUGCAUAGACAAAUAGGCUAAUGAUUUAAAAUAGAUAAACUUAAAAAAUGUCUAGUAGGGCCAAACCCAAUCUGCUAAGGCCCAGAAAAACCCUAGCAGAAUUGAUGCCGGUAGCGUAACCGUUGUCGUCAACACAGACUACAGCAACCAAGCCAUCGACGCCGACAUUGCAUCCUCCUUUGUUGCCGCCACAAGCCUUGUUGUUUUCGCCGUUGACCUGAGCAUCACUGCUACCAUCUAAAGUUCCAUGCGUUGCUUUCACAAGUCAUGCCUUCGUACCAACAACACCAAUCCAAUCAGAUGUUAAAUUGGUUUUAGAUCUAGGAGAAAACCUAGAUGAGGAAACAACAUAGACGCCUUCGCUAGGGAAGAAGUCUUCCCUUGGACCUUCACUUCAGUUAUGCUUGCGGUGAAGAGGUGAGAGACACCAGGGGUUGAUUGGAUUGGUGAUGACCGUUGAUAGAUUGCCACGCAAAGACAGCAAGAGGCAGAGGAUGAAGAUCUGCAUAGUGAUGGUGAUUUGCACCAUUGAUAGAGCCCCGAGUCAUGACGGCCAGAGUUUGGUAGAGAGGAAAAAGAGGGAGCCAUUAGGUCAUUCUGUUUCGUUGUGGUGUGUAUUUGUCUUCGGUUUAGGGUUUAAUUACAUACGGUAUAUGUGUAUCGGGUAACUACUUUCCAAAUAAAAUUUACAAUAAUAAUGACACCAGAGUUUAGGGAUGGCAAUGGGUAGGGUAGGGUACGGGGAUCAAAAUACCGUACCCAUACCUUUUUACAUUUUUCAUCCCCGUACCCGUCCCCGUACCCGUAAUUAGAUAAUGGAGAUUCCCCGUACCCGUACCCUUUGGGGAUUACGUUUUCAUACCCGUACCCGUACCCGUUAACAAUUAUGUAUUAAAUUAAAUUUUUUAUUUUAAAUACGAAAUACAAUUAUAUAAAAGUAUGAAAUUAAAAUCAAAUACCAAAAUAAAUAAGUUUCAUACUUCAAUCCAAUAAAAAUAAAUAUAAGUCUUGGUUAAAACAUAACAAUACCGGUAAAUUUCAUUAAGAGAAUAAAAAUAUAUAAUAAAAAGGAAGGUCCAUUAAAUGUUUAUUAAGAGAAUUACAAAUUUUUUUACAUAAAUAUUUAUUUAUAAAUUAUAUAUAAAUAUAUAUAAUAAUAAAAUUAUAUAAUUAUAUAUAAUAAUAUUUUCAUCCUUAAUGGGUGGGGAUGGGGACGAAUAUCAAAAUACCAUACCCGCCCCGUACCCGAUUUAAGAAUCCGAAUACUAAGGAUCCCCAUCCCCGUUACCCGUUUAUACCCGUAUAUCUUCCCCGUUAGGGUCGAAUACCCGUGGGUACCCUACCCGCUGGGGAUUAUUGCCAUCCCUACCAGAGUUAUAUACUCAAGAAAAUAUAUAUAAGCUACCAUAUUAUAUGAAAUCAUUUCCUAAAUGAACCAAGAAACUAUAUAUGCAUGUAGGUUUGAAGGAUGAGGUUUGGGUGUGAAUUUCGAGAAAAUCUACACAAAAGAUCUCAUUAUAUAGUUAUAAUUCUAUAUCACGUACAGACAAUAUUCUUAGACUCAAAACUCAAUCAAGAUUGGUUUUUGACACAAUAUAUAUAUUUUCACUUCAUUCUCAAAAUUUAGAAACUAAAUUAAGCUCAAAGUUGACUAGUCGAUCAUGAUGCAAAUCAACACCCCCUAAACUCCAAAAUAGCGUUUUAACAUGUCGUGGGUCUCUCUUUGCUGCAUGGGGCACUUUUGUCCCGGCCGUUCUAAUAUGUGAUAUAUAUAUCUUCCAGCCAGAUGAUCUGCAGCUGCCUUAUAAGUGCAUAGUCCAUCGAAAGCAACUAGAUGAUAUGCCAACUGAGAAGACGUGGUUGUAUUUUGUAUAGUCUAGCGAUCUAUAUGUAUGAGGAUAAUCAUAUAGCUCAAUAGCUAACUUUCUAGGAACAGUUAAGAACAUGCACCUGUUCGACUUAUCUUGAUGUAUCCACACUGCAGUCAAAUUUAUCUUGAGGAAUCAUGUAUGUGGAAAAUAUACAGAGAGGCAUAGCUCAGAGCUUGGCAAUCACUCGAAAAUCUAAUAACAGAUUCGUUCUUACCUAUGUGGAUGUUCUCCUGACAUCCUAUACGUCCAAUUGUCCAAAUGAGUCUCAUUGUCAUCAUUGCUAUAGGACUAGCUAGCUCGAUCGCAUGGAGCACAAAGCAAAAGGGAGCUUGCCAUUGCUGAAUACUAUUAAUUCUAAUAUCUCCACGUACUGAUUUUGAUUCCACUCGCUCGUAUAUCCUCUUCCACACCCAACGUUUUUGUCCUCUUGAUCAUCAUGACUAAACCAUUUUUAAUGAUGGCAUGGGUAGAAGCAGAUCUAGAGAGCUUGAGGCUCCCAUGCUUUGCUUUUCAAUUGAAUUGCUGGCAUAGCUCUUAAGUCUUAAGCUAGGGUUAAAGAUCAGCUCUAUCUCGUACAUGAGAUAUACGCAUUUUUAUAAAGAUUUUGAAGAUUAAUGUGAAAUAAAGAAUUUGUUGGAGUUGAAUCGAAGCAUAUAAACGGUAAAGGAAUAUUGACUUUUUGCUUCAUGAUACAGAAAUUAUAAGAGAACUGUUGGAUUAUUAAGUUGUUAUGCGAGCGAGCAUUUGUUAUAUACUUAGGCUUGUAUGGCCCCAAUUUAUCUCUCAAAGGAGAUCGACAUUAAUAUCAGCUAGCAACCGUAUAUUAUUUGACAUGAACCAACCUCGAUCUCUUUAGGUCCUAACAUCUGGUGUUUACCGUGUUAUUUAGUCCAGAGAUUUUACUCCAAACAGAGCCAUUUGUUAAUUAGUACAUUAAUCCAUGGCUGCAUGUGUGGUUUUUUGUAGUUUUAAGGAAAAUAUUGACUCACAGUCUUAAUUGAACGAGGAAAGCAAGUUAAGCAAAGAAGAUGACUGCUGAUACCUAUAUGGAUUGUGUGUUGUAGUCAUGUAGAAAGGUAGAGGAUGAGAUAGAUGGCUUCUACUCCUACACAAGGCCGGUCUUGGCGCAGUGCAAGCAGUACGCUUGCACCAGGCCUAGGAACAUAGGGGGCCUUAAUUUUUUUUUUUUCAAUAUGUUAAAUAUAUUAAUAUAUAAUUAUAUUAAUAUAAAAGAAAAAAACAAAACACAAUUAAAGUCCCAAAAGACAUUUUCUCUUUUGUCGUUCAAUCUUCUAGACUUCUAUUUAGUUAUUCUUAUUAGUUAUGUCCUAUUGCGUCAUUCUUGAUUUUCUUAGAAAAAAUGUCUUCCGUUCACUCUUCUUUUCUUUUAAUUUUUUCAUCUUCUUCUAAAUUCAUAAUUUCAUAUACUCAUUGCAUCGAUUAUGGAGAAGAUUCGUUGUCGAUUGACGAUUGAUAUUCUUCACAAGACCACAACCCAAUCUCAUAUAUAGUCUUUACUUCAUUUGUCGAUGAAAUUGUAAAACUCUCUAUAAAUUGCUCACAUUCUCACAAUCAUGCAAAGUUCUCCAUCCUCUCUCAAUUUUGGACUCUCAAUUUUGCAUAUCUUCUCUCAUAUAUAAUCUAAUUUCACAAGACUGGACCGAAGGUUGCUCUGAACUUCACAUUUUUAAAUUCUUCUUUUUUGAUUCUGUCAUUUUGGAUGUUGAAAAAUGUUGCUUUAAAUUUCCUCUGUUUUUUUUUUCUUUUCUGAAAUUAUGUAUAUGAGAUACAUAAAAUUGAUGUACGAAUUUGAUAUAUGAAACCCCAAAAAAAUUGGUAUAUUUUGAAUAAAAAAAUUAUAUAAGGGGCACAUUUUUAACUUUCGCACUGGGUCUUGAAUCCUUUAGGACCGGCCCUGCUCCUACAUCUUUCUGUGUUUUUGAUGUACCUACCUUAGCUAGUUAAUUAACUGCAUGCCGCCAUGCAUCUGUAUGGUAAUGGAUAUAUNNNNNNNNNNNNNNNNNNNNNNNNNNNNNNNNNNNNNNNNNNNNNNNNNNNNNNNNNNNNNNNNNNNNNNNNNNNNNNNNNNNNNNNNNNNNNNNNNNNNNNNNNNNNNNNNNNNNNNNNNNNNNNNNNNNNNNNNNNNNNNNNNNNNNNNNNNNNNNNNNNNNNNNNNNNNNNNNNNNNNNNNNNNNNNNNNNNNNNNNNNNNNNNNNNNNNNNNNNNNNNNNNNNNNNNNNNNNNNNNNNNNNNNNNNNNNNNNNNNNNNNNNNNNNNNNNNNNNNNNNNNNNNNNNNNCCAGCUUAUGUCAAACUAAAACCGUUGAAGGUCAUUAAAACUAAAUUGAACUUUUGAAAGCCUUAACGAUCACCAAAUCAUAUGAAAUUUUGUAGAGGUGAUCUACUCAUAUAGACCUAAGAUAUGAACGGUGGAGAUGUAAAAUUAUAAUCGGGAAGUUGGUGUAAUACCAUAUCCCUAUAAAUGGCUUAAAAUAUGGAUCCCUCAUUGAAAGGGCCAUAUAUAUAUAUAUAUAUAUAUAUAUAUAUUUAUAGACACACACACAUACACACACAUACAUCUAUAUAUAUGGAUUUGCAUCAUUUCAAGGAUUUUGCCAUUUCAAGUUAAACUAAUUUGAGAGGAAUACGAGUAAGACGGUAAAAUAAUCAUUUUAGACCACGUACAUAUUUCUUUCAAGCCCCUAGAUCCAUCUUGAACCAUGUAACGUACUUUGAUCCAAGCAAACUCUAUUGAAGUUCAUUUGGAUUCGUCCGGCGCCCGAAUUCCGGACUAUUGAUUCUAAAGGAUAUUCUAGCUCAAGCAGACAGAUCGAUCGUCUGCCCUAAAUUUUAGUUUCUGUUUAGGGAGGUCGACUGAUAAGAAGUCUCAUCAUCAGAGCUAGGUCCAAACAAAUGAACCCUAAAAUGAUCGAACUGUAGGUUGCCUGCGUUCUAGGUUACACUACAUCGACGACGACUAGUUAAUUCUCAUCCCGUCACGAACUCUCUCGACUGGACCACGGAGAUUUCUACACCUGUCCCGACGAACCCUGACGUCGCUCUCGCCUCCGAUUCUUGACGUUAGGUGGUGGUCACGACGCAGUAGGGGACCAACAUCUCCAGAACCUUCCACGUCGGCUAAUCGGCGGUUGACCGUACAGUUCCCCACCGACGUACCUGGGUCCAACGACAAGCUGGCCUCUUAUAUUAGCUUGGGGGAUUAUCCGAACGGGCUCAGCUGUAAUACACCGCCGUCUCGGGUCCAUCUGUUCCACAUGAAUAUGGCGUCGCACAGGUAAAAUCUUAUAUUCUCGAUGUGGGAUUGAUAUCUCAACACGCCUUUGCACGUGUGGUGAAUUUUCAAGCCUAACACGUGGACCUUGGACGUGGGUAAUCCGCUCUGAUAUCAUGAUAAAGUAGUAUGCGGUUCACGUCUAAAACCAAUUGGCAAUUGGUGGAGUGGCCCAAACCCUUAUAAACCUACAGGCAAAGUCUCAUAUUCCCGAUGUGGGAUUGAUAUCUCAACACUAACUUUGCGACUUCAAGGGUUUUAACUUGCUCCAUCGAAAACAAUGUUAUCAUGCACUCAUCCAUGACAAAGAGUGACAUGAUAUGGGGUGCUAGAAUAUAUAAGAGAAAUCAAGAAGUAUGAGAUUAUCUUAACGGGAUGGAAAAUGAGAAAUAUAUCAUCAUGUCUUGGGCAUGCAAGGUGAACUUGACGGAAAAUUUGGUUAAUAAUGCUUAACGUUGAUAUGUGGUUGGAUUAAAUUAUUAGAGGCAGGGCAAGUCUUUAGCGACCUGUGUAUCUUAAAAGAGGUUAGCUAGUUUUAACUCUUUACCGAUACAUGUUUUGUAUGUGUAAAAUAACGUUAUUUAUAUUUUUUAAGUUUUAAUAUUUAGAGUAUAAAGUUAGAAAUUAUGUCGGCACGAUGUGAAAAAUUAUAUAUGUAGAAUGUGGGAUGUGAAUUUUGUCUUAUUAUAUCAACGACUUUUAGUAAUACGAUAACUAUUUUUUCACUAUGACUUGCCACUUACAAAUAGACAAAUGUUACUAGACAAAAUGAUACUAGGCUAGCUAUUCUUGAUAAAAUUUUGUAAAAUUUUAUUUCUUUAUUAUUCAAAAUAUUUAUUCCAAUAUUCAUCACAUAAUAAAAAUUUUACAAUGUGUUAAUGUAACUCAAAAUACGAUUAUUCGUUAAGAGUGAUUUCUAAAGGAAACAGGAAAACUUUAAUUUGGAUUUCUUAGGUCAAAAAGCUUUUUUUCUUUUUCUGAAAAGGGUCUGGGAUUGGCCAAGAAAGUUUUAUCUGGCUAAGCUAUAACUAUUCAAGUUCAACAUGACAUGUUCUUAUCCUUUCAGCAACCUUCCCAUUUCGGAAGCUAACACUACGUAUACAGUGAGAGCUUAAUUCAGAACCACAAUUUACAAGUCAAACGAUUCAAUUCAAACAGUGAUUUCUAGCAUUCACCAUGAGUUUGAUUGUGUCAAGUCUAAGAAAUCACUUUCCAAACUUUUAGCAAAUUAUUUAAUUUCCUCCUAAUCCCAGUUCACAGUUUGUCUCUUUGUGCAGGUGGAACUCCUCCUUCCUCCUAUAUAUACCCCAGCCCUCCUCUUUUCCUCUCAUCAUUGACAUUACCUCCCUUAGCAACCAUCAUUUCCAGUUCUUCACCAUCCUUCAGUACAGAAGAGAAUUCACAAAGAGAGAACCAGAGAGAGUGGUGCUACAUUUUUAUGGAGAAAAUUGCUUCUACUUUGAUAUACAUAUUUAUCUCUCUCUCAGCUCUGUUCUUAUAUCACUGCAUAAAGAAACAAAAGAGAACAUUUCUGCAUAAGGCUAAGCUUCCCCCAGGCUCAAUGGGGUGGCCUUGCAUAGGAGAGACCCUGCAAAUGUACUCUAUGGACCCAAACAUAUUCUUUUCCACAAAGCAGAAGAGGUUUCUAAUCAAUUACCAACCUCUGAUCAUAAUUUCAUGUUUACAUCGGAUAUUGCAUGGAUUUAUCCAACUUGUUCUGCUUUACUUGUUCAUCAGGUAUGGAGACAUAUUCAAAACCCACAUACUUGGCUGUCCUUGUGUCAUGUUGGCAAGCCCUGAGGCCACAAAGUUUGUGCUGGUUACUCAUGCUCACCUAUUCAAGCCCACAUACCCGAAAAGCAAGGAGAAGCUGAUCGGCCCUUCUGCUUUGUUCUUUCACCAGGGAGAUUACCACAGUAGUCUUAGGAAGCUCAUUCAGAGCUCUCUGUCUCCAAACCCCAACACUAUGCAGAAACUGGUUCCUGACAUUGAAGCUUUAGCCAUUUCUGCCUUGGAAUCAUGGGCUGCAGCCGGAACUGUCAUCAACACCUAUCAUGAAAUGAAGAAGGUACAUGAAAUUUUGGACCCUCCAUAUUUGAUUAAUUACAUGAGUUAAAGUAGUCUUCUGCACCAACACGUUUACUUACGUCGUUUUGCUCAUGUAUGCUUAUGUCGGCUUAUCUUGGUUUUGCCACUGGUUCUAAUGUAUCUGUCCUUCCAUUGUCGUCUGCAGUUUGUGUUUGAUGUCGGCUUUCUUGCCAUUUUUGGCCGAUUGGAUGAUACUUACAGAGAGAAGCUCAAGCAGAACUACCACAUGGUAGACAAGGGUUACAAUUGUUUUCCAACAAACAUGCCAGGCACUGCAUAUCACAAAGCUCUCUUGGUAAGCAAAAUCAACUCUAUCGGUAUAGUUAUAUGUAUGUAGUACAUGUUAAAGAGAUUUUAAUUUGACAAUGCCUUUUGUUUCUUCCACUUUCUUCUUAAUCAUCAAAGGCGAGGAAAAGGCUUAGUCAGAUUCUGAGACAGAUAAUUUCUGAGAGGAAGGAAAAGAAAGUACUGCAGAAAGAUCUCUUGGGUGAUUUGCUGAACUUUCAAAAUGAAAAGGGGCAAAACUUAAGCGAGGAUCAAAUUUCCGAUAACAUCAUUGGAGUGCUGUUUGCAGCCCAAGACACUACAGCUAGUGUUCUAACAUGGAUUCUGAAGUACCUCCAUGAUAACCAAAACAUUCUUGAAGCUGUGAAGGUAAGGAUUCCACAGAAGUUAAAACUUUCAUGCAAGUUAUGCAUGCGACAGAUUGUUAUAGAUAUUGUGUAUACUAAGCUGUUCUAUUUUGCAGGCUGAGCAGAAGGCAAUAUGUGAUGCAAAUGAUGGGUGUAAGAGAUCAUUGACAUGGGCACAAAUCAGAAAUAUGCCGCUUACACAUAGAGUAAGCCCAACUCAAAGAAGGCUCAUCAGCUCAUGUGGUCAAAAUUUUUAAUAGCUAGAAAUUAAUAAUAACAGCUGAACAUGUAUAAAUUUUCAGGUUAUAUUAGAGAGUUUGAGGAUGGCCAGCAUCAUAUCUUUCGCAUUUAGGGAAGCUGUGGUUGAUGUUAAAUACAAAGGUAAGUACUUACACUCAAUUUAUGUCAUUUAGGGAGAAAUUGAGAGAAUUUAUUCCACUAAGUUUACCCAGUGCUAAUCACGUGAAAAAAAAUUAUGCAGGAUAUCUCAUACCAAAGGGUUGGAAGGUCAUGCCAUUGUUUAGGAACAUACAUCAUAAUCCUGAGUUCUUCUCUGCUCCUCAAAAUUUUGAUCCAUCUAGGUUUGAGGUAGGUGCUGCAUUUCACAGAAACAGUUAGUUUUUUUUUUUUCCCGUUUUUCGCUUUAACAAGAUGAGAGAAUCAAAUCGGUUGCCUUUUUUGUUUUUGAUCAGGUUUUCAUGCCCUGUUCCUAAUUUUUUUUUCUGGUUGUGGAGGAUAGGUUGCUCCAAAGGCUUAUACUUUCAUACCAUUUGGCAAAGGAGUACAUGCUUGUCCUGGAAAUGAGCUUGCCAAACUGGAGAUGUUCAUUUUGAUCCACCAUCUCGUGACUAGUUUCCGGUACUAUGUCCAUCACAACUUUCUCACAGAAGACUGAUUUUUUUUAUUUUUAUUUUUAUUAUCAAUAAAGGUGACUUUGAAAAGAAAAAUUUAUAAGGGUCUUAUUUGUUAAUUUUCUUCUUUCUGUUUAUGGUUUAUAUUUACAGAUGGGAAGUAGUGGGAUCACAAAGUGGGAUUCAAUAUGGCCCAUUUCCAGUUCCUCAGCAUGGACUACCAGCCAGAUUUCUGAAAGAACAAGUGAAUCCCAAACAAGAUUUCCCGACCACUAGUUAAAUAUGCCUUCCCCACCUAAUUCAUUUCACCUCCCCAUAUGCUAAAAGUAUUCAAUCUUCAACCCUAUUGUUUUUGAGAUGGGUUUUUCGUUCUCUCUAGAAUUAUCCCUUCUACAUAGAGAUCUAGCCCUUGUAAUUUUCAAGGAGUAAUUUUAGGAUUAUCCAAAUCAAUGAUUGAGGGGGGUUAAAGUUUUCAUAUCACUCUAUUGUAAGCUUAGCGAUAUUAUUCUUCCAUCACUGCUCAUUGAUGUACUCCACUACAAUAAGCAGGACUUAUCAUUCACCAUCAUCCAUAAUUCCAUAUUACCAUAAACGAAAAGGUUUGUUAAUAAGCACAAGCGCUAUUUCAGGAUUGCUCUUGAUAUUUGGACAACAAAUAAUUUAAAAUGAAUGAUGAAAGGAUGAUUAAUUGUAAACGACGUAUCUCAACAUUUGCUCUGAAGAUUUCAGUCUAUCAAGUUCUCUAGUGAGGUUAACUUGAUUGCACGACACUAGCUUCUCUGGAUCACACUGGCUCCCAUGAUCUGCAGUGGUAUAUUAGCUCAGCCUUUGACUUUUGCAUCUUGGAUAUGGAAUGUUGUAGGGGAUUCAUCUAGUAACUGUCCUAUCAUGACAAAAGAAAGAAAAUUUACUUUUCACUUCCAACUUUUACCAUCUUCCGUACUUUGCGCAACAUUUCUUACGUAAAAUCUAGUGUAUAAUGUAUAGUGUGUACUUACGUAUUAGUAUGUGCGUAUGUUAUACUAAUUGAGGCAUGGGGAAGAUCAGUGGAACUAGGCAUUGUUCCCCUGAUGGGAACUUGCAUAUUGCUUCACACCAUGUUCAUUAACUGUGGCCACAAAAAUGCCACAUGUUGCAAGCCAAUAGUGAAUAACAGGGAUGCCAUUCAUCAGCAGAAAGCUUUGGAUGAUUGGUUGAUGUAGGAUCAAGGCCAGGUAGCCCUAGCCGAGCAUGACCAACUCCGACCUUCUAAUUGCUAACACAUUCUGAAGCCAAUAUUAUUUUGACGGUGGCCCUGAGUUUGAUAUUUUGUUUAGAGGAGAAAUAAAACUGUCCAAGUUCUACAGUAGGGCACCCCUACAGGGACUGACCAAGAAGCAUUGAUGUCUGCAAAUUUCUGACCUAUUUAUGACCUUCAAGGCUGCAACUUCGAAUUCACUGACCGCAGUUCUGCAUGCUUCCAAUUCUGUACAGAGUCAAACUAACACCAAAUGCAUGACUAGCAUAGAGUGUAUUCAGCAAAGUGUAUCAAAUUCAAUAGUACGUACAGCAAACUUCUGGUUUCGGCCAAUAUGUGACUGCCAGAAGGAAAACUGAUCGAAAGGCCCAAAAGUUGUGCUUGAUGGCUCUGGUAUCAGUCAUGUAAAGCUACAAGCAUUUCUGCACUACUAGCUAUGAUUAAACAGUGUAUCAAGCACAAUGUGCAAGUAAAAGGGAAAGAAAAGCAAGAACAGGGUAUUCUAAUCAGAUCAAACCCCCACCAGAAUAACACUGUAGUUCUGUUGUGAGGUUGACACGACUACUGGAAUGUGCUUGUGUAUUACAAAACUUAGGGUACCAGUGGCGGAAAGGGGAAAAUGACAUUAGAUCAUCACAUCAUUUUCCCACGUCAGAGACGAUGGAAUCGUCUCACCGUCACUACAAAUAAUGCACAAAUAACACCACAAAUGUACCAGAUAUUCACAUGGCACCAGCCACAUCAUUCAUGAAUAGAGCAUUAUCAAGCAAAUGUAGCUGUUGUGGGAUGAACAGUAGUUAAAUAACAACCUUAUUGCCUUCAAUUCAUCAUGAAAAUAAGUGAGACAAUGAUAUAACUUACGGUGUCAAUGAAGAUUUCACUUGGUGCAAUCCAUACCACUUGCAUAAUCCUCCAAGAUACUUCCAAUCGUCCAUGCCAGCAUAAUGAUGAGGAACUUCAUUCUAGUAAUCUGUACAUUGAAUGAAUGCCGUUUUCAUCAGUCAGAAUAUAAGACCAUCAAGACUUAUAUUAUCAUAGUUAUUAGUGAUAAUGAUGAUAAUUAGUUUUGGUACGUAACAUAUGAUGAAGACAAUUCAAACAAUGUAUGUGUUAAUCAAACACUAAAGAAGGAAAAAGUCACGCAAUUAAGUUACGUGAUCCGUAAAAGGUGUCGUGAACAAUCUAGAUUCAGAUCGGCACAUAGCAUAUUUCAAUUUGUCAUCAUUAUCAACUAUCGUAAAAACAUUCAUCUUUCUGUAAAUAGAUCACGACUCAAUUUCAGACAGACAAAAUGGUAUUCAUAAACAACCCUUAAUGCGUAGAUCAGAUCGUGAAGCUUGUAAUGCACUGACACAUCAAUAAUGGAUAGAAGGUAGAUCUUCCAGAAUUGAACUCGGCUUAUAAAUAAGCACCUGAUGUGAACUCUCCUACUCAUAGAGAUAUUGUGUCCAUUCUCUACCAAUCUCAGACCUCAACUCGAAAGAGGCAGGAAUGUGUACAGUAUGAAUUUCUGAAGACAAAAGAGACUUCAUUAUAAACUUCAAUUACUUAAGGAACAUAAGCUCCAGUCCCUGAACAAACACAAUAUACUCUGGUAAUAAAAGUUGAAUCAGCAGAACAAGGAUUUUCAAUGAUCCCCAACUUAAUUAUGACCAUGCACCAAAUCUUACUAUGUCCUAGAUGAAUUCACUAUUAGUUUUACUUUUUCAAGUAGAAACAUGCACAACAUGCAUGAAAAUAUUUUGAAACCUAUUUUCUCAUCACAUUGAGGAUCAUCAUGUCUUGAAGACACAAAUUUUCUGGUGAAAACAUACAACUUCACCACAGAAUGCAUGGAAUAUAUAUUUCUUAGCAAAAAGUACUUAGACCACAAGUAUUCUUGACCUGAAACAAAUUUCUAAUCAGUAACUUUCCUAAUAUUGCAUUCUGUAUAUAGCAUGUUCUUCAGUUUAUUGCAUGCCUGAAAAAACCUUGACACCAGUCUAUGCUUCAUUUAAAGAAAAAGAAAUAAACAUAUGUGGUCUAAGUUUCUCUAUAAUUAGAGUUACUCAGGAAGAUCUUGAAAUGGAAUAUAUAUACCUAGUCCCUUUUUUGUUUUUACUUUUCUAACUUCCAAAAUGGUAAAGAAUUUCACCCUUCUCCUCAAAUGUUCAUAAAACAUCAUAAAAACAAAGAAACUUCUUCUAGCCAAUAAUAUCUUGACUGUUACAAUCUGAUGUUACUUCUCCCUUCCAUCAGCUUGAGGGGGCAUGUUAAGCGAAAAAUGGGUAAAUUAUCUCAAGUCAAGUCAUUGUAGGAUAUAUUAGGUGUACACAAAAACAAACUGCAAUAGAUUGUAUCAAAGUUCUGUGAUACUGAGGCCGUUUUUCAGAUCAAUAUACAAAACUCUCUCUCUUUUUUCUGGGUUUUCAUCAUCUUGUACAAGCUUUUUCUUAUUCUGACACUUCUAACCUGUUUGAUUCAUAUGAAGGACUAGCUAUUCACUUCUUCUUAACUCAAACUUCAUAACAGAUUGCUAAGUUAAUAAAUGAUCACUUGGUUCCAUAUAUGGCUAAAAGAUAGUAACAAGCUGAUUUCUAAAUAACAUUUCUUUCUUAAGCCUUUCGAGUAAGAAAGAGUCAAUCUGACAUGAUUCUUCUGGACUCACUCUACCAGACAGGUCUUUUCAAUAUAUAUAUUCCUAUAGAUCAAUGAAGAAAUAAUAAAACUUCCAAAUUGACUAUUUUUUUUUUUUUUUUUUGAAUAGCAAAAUUGACUAAUUUAGUAGCAUGAAAUUUAAUUAUAACACGCAGAAGAAAAUAUCAUAAGAUAUGAACAAUGGGAAUGUUCACCUCAUUCUUCUCAAGUGUUAAGCCGAAGAAACUCAAGAAAGCCAGGAAAAAUCUCAUUUUCCAGGAAAGGAACUAAACAAAAGAAGAUAACGUACGUGUGCAAAUAGAUAUAAAUGCAUUUGGAAAAAUAAAUUAAUCUACCCAAGAUUUUGCAUGAACCAAACAGGUCCGGUGCUUUAUUCGAUAGAAGAAUGAUCCUUGACCUUAACAUAAGGUUUGAUCAUCCAUCUUGUCAAGGACAACAUGUAAACCAAGAUCAUGCCGGGAUCGUGUAUGCUAGAUGGUAGUUGUCAAGCAAAAUAGCUAGAUACAAAUUCUUUCAAGGACUAUGGCAGUUGGAUGAAGAAUCUGCUGUUCUUGGUAGGAUAAAUCCUAAACUUCUUUGAUGUAGAAUUGUGUAUGUUACCCACAUUAUCAAACCAUCCCUAAGGCUGGCACUAAUAAAGGAAUCGACCUUGCUAGGAUGAAGCAUUACCAAACUUUCAGGCUUUCAGCAUUAUACUGUCUAUACGUACACAGAACGGGAAUCAUUGACAUCUAAUUGCAGCAAACACGAAUGCCAAAUGACCACGAAGAAAAAGCUUAUGCCGCUAUUGUGACAUGUAUGGCGGAUGUGAGGGAGCAUGACUUCAUAUUGCAUUAAUAAAAUUGAUAAUUGGAAAAGCAGUUUGGUAAUAUGAGACUAUGAGUAGAAUGACCAGGAUUUCAUAAAACCUUACAACACUUUGUGAACCAUGAUCAAACACAAUCAAACCUAUUCAUAUUAACAGUGUCAUUUGAAUUGUUAAUUUUCUGGCAACUAUUUCAAAGAAAUCAUCUUGGACAGAAAAGUGAUGAGAACGAAGCAUAAUCCAUGGAAAUUUGAAGAGAAAAACAACACUGUUUGCUUGAAAUGUAUCAAUUCCUGCAAUUAAAUACCAAAUGAUACAUUUUUUUCAGAAAAAGAAUACUGUUUCAGUUUCUUUCUCAUCCUAUUAACACAGGCAAUGAUCAGAUUGCCCCCAGUAAAAUCUCAAGUUAGUCUUCUGAACAACUUUCUUGAUAGGUAGGUAGCAGUAAUAAGCAAAACUUUGUAACACCAACUUGAUCUAUACCAAACCUCAACGUAGAUAGGAAUUUAACAAUGAUUCAAGUGAUAUGGUCUCCAUAUCUCUGCAUGUUUUCUAUACGAAACACAAGUUCUAUUAACAAUGCCGGCAUGUGUGAAUUGUGAUUGUAUAUAUAUAUAUAUAUAUAAACGAGGGCAUGUGUGUAUUGCCACAAAUAUCAGUUCUGGGGAAACGGUUCUUGAAUUGUUAAUAUAAUGUUGGGAAACAAAGAAUAGUAAGUGACCAAACCAAAACAAUCAAAUUAAACAUGCAAUUAUUCGUUCACAGAGGCUUUGCGGUCAAUAAAAAAAUGAGAAGCCAAACAAGAAUGAAUCAGUGCAAUGCAUCCUUACAUUGUCUAGAAUCCAGGUACAUAUCAUCAAUCAAAUUAAACAUGCAAGUAUUCUUUCACAGAGGCUUUGCUGUCAAUAAAAAAUGAGAAGCCAAACAAGAAUGAAUCAGUGCAAUGCAUCCAUAGAUUGUCUAGAAUCCAGGUACAUAUCAUCAACCAACUUUCUGAACUGCUGAAAGUAGACGAAACCCAAUCAUGAAAACUGCUUAAUCUCGUCGGCCAUGGCAGAAUACAAAUUAAACUUAGGACAGAGAGAUUACUAAAGAGCAUGGCAGAGCAUUUGAGUUUGGAAGACGGCUGGAGCAGAGAUGCAUGCAAAAAGGGAGAAGCCGGAGGAGGUAAAAGGUUGAGAAUCACCAAGGCUGAAAUUUCCGAAGAACCAAAAUUUAACAUUAAGCUAUGGGUGUGUUCGGUUAGGUUUGGUUUGGCUCGUUUUGAAGCCGAACCUUGACCGAACCGUAUUUUUCGGUUUGGUUAUAUUUCAACUCGCAACCGCAAUGGUCGAACUGAUAUUUUCGGUUAUACUAUGUAUCAGUUUGGUACGUGUCAGUUUUAGUGUGCACCGUUUUUAUUUAUCUCAACUAGAAAAUGUGAACAAAAGUCAGGCUUCCGCUAUUUUUACCUAACAAUUUCAGCUAGGCAUAAACAAUUUUUAUUACAUUUAGAACAUCUCCAACAACUUCUCUAUAAAAAAUAAUUAAAAAAACUUAUAUGAUGAAAGAUAAAGUAUAGAGACAGAGAGAAAUAGCAAGAUAAUAGAGAAAGAGUGCGGUUAUUGACACCCCACCAAAUGCUUUUUUCACCCCGCAUUUCAAUUUUAAACUAAAUAUUCCAAUACUAACUCCACAAUCAAGAAUUUUUGUGAAAAUAUAAUAUUAAACUAAAAUCUAAACAACACAAAUUCUCUACAUCUUUACAUUGGAAAAAAAAAAAACAAAUCUCUACAUUUUUCAAAUCAUAUUUGAGAAUCAUUUCAAUCUUCAACAUGGUGGUUAUACAGUGUGAUAUAUGGGAUUGUUCGUUCUUAUUUUUAUUUUAUUUAUGGCUUCAAACGUAGUAUUUCAUAUAUAUAUAAUAUUCAUAAUCGUAAAGAAAGAACUCAAGAAAGAGAUUGCGGAGAACAUAGGAUGUGGUUUGAGAAGAAUGGAGGUAUGCGUCAAUUAUAUUGAUGAAAUAUUUGUAUAUAUUUUAUCAGUUUUGUAAUUGUAAGUUAAAAGAAAGAAAAUAAAAACUAGAUUUUCACAAAAUUUUAAUGGCAGAAUUGGAAUUUUAAAGGUAAAAAAUUAGACGUGGGGUGAACUGAGCAUUUAGUGGGGUGGAAAUAGCCGCACCCAUAGAGAAAUCAUCAUCUUAUUCAUUGAUAGGAGCUCUUUAUAUAGGAAAUUACAUAAUACCAAUAUGGUAAGGAUAAUGAAUACAUAGAUCUAGUCAAACUACAUAUCCUAAUGUCACAAGGCCAAGGCACACAUAAAGAAUAUCUAGAAAUAUACAGAAUAUCUAGAAAUAUACAGAAUAUCCUAGAACACUCCCCCUUCUGCCGCGCGCUGAUAUGCCGAUGGUGCUGAUCUGUUGCCUCGUCAAGUCACAAAAACCCUGUGGGAGAAAAACAGAACAUUGAUCGUAGAAGAAAAAGAGUACAACACACCCUUCACAUUUGAUAGUGACAUGUAUGUAUGUGCUAGACUCCCCCUGAAGUUCGCACCUCCCCUUGAUCUUUACAUCAAUCAUAGGGUUCUUCAUGAUUCUUACCAAUCACGGAAAUUUCAAUAACUUAGCAUGUCAAUGCUCUUUAACAUGUCUUCAAAUGUGGCAUUAGGCAAUGAUUAACUAAAUCAUGCCGUAUUGUCCUCAAAUGAUCUUUUACACUUAGAUCUUGAGGAGAAGGCCGCUUGUGAACUCAAAACAUAAGUUCGGGCAGGAAAUCAGAUUUUCGCGCAGCAUAACCUUCAGUUACUAGAACAAUCAUAACUUCCUCUAGGAAAUACAUAUGAAUGAACCGUAAACGGUUUUGGAAACUAGACUCAUUUAGCUUUCCAACCGUAUAUUACACACGUUCUGGUUCGUCAGGAGCUAUUCACAAAGUCCCGUCGAAGUUGACUAUUUUGCCAAAAUCAGAUUCUCGGACAUAUUCCUACUUUACGAAAACGGCCAUAACUCACUCAAUAUGAUAGGUAUGAUCAAAUGGUUGGUGUCCCUGGAAAGUAGACACAUAGACCUUUCCAAUGGUACCAAUUUCACCAUUUUCCAGUGAGUGAGAUAUUCUGUAGGUCUCGUGAAAUUUGACCUACGAAACUUGGCAGAUUCUGAUUUCGCUUUUGAUGUGUUUUUCUUAUGUAGGGAUAGAAUAAGCCUCAACCUUUCAUACCAUUAAGUAUUGAAAAAGGAGUUACUGCCAUUACAUUGGCGUUGCGUGGGCGCAUAGCUACACUUAGUUUUACAACUUUUCAUAGCGAAUGAGAUGUCAAGUCUUUCGUAUUGUGUUGAGUACAUUGAUGCGUCUUAUUGUACUUAGAUGGGAGCUCUAUCUCUCAACACAUAUUUGUCAUCUUGCUUUAGACAAAACAACGGAUCUCUCUUUAGAGCAAAAACUUUGAUUAAUCAUGGGAGUAUAUGUAAGCCUCACUAGUUAUAGAGUGCCUAAACCGAUUGAUGGAAAAUCAUCAUCAAUACAGUCAUCGAGUGCCUUAUCGAGACUCGUAGAGCCAAUAUGUAUCAUCAUCAAUACAGUCAUCGAGUGCCUUAUAGAAAAAGUUCUGAAAACUAGACUCGUAGAGCUUUCCAAUGAUAUAAAGCUUAUUGUCUGGUUCGUCAGGAGCUGUUCACAAAGCUCAAACGAAAUUGACUGUCCAGAAGGGACAAAUUGCUGUUUUUCACAGAGUUGGCAUGUGCAAAGCUAUGAAGCUUGCAGGUGGCAUGUAGGCUUUUACCUUAGCCAAAAGUGACGUGUGUAUGAUCAAAACCAAGUCCUUUUGGUCAUUCUAAGGUCGUAAAAUCCAUGACUAGUUAGCAAAAGCUCCCUGACAUGAACAUAAACUAACUCAGAUGACCUAGAGGAUUCGAUCAUGAUGAUAAUUUUUUGGUUUUGAUAAGUCUUCAACGUCUUUUACAAGACGGCAAUUGGUUUAAUAGCGUAGGGGGAUCCAAAAUCAAAAGUUUUCGAUAACUCCAAGUCAGUAUGACCAGACAUGUCUGUGGAGGGUCGGUAGUGCGAGACACACUUGAAACCACUAUCUCCUUAAUUUCAGACAAUUCUAAGACAUCACACUGAGCUUGGAUAAGCCUAGUUGAACAAUUGAUAAUGGAAAAUCCACUAUAAGGUAGAAGACUUAACUAGAAACACGUUGGCGAUCCUCCUUGAGGAUGCAAGGCCGUGCGUCAUCUUCACUUGGAGAGACCAAAACGGUACAAUCUAACCAUGUAGAUUGUAAAUAUGUCAUUCUUCUAAGAACGAUGUAAAAAUGUACAUCUUGUUUGUAAAUCAAUACGAACCCUAAGAGGAGAAAAGUUUCAUAACUUCGAAAAAAUUCUCAAGGCAUUCAUUAUUGCUAAUGUAAGUACAUCGAGGUCUCAAAUAGACGACGCCUUAUUACAUAUAGCUUGGAAAGAUAAUCAAUGUCUAGCCAAUGAUGUCAAAGUCAUGGGUAGCUAGAACUGGAUCUGAAUCUUUGAAAUUUGUGAUCAUGAGGAUGACGUUAUUGUCCUCAUAUUGAUUUUCCCUACCUUUUUGUAUGCAUUUAUAUUUUGAAGGAGAGUUCGACAACUCUUGAACCAAUGAUCCGGAGAUCCACAACAGUUGCAUUAUCAAGAGCUGGCAUGAGUUGUUUUGACAGAUUGGUGUCUAGACCAGGAGUGUCGCCAUUAGGGCCGGCGACACCUCCCCCUCUUUUCUAAACAACGGCACGGCGUUUUCUGCCGUUGCCGUGACCCAUAUUAUUGUCCCCACAUUAGGGGAUAAUCUCAAAUACGUUUAUCGCAUUAACGUAUAUACAAUUCUCGUUUGCAAUUGUAAGAUCAAAAUCAAGUCUUGUUGGUAAUUCUAAACCAACUUGGAGGACCUAGAGAACUUGAUGAUGAUCGGAUCCGCUAAAGAUUAUGGACAAUAUGUAGUCAAUUAAGGUGGUAAGCAAUCCACUUGACUAAUAACUCAACAAGUAGAGUUAUAUGAACGUUUCAAGAAACGCUCUAUGAGUACAUUCCACAGUACUUUGUGGUCAUUACUUUUUGCACAGAUUGUCAUUGAAGGUUUUUAUCGAUGGGGCGCGUCAAAGACUUUGAGCGCAUGAGAUGUGAAAUCUCGGCAUCUAGGCUUGUUAGCCUGGGGGUCAAAAUAUGUGGUUUAAUCAUUUCUAAUGAAAGGUUCCACAGAUACAAAGCGAAGAUCCGCCUUAGGACAGACAUCGAGUAUGUCAAAACUCAAAAGAGCAGAAUGUUACAUUGCUCUUGCAUACAAAACCAAGCUGUUAUGAGACUCGAUAGAGGUCACAAACAAUGCUUUUAAUGGUUUGUCCUUUGGAUUGAUCAUAUACAAUCCGGAAAAGCCGCGAAUUGAUCAAACACAAUUCGGAAAAGGCCUCGGAUUGAUCAAACACAAUCCGGUGAUAGGUCGGGGUUGAUCAUACACAACCUGGAUAAGGAAACAAGAGUAAUCAAACACACUCUUGACCCGCGAAUAAAAUUCUGGGAUUUUUGGUACAUGCACACACAAAAUCUCAAACAUGGAAUGAAGAUGGAGAAUGGGAGAAACCACUUUAUCUCCCCCGAGUUUAUUGAACUUUGAACAGUUUAGGGUUUAAAACAUACCGUAAAAUUUCUUCAAAAACUCGGAUUUCUUGAUCUAAAGCUCGAUCGGCGAAACCAGAAAAGAAGGCGGAGCUGACGGCCAGGAAGCGGCGAUCAGGAGCAGCGACAACGUCGGGGUCGAGGCAGGGCCGAGAACUUUUGGUUUGAGAAAUAAUUGUUUUUUAGGGUUUGGAAAACAAAUGGUAGGCUAUUGGCUCUAGGGUUAGAACAAAGUGCAUGAUAACAUGAUGAAAGAUAAAGUGUAGAGACAAAGAGAGAUAGCAAGAGAAUAGAGAAAUCAUCAUCUUAUUCAUUGAUAGAAGCCCUUUAUAUAGAGAAUUACACAAUACCAAUAUAGUAAGGAUAAAUAAUACAUAGAUCUAGUCAAACUACAUAUCCUAAUGACAUAAGGCCAAGACACACAUAAAGAAUAUCUAGAAAGAUACAGAAUAUCCUAGAACAUUCUCUAUAAUUUCUCUAUUAUAGGGAAGCAAAAGUCAAUGUUUUAAGCAAUUUUUCUUCUACAACUCUAACAAAUUCCUUAUUUUGGAGAUUUUAUUAUCAUUCAUUCCCCAAAUCCUUUAAAAAAAUCAUAGAGUUUGUAGCAAAUAGCUGGGAUUUGGUUUUCACUCUCAUCACAUUCCUCUUUUUGGUGAAAGUUUUAAGAAUCUGUUGAAGCAAAACACCCAAAAUCUCCCCAAAAUUGAAACAACCAAGAAUUUGGGGAAGCUAUUGGAGAUGCUCUUAGAGUACCCACACAGAUCAUGCUCCAAAUAUCAAAGAACUAGCAAAAGAUCAUAUUUAAACACUUAACAAACACACAUAUAUCAAUUAUCGAGCAAACAUAACAACUAGCAAACCUACAAACUUACAUGGGAAUGGAUUUCUUAUAUAUAACAAACCAUCAACCAUCAAUAAAGAAUUAGAAAAUAAAAACACAUGUAAUGAAAAUAAAUUCGAUGCGGUUAGGUUUGAAUCGCAUGGUUUAUGACUCAUAACCAACCAAACUGUUUUUAUGAGGUUCGUUAUGGCUAUAAACGAUCCACUUUACUUCAGUUUGUAUGAUUGUUUUUUCGGUGCGGUUGGGUUGGUAAUCACAUUUUCAGUACCGUUCGAUCGGUAACUGCCGGUUCAAAUCGUUGACCCCUACAUUACGUGACAUUGCAUUUUGAAUCCCCAAAUAUAAGGAAGCACAUCACCUGUUUCGGAAUAUCUUGUGCCAAACUUGUGCUACUAAUGGGAGCCCGACAUGUGGCCACUAUCUUAAAAGGAGUUAUAUUCGUGGGUGAGAAUCAAACACAUGACCAAAUCAGAUCGUGUGCACCCAAUGCCCUUCAGCCGUCGGCAACCCCACCAUCGGAAUUCAGGAAUGUGACUCGUCUCUACCCACCACAUUUCUCAUCAUUAAUCAACAUUGCUUAAAAAACUGCGAAAAUGUCACUUGACGCAUAAGCACCGCAACUUUGACUUCCAAGCUAGCCACCGGAAGCUUGACUAUUUGGGCCAUCCGGGGUUAAAUAAGUCCACAACAAGGACCAGCCCGGCCCAAAGAAAACGUAGCCAAAUAUGGCAAAACGUCCCUCUCUUGAUAUGACAGAAAUAGCAACAAGUCGCAAUUCCCCAUUCACUGGCUCACACGUCACUUCUAGUCCACGACCCGAUUAUUAAAUUAUUUAUAUAUAAAUUAUUUUUUUGAAAGAAUAAUAGGACUAGUAGGAAGCCUAUAGUCUGCGAUAUUAGAGAUAGGCAAGCAUAUACGGCAUAUAACCAUACACACAUCUAUACUCCAUUUCCAGAGAGAAUCAAGCACAAGAUCUUGACCUCUCUCUCUUCUCUUAUCUCUCUCAUCCUUUCUUUCUCCGGUUCUCAGUUUCCGAGCGAAUUAGGGCAAAGCGCAGAUCGGAAAUGGAAGAAGAUCGCGGGCAAUCGUCGCAUUGCCGAUUCUGAUUUCUUUUUCCGAUGCACUGAGGUCGGCGCCGGCGCGUGAGUUUUGAUCCGGUUCGGUUAUUGUUUUGAUGCGAUUGGGCCGAAUUGUGGUUCCAAAGACUCUGAAAUGGAAUCGUUCUGGAGCCACAAUGCCGCCCCAGACUCGUCGCAUUUCCUCGUCGCCGUCUACUUCGCCUUUGGAUUCUUCUUCGCUCGGCUCUUCCUUGAUAGGUUCAUCUUCACCGUAAGAUUCUUCUUCUUCUUCCUCCUUUUUUGCAAGUAGCUAAAUCCUGCUUUCUGUAAUUUUUCGUUGAAUCUUGAAUUUUUGUGUGUGAAAUCUUGGAUUAGUUUCGCCUUCAAUUCUGCAUCAUGUGGUUCUUGUGCUAAUGAUAACUCGGUUGAGCUUAGAAACUAUGAUCGUUGCGAAAAAAUGGAGCAUUAUGUACAAUUUUUAGGUUCAUUAUCAUUAUGCAAUGAGUUGGCGGUUCGAAUGAUUGAGCUAUUCCGAAUAGUUGUAGUUGGAGGGAAAGAAUAAGAGGUGAGGUUAGCGGACAUUUUGGAAUUACCGGAGUUGAGUAGGUUUGGGUCUAGGGGGAUUCAUAGAAAAGAUUAUUGUGGAGCAGUUCGAGGUUGCUAUGCGUGUCGUUAUUCUUGGUUGCAUUAUGUUCUUUUAGGUUGCAGUUAGUGUCAGCUUUAUAGUGAUUGCGGGGGCAAGUCUGAGAUUUCUGAUUAUUUGUAAGAUUUUGGGGUAUUUAAGUGGUUAAUUAAGAUGAUCAAGAACCUGAAACUGCAAGGAUUUAGGUCUAGCAUCUGGAAAAGGGUGAUCUUUCUAUGUCUUCAACAUGAUAGUUGCCUAGCCUCAUGAAUUCAUGAAUUGAGUUCUGUGUUGAUUUAUUGACUUGGUUGAUAGUGAGUCAUUCAAGGUUUUGGCAUAGCAUCUGAAAAUUUUGAAUUUUGUAUUCCCUACUUGUCGGGUGUUAAAAUGAAUUGUAGACGUUUGUUGAUAAUGGAGGUUGUCACUGCCGGAGAGAUUGGCUUAAUCAGUGUCAGCUGUUGCUUCAAGGUUCAGUAUGUUGGGUUAAAUCUUCUUCUAGACUUCUAACUUGGUUUUGUUUAAAGUAAACUGUAGGACCCCCUGUAAUAUAGUCUGUUUGUAACCUAUUAGCUUGCUUUUAAUUCAAGGACAACUGUGUCUACUAGUCUGAGUGAAGACUAAUUCUAAGGAAUAUACUAAGUAGAAUUGACAUCUUGGAGUUCUAUAUAAAAUGCCACUUUAAUCUAUCCAUAAGCUAGAUCCAAUUAUUCAUCCCUGUAGUGAUACUUGUUCAGUUGUUCAUCAUUUGGACAUUUGAUUAAGCUUUCUCAACUUCUGUCCAGUGUCCAGUGUCCAUCUCUCUCAACAUGGAAAUCAUUCCAAUACUACAGUACUAAGUCCUCCUUUCUUUUUGGUCAUAAAAACACAUGUAGAAUCUAUUUGGAGAUAGGCUUAGAAUUUGAUUAUAGGACUAUGCUGAAUGCCUGAACAUUAGGUGAGUAUGCUUUGAAUAGGAAUUUUGCAUUCUGUACAUUUUGGCAUUUAGGUUUAGCAAUUAUUCAAUGGCUCAAAUCCAGAGUGUGUACAUUACUUAAUUCUGAUGGCUUUCAGAUCUGGGAAUAGAUCUGCAUAAGUUUGUUGUCAUAAUAUUAGCUGUCAACUGUUAUGAUAUAUGUAUAGACAAACCUAGAUACACAAAGUUUUGCCUAAUAUUUUGUUUGCCUUUUUUUGCCUAGUGUUAAUGUCAGCAUCAAGUCAAGCUUAGUAAAAUGUAUUUCUCAAGACUUGGGACAAUUUAGAUGCGAAGUUUUAAAUCAAAAAAAAAAGAAGUUGCGAAGUUUUGAAUUUUGGAUUUCAUUUGGAAUUCAUAUAAAUCUGGUAAAGUGGCAUGCUUGCAUAAUUUUUGUUUACUUAACCAAAUAGGAUCAUCAUCAAAUCCUGUUCAAGGUGGACUGAGAAGCCUGGAAAAUAUUCAAUUGUUUGCUUUCCCUCUUCAAACAAAAAUUUUCAAACCCACAUACAUUAGGGUAUCAGGUUUUCUUUGAGUUCCCUUUAGGGACAAAUGUUGACUUUAUCAAGAAUGUCAAUAUCUCUGGCCAGGGACGGAGCCAGGAAUUUAAAGUAGGCUGGGCUAAACAUACGUGAAAAUUUCAAAGUGUAUUUAAAAUUUUUGACUACAUUUAAAUUUCUAUGCCUAUAAUUUAAUAUUUAGAUGGCAAGAUCACUUAGAGGAGACUUGUUAGACAGGGCUAGGGGAAAGUAUCACUUGGACGAGAGACUUACUAGAGAAAUAAUGAUAGAAGCAUGAUAAAUUAGCUUGGGAUUGAAAUAAUGGAGAGAAAUAAGAUUAUUAUAACGCGAAUGAGACAAACCAAAAACCAUAAUGGAAACUAAAACAAUUUAAGUCGGUAUUUUAGUCAAUAAACCACCAAGUUCUUUAGAUUUUUAGAGAUUUAGAGAUUUUUUUCUGCUUAAAAGUUACAAAUCCUUAUCACUUUGUUAAGAGAUAGCCUUAUGAUUAGAAAUUAAGAAGGCCUGCAUGUCAUUAUUCAUGUGAGCAAACCUACUGUCUGGUAAUCAUGAUCAUGGAUUGAAAGUCAUACUAUCAAGAAUCAAGAAUUGUACUGAUUUCUAACUGGUUGGCACUCUUCAGUUCUUUCUAUGACGUGGACUUGUUUUAUUCAUGUGAAAGAAAUUGAGUUAUAGAAAUGAUGUUUAAUGAUUAAUCUGUCAAUAGCUUUUGUCUAUUGUUCAUGUCUUUGUUCCCCUCAUUUCAGAGGCUUGCCAUCUGGAUGUCGAGAAAAGGUUCUGCUCCAUCGAAGAUAGAUAUGGUCCAACGGGCAAAGAUUACGAAAUGCUCAGAGUCUAUGUGGAAGUUAACAUACUAUGCAACUGUCGAAGCCUGCAUUCUCAGCAUAAGCUACCAGGAGCCAUGGUUCACAGAUACAAGAGAGUACUUCAAAGGAUGGCCAAACCAAGAGUUGGGGUGAGUAACUCAUACGGUGGUUAGUUAUUCUGCAUUCCCACUACUGGAUAGAUGAACAUUUAUUUAGUGUCGGAGAUUGGAAUUGAUUUGUUCUAAUAUCUAAAAGAACACGAGAAAAUAAUUUCUGUUUAUGUUCUCUGCAGACCAGCAUUAGUGUCUGAUCUUGUUUCAGAUAUUGGUUGAAUUGGGCAUAAUGCUUACUGAUAAAUAUUAAGGGAAUUAAUUAAUUGGGAAGUCAAUUAGCAGUUUGUCGAAUGCUGGAGACAUACUCUGUAAAUAUUAUUUUUAAACUUCACAGCUGUAACUCUUUUUUUUUUCAUCACUUUCUAGUUGAAUUGAUUGUUGACGUGAACUCUGUUAUCUCCUGACCAUUUCAGAAUAUCAAUUUUUUAAUUUUUUUUAUUAGUUUGGUGUCAUUUUCGUUUUGCAGAUCAUUAUUUUUAAAGUAAUGUUUUAUUUUUGGUCUCAAGAGAUAGGGCAAUGCAUUUCAAGCUCUACCCCUUGUAUAUGCCAUAUUGAAGAGCUUCCCUACUCCAUUAGUGUGUUAUAUGUCUGAAUGUAUAAGAAGGUGUUUCCAUCCAACUUGGUGGACAAGAUGAUUGUGGGAUAUACCUUUCAUCCUCAUCCACACAGAUUGGAGGGCUGUGUCAGUUCACGUUUAAUUGUAAUUUUACUAUAUGGUUUGUUUUUUUUUUUUUCUUUUGUUCAUCCUAUGACAUUUUAUAUAGUUUCUAGCAUCCGGUAGGUUAGAACUGCAUAUUGUUUAAUUAGCCAGCUCGUUUCUGUAUUUGUAUCUUAAUAAAAUCUCUGUGUUUCUCAUGGAGAAGAAACUAAAAAUGAUCGACUUAAUUGUUAUAGAAUGAAUAAUUUUGAUGACUCAGUUUUAGCUUAGCAUUUACGAAUUGAUUAUUCUGAUUCUGUUCCUUUAUCAUUUCAGGCUUCCCCUAAAGCUUGUGUAUAUGUGUCAAUGUGGAUUCUAUACCUACAGUAUUGUUGCUCUCCUUACAUGGGAAACCCGAAGGAAGGAUUUCUCAGUGAUGAUGUCUCAUCAUGUAAUUACCGUCUUCCUGAUUGGAAUGUCAUACAUUACAAGGUAUGUUUGUGUAUGUGCAAUUCAUUUUUUAUGUCAGUUUGUGUUCGUAUGGGGAGGACAUCAUGCACUUAUUUUCUUUCAUUCUUUUAAAAAAAACCUGGUAACCUGGGCCCAUAACAGUCUUUCCUUUAUUGUUAGUUUGAUAUGGUCACUUGCAGUAGCUGUAGUCCUAAGUUACUAAUAUAGCAAAUUGUUGUUGAGAUACUGUUUCAAUAAAACCAGUGUCCCUUAAACUUUGGGUGAUAGUAUUAAGUAACAAACUCUUACUAUGACAGGUCUCUCUCUUUACAUAUAUAUAUAUAGACACACACAGUCCCGUUCACAGGUGGACGUCCGCAAUUGUGAGAAAGUGCAGACUGACACUCUCUACCAUUAGAUUGGUUAUAUCAAAUUUAACGGCUCACAUGAAAAACCCAUGUGGGUGUAGGAACACGAGUCUUCUUGCACCCUCAGUCUUCAACUCAUCACUUCUGAACAAGGAACGAAUUUUGGAAACAUAAUGAAAGAUAUGGAAAUUGGAGAUGUUUUUUUUUUUUUUUGAUGAAGUAAAAUUGUGGAGAUGAUUACGAAUGAGGUAGAUAAAAGUUACACCAAUUCCUCUCUUUAUUGGUUGGCUUCGAAUGUGCCAAAGCUAUGUCUAAGCUUUCGCUGGGUGGGAUUCAGGUUUUGAAUGACUUGUUUUUGUCUUUCAUUUUCUUUUAACUUUAAUUGAAAACUGAACCCAGUUCUUCAUCUUCAGUCUUAUGCUAAAGUGAAAUAUAUGAAGAUUUAUUUUUCCCUCGGGGCGGCCUUAGAUCGGAUUAUUGAGUAUAAGCCAUACUCUUUAUGGAUGGAACGAGAGAUAAAUCAUCGACAUGGGUUUCGCCUUUUUCAUAUGUCUGAAUCCAUCCCUCCAUCUGAGAUGCAACCCGAUCAAUCUCAGACUUGGACUGGCUCUAUGGUCUCUUUUUGUUUGUUUUCCUUUGAUUCAAUUUGAAUAGAGAAUUGUGGAAGACCGCUCGACAGUGUGACCAUGUCACGGUAAUGACAUUGACUGGGUUCGAGGUCGGUGAAGCUAAUCAGCCAGAAAGGCCAUGUGAAGAUUGAGAAUAAGCAGGACAUCUGAAAUUCCUUGAGCCGUUGAAGUUCAUUUAAAUCAAUCCUACAGCUCGGCACUUUUGCAUAUAUCAUGGACAUCCUUCUCUGAUUGCGCCUGUAUACACACACAUACACUGAAAAAAACGCUCUUUGAAGCUUAGCUCAUCUAAGACCAUUAGUAUCAAUGGAAUUUUCGUUGGAUUUGCAUAUGUUGACAUAUAUAUGUGAAAAUCUCAAGCAUUGUAAUAAAGCUUAAACGCCAUGAUCCUUUCCGAGAUUAUAGGCAGGCUUCACAAAAAUUGUAUGGGGUAAAUCCCAAACAAAUGAGUUGAUCAAACACCCUAGCUUUGGUACUCGAACGCCAAAUGUAUUUUCUUUGCUUGUCCAUGCCACUAAUGUCUACACUUGGGCAUGUGUGUGUGUGUGUGUGUGUAUAUAUUUAUAUAUGUAUGUAUACAGGUAUACAGGUAUAAUAUUUUUAUUAAUAGAGAUGAACCUAUGAUCGAAGCUUUAGGUUCAAGCCCCAUUUUGUAUUAAUAUACUAAAAAAUUUCUUGGUUCUACAUGUAUUAAAUCAAUUUCAGUUGAAAUGAUUAACUAAGACUAGAAGUAAUCCACUGUCCACUUGCAGCUUUUUCCGAAUUGGCUCAAUCAUUCUUGCCCUGCAUGAUGGGAGUGAUGUAUUCAUGGAAGCUGCCAAGGUCUUCAAAUAUUCUGAGAAGGAGCUUGCAGCAAGUGUGUUCUUUGGGUGUUUUGCUUUUUCAUGGCUCAUACUGCGGUUAAUAUACUUCCCCUUCUGGGUCAUAAGCUCAUCAAGGUCUGCUCUCAUGGUAAAUCAUUUUAUUAUACCAUAUAUAAAUGUAUGGUAACUCCUCCUGCUUAUCUGUUCUUAUGGUUGCUUUUUUACAGUUAUGACCUUGUUAAGCACUUGGAUUUGUCUUUGUCCUCUCAUACAACACUGUACUAUCUGUUCAAUACGAUGUUAAUGACGCUGCUUGUGUUCCACAUAUACUGGUGGGUUAUGAUAUGCUCAAUGGUUAGGAGACAACUGAGUAAUAGUGGAAAGGUUGGAGAAGAUAUAAGAUCAGGUAAACUAUAUGUGCUGCUUACAGGUUUGAAUUUUACAUUUCAGUGCUUGUUAUCAACUUUGAAAAGUAUAUACUCUCCACCUCUCACUUAUUGGUUGAGUAAUACUGGAAACAUUUAGUAUGUUAUGCAAGGAAACUCUUCAGCUCGUAUUUAUAUCACUUGUCAAUACACACCUGGUUGUCAGUUGUCACUGAAUUUGAGGUGUGGGCUUUCUCCGCAAAUGAAAAUAUGGCUUCUUGGCUUAAUAUGUUUAUCUCCAUACCUUGUGUCGGCCUUAGCUUGGUCCACUGGGUUGCUCUUUGUAUAGAGAAUGGGUCCAAAUUGACAUAAUUAAUAUAAGGUUUUUUUUUUUAUUAGUGUUUCAAUUUUUCCAGUCAAGUCAUGUUCUUCAGUCAUUAUACUCAGACCUACCUUGUUGUAUUGUUGGGACCGUAUGCUGAAACUACGCUCAUGGAAGGUCAAACACAUUUUAACAGUGAAUACCUGUUUGUAAGUUUGGCUAAUGAAAACAAUGUAAAGUUACACCUGGAAGCUUGUUGUGUAUCAUAGAAAAAAUCACAUUCUAACAUCAUACACAUCCAUCUUGUUGCGUUGGUUUCUUUUAAUGGUUUUAGAUUUCACCACUUCCUUUCUAAUGAUUUUCUCUGCUGUUUACAGAUUCAGAUGAUGAUGAUUAGACGGAAGAUUUUGUCCAAGGUUUUCUUGCCUUUGUUAAUGCUGACCUGUAUGUAGGUUAUAGCUGCACUCAAAAGUGGCCCUUAUCUGUAGGAAGGGGUUGAUAGUCUCUUCCGUUAUCAAAUUUUGUUUCGAGUCUUCACAGAUCAUGGCUCAUGUCACCGUGUAUUCUUUUCCUUUUUCUUUUUGGAUGGAGUCUCUUGUUAUAUGGUGUAUAAGAAAUAGGUAAAUUUGUGUAUAAUUCUUCUCUCAGGAUAAUCACUUGUAUUGAGACUAGCCUUUUGUAUGGAGAAAUGAAAGGUAUUCACAAAUUAGUAAAGAGAAAAUAUAUCAUGGACUUGUCAUUGUUUCUUUCACGCUUAAAUAUGUCGAAAUGCUGCACGGUACUCACAUUUCGUGUGCUAUGUUUUCUUUCUUUCUUCUGAAAUGGGUACACACCAAUGAGUACGUUAUCAAUCUUUUGAUGAAGCAUAAUCGUUGGUUAAAGAAGCUCAAAGCCAAUAAACUUUCAACAAUGACAUCCAAAAGAACAGUUAUAUGACUUGUGUAUGGACGUCUCUUUUGGUACAUGAAAACAAUGUCAAGUUUUGAUCGUAACGUUUACGGUAACAUUGUUCUUUUUUCGAAUCAACUUAAAGACUCGCGAAAACUUGACUUGUCCAUGGAAAGCAGAUGUGCCUGCGUGAUUGACGUAAUUGGAAGCUGAUUUUCGAUGACUGCUCAAUCUCAGGUGUUGAUUUUCGAUGACUGCUCAAUCUCAGGUGUUGAUUAGUUACCAAAACAGUGAAAACGGACGCCUAUAUAUAAUAAGCUCUAGAGUAGAGGUUUGCUUCAUCACAAAGCAGAGGAGAGGCAUGAAUUCACUUAAAAUUUCCACCCUUUGUUUCCUACUCUCUAUCAUUUCCAUACCCAACUUCACUGUUUCCCAAAUCCUAUUUCAGGUACAGAAAGAAGCACAUAAUCUCUCUCCCUCAACUUUUUGUUUUUGUUUUAUUUGUUUUGUUUUGUUUUUCUGAUGGUUGUUGGUUGGUGAUCUCAGGGGUUCAAUUGGGAAUCAGCAAAGAAGGGAGGAUGGUACAACAUCUUGGAGCAGUCCGCAGCUGAACUAGCUUCUUCAGGAAUUACACAUGUUUGGCUUCCACCACCUUCUCAGGCUAUUUCAGAUGAAGGUACUUGAUUUUUUUUACUUUCACAAAACUCUCUUUUGUACUUGAGUUGUUUCCAUUCUCAUCCAGAAUUUGGAGAACUUUGUGAGCUACCUGAUGCUCUGGUUAAAACGACCAAACAAAUGUCCACCACAAAUAAUUAAAUUGUAACAUUUCUUUUCUCUGGUAUUGAAUAUUAACAAUGAUGCGAGUUUGUUUCGAUAAUGACAGAGAAAUUCUUUGGUAUUGCAAGGUUUGUAACAACAUGAAACAGAAACUCUUUGGAAAAUGCACAAACAUCCUUUUCAAGUCUUCAAAAUUGCCGAACUGUUGCAGAUUUCAUUUGCAAACCAUCUAGCUACCUAUACCAUCUAUACUUUAUAUGAUGUAUCUUUAAAAACUGAUAAUUAGUAUAUACAUCUAUCAGCCGGGACAAUUGCCUUUUCGAUACCUGUGUUUUGAAUUCACAGUUUAACUUGGUGUGUCUUUACACCCUGUCUCAUUUAGCAAAGAGAUCCUAAGCAAGUGUAUUCAUAGCGAUGGCUAACAUUAUCAAAGCACUGCUGAGAUAAAAGCCGCAAUUGUAUUGUUAGGUGCAUGAUUUGUCAUAUAUGCAGCACAAUUCAUCUGUAAAUUAUGUCAAAGAUUAUGCAUUUGAUUGUUAACCUAACCGGUUUGCUGUUCCUUCUAAGUGCGACUAGUACAUAACUCCUCAGCAUUUCUGGUAACUGUUGAUAGCAUUGUCUUUGGCUGUUAGCAUCAGUGGAUUCAGUUCUACGAAUAUGAAACUUAAGUGAACUUCUUUUUUUUAGGCUACAUGCCUGGCAGGCUCUAUGAUCUCACAUCAAAAUAUGGAAACCAAGAUGGAUUAAAGGCACUGGUAAAAGCCUACCAAGACAAUGGGAUAAAGAGCGUAGCAGAUAUUGUUAUAAACCAUAGAUGUGCAGAGAAGCAAGAUGAAAGAGGAAUAUGGUGCAUUUUUGAGGGAGGAACACCAGAUGAUCGCCUUGAUUGGGGGCCGUCUCUUAUUUGCAGUGACGACACAAAAUAUUCUGAUGGCAAGGGAAACCCUGAUACUGGAGCUGACUUUGGUGGUGCUCCUGACAUUGAUCACAAAAACACAAGGGUCCAGAGUGAGCUCUCGGAUUGGAUGAACUGGUUAAAGACCGAAAUUGGUUUCAGCGGCUGGCGAUUUGAUUUUGUCAGGGGAUAUGCUCCAGAGUUCACCAAGCUGUAUGUGGCCAACACAAAGCCUAGUUUCUCAGUAGGAGAGUAUUGGAAUUCCAUUGCUUAUGGAAGUGAUGGAAAACCUGAGUACAACCAGGACAACCAUCGCAACGAGCUCGCUGGAUGGAUAGGGAAUGCUGGAGGAGAGGUUACUGCUUUUGAUUUUACAACAAAAGGGAUACUUCAAGCUGCUGUCCAGGGUGAACUGUGGAGGUUGAAGGACUCGAAUGGAGGUCCUCCUGGAUUGAUUGGAAUAUCGCCACGCAAUAGUGUGACAUUCAUAGACAAUCAUGAUACAGGUUCCACACAAAAAUUGUGGCCAUUUCCAUCAGAUAAAGUCAUGCAGGGAUAUGCUUACACUCUUACUCAUCCAGGCAUCCCAUCAAUAGUAAGUCUUUUUCAUCUUGAUAUGCCUUCUUACAAACUAAAAUGACAUCGUCAUGCCAUUGCUCAUGUGAAAGUGUUUAUAGUUUAAUUACCUGUUGUCCAUUUAGAUAACUGUUUGUAUUUUUUUGUAACAGUUCUAUGACCACUUCUUUGACUGGGGAUUGAAAGGGGAGAUCUCGAAACUCACUGCAAUUAGGUCCAGGAAUGGGAUCAAACCCGACAGUGCCGUCCGUAUCCUAGCAGCUGAUGCAGAUCUCUAUGUAGCUUCCAUAGAUGACAAAAUCAUAACCAAGAUUGGUCCAAGAUUCGACGUUGGGAACCUUGUACCGCCAACAUUCAAAAUCGCAACUUCUGGAAAGGAUUAUAGUGUUUGGGAGAAAUCAGCAUGAAGGUCUUGUUUGUAAAGCAAUGAACUAAUUAAUAAAGUACUUGUUAUUCAUGUAUUGCAAGUGCUUAUCAUGAAGUAAUGCAAAGGAAAAUUUUGCCUGUAAAGCCUUACUGGGAUUGCCGGAAUCAAUUUAGAACCAAAAAAAAAGUUCAUGAUAAUGCUACAAUUGAGCAGAAACGAAUUAAUCUUGGACUAAACUGUGGUAACCAUCAAAAUUCAACUAAGGUUGCACAAUCUCUUACUAAUCUUGGUCUUCAAAACGAAGUUGUAAUUGUCUUCUGAAAUUGAGUAGUCAAGACUCUACUGAAUCGCUGCUCUAGGUGCCAUCCAAUUCAAUGAAUCCCUCCACUCAGAGCCUCUAGCACCUUUCCUACGGCGGAGGUGUACAUAGAGAUUCUUGCAGAGCAAGCCUGGUGAAGAGCAAGAUUUUCUGAUAUUUUCUGGGAAUAAGAGACUGCAGGAUUCACAAAUCUUGAUCAGUUUAAGGCAAAUGAAUCAAUAAUGUAUGGAACAUGUAAAACAGAUAUGUAGAUUAAAAAGAAAAACAUUAAUGACUAUAUCAACAUGUCCGCAAUUGCAGUAGGUAACUUCUAAGGAUUUGAGACUUCAACUCGAAACUUUGAUAUCCAAACGAUUAAAGAUGAAGCCACCGAAAUCUGAAAUUGAAGAUAGUGUCAAAUACUCGAUGGAAGUGCACCCUGAAAUGAAGCUGAACAAGUCUUUGGAAGUCAGUUGCACACGCUUGAGGGACAGAGUUUUCAAAGACGGAAUUAGGGUUUCCAGAUGAUGACCAAUCCUAAUAAUUUUCACACGCUCCAAAUUUAAAAUUGUUAUAGAUUUUGCACUCAGAAAGUUAUCCAGGGGGUAAAUAGUAGCCUACAACCCCAGAUUUAGUUCCAAGGCUAAUAUCUAAUUCCUUGACGCCUUUCUCAAGUGCAAAAAUGCAAAGCUUAUCUACCAUGGCAGAAUCUCCAAAAACAUAUCUGUUCAUGCGAAGCCUGAAUAUAUCUAAGAGCCGUUUUUAAUCUUUCUCAUUCUCUUGUGGAACUUGAAAAAUAUGUUUGGAGGAUGUUGCUGUUACAUGACUUGUAUGACUUGUGUCUAGUCGUCUCUUUUUUCGUAACGUUUACGGUAGUUCUUUUUUCCAAUCAACUUAAAGACCACGAAAACUUGACUUGGAAAUUAAACUCUGACAGUAACGGUUGGGUUGGAAAACUCGUCCAUGGAAAGUAGAGGUGCCUGCAUGAUGGACGUAAUUGGAAGCUGAUUUUUUGUUACUACUCAAUCUCAGGUGUGGAUUAGUUACCAAAACAGUGAAAACGAACGCCUAUAUAUAAUAAGCUCAAGAAGAGAGGUUUGCUUCAUCUCAAAGCAGAAGGGAGACAUGAAUUCACUUAAAAUUUCCACCCUUUGUAUCCUACUCUCUAUCAUUUCCAUACCCAACUUCACUGCUUCCCAAAUCCUAUUUCAGGUACAGAAAGAAGCACAUAAUUUCUCUCCCUCAACUUUUUGUUUUUGUUUAAUUUGUUUUGUUUUGUUUUUCUGAUGGUUGUUGGUUGGUGAUCUCAGGGGUUCAAUUGGGAAUCAGCAAGGAAGGGAGGAUGGUACAACAUCUUGGAGCAGUCUGCAGCUGAACUAGCUUCUUCAGGAAUUACACAUGUUUGGCUUCCACCACCUUCUCAAUCUGUUUCAGAUGAAGGUACUUGAUUUUUUUACUUUCACAAAACUCUCUUUUGUACUUGUGUUGUUACCAUUCUCAUCCAUAAUUUGGAAAACUUUCUGAGCUACAUGAUGGUCUGAUUAAAACUACCGAACAACGUCCACCACAAAAAGUUAGAUUGUAACAUUUUUUUUCUCUUUUUACCAACGAUUUAAGUUUGAUUGCAUAGUACGUACUUCUGUAAUAACAUGAAACAGAAACUCUUGGAAAAUUCAUAGUGAUUACUAACAUUAUCAAAGCACAGAGAUAAAAGCCGCAAUUGUACUUGUUAGGUGCAUGAUUUGUCAUAUAUGCAUAUAUGCAGCACAAUUCAUCGGUAAAUGUCAAAGAUUAAGAGUUCAAUACAAAACAGUUAAUUUUCAGAUUUCGCAUUUGAUUCUUAGCCAAACCGGUUUGCUAUAUUUCCCAAGUGGACUAGUGUUUAUAUCGUCGUCUUUGGCUUUUAGCAUCAGUAGAUUCAGUUCUACGAAUAUGAAACUUAACUGAACUCAACUUCUUUUUUCUGAGGCUACAUGCCUGGCAGGCUCUAUGAUCUCACAUCAAAAUAUGGAAACCAAGAUGAAUUAAAGGCGCUGGUAAAAGCCUACCAUGACAAGGGGAUACAGAGCAUAGCAGAUAUUGUUAUAAACCAUAGAUGUGCAGAGAAGCAAGAUGAGAGAGGAAAAUGGUGCAUUUUUGAGGGAGGAACACCGGAUGAUCGCCUUGAUUGGGGGCCGUCUCUUAUUUGCAGCGACGACACAGAUUAUUCUGAUGGCAAGGGAAACCCUGACACUGGAGCUCCCUUUGUUCCUGCUCCUGACAUUGAUCACAAAAACACAAGGGUCCAGAGUGAGCUCUCGGAUUGGAUGAACUGGUUAAAGACCGAAAUUGGUUUCAGCGGCUGGCGAUUUGAUUUUGUCAUGGGAUAUGCUCCAGAGUUCACCAAGUUGUAUGUGGCAAACACAAAGCCUAGUUUCUCAGUAGGAGAGUAUUGGAAUUCCACUACUCGCGACGAGCUCGCUGGAUGGAUAGGGAAUGCUGGAGGAGAGGUUACUGCUUUUGAUUUUACAACUAAAGGGAUACUUCAAGCUGCUGUCCAGGGUGAACUGUGGAGGUUGAAGGACUCGAAUGGAGGUCCUCCUGGAUUGAUUGGAAUAUUGCCACGCAAUAGUGUGACAUUCAUAGACAAUCAUGAUACAGGUUCCACACAAAAAAAGUGGGAAUUUCCAUCAGAUAAAGUCAUGCAGGGAUAUGCUUACACUCUUACUCAUCCAGGCGUCCCAUCAAUAGUAAGUCUUUUUCAUCUUGAUAUGCUUUCUUACAAACUAAAAUGACAUCGUCAUGACAUUGCUCAAGUGAAAGUGUUCAUAGUUUAAUUAGCUGUGGUCUAUUUAGAUAACUGUUUGUAUUUUUUGUUAACAGUUCUAUGACCACUUCUUUGACUGGGGAUUGAAAGGGGAGAUCUCGAACCUCACUGCAAUUAGGUCCAGGAAUGGGAUCAAGCCCGACAGUGCCGUCAGUAUCCUAGCAGCUGAUGCAGAUCUCUAUGUAGCUUCCAUAGAUGACAAAAUCAUAACCAAGAUUGGUCCAAGAUUCGAUGUUGGGAACCUUGUACCGUCAACAUUCAAAAUUGCAACUUCUGGAAAGGAUUAUUGUGUUUGGGAGAAAUCAGCAUGAAGGUCUAGCAGCAAAUAAUUAAUAAAGCACUGGUGAUUGCAACUUUGCAAGUGUAUAUCAUAAAGUAAAAGGUGUUUUAGGAGAGAAUCUACCGUUAUUGUUCGAUAGAAAUACUUAUUUAGAGCAUCUCCAACAGCUUUUCCAUUUUCUUGAAAUUCUCAAUUUUGAGGAAUAUAGAGCUAUUUUUAGGUCCAACAGCUAUCCCAUCCUAUUCCCCAAAAUGGGGAUGAAGAAGAAAAAGAAGUUUUCAUUCCCUAAAUUUGCAGCAAAGCCUUCCUUCUCCAAAAUUAAAUUCUUCACAUGCUCCAACAAAUUUAAGACAACAAUAGAAUAUUUUAUUGGGUAGUUUAUUGUUACAAUGAAAUAUAUAAUGUUUUUUUGUUAUAAUUAAUGAUGAUAUAUUAUAUUUUAUUGUUGUAUUAAAUGCUGAAAUCUCCAAAAUGGAGAAGCUGCUGGAUUUUGAUCAUAAUUUUUUUUUAGAGAUUUUAGGGUGUGUUCGGUACCGUUUUGUGAAAUGGUUUUUUGUUUUACAAAUUCAAAAACAGAAGUAAAACGCGUUCGGUUGAUGUAUUUCAAAAACUCCAAAUAAGAUACAGGGAGUACAACUCUAAAUUCAUGAGUAAGUUUGGAAAACAUAAAAAGGACGUUUUACCCGUUUCUGAACACGGGAUAUUGCAUUGAAAAACAUGGAGAUUUUUUCGGGAGCUCUCUGCUUCAUGACACAGACUGUUUUAACUUUUAACCACCUCUUCUAUGUAUUAUGUGCCACAACUUCCAACUAUGGCGAUCAAAUUGACAUCAUCUAUGAGAUUGAUUUUUCUGUUGUAAAUUGGAGAAAGUUCUUCGUACCUAGUUGCUAGGUUGUAGCUUUAGGAUUUAGACUCAGUUUGAAAGAAUUACCUCAGAAAUCUUCCUACCCAGAUGGCCAGAUGAGUUUGUUGUCGCUCUGAACCUGUUCACAAUUUUUGUCGGUGAUACUAUUCCUCUGUCGAUGGAUAUGGCGAACCGAGCAUACUCACGUUUCACCACUAUUCAUGAUGAUUCACUUCUGUUAUUCGAUGAGAAUCCAUGAUUCCAGUUGAGAGUUUUAAGUUGAAGAUGAUGAAAAAAGCAAAUGCGUUUAUGUGGUGGAAUUUGAUGCAAACAAUAUUUAAAUGAUAUGCCAGAUAGCUACAGUAAAUAAUUAUCAUUAUAUUAUAGAAGAUUGAUAGAUGUAGCUGUGCAGGUGAUGGGGAUAAACUUCAACAAACUUAUAUUGAUAGAGUUAGAGACGCAUUGGUGAGGAACAACUGAAACAUGCUUUUACUUUUUUACUUUUUGUAAAACUCUUCCACAGUUGUGCUAUCGGACGCAUAUCCAAAUCGUGAAAAUAUCAAAUUUAAUUAUUUAUUUUCAUUUUAUAAAACAGUUUUUGAAAAAUGAAGUUGUAAAACAGUACCGAACACGCCCUUAGCUUUGGCUUCACCAUUUUAGAGAAAUUUUAGAGAAGCUGUUGGAGAUGCUCUUAUAAUGAGGGAUUUUUUUAGGGUUAUUUUAAGAGAUAGACUCUCUACCGUCAGAUCUAGUUUGUUAAAAAUAAAUGGAUGAGAUUAAAACAAAGAGUGUACAUCCUUCUCACUCUCUCUUUCUGCAAAACGUUGAGACCAACCUUUGAACCCAGAUUUUCAUGGUGAGUCUAAUCCCGACGAGGAAGGUGGAACGGAGGUCGAGACGGCGGAGCUCGGAGCGAGGUUGAUUCCGACCCAUGGUGGGUCUGAUUCCGAGGCUGAUUCUCAUAUCGUUAACCCCAUUCUGGGUUCUCAAUAAUCAUCAAAUUCGCAUCUCAAGCACUUCUCUUUCUUCAAAUCCUUUUGAAAUUGACUGGGUUUUCCGGCUGGAUCUUGUAUUUGUAGUGGGAAUACGAGGGAUUAAGAGAAGUAGUCCUCUUGUCUCAUAUUUGAAUUCAACCGGAGCAAUUUUGAGGGAAAUAGUUGAUGCAAAGAGUUCAUCUUUUGGUUUCAAAAUUCAAACUGAUAACAAAUUUUGGGUUUUUUUUCUCAUAUGGAAAACAAAUUUGGACUCUUGUUUGAGAUAGUCCACUCUUGCCCUCUGGUUGUAUUUUUCAGUUCUCAUAUUGAAAACAAACUUUGGGUUUGUUCUCUGGGCAACGAUGGCAAAUGCAAAAUAAACAGAGUACACAUAGUGGGAAGAAACUACAAUUGAAAUUAGUUUGAAAAGUGCUUGAGAGUGGGGGCUCGAGGGAAUUGUGGUUGAGAUUGGAUUCAGGAGAAUUGUUACUGGCAGAUCACAGAUGUCUCGACAUAAUUAAGAAUUUUGGAGAUUGGAUUUCUGGGUAUUUGAAGGGAUUGAGAACUCUGGGAGUAUGAGAACUUCAGGCAAGUUAGGAAGGAUUCUUUGCUUUAAUCUCAUUCAUUCAUUUUCAUUAAACUAGAUCUAACUGUAAAUAGUCUAUCCCUGUUUGGUAAUGUGGUAUGGGACAAAAAUUCACAUAUUUUAUACUUUUAACAGAAUUUUAGUGGAGUAAUUUUAAAUACACACCCCUAAUCUCUAAAUACACAUCCAUUACUUAAUACACCACCCAUUUAGUUUUUCAUUUCAAUAUUAUACUAAAUACACAUCUCAAACUGCCUAAAAUACCCUCAAUAUCUAAAACUAAUAAUAAUUUGUAUUUAAUAUAAUUAUUAUAUAUUUACUAUUUCACAACUCUCUUUAUGCAUUCUCUUUUAUUUUCAGUUAGAUUUUUUUUUAUCGGGUUGGAAAAUUUUUUCUUGAUAUUUAUCAAUUUAUAACCAAAAGAGUAAUAUUAUAUUCGAACUCCAACUCCAAUAUGACAUCAAUCAGCUAGAAUUUGAAGAAAAAUAAAUUAUUGAACAUACAUAAUUUUUUCAAGGUUAAGAAACUAGUAGUAGUACAAUAGCAUAAAAACUAAUUUUUAGUCUGCAAGAUAAAAACUAAACUAAAAACUAAAGUUGAUAAAAAGAACCAAAUGAAUCAGUAAAUAGUAUAUGUGAUUAUGACAGUAGAUGAAUUUCAGUUGAUGAAUUUUGGAGAAGAGGUUUUUAUUUCUUUUCUUUUGAUGCGUAAUAAUAGUGGAGAAGAGUUAGGUUUUAGGGAAGAGGAAGUUUUUUUUUUCCUCUAAUAAUUUAUGAAUGUUUUUGUAAUUAAACAUACCUAUAAAUUUGAUGUGAAAUAUAAAAUAAUAGAGAUGUGUAUUAAGAGAUUAGAGGUGUGUAUUUAAAAUUUCUCUUUGGUCAUUUAGCUUACCUAUAAAAUCUUAAUAGAAACAUAAAAUAACAGAGGUGUGUAUUAAGAUAUUAGGGGUGUGUAUUUAAAAUUUCUCAUUUUAGUGUUUGGUAAAACUUAAAAAACAUGUUAUAAUUAAUCUUGAGGUCGAUAAACGCAGAUUUUCAGAAACAGCCCCUUGACAUGCUUUCUCAAAACUCGGUUUUGCAAAAGCGCGAAGGGCCGCAGGAGAGUGAAAUGAAAAUUUAGAAUACCGAGAGCACCCUCGUGUUUGUUCAAAAAGACGGGUUUGUAUGGUAUGACAUACAUAUUGCAAAUGUGUCUAAUUGUAUGACAUAUGAGGACUUUUAAAAGGGUAUAUGGUAAUUACAUGGUCAUUUAGUUAUUUCUUCAAUCAAUGAUAGUUACACAUUUUGUGAGGCAUGCUAUAUCAUAUGGUAUACUAGAAUUUUCCCAAAAAGACUGCUAUGUGUAUAUCUUUCACAUUUCUUCUCUCUUCAACGUUCUAGGCUUCUAAUCUGCAACUCAGUUUAAUCAGCUUUCAUCUUGGUUGUCAUCAUUCAAGGAUUCCCCCUAAAUUUUGGUGGUUACAGUCUAAUCCAUGUCUCAAUCUAUUCAAUUUGAAAUUGAGAAUUUCUAUUCAUGUUCAUUAUUUUACCUGAAUACUUUCUGGGUUAGAAGCUUCUACAUAGUAGUUUGAGUUUCUCUAUACUUGAAGUCUCCUUUUUGUUGUCUUAUAUAUAGCACAUAUAUUUGGCUUCAAAUGAGAGCAUAUGAAGGUUUCUGAUCACUGAUUCUAUAUACAUAUAUAGACCACAAAUUUGAAUGGGUUUGUUUGAUAAACGAAUUAAAAAUUUUUAAAGCUUAAAAGAGAAAUAUGAUUGAAAAAACAGGAGAGGAAAAGAAUAGAGAAAAACCCUAAGAGGAAAAGUCCUCUCAUCCGGCCUCGCCGCCAUUCCUAUGUUGGCCACUGGCCUCGCCAGCGUGAGUCGACUAUGGCCGGACGGGAUGCUAGCGAAGUUUGUUCGUUUGGUGAUCGGUGGCUAGGGGUUGAGUUAGCCCAUUCUACAGCAUCUUCAGUCGAAGGCGGUGACUGCACAGGGUUUGAUCUCGCAAAGAAUGGUGGUGGCUGAUUGCGUGGAGCGAGAUCCUCACAUCUGACCUGGCUUGUGAAUCCAUGGUUGCUUCCGAGCGUGAUCCGCCGAAGAUCCGAUGAAGAUUGGAGGCGGGUCGGAAGAUGGAUUUGCAAAGGGUUGAAGUCGGACUAUCAAGGUUUGGGAGGUGGGGAUCGGGAUGUUGUUGUACUGAUGGUUUGUCGGCAGUGGAGCAGUUCAAGCCAGAAAGCAGCAGUGGUUCAACGGUAGGUGGGGCGAGAAGAUUUGGACGGUGCGGACCCCGUUUUAGGUUUUGGGCCAAUGAUGGGCUUCUCAGUCUGGAAGUGGGCCUAUUUUGGGCCGAGUGGCUGGGCCAUUUCUGCUAUGGGUUUGUUUUAUUUUAUUAGUUGUUUUGCUGUUUCAGUGGUUUUAAUAAAUCCCUAUCGUUUUUCAGUAGAAGUAGGUGCGUGCACUCUUUGUGCCUUGUCCGUUCUAGUUUGGUCGCGAAUCUCAUGUAUUAGCACAUGGUCGCAACCUCUUAGUAGCUGGAAUAUGUCUACCCUAGGUAUGCAGCGAGUUCUUUGCUUCGUCAAAUGGUCACUGCCACCUAAUGGUAGAGUGAAGCUAAGUGUCGUCGGAUUUAUCCUCUGGAGGCAACAUAGUAGGAAAGCUGUGCUUGUGGAAAUUAUGUUUCGCAAUAGUCGAGUUAACUUUUCGUUAUAUCACCACUAUGUUAAAGUCACCACUAUGUUAAAGCAAAUAGAGCAGCCAUUAGAGCACUAUUUGCUAGUCGGUGCCUAGUUGAGUACAUGUUUGUAGAGACUGUUGAUAUUAGUUCAGGUCUUUGUAAUCAGAGGUUUAGGCUCAAUGUCCCCCCUUGUAUUCAAUAGUUUCAUUAAUCAAAACUUAAGGGCAGCCGCACCAACUCUUUACUAAAAAAUAAAAAAUAAAAAAAAGAUUCUGGAGUUGGCUUAUGUUUAUCAUCUUGUGCAUAACUUCUGUAUAUUGAACCUUAAACAAUUCGUAGAACUCUUUAUAAAUUAGGGUAUAUUAAGCCAACUCCAGAAAUAUCCAACGCUAUACCAACGCUAACGCUUUGUCCAUUUUUGUCAUUUCAUGGUUUUGUAUUGGGUUUAUGAAAGAACUUACGAAACACUUCCAAUAUCAGUUUGAUGAUUAUAUUAAUUACCAAACACUUACCUGAGUUUUUAAACAGUGGAUUAUUUUACAACUGAGUUUUUAUACUGCUGAUCGAUUAUUGUGAUCGCAAUACCAAACUAAACCAAAAUGAACCCAAAAAAUGGAUCCCUCAUUGGAAUGGCCCUCUUAUUUAUAUGCAUUAUAUAGAGUCUUCCGAAUAAUCUAGAAGUUCUAUCAAUAUAAGAGUAUAGAGAUUUAAUGUGGAUUGAACUUGGUAAGAAAAAAAAAAAAAAAAAAAAGGUAUGCAAACUGAAAUGAAAUAAAAUCUAUGUUUGUAUCUAACAUGCAAUUGGAUAGAGGUAAACCCACCUGGCAUCAUCAACAUGUAGGACUAGUUUUCUGCAAGCUUUGAAAUACUCGAGAAAAUUUCGAAAGGCAUAAUGAUUUUCCAUUCUGUCCUCGAAGGCAGCGUCUUCGUCCAAAAGAUGGAUAUCUGCGUCCAUUACAAAUUCUGAAUUAUAUAUGGAUAUCUAUAGUGGUCUCUUUCAACAAAUUUCCACAACACCAUAAUCGCAAACAAUACAGGUUAUGUGUGCGGUUGUUGAUAUACUUUAAGUUUCUGCAAUUGAAUAUAUGAAACUCACGGCACAUGCAAGGAUUUGAGACUCGAAUCCGAUAUUUCAAGUUGCAGAAAAUCCUCAUCGAAGUUAGAAUUUAAACUUUGUGACAGAUACUCAAUAGAAGGCAUCCGGAAAUCAAACGGGACAAAGUCAUGGAAGUCAGUCGCACACUCUCGAGGGACAUAGUUUUCAAAGUCGACGGAAGCAUGUCAUUACUAGAGAUGACAUCCACCUCUACAUUCAAAUCCUCCAAAUGUAAGGUAGUUAAAGAUUUUGCAGCACUAAGAACUUCAAGUAGCAAUAUCAUCCGGUUAUCCAAAAUAGAACAUGAAAAUAGUGACAGAGAUUCAAUGGCAGGGAAACUGGAAAAGAAAACCAACAAAGCCUCGGAAUUCAGUUGCACAAUGUUCUUCAGUGACAGAUAUUCAAAGACGGAAGGGUAACAGAAUGGUCCUCCACAUCUAAUAUCACAAACUCCAAACUUGAGGUAGUUAAUGAUUUUGCAUCAAUAAGGGUGUGAAGUGAAAAAUGGUAAAGCAACGACCUUUGCUAAUGUCCAAUUCUUUGAGUCUUCUCCCGACUGCGAAAUUCAAACACUUGCCUAGGAUACCAGAGUCUCUCUCUAUACUGAAGGUAGACGUAGUCAAGCGAAGCCUGAUCUAAGAGCUUCUUGUUUUUGUGUUAGUUUUCAUAUUGGAGUAUCUCGAGCUUUUUGUCACUAUGUUGUGCCGGAUCGCCAUCAUCGAGAACUAAUACAGAGAGGGAGAACCAUACAGCUUGCCAUUGCUUUGAAAGAGAGCUCAUUCGAACGGCAGAUUUGGUUGGACCGUAGGAAGGAGUGGGAGUAUUUGGUGGAUAACAUCGUUCAUGGCCAUGGGGUUUUGAACAUAAUGAUCUUUCUUUAUCUGGCCCUGCUUUGAGAUCUUGUUAGUUGAGUUAGGGUUCUUCGCCGUCAUGUUCCUGCGUCUUUUUGCUUUGGUAGCCAACAGGCAGCGGCCAAAAGCCACAAAACAAUGUGGCUUACGUACGUACGAAAUGACAAAUAUAACUGCAAUUGAAUUAGAUCUCAACUACCAAAGUACGAAAAGAUCAAUAUGUAGUAGAAAACUACAAACAAAUCUUCUGAGAACUGUUUCCAGAUAAGGAUAAACAUCAAACUUGUUUAGAGGGGAGGCCAUGCAUGCUAGGGUUUUACCAGCUGGCUGGGCGUUCUGGGAUUCGAACUUGGGUCGGGCUUCACGGGGCUUGCUUCGCUAAAUUUUUUUCGUUAUUUUUUUUUUUUUACUUUUUAUUUUUCUAACUUUUUCGAUAUGAAAGUUAGAAGAAAUUUUAAAUACAAAACUCUAAUAUCUUAAUAUAUAUCCCUAUUAUUUUAUAUUUCACAUCAAAUUUUAUAGGUAUGUUUAAUUCCAUCAAUUAUGAGGGGAAAAAAAAAACUUUCCUCUCCCCUAAAACUUUUUUUUUUUUUGGUUCGAAUCCUUAAAACCUAACUCUUCUCUACUAUUACUAUGCAUCAAAAGAAAAGAAAUAAAAACCUCUUCUCCAAAAUUCAUCACCUGAAUUUCAACUACUAUUAUAAUCACAUGUACUAUUUACUGAUUCAUUUGGUUUUUUUUCUAUCAAUAUUAGUUUUUAUCUUACAAACUAAAACUUAUUUUUAUGCUAUUGUAAUUAAUUCUACUAGUUUCUUAACUUUGAAAAAAUUAUGAAUGUUCAAUAUUUUUUUCUUCAAAUUUUAGCCGAUUGAUGUCAUAUUGGAGAUUGAGAGUUUGAAUAUAAUAUUUACUUACUCUUUUGAUUAUAAAUUGAAAAAUAUCAAGAAAAAAUUUAUAACCCAAUCAAAAAAAAUAUAACAUAAAAUAAAAAAGAAUACGUAAAGAGAGUUGUGAAAUAGUAAAUACUAUAAUUUGAGCUCGCGCCUGGUGUAGGCACGAUUGAUUAGAUUAGUGAUGAUGGAGUGAGAUAUUGACGAUGAUGAUAUCACGUUGGAAAAUAAGCGAAAUUGACAUAAGAAUGUAAAUGUAAAAAGAGCAUGGAUCCACAUACAUGGGUUGUAUGGCUGCAUAUAGUACAAGAGUAACAGCUGCUCAGAAAUCAACCAUUUGAAGAAUGAGUUUUCAAAGGAUGCAUUACUUUCAAAUCAGUGGAAUUGUUUAAUAAGCUUAAAAUUGGCUAUCUUACACUGGUGGAAGUAACAUUUUAACAUCAAAACAUCAGUUCCACUACUUUAGUAUUUGAACAAAUCUAAGAACUAUCUAUUUAAUCAAAGCACCAAUAAUUCACAUUUCCAAAAUUCAUGGUUCAUUUCUUUAGUUCCAUUUUGACUCACAACCAACACCUAUACCUAUCGAGUUCCCUGAUCUUCUCUAAAAUAACAAACGUGUCAGCUAACUUCAAGGGCUGGCAUUUCAUUUACUCCUCUACAUGAUCCAUGAUAGCAGUCUUCAUCCUGUAAAUACAUAUCAUCAGCUCAAAAUUCUUAAAUGUAAAUAGGAAAAAGACAAUUUCACUAACUCUUCAGAGGUUUCCUAACUCCAAAAACAAACAUGAGGCGAACAUAGAGUACUUGAUUUUAAAUCCUCAAUUUGCUAAAAACUUAAAGCAUUUCAGAUUAAUCAUGUGUUCUCAAAUAUAAGCCAACAAUUUUUCAUUCUUCAAACGUAGUAGUAUUAUAUCAGGAAAUGACUAAAUAAGAACACUAUCAAGCAACAUUAUCUCUUUCAAAUAGCACAAUGAAUUCAGCUAUUCAAAUUUUCAGCACACUAUCUAAGCAAUUGAGCUGAUGCUUACAUCCACCAUCUCUAGUAUAGCAAGCAAUCCCAGGAAAUUACUAAUUGAAUCAAAUAAAUUACUAACCGAGUCAAAAAAUUGUAUUAAUCUCUGCAAGAUAAUGAUCAAAGAAAUUUGUUCACUUGAUAACUGGAAUUUAAAACUAUCAAAUACCAUAACCAAAACUCUCUCAUAUCCCAUAUCUGCAACACAUGAUUCCAUUUUAUCAAUCACCCUACUUGUAGCAAUCUGAAAUUUGAUUAGAGUUCCAAAUUACUAACUGAGUAUUUGGUUUGUUAAUUUUUUAAUGGCACAUAUCCAUAUCAACUCUGAGUCUUCAGGCUUCUCAGGGUUCCUAAUAGUACAUGUUUCUGCACUUUAAAUUUAAAUUAUUCCCCUCAGAAAGCUUUGAAGCUACCAUGUUUUACAUAUCCUAAAUGCAAAACAAACAGUUUCUACUCAACUAUAUGUUUCUUUAAUCUAACAACAACCUUCGCAGUUUCACCUACAUAACUAUUCUAAUUUUUCUAUAGGCAGAUUGAUUUGCAGAGGUGCAUGAAAAGUGCUGACUAAAAGCAAAGAGAAGGAUAGUAAUACUGAAAGAGAUUCAAUCUAUUCAGAGCAAAAGAAUAAAAAUUGUGAAUUUGCCAAAUAGUUAUAUACAACAGUAUCAUACUUAUUAAGUGGAUAAUAAACCAUCUGAUUUAUAUUCUGGUGAACAUGAAAUUCUAAAUGCAAGUUUUGAGGACUGAUAUUAACGUGGAAGAGGAACAAAGAUAAACCAAUGUAUGGAAAAAGAUACAUAGAAUAUCACCAGUAAUUGCAACUCAUAACAGGAGACGGAUUCUCUACUCACCUAUGUUCUAUUGCUGUCCACUUCCAGCUCUUGUUGCGAGUUUAAAACAGCUAGUUUUAAUUGUUGGAUAGAAGCCUAUGGCAGACAAACAAAAUUAUAUAUACAUGAAAAUGGAACUACAAUGGAUUAUAUUUCUAUAGAUAAACUAAAAUAAACUCCAUAUCAGACAGAAACGAAAAACAUAUUGAAUAGAAGAUCACAAACUAAUCUAAGUACACUAAAGGUCAGCCACCUAUUUUUUUUAUAUAUUUAUAUAUAGAUAUAUGUGUAUGCACAUAUAUCCAAUUACUUUAUUAUGUUGAUCCUCUCCUGGUAAACGAAAAUCGAUCAUCUCGAUCUAAAUAUGCUUAUAAAAGAGGCCAACGGCCAACCAUGCAUAUCCAAAGCUAUCAAGUAUCAAUAAAGCUGUCAAGUUUUGAUUUCAAAGUAAUAAAAGAUCUUAAUAUCUGUUGCAGCAAGUCUUGAGAGCUAUUCAAUUGGGGAGAGCCAUACUUUUCAGUGGUAGAUCGCUGGGCAAGUUCUGGUGUAGCUGUAUCUUAUUUUCAAUACAGAACCAUUUAUUUAACUAACAGAUAAUAUAUAGCAAUCGAUCAAUCAAGUUCGUCUAUAUGAUGAAAGCAAUCAAAUAUAGAUGAAGAUGAAACAUUAAAGAAUCCUUACUUAAAGAAACCUGAAUUCACCAAAAACCUUUGAUGCUUGAUUGAAACCCAAACCCGCAAUAAGCAAUAAGAUGGGUGAAAUCAAACCUCGAACACCUUAUGCAUUAAAAUUUCCCAAACAAACUCAAAUCGCAAUCACCCUACCGGCCUCAUCAAUCGCAUAAAUUCAAAGACCGUAAGGCCUGUUCAUUCUUACCAAAGCAACACAUAUAGAGAGAGAAGCACAUACCGGUUCGACGUCAGCUAUCUGGAAGACGACUAUGAGCAAGACGGCAGCUGUGUUUCGGUUUUGAUGCAAAGGCCUGAGGGGCGGUCGGUCGCGACGGCGACUUUAGCAGAUGGCAUAGAUCAGAGAAUUGUUAGGGAAAAAACAGAGGAGAAGAUGAAUCACAUACCGAUACGGUGAAGAGUGGCGUAAGAGAUACAAAGAAGAGCGAAGGAAAGUGGAAAGUUGCUGAAGACGGUUGGCAGGGAAAACUGUUUGGCGAUGAUAGAGACAGAGGAAGAAAAGAUCUGAGGCAAGAAAAGUUGUCUUUCUUGUGUGUUUUGGGUGAGGUCGAGUCAAGAAUCAAGAUGAGGAAGGGAGAUUUCAGGUUUGACUUUGAUUUGGAGCAUUUAAGUGAGUCGGCGUCUGUUUUGGACCAAAAACAGUUUUGGGCUGAUUGGGAUAAAUGGCAGAAGAAAUAUCUGAGGCCCACUGCUACAGUAAAUAAACAGUGUUUUCUAAACUCUGAAUUAGUAUAUUGUAAAUAUAAUAAUUAUAUUAAAUUUGUUCUAGGAUAUUCUGUAUCUUUCUAGAUAUUUUUUAUGUGAGCAUUGACCUUAUGUCAAUAUGAUAUGUAAUUUAACUAGAUCUAUGUAUUCAUAUCCUUACCAUAUUGGUAUUGUGUAAUUCCCUAUAUAAAGGGCUCCUAUCAAUGAAUAAGAUGAUGAUUCUCUUGCUAUCUCUUUGUCUAUACACUUUAUACUUCAUCACGUUAUCAUGCACUUUGUUCUAACCCUAGAGCCAAUAGCCCACCAUUUGUUUUCCAAACCCUAGAAUCGGGCAGCCUUGUUUUUCCCUAUUUCCGACCAAAAUUCCGACUGCCCUCCGCCGGAAUUUUAUAUCCCCAGAAAGCUCUCUCCGUCCCGGAUCCAACACCGCCGGCCUCACCCUGAGAACCGGCCGGAAAGUCUCAGAACCGGCCGCCGGAAGAUUCCAGACCGCCGCCGCUACCGACCACCGUUUCACCACCUUCCCUUGCUCCGAUCAACCUAAAAUUUUGAUAGAAGCUUCCCCAUCCAGAACUGCUCCUCUUGUCAAAUUUUCAGCCCCAAAUUCGAAGUAUAAGUAGGCGAAACGUUGUUUCUCCUCUCGGCAGCCUCUAGAAACCAAAGAUUUCAAGAUUGCUCGUCUUCCAAAGAAACCAGAAAGGUAUGUUUUGAAACCUUAAACUUUUCCAAGUUCAAUAACUCGGGGAGGAUAAAAUCCUUUCCUCCCUUCUCCAUCUCCAUUCUAUGCUUGGGAUUUUGUGUGUGCAGGUACCAAAAAUCCAGAAAUUUUAUUCACGGGUCAAGAGUGUGUUUGAUCACUCUUGCUUCCUUGUCCGGGUUGUGUAUGAUCAACCCCGACCUUUCUCCGGAUUGUGUUUGAUCAAUCCGAGGCCUUUUCCGAAUUGUGUUUGAUCAAUUCGCAGCUUUUUCCGGAUUGUGUAUAUUAAUCAUAUGAACAUCAAUUCCAGAAACCGCGUCUCCUAUGGUGCCUCUAUAUAUUAAUCAUAUGGUCUCUGUGCUUUUGAAGAUUCAUUCAUUCAUUCACCCUCAAUCCCAUUCAUGUUUGGAGAUUCAUUCAUUUUUAGUGAACGCGCCCUCAGUUUAACCUGCAUCGAUCAUUUGAAAAAUCAAAACAAACUUUUGAUUAGUCUCUGCAUGCAGAAGUGGAAAACUAAUUAAUUAGACAUGGAUGGAAAUUCCUUAGAAAAAUUAAAGGUGAUCACGACUGCUAGCUAGGGAUUAAACUUUUUCCAAAUAUGUAUGCAUGCAGCUUAAAAAUGAUCAAUCCGAAUGACAAACCAUUAAAAGCAUUGUUUGUGACCUCUAUUGAGUCUCAUAACAGCUUGGUUUUGUAUGCAAGAGCAACGUAACAUUUUGCUCAUUGAGUUUUGACGUACUCGAUAUCUAAGGCGAAUCUUCGCUUGGUAUCUGUGGAACCUUUCACUGGAAAGGAUUAAACCACAUAUUUUGACCCCCAGGCUAACAAGCCUAGAUACCGAGAUUGCACAUCUCCUGCGCUCAAAGUCUUUGACUCGCCACAUCGACAAGCCUUCAAUGGCAAUCUGUGCAAAAAAUAAUGACCACAAAGUACUGUGGAAUGCACUCAUGAAGCGUUUCUUGAAACGUCCAUAUAACUCUACUUGUUGAGUUAUUAAUCAUGUGGAUUGCUUACCACUUUAAUUGACUACAUAUUGUCGAUGAUCUUUUGUGGCAUCAUGAUCCAUAACCUUUAGCGGAUUUGAUCAUCAUCAAGUUCUCUAGGUCCUCCAAGUUGGUUUGGAAUUACCAACGAGACUUGAUUUUGAUCAUACAAACGGGAAUUGUAUGUAUACGCUAAUGUGAUAAAUUUAUUUAAGAUUAUCCCUUAAUGUGGGGACAACAAUAUGGGUCAUGGCAACGGCAGAAAACGUCGUGCCGAUGUCUAGAAAAGAAGGGGAGGUGUCGCCGGCUCUAAUAGCGACACUCCCGGUCUAGACACAAUUUUGUCAAAACUACUCACGUCAGCUCAUGACAAUGCAACCGUUGUGGAUCUUCGGAUCACUGAUUCAAGAUUGUCAAGCUCCUUCAAAUUAUGAAUGCAUACAAAAAGUACGAAAAAUCAACAGCCCUAGCUACCCCUGACUUCGAUGUCAUUGGCUAGACAUUGAUUUUCUUUCCAAACUAUAUGUAAUAAGACAUCGUAUCGAUGUCCUUUGUUUAUUCGAGACCUCGAUAUAUACUCACAUUAGCAAUAAUGAAUGCCUUGAGAACUAGUCAUAAAUGCCUCCGAGUUAGUUUAUGUUCAUGUCUGGGAGCUUUUGCUAACUAGUCAUGGAGUUUACGACCUUAGAAUGACCGAAAAGACUUGGUUUUGAUCAAACACACGUCACUUGUGGCUAAGGCAAAAGCCUACACGCCACUUGCAAGCUUCACAGCUUCGCACAUGCCAAUUCAGCGAAAAACAGCAAUCUGUCCCUUCUGGACAGUCAACUUCGUUUGAGCUUUGUGAACAGCUCCGGAAGAACCAGAUAGUGAGCUUUAUAUCAUUGGAAAGCUCUAUGAGUCUAGUUUUUAGAACUUUACGUGGUUCGUCCAUAUCUAUUUUAACGAGGAAGUUAUGGCUGUUUUAGUGUGCAAAGGUCAUUCUACGCGGAAAUUUUUAUGUACUCUCGGGAUUGCAGCUUUUCGUAGCUUCUUUUAAUCCUUCUAAAUGGUUCAAGUGGAACUAUUAACUAGCCUAUCUACUCCUUGUAGAUAUGUCUCAUCGAGACAUUGAGUGCUUCGCAGAUAGUGGAACUAUCCACAACAUUCUAAGGAACCGGCAACUAUCUUUGGAUUUUGUGCCUUUGUAAAUCUUCUGUGACUAUAAUGAUUGAAUCAUACCGGCCUUUCCUCGAUGUCGCAUUGGCCUCCUGCAAUGCUCAUUACUUGUUUUGAAAGCCUAUUCUUUAGCUAAAUUAGGAGUGAGACCCUCCUACGCUAAAUGACACAAAAGUGAACAUUCUAUUCUUACAUCAAACUAUGUAGAUAGAUACAACCAACUUGCGGACAUCUUUUAUGCUUUAUGGUGUUGGUUGAAGUGUUAGCACACUGGUCACGUGUUACACUAUUAUCUACUGUUUAUGCUGUUUAUACUUCUACGGGCUCACUAUCCAUUCUUUAAAGAAAGUUUAUCGGGAUGUAAGUUGAAGUGUCCUGUACCUCAUGUUCACAUGCAAUACGGUCUCACCAAGGCUACGACUAAUUCACAUGCAAUACGGUCUCACCAAGGCUACGACUAAGCAACUUUAGCUUGUCGCUCGAACAUUAUUGAUGCGCACCAAUCUUUCUAUUGCGUCUUGGGGCUAUGCAAUAUUUGCAUGCAGCUUUACUAUUCAUCUACGACCCACCAUCAUUGAAUAUUUUUGUACUACAGCUCGUGACUGUGUACCAGGAUUGCAAUCUUUGAGCUCAAACAAGAUUGAAACGGAUCUCCAAUCAUUGAGCUCAGCUAGAUGUUUAUUCUAGGUGCCAAAUCGCACUGCCACUGCGCACAAUGAUGGGUCAUUUGAGAUAAAUACGUAUUUAGGUUGGAUGUGAACCUCCACCUAUAAUCCGCAUAUGUAAAAACCUUGUUAGGCGAUCUCUUUCACCGCUAUAUUGCGGAUUGUCACUUUGAUGAGACAAUAUUCCCGCUGUUAAGGGGAGAUAAGAACACAAGUGUUCAAGUGGAAUGACGUGAAUUGUCGUGGUUUGUCCUCACUAAGUCUCAUCUUGAUCCCAAAUGCUUAAAAUGUUAAAGUGACGAGAUCACAUGCUGCAAAUAUGUCUGCAAGGAUUGAUGUCUCCUCAAGAGGACAUGGCGCGACCAAAAUGUGUUGGUCUUGACACCAUCACCAUGGAUGGUGAUAUAGUGACGCCAUAUAGUGGCAAAAUUGGUGUCACAAGGCUGUGUGGCUCCCUAAAAGGAGGGAGGCCCUUAGGUUCGAUACUUUAUUGCACUAGGAAGAAAGCGAGUUUGGCACAACCUGAUCCAUUGAUCAGUGAUACUCAAAUCCGUCUCAUGAAGUCUGAAUUGUGAUUAUCGUUGGGGGACGCGUCAACGUCAAAUCCAAUCCAUAUAGAGAUCUCUACAAGUAUUACACUAGUAUAUAUGAGGACGUGGGAUAAUGAGUCUACUAUCGAACCACCUUUCGUUGAUGGAUAUCAACUUAGUUGAUUGGCCUAACGGAAAGAUGCGAUCCAACAUUAACAAAGAGAUAGGUCCUUGGGCAGGUGAUGCCGACACCGCAAGCUAAACCCUAUCAACUAUACCUUUGUUAGAUAGCGUAGUGAGAACAAGAGUUUAGACUCACCUUAUGGCGCAAGGUCUCUCACUAUCACGCACUGAGAUCGACUACGUUAAGAUAUGCUUUCGUAAUGGAUGUCAUUGAACUCCACUACUUUGUCAGUUUGGUAGUUUCCGAAUAACUGAACAAGCAGCCUAUGAAUGUGGUCAUAAUAACAUCUCUACGGGAUCAGAGAUAUGCAUGAAGGUCUUGAACAGACUUCAUUCAUCUGAAUCAAGUGGCUCCAAACCACAAGAGCACGCGUUUGCUAAAUGUAUUGAAACGCACAUGGACUCUACUUGAUUUGGAAGGGAUAUGGUGAAUUAUGCCUUUGCGUGUUCAUUCCGGAUUUACAUGGACUCUUGAUGACUCAAGAGAUGCCAAUAUGUAUCAACAUCCGAAGAAAAAGAUCUUGGGAAGACAUGGUCUCGAUAAGACACUCGAUGACUGUAUUGAUGAUGAUUUUUCAUCAAUCGGCUUAGGCGCUCUAACGAAAGUGAGGCCUACAUAUACUCCCAUGAUUAGUCAAAUUCUUUACUCUAAAGAGAGAUCCGUUGUUUUGUCUAAAGCAAGAUGACAAAUAUGUGUUAAGAGAUGGAGUUCCCAUCUAAGUACAAUAAGACGCAUCAAUGUACUCAACACAAUACGAAAGACUUGACAUCUCAUUCGCUAUGAAAAGUUGUAAAACUAAGUGUAGCUAUGCGCCCACGCAACGCCAAUGUAAUGGCAGUAACUCCUUUUUCAAUAUUUAAUGGUAUGAAAGGUUGAGGCUUAUUCUAUCCCUACAUAAGAAAGACAUAUCAAUAGCGAAAUCAGAAUCUGCCAAGUUUCGUAGGUCAACUUCCACGGGAUCUACAGGAAAUCUCACUCACUGGAAAAUGGUGAAAUUGGUACCAUUGGAAAGGUCUAUGUGUCUACUUUCUAGGGACACCAACCAUUUGUUCAUACCUAUCAUAUUGAGUGAGUUAUGGCCGUUUUCGUAAAGUAUAACGAAUCUGUCCGAGAAUCUGAUUUUGGCAAAACAGUCAACUUCGACGGGACUUUGUGAAUAGCUCCUGACGAACCAGAACCUGUGUAAUAUACGGUUGGAAAGCUAAAUGAGUCUAGUUUCCAAAACCGUUUACGGUUAGUUCAUAUGUAUUUCCUAGAGGAAGUUACGACUGUUCUAGUAACUGAAGGUCAUCCUGCGCGGAAAUCUGAUUUUCUGCACGAACUUAUGUUUUGAGUUCACAAACGGCCUUCUCCUCAAGAUCUAAGUGUAAAAGAUCAUUUGAGGACAAUACGGCAUGAUUUAGUUAAUCAUUGCCUAAUGCCACAUUUGAAGAUAUGUUAAAGAGCAUUGACAUGCUAAGUUGUUGAAAUUUCCGUGAUUAGUAAGAAUCAGGAAGAGCCCUAUGAUUGAUGUAAAGAUCAGGGGGAGGUGCGAACUUCAGGGGGAGUCUAGCACAUACAUACAUAUCACUAUCAAAUGUGAAGGAUGCGUUGUACUCUUUUUCUCCUACAAUCAAGGUUCAGUUUUUCUCCCACAGGGUUUUUGUGACUUGACGAGGUUUUUGACUAGGCAACAGAUCAGCACCAUCGGCAUAUCAGCGCGCGGCACAAGGGGGAGUGUUUUAGGAUAUUCUGUAUCUUUCUAGAUAUUCUUUAUGUGUGUCUUGGCCUUAUGUCAAUAGGAUAUGUAGUUUAACUAGAUCUAUGUAUUCAUAUCCUUACCAUAUUGGUAUUGUGUAAUUCCAUAUAUAAAAGGCUCCUAUCAAUAAAUAAGAUGAUGAUUCUCUUGCUAUCUCUUUGUCUAUACACUUUAUACUCCAUCAAAAUUCAAAUUAUUAUUAAUUUUAGAUAUUUAAGAUAUUUUAGGUGAGAUAUGUAUUUAAUAUAAUAUUAAAAUAAAAAACUAGACGAGUAGUGUAUUAAGUAAAUGGUAUGUAUUAAGAGAUUAAUGUGCGCAUUUUAAAAUUACUCAAAGCAACACAUUUUACUCCCCCACAACUCUAAGCAGCAGCUGAGGUUAAAGCUUCCCGGCUGAGUUGGCCGGCGCUAAGGCGACCAAACAAGGAUGCCUCUAACUCGGAAGGCGAAAUGAGUGCGUCAUCAUAACCUGGAGAAGGACGCAAGCGCUUCCGUAAUCAAUUGUAUGAGAGAUGGAUACGCAUUCAGGUGUUCCGUCCAUAGCGCAAGAGCGCCACGUAUGAUAAGCUUUAAUUAGAAACCCCUGUACGUGCGUGACUCUCACUCGCCCCUCCCUGAUCCGAAGAGCCGAUCAAUGAAACACAGAGAAAGAAAUGGCACGUGCGUACCAACACUGCGUGUCUGAAGUGUGUGAACAGCUGUCCUUCCAAAGCGUAUAAAAGCCCCUUGACUCUCAAUUCUCAAACCUUGACUCUCAAUUCUCAAACACUUCCAAUUCAAAGCCUUUCCGACAACAACAGCCUAUCUUCAACUCGGAAGCACCUCGAUCUCCACAGCAUGCAAAACAUCUUCAAGCGAUCCAAACUCGACACCGCCGGAGCACCACCAAAGUCGACCGGAAACCCACUUCCUCCGCCGCCUCUCCGCCUCACCCACGAGCAAGAACUCGCCGUAAUCGUCUCAGCUCUCCGUAACGUCAUCGCCGGCACCACCACCACCAUGGACUUCAACUCGCUCUUCCCUUCCUACCACAUCCUUGCAGCAUCCGACGCCGAUCGUUGUCCUGUUUGUAACAUCAAAGGUUGUCUUGGAUGCAAUUUUUUCCCGCCACCAGCUCAGGAGGAGAACAACAUUAACAGCAGCAACAAGAAGGGACCCAAAAAGAGGGUGAAGAAGAACUACAGGGGAGUGAGGCAGCGGCCUUGGGGAAAAUGGGCCGCCGAAAUCCGAGACCCGAGAAGAGCCACUCGGGUCUGGCUCGGCACUUUCCACACGGCCGAGGAGGCGGCCCGCGCCUACGACAAGGCCGCCAUUGAGUUUCGCGGACCCAGAGCGAAACUCAAUUUCCCGUUCCCGGAUAACUCGCCAGCACAGGCGCCCAUUCAAGUACUACCUCAGAAGCAGCCAGUAGUUGUUGCCGAGACAAAGCAAGAGACCAAGAGCGUGGAAUAUUCAAAGGAAAUGGAAUCGGCGGGAAUGGAAAGUGAGUUCUGGGAAAGAAUUGGAGAAGACGAGUUGUUUCAACGGUGGAUGAUGACGGACUACGGAUGCAUGAUAUAGCUUUAGAUGAUUCAUUCAUAAACAUUAUUAAUUUAAUUAUUCAUUCAUAAACAUUAUUAAUUAUAGACUGUAGCUUUAGAACAAGCUUUUUUUUUUCUUUUCUUGUUUUUUUGUAAUAGAGCUUUACAACAAGCUUAGCACCAGAGGUUUGCAUCACAAAGCAGAAGACAUACAUGAAUUCACUAAAAAAGUUCCGUUCUCUGUUUCCUACUCUAUCAUUUUCAUACCCAACUCUCUUCACUACUUAUUUGUUUCCAUUCCCAAGCCAUAAUUUGGUUAAGCUUGAAGAAAACAUAACUACUUAAACUAAAACUGUACGUAAUCACGUAGUCAAGUCAACUUAUUGUAAAGUCAACUUAAUGUAAUCAAAGUAUACUUGUAAAUCAAUGUUCACAAGAUCUAAUCACCCACUAUCCAUUGGUCGGAAGAAAAAAGACACUAUAAUCACGUACAUUAACCAAAGCAACAUGGAUUCACAAAAAUCACUUGGUCUUCGUUUUGGUAUUCUAUAUUUUCAAUCUGUGGACAACCCGCCAUCCAUUUUAAUGAGUCCCUCAAGUAGGGAUGGCAAUAAUCCCCAGCGGGUAGGGUACCCACGGGUAUUCGACCCUAACGGGGAAGAUAUACGGGUAUAAACGGGUAACGGGGAUGGGGAUCCUUAGUAUUCGGAUUCUUAAAUCGGGUACGGGGCGGGUAUGGUAUUUUGAUAUUCGUCCCCAUCCCCACCCAUUAAGGAUGAAAAUAUUAUUAUAUAUAAUUAUAUAAUUUAUUAUUAUAUAUAUUUAUAUAUAAUUUAUAAAUAAAUAUUUAUGUAAAAAAAUUUGUAAUUCUCUUAAUAAACAUUUAAUGGACCUUCCUUUUUAUUAUAUAUUUUUAUUCUCUUAAUGAAAUUUACCGGUAUUGUUAUGUUUUAACCAAGACUUGUAUUUAUUUUUAUUGGUAUUGAAGUAUGAAACUUAUUUAUUUUGGUAUUUNNNNNNNNNNNNNNNNNNNNAAAUUUAAUUUAAUACAUAAUUGUUAACGGGUACGGGUACGGGUAUGGAAACGUAAUCCCCAAAGGGUACGGGUACGGGGAAUCUCCAUUAUCUAAUUACGGGUACGGGGACGGGUACGGGGAUGAAAAAUGUAAAAAGGUAUGGGUACGGUAUUUUGAUCCCCGUACCCUACCCUACCCAUUGCCAUCCCUACCCUCAAGUCAGAAUCUCUCGCAUCUUUUGGAGAUUUAAUAUGCAUACCUGGAGAUUAAGGAUACAAGGUACUGGUGGAGAGCAAUUAAGUGUAUCUGAAGUUUUCUGGAAAUAUGAGAGUCUACACAAUGCACAAAAAUUGGAAAAGGGAAUUGAAAUGAGUAAAUCUGUAGGAUUGAACUUGGUAGAUAAAAAAGUAUACGUACCGAAAUGAAAUGAAAUUUAUGUUUGUGUCUAACAAGUAAUUGGAUAUAUAUCAAUCUCACAUCGAGAUAUUGUUAUUGGUUUUGGAUGUGAACCCCAAACUACUUUAUCAUGGUAUCAGAACGGGUUACUCACGUUCACGUGUGAAACCCAAUGGUCACACGAAUACGGUAAUAUGAGACAUUGCAUAUGAGUUUAUAAGGAUUUGGGUCAUUUCACCCAUUGUCAAUUGAUUUUGGAUGUGAACCUCAAACUACUUUAUCAGCUUUAAAAGAGAGCUUUGGUGGGAAAGAGUGGAAGAAUUUGGUGGAUAACAUGGUUCAUGGCCAUGGGGUUAUGAACAUAAUGAUCUUUCUUUAUCUCGCCCUGCUUUGAGAUCUUUUUAGUUGAGUUAGGGUUCUUCGCCAUCAUGUUCGUGCGUGUUUUUGCUUUGGUAGCCAUAAUAGAGGCAGCGGCCAAAAGCCAUUGGUAUUUUUGUUAAUUAUAUCAAAUGUUUUCAUUUAAUUUUUUUAUUUUAUUUUUACUAAUAAGUUUUGUUUAUUUUUUAAUUUUUGAUUUUCUAUUUCCUUGAUCGCCUCACCCAUCUCAUGAUACCAGUGUGACUAGAACGUUUUUAUUUUGAGUUAAAUGAAUAAAUUUUUGAUAGUAUGACCAUACGAGGUUAUCGCUAACUAUUCACUAGAAAUAAACUUUCUCAUAAUACUGCCUGACUAGCUGUGAAGAGUGAAGACUUCCUAGCAAGUAAUACUCAAAAUGCAGACUUUACUCAAAUGAUUACAAAACUAAACGCAGAAAAGAAGUUAGCUUUAGAAGAAGAUCGAUUUCUGUGUAAAAAUUUGAUGCAGAAUGAGAAGGUUCUUAGAAUAUGAUAGUGUGAAAAACAUAUUAAUUAUACUAUAUCAUGGUUCCAAAUGAGCUGGGCAUCAGAAUUAUGAUGCGAAACGAGUGCUCCCUAGUUCUCCCAGUGCCAUUCGUACCAGGAUGUCUACUUCAUAGUCGACAAGGCAACCCCAUCCCAGAUUAUAUAGGUACAUGAUCGAUCUCCUAGCCUUUCAGUGCGGUCCAGAGUUAUUUUAGUUGUUUGGCUUUAUACUAAUAUGUGACAUAUGCUCGCAAACAAUCAAAACGUGUGUUAUUCUGAAUAUCAAUACAAUCGAUUUCUGUUUUGGUGAUAUCAUAGUGGACUAGAAAUUUUAUUUAUGUCACGGGAGCAUCACGUGACAUAAUGAAGUGGUUAUCAAUCUUAUAAAUGUUAACGGUCAAACGUAAAUUUUUGACCCGUCAUAUAAGAAUAGAUAAAUUUCUCGUUAAACCAAACGACAUAAGAAAAAAGAAUCUCAAUAUCCUCUCCCAUUGUUUAUCUCCUCACCAGAGAAACCCAACAUCCUGAAAUCAUAAUUAAGCAUUCAACAACACUAAUUGAUGGCUUGUUCUAAAUUUACUUGUUAUUACUACUUCAUUGAGUUGGUUAGAUUGAAAGCGUUAAACGUGUUUAUGCUCAUAUAUAUGUGAUUAUGAUCUUGGUAUAAUGCUCAUUCAGUAUAACAAUGUGCUGUGCUGAUCGAGCUGCUGCAGUUGAAGCUUCCCGUUGAGUUGGGUGCUACCUCAGGCCACCAAACAAGGACUUGCCUAUAUAGAAAUGGCUGACUAUUUGAUGGGGUCAACAAUUUCCAAAAAAAAAAUGUUCGUCUUACACUUUCACACCUGUGUUGGAGUCCAGAUGGGUCAUUUUUGGGAAGCUUUUAGUUUGGUGUUUAUUCUGUUGUAUAGACCGUGUGUGCUACUAUGUUGAUUAUAACUACUAAUGAGAUGACAUUGCCAACUAUUAUCCAAGAAAAAUAAAGAGAUGACAUUGACACUCGUGUUUUAUAUUAUUCCAAACGCCAAAAGGUGCCGCCAAGUAAAAGGGAUCCAUUUUGACCACACACACAAAAAAAAAGUAAAAGGGAUCCAUCAGAUAUCAUUUGUCAUUUGUCAAUUGUCAUGUGUCAUAUUUUCUAAUAACCGACAUAAUUUAAUCAAGUGACGAAAAAUAUUUGGUUUCAUGAUAAUCAUAUCAACAUUAUCUCUAUUUAUUAGACAGGUAGAAAGGUUUAUAUAUAUAUAGGAUUUUUCUCAACUGCGAACGUCCAUAUCAAUAGUUUUAGUGUGGAUUUUUAUUUUUACACCACUUUUCGAUCGAAUUUCCUCAUCUUCAUCGUCUAGUAUCUAAAUAAUAUUGUGUAGAUCAUCUUUGCAAAAUUUCAGCCAAUUUGGUAAUCGUUAAGGCCCCUAAACUCGAAAAACAAAUGGACGGACUGAAUUCUGUCAAACAUGAACCGUUCAUGUUUAUAACAGAAAGACGCAAUUUUGAGGGCCUUAAAGAUUACCAAAUUGGCUGAAAUUUGCAAAAAUGAUCUACACAAUAUUAUCUAGAUACUAGACGGUGAAGAUGAGGAAAUUCGAACGAAAAGUGGUGCAAAAAUGAAAAUCCGCACCAAAACCAUUGGUGCAAACGUCCGCAGCUGAGAAGACCUGUAUAUAUAUAUAUAUACACAGUUUCCUUUCAAAGUGGUGUCCCGCUUUGAAAUUAAAGUGUGGACUUCCUUAUUUCGCUCAUUUUCAGGACGUAUUUCCACAUCUCAACCGUACAAUAUUUAGAACAUAGUGUAUAGAUCAUUCAUGCACAGUUUCAUCUAAUUUGGAGAUCAUUUGUACCGAAUUAGAUUAAAUAAAUCAAAAGAACAAAAGCUGUCCAAACAUAACUGUUUGUGUAAAUCACGAUUAUGGAAGCUCAAAUGAUCUUCAAAUUGGAUGAAAUUUUGCAUAAAUGAUCUACACACAAUAUUCUAGACAUUGUACGGUUAAGAUGUGAAAAUGCAACCUGAAAGUAAGCGAAAUAAGGAGGUCCACACUUUAAUUUUAAAGCGAGACACCACUCUAGAAGGAAACUGUGUGUGUAUAAUAGAAGGCUACAUCUUAUAAAAAAAAGGUAGGGUUAUAUAAAGUAAUUAACAUCAGGGAACUUGUACUUUCUAUUGAACUUGCGAAAUCCUAGGUUUAGGGCGACAGUGAUCGUGUGUCUUGCCCCAACCAAGCAAGUGGCGUCCCCCAACAUUGUGUGAGGGUGAAUCUCGGUUUCAGUCUCUCUUGGGGAUUACAUAGAUGUUUUUCGGCUAUGUUUUGGGAGCACUUUUUCAGAUCGUCACCGACAGUGGAUCGCUAUCGCAUCUAGAUAGUCUUGAUCAGUUAAGCCGAACAUACAAGGGGAUGUUGUUUUGAAGUGAUUGCUCUUGUGAUUGUACUUUUGACAUUGACUUAAUAAGGUUGCAACAAAUAUUUAUUUCAAUUUCUUUAAAAGAAAAUGAAGAGAGUUAGGGUUUAAAUUUUAUUUUUCACAAAAUAUUAGUUUUUGAUUAUUCAAAAAAUAACAGGUUAAUCAAAUAAAAGAAAAAAAACAGAGGUUAAACUAGAACUCUGCCAAAUCAGCCCAUCACCAUUUGGUGUAGUGGCAUAAGUCUCUCUUAUAUUAGUGGGAGGUCAUGAGUUCGAUUCAUAACAGACUCAUUGUUGUAUUUUUGAGUUAUUUGAUUGAUAAAAAAAAACUCAGCCGGCGCCUGACGUUAGCACUCCCGUAAUCAACUAACCGGCAUUACGUCACUCAGUCCUAAACAACCGGAAACUUCAGGUGCCCCGUCCGUAGCACAACAUGUCGCACCACGUAUGAUUAGCGUUUCCAAGCACCUCCCGCGUGAGUCUCACUCGCCUCCCCUCCCUAAUCCGAAGAGCCAGUCAGACCGCACUGAAAACCCAAAACAGAAAAAUUAAGGCACGUGCGGACGCAAACUUGCGUGUCUGAACUGUGUGACAGCUGUACUCCCAAAGCGUAUAUAAACGCCCCCAAAACCCCAUUUGACUCUCAAUUCUCAAACACUUCUCCAAUUCAAAGCCUUUCCCACCACAACAAAACCCAAAGCCUUCAGCUGAACUCAGCGGCACAACUCCACAGCAUGCAAAACUCCUUCAAGCGAUCCAAAUUCGACACUGCCGGAGCUCCACCACAGUUGACCCAAAACCCACUUCCUCCGCCGCCUCCCCAUCUCACUCACGACCAAGAACUCGCCGUAAUCGUCUCCGCUCUUCAAAACGUCAUCGCCGGCACCACCACCACCAUGGACUUCAACUCUCUCUUCCCUUCCUACCACUGCCCCACCCUCACUUCCUCCUCAUCCUCCGCUCCCGCCCUCCUUGCAGCAUCCGACGCCGACACGUGUCCCGUCUGUAACAUUAAAGGUUGUCUUGGAUGCAAUUUUUUCCCGCCACCAGCUCAGGAGGAGAACAACAUUAACAGCAACAACAAGAAGGGACCCAAGAAAAGGGUGAAGAAGAACUACAGGGGAGUGAGGCAGCGGCCUUGGGGCAAAUGGGCUGCUGAAAUCCGAGACCCGAGGAGAGCCACUAGGGUCUGGCUCGGCACCUUCCACACGGCGGAGGAGGCGGCCCGCGCCUACGACAAGGCCGCCAUUGAGUUUCGCGGACCCAGAGCCAAACUCAAUUUCCCGUUCCCGGACAACUCACUGUCGAUGAACCAUGAAACUUCAAUGACGCCAGCACAGACGCCCAUUCAGAAGCAGCAAGUUAAUGUUGCUGAAACAAAGCAAGAGACCAAGAGCGAGGAUUCAAAGGAAAUGGAAUCGGCGGGAAUGGAAUGUGAGUUCUGGGAAAGGAUUGGAGAAGACGAGCUGUUUCAACAGUGGAUGAUGACGAUGGACUACGCAGCUGAUCACUCGUCGGAUUCUGGAAACGGGUCUGCAGGAAAUGCUCACAGUUACUGAUGCAUGUGUUAUAGCUGUAGAAUGAUAUAUCAGUGUUCAUAAAAAAAAAUGAUAUAUCAGUGAGCACUAGUUUUUGUUUUUUGUUUUGUUUUGAUUAACAUUCAUGUGAAAUUUCUUGUUUUUGAGGGGAAAUCACAUAGUGUUACUGUUUGGUUAAAGAUUGCGAUGUAAAAUUUGGUAAACAUUACGAGGUUAUCUUUAUCAAUUAGAUUACUUGCUGCCAAAUUUGAAUUACGCACGAUACAAUUUUGAGUUUAAGCACUUUUUAACAGAGCUCAUACGUGUGUGGGUCCUACGCGGACCAUUUACUGACUGGUUGACAUGAAGUUUAAAAAGGGAACAUAAUCUUGUAAUAGAGCACGUGGGUUUUUUUUAGAGGGGGCCAUGGAUCAUAGGGGUGUAAGCAUUAAGUCACUCGCAAAAAGGACAUGUGCGGAUUGAUUUUGUUUUCUUCUGGGGCUAUUUCCCAUGUUUCUCACGUUUUUGAUUUUCACGUGUGAAUUGCAACCGAUCUAAAUUAAUGCAUUAUCCAUAGGGGACAUCUAGUUCAUGAUUUCAUAUAUCAAAUAAAAUUAUUCUAUUAAUUCAACGUACAACUGGAUUAAAUAAAAGAGUAAUGUACAUUCUAUUGGAACACAAUUAAGCUUGGUAUUACUCACUUCCUCUCACUGCAAAAUCUGUUUUUUAUUUCGACUAUUUAAGAGUUGGUUACGAAAUCUGUUUUUUAUUUCGACUUUUUAAGAGUUGGUUGUGUUAGGGUUUUAGCUUAUAGUAGAAAAAAUUUAAACAUUCAAAAUAGUGAUAACAAAAGUAGAAACGGGUAUUCUUGGAAAUCAUAAACAAAUUAAAAUCAAGACCAUGGAUGUUGAAAUAUAGUCCCGUUGAAAACCUUACUAGACAUAUCAUAACUGGACAUAUCAUCCAUCACACCUAUUUCCUGAAGGGAAAGCUUCCUUCCAAACUCAUAGUAUGUUUUUUGUCCGUUUAUGCUUCUUGACCCUAAACAAGAGCAUUUCGAUUGCAAUUGAUACCUUCAAAUUCGCCUUCAAAUAUCUGAUUUCAUCAAACAUAGGGCCUCCCAUACCGAUAUCAGUUUCUUAGCUAUUGAGAGCUAGAAUAAUAGUAUUACUAACCGCAACUGUCCACAUCAAUCCUAAAGCAACUUUAGCCCAUGUAACAUUGCUAGAGCCUCUGUUGCUUAUGCUGACAAAUUACCCAUAAUAAUAGCUACAGAAGAACGCACCUUUGCAAAAAAUUUGAAUCAUUGGCGUCGAUUAGAGAACUAUGAGAGCUCGAGCUGUUAAAAAAUGUAAAUACUGGAACGGAGAUACAAACAGAAAUUCGGAUAAUUGAAAGGAAUCUAAUGCCAACUUAUUCUCCAAAAAAAAAAAAAAAACCUAAACGCCAACUUCUUUGUUUUGUUUUCUGCGGAUCAAUCCCACAGUAUAGAACAAGUUUGAAAAUUAUUUUCAACCUGUUCUAAACGUUUGACCAGUGUAUCUGUUUUCAAUUAAAUUGAAAAGAAUAACCGGAAAAUGUACAAAAUCAAUAUUGAAAUUUAAAACCUAUUGUGCAUUGCAGCAUAUUGUACUGGAUACAAAUUAUACACUACGGGUACGUUUAGUACAUGGCAUUACCUAAGCCAGUGUUAAAUAAGGAGUCAUUCAAGGCUAAUCUCAUUUUUGGUCUCUCUCGGUACUAAUAUUAAUGGUGUUAACUUGGACCUGUUUUUCAAUUUCGCCUCCUUAGGAGGGCUUAGCGUGGGUACUCCGAUUAGAGGCCCUUAGCUAAGACUCACUAACCACCUCUCAUUCACAUCGCUUCCACAACUCUUCUCUUUUCAUUCUUCACCUCCUCUCUGUUUCACCCCGAAGAAUCUUUGCUCCACAACUUUUCUCCUUUCCGAUUUCAUAGACGAUUUCCAUUCUUCACCUCCUAUCUGACCUGCGCCGUCUCUGACUUCUCCCAGACCUGCUCCGUCCUCAACGCCCUCGGCCCCCGCCCUGACCACGAGGCCGUCGACACCGCCAAGGCCAAGCUCGCCCUCAUCAACUCCUCUCUCUCCAAGAAGCUCGAGGACCUCGUCCUCUCCCCACGCCCCACCGAAGUCGACCGCUUCCAAUGGCGGGGCCACCUCGCCUAGCGCGAGCAGGAGUGCCACGACUCCGCUGACAAAGACAGGCAGGACUGCAAGGCCAUUCUCCAGCUCGACGAGCUCCACGCCGCCUACGAGAAGCUUCUAAAGGAUGCCGAGGAAAGACUCAACAAAAUUUAUCGCUUCGCCUAGGACAGCGUUGUCCAGGAGGAGCCGCCGGUCUCCAACCAGCUCCACGAGGAGGUCGUCGGCAUUCUACACCAGGCCAACGGGACCGCACUAGACCGCAUCAACCUCUCCGGCCGCCUCUUAAGGUUCUUGCCGGAGGCGUUUGGCAGGAUCGUCGGGUUGCUACACCUUGAUCUUUCCAGCAAUGAGCUCAAGGUUUGCUUCCCUUUUCUUUCUUUCUUUCUUUUCUUGCCAAGAAAUUGAACUAGUUAUUGAUUGAAUAGUUUGGUGUCAUUGUUAAUGAAAGAGGGGAUUAUGAAUCAAGAAGCAAAGAAAUUGAAAUCGAAAUAGAAAUGAUUGACUAGUUAGAGUAAUCGAGUCUAAUCCAAUGCAUCACCAAACAUGAGACAUCUCUAAUUUAAUUUUUUUUUCCCUAAUCUCAUGCAACACCAAACAUGACCCAGUAUUAGUACAAUUUAAGGCAGUCCACACUAGUCCAGGACAGUCUUAAGAAUUAAGGAGGUGUAAUGCAGUACUAGGUACCAAACGUGCACUACAUGGGCACUUUGCGAAAUAUUCAACAAUUGAGCAGUGCAGUACACCUUAGUGUUCAACCCUACUAUACAAUACAGUGUCGGCGUCAAAAAGAGUAUCUCGACUCGGAAUUUUGAAAUCUCUCGACUUCUAUUAAAAAACUAAGAUAGCUCCAGUUGUUUGAAACUAAGUAAUGGUUGAUCGAUACCAUGUCUUUGUGGAAGUUCUGGUAAUAUGAGAUCCUGCAACAUCUUUUACAACAAAGUGACACACUAAUUAAACAGGGAACUUAACAUACGUAAGCUGAACAAACUAUGAUUAAUCAAACUAUGUAAAUUGAAAAGUUAUCAUACAAAAUACUUGGAAGCAAAGGAAAGUCUUAAACAUAUGAAAAGAGAUUGAGAUUCAAAGCAUAAAUUUCAAAUGGCUGGUAUUUGCAAUGCAAAACAUCCAACAGUCUACGACAUGAACAUGAAGGGAAUUUUAAUCUCUAACAAACUUAAAUGCACGAUAUUCACAACGCAUGUUUGUUUAUUUUGCUUUCUGGGUCAAGGAUGCAUAAAUUAGGGACUCUCACUCAUCAGUACAUCCAUUCUUAUGUCUAGACCAAGGAACGAAGAAGAUUCCAGUUGAUUGUUAAACUUCAGACAUGAAUGCUCUUUUAUUCUUUAUUACAUAUUUUAAAUAAGAUAAACAUGGAUCUAAAAAUCAAUAAUCGCAAGAGUAUACAUAUAGCACUGCUAUUGAUCAAAUUUUAUCAAUGAACUUUAGUGGUAGAAUCAUUAACUUUGGCAAAAUUCUGAAUGAAAGAAGGGAAUACCUGACAGUCAAAUGGGAGGGAUGGUGCUAUUAUACUGAUGGGGAAGAAUCUCCGCAGAUGAUGCUAUCCAAGACAAGGAGGGAUCCAACCAAUAAUCUCUGUCCCAUAAUGGAUUACUAAAGGUUAGCUGCAGCUGCUUGACACUAGGUAAUGGUGGAGACCACUCCUUUCUGCAAUGUUCUGGUAUUAUGACACCCUACAAGCCAUUUAAAAAAAAUGUUAAAGAGGAUAAUUACUUGCACAUAAGAUAAUUACACUUUGUUGGCUUGUUUUGCACAUUGCACCAUCCAGUUUCAUACAUCCACCAAAUAACGAGUAGCAAAGACUCUAAAACAGCUAGUUGCAGUACGAGAAACAGGAGACUGCAAUAUAACCGUAGCACUAGAAAAGAAUUGAAAAAGAAUAUCAUCAUACCUCAGCAUCACGAAUCUCUAUCUCCAGUUUUCUGGAGCAAUUGAAACUUUCAAGACAAUCUCUCAGAAAAGAGUAAUACUCAAAGGGCCACAUCUCAUUCGUAAUUCUGACGGUAGCAUGUAACAAGCUUAUUGGAGAUACCAGGAAAUGAACCUUGGCCUGCACCAAGCCACUAAACAGAAAAUGCAACAGACUUGGAGUGAAAAUUGCAUAAUCGAUACUCCUUUCACAAUCAAGCAAAAGAAGUCCUGUCAAGCCCAAACUAGAAAUGGUGAGAUGCUUCAGUCUGUAACACUCCCACACAGUCAAAGCACCAUGGUGGGAACAGGUGCACUCAGAAAAGAAUACAAAAUUCUCAAGAUUGAUACAUUUUACUUCAAAAUCCAAAGCAUGGCAAUCCGAGAUAUACAACGAUUUCAGACUUGGAAUUGAAACUUCCAGACACCCGAGCGUGUAGCCAAGAUCACACUGAUUCAAUUCUAAGUACCAGAGACGAGGGCAACCCGAAAGCAAGAUCUCAAGAUCAUUUUCGUCGUCGAAUUCAACCUCUUUGAGGGACAUGGUUUCCAGUGAACUUAGGGUUAUAGGAUCAUCAGCUUCUACUCUAGAACUGAUAUCGAUUUUAACUUUCUCCAAAUUCAAGCUAACCAAGAAAUGUGAAGAGAAAACUGCUUGGGGGAUCAGGUACAAGCUAACCUCAGUUUCGGCUUCUUCGACGAAACAGAUCUCCAAAUCUUCCACAAAUCUCUCAAGUGCAAACGUCACGCACUCGUCAAUCGUGCCGAUGUCGUCUCCGGCGAGGCUGUGUGCGAUUCGAAGCCUGAGCUUGUCUAAGCUCAUCUGAUUCCGGCAGCGUUCCAUGCAAUUCUCCAAGAAAUGGAGGAAUCUUUGGGACUUGGCAGGGUCGUCGGGAUCGGAGGGGUCGCCCUCGUCGAAAUCGAUUACGGGGAACGAAGGCCAGAGGGACCCCCACUGCUUCGAAACGGCGGUGGCGCGAGCGGCGAGCUUGAUCGGAAGGAAGGAGAGGAUGUGUUCGAUGACGUUGUUAGGUAAGUAAGGAAUUGCGGCGGCGGAGGUGGUGGUGGUGACGGAGGCGAUCAGGCGGUUGUGAUCGGUGUCUGAGUUGUUUAGGGUUUUGAGUCGUUUGAAUUUGGGGGAAACCAUUUUUCCGUUGUUUUGGCGAAUGGUCGAUAUUUAUAGGGGAAUAGUGGGAACUGGGAACUUCACCGCGGCAAUAUAUCGCGAGAUCUCAGAUAGAAGCGAGUAUUGUUUUGUUGUUUUUAUUCAAAAAAUAAAAAGUUAAAAGAUGUGUUAUCCAAUCCAACUUUUACCAGCAAUGGUUUUAACGAGAAUUAUUAAAUUACGGAUUAGUUGAAAAUUUUUUCGUUUCACUCUGUUUUCGAUCACAUAUUCACGUCUCGACCGUUUAAUUUGUAGAUAUAUAUUUUAUGUACAUCACAUAACAUGCAUGUCCACUUCAAAAAAAACACAUAAUUUUAGAAAUUUUAGCUUCGACUGAGACUGUGCAAAACGCCCCUUGAAGAUGGGGCACCUAAAUUGCUCUAGUCUCUAAAGUGAUAGCUCACUUGGUCACCGAUUUUAUAACCAAAAAAAGAAAGAAAAAGAAACGAACAUAUUCCAUCUUACACACCAUAUGCCAUGUUCUCUUUAUGUACACCACAGUUCAACCCUAAUGUACAAUACAAUGCACCAAAUCAAAAAAGUCUCCCAACUCGGAAAUUUGGAAUCUCUGGCAUCUUUUAGAGAACUAAGAUAGCUGCAGCAGUUUAAACCAGGUAAUGGUUGAUUGAUAGUUCGAUAAUAUGGCUUUGUAAAGUUCUGGAAAUAUGAGAUCCUGCAACAUCAUCCACAACAAACUGAUUAAACAGAGAACUCACCACAUAAGGAUUGAUAAUCGAUUGCACAAACUCUCAUUAAUAAAACAAUGUACAUUGAAAAGUUACUGUACUGUAUAUAUAAUAUACUCAAGCUAAUGAGCAUACAUGAAAAUUAUUUCAGAGGAAAUCAAAGUUUUUCAAGAUAAUCACUUAAAGCAGGUUAAUUAUUCCCUAGACAGUUUUAUGAUGGAAGGCAAUGAUCAAGUUAAAUUUACAGGAGUACGAAAGAAAAUCACAAAAAAAAAAAAAAAAAAAAGAAUUCGAGAAAAAAAAAGUGAGGAGGCCUCCGUAAUGUUUUGGAAAUGACAAAACUGAUGGGCUUUCAGCCGGUCAUCACCAAUGGAUUAUUACAUAUCUUUCACCAAUGGAUUAUUACAUAUCUUUCAUCCGCACUCUCAAACAGCGGAAAUUCUUAAACAUGAGUAAAAAGAGUGAGAUUCAAAGCAUCAAUUUCAAAUGGUUGGUCUUUGCAAUGCAAGAAAUCCAACAGUUCAGGACAUGAACAUGAAGGGCAUUCUAAUCUUGAGAAACUUAAAUGCACAAUAUUCGCUGCACCUGUUCAUUUAUUUUUGCUUUUCGGGUCAAGGAUGCAUUACUCAUAUCAGCAAAAACGAGGGACUAUCAUCAGUAUGUAUCAUUCUUAAGAGUCAAGACCAAGGAGAAGAAGGUGCCAGUAGAUUGUUUAACUUAAGCCAUAUUAUAAAACUCUACUACUUAUCUUGAAUAAGUUGUUAAUGGAUUGCAAAAAUAACUAUAAGUGAUCAAUUUUCUCAAUUAAUUCUACUGGCAGAAUCAUUACGUAUGACAGAGAGUCUGAAUGGAAGAAAUACCUGACAGUUAAGGAGGGACGGUGCUAUCAUAUUGAGAGGGUAGAAUAUCUACAGUUGUCCUACACUGCUAUUGUAUCGAUGGGGUAAAAUCUCUGCAGAUGGUGCUAUCCAAGUCAAGGAUGGAUCCAAGUCAUCCAACUGAUAAUCUCCAUCCGGUAAUGGAAGAAAGGUUAGUUGCAGCUGCUUGACACGAGGUAAUGGUGGAGACCAUUCCCUUCUGCAAUUUUCAGGUAUUAUGAUACCCUACAAGCAAUUGACAUCAGAUAAUUAUAGAGGGAAAUGAACGUAUCAGGAUUUGUCUAUAAGAUAAUCACACUAUACUGACUUCUUUUUAACAUUGCACAUUGUUGCUGUUCCGCAGAUACAAAAAGUAACACUUUAAAAAAGCUAGGUGUAAUAAGAGAAACAGUAGACUGCAAUAUAAGAGUAGAGUUGAGAAAGAGGUUCUAUAAUACCUUAGCAUCAUGAAUAUCUCUCUCCAAUAUUCCGGUGCAAUCAAAAAUUUCAAGACGUUCUCUCAAUAGAGAAUAAUAUUCAGAGGUCCACCGGUAAUUCUGAAUUCUGAAUUCUGCAUCUAUCAAACCUGGCGGAGAUUCCAAGAAAUGGACCUUGGUCUCCACAACUCCACUAAACAGAAAAUACACCAGACUUGGAGUGAAAAUCGCACUCUCCAUACUCGUUGGGCAUCCAAGCAAAUGAAAGCGUUUCAACCCCACACUAUAAAUGUAGAGAUGCUUCAGAUUGUCACAUUGCCACACGGUCAAAACAACAUGGCGGGCACAUGAACAGUCGGAAAUGAACUUAAAAGUCUCAAGAUUGACACACUCCACAACUUCAAAUACAUAUUGAUGGCAGUCGAUAAUUUCCAAUGAUUUAAGACUUGAAUCCCACAUUCGAAGAGAUCUGGGCUCGUCCGCCUGGUCGCCAAGAUCACAUAGAUUUAAUUCUAAGUGCUCGAGGCGAGGGACAUAUUUCCCCUUAAGUAAUAUCUCAAGAUCAAUGUCAUCGAUCUCAACCUCUUUUAGGGACAUGGUUCUCAGUGACAGUAGGGUUAAAGGAUCAUUAACUCUAUCCCUAGUUAUGAAAUCAAUUUUAACUUUCUCCAAAUUCAAGCUAACCAAGAAAUGUGAAGAGAAAACUGCUUGGGGGACCUGGUAGAAGCUAACCUCAUUUUCGGCUCCGAGGAAACAGAGCUCCAACUCUUUCACAAAUCUCUCAAGUGCAAACGUCACGCACUUGUCAAUCGUGUCUUUGUCGUCCCCGGCGAGACUGUGCACGACUCGAAGCCUGAGCUUGUCUAAGCUCCUCUGAUUCUGGCAGCGUGGCAUGCAAUUCUCCAAGAAUCGGAGGUAUCUUCGAAACUUGCCAGGGUCGUCGGAAUCGAAGGGGUCGCCCUCGUCGAAAUCGAUUACGGGGAACGAAAGCCAGAGAGAUGCCCACAGCUUCGUUUGUAGUACGAUCAAAAUCAAGCCUCGUUAGUAAUUCCAAGGAAGUAAACUAGGAAGUAAACUGAAACAUAAACCAACUUGAAGGACCUAGAGGGGUUGAUGAUGAUUGAAUCCGCUAAAGAUUAUGGAACAUGAUGCCACAAAAUAUUAUCGAUCAUAUGUAGUCAAUUUGUCACACCUCGGACCUGGUGUUGGGGGAGACUCGAUCCGAGUCUGCAACUGAUCCAAGUUCAAGCCAAUCCAAAAUAUAUAUACUUUCCAAUGACGCCCUGAUUAAACGGUCAAUAAAAUUCAACGGUCCAGAUCAAACCGCCUUUAUUUUUCUAUUUUCAAUUAAUUUUUGGAUAACUUCAAACUUCCAAAAAUCAUUAAAAAUAGUUCUGAUGUCCAAAAAUACUUCCGUAAAAUCCUACAAACUCGUAACGACGUCUAGUUUAAUCCUAUGGGCUCGAAAGAUAAAAUUUGACAAACUAAAAAUUUGAAUAAGUUUUGAAAGCCACAAGGAAUUUAAAGAAUAACAGAAAUUGAAAUAAUAAUAGCUCAAAAAUAAUUUCUUAUUUAAAAAUAGAAAAUUUAAUUUUCGAGAUAUUACAUAAUUAUAUGUGCGUAGGCCAAUAUGUUUAUCUUAUUAGCGUAUAUGCAAUUCCCGUUUGCUAGUAUGAUCAAAAUCAAACCUCGUUGGUAAUUCCAAGGAAAUAAACUAAAACAUAAACCAACUUGGAGGACCUAGAGAGGUUGAUGAUGAUCAAAUCCGCUAAAGAUUAUAGAUCAUGAUGCCAUAAACUUUAACCAUAUGUAGUCAAUUAAGGUGGUAACAAUCCACUAGACUAAUAACUCAAUAAGUUGAGUUAUAUGGACGUUUCAAGAAACGCUCCAUAAGUGUAUUCCACAGUACUUUGUGGUUAUUACUUUUUGCACAUAAUGUUGUUGAAGGUUUUUGUCGAUGUGUCUCGUCAAAGACUUAAGUGCGAGAGACUUUAAAUCUCGGCAUCUAGGCUUUUGUUUGCCUUGGGGGUCAAAAUAUAUGGUUUAAUCCUUAACCAAUAAAAGGUUCCACAAAUACCUAGCGAAGAUUCGCCCUAUGAAUCGAGUAUACGCGUCGUCAAAACUCAAAUGAGCAGAAUGUUACAUUGCUCUUGCAUACAAAACCAAGCAGUUAUGAGACUCGAUAGAGGUCACAAAUGAUGUUUUUUAAUGGUUUGUCCUUCUCGAGGAUCGAUCAAACAUAAUUCGAGGAAAGGACAAAGAAACAAGAGUGAUUAAACACACUUUGCUAGUUUGCCAAAUAAACUGUGUUUAGUAGCUACUUUGCAAUUUUUCAUGCUUAAUUCCACGUGUGUAUGAUGAAGUUGCUUAUGUAAUUCCAUUUGAUUCGUUGCGCGGUAAUGUCAUGAAAAAUAAAAACAUAUGAUUAGUCAUAUUCACCAUAUAUAUAUAUAGAAACCAUAAAAACUUUCAUGAAAGAAAAAGCUGAAAAAUUAAGCCAAAGGAGGCCGGGAAAAACGACUGCCGAUAUGGGUGGCAAUAGCUGAGGACUGGCGGCCGAAAAAGGUUGAACUGCGGAGGUUGGACAGCGACCGAGAAAAGGUUGAAUUGCGGCGGUCAGACGGCGGCCGGGAAGCAAACGGUCGAUGGCGGAGCCGAGAAGGCUGAUAGGUUUUUUUGGAAAAUUUAGGACAAGGAAAAUUUAAGGUGAUGGUGGCCAGCUCAAGAGCUGCUGAUAACGUGUUUAAGUAUUGUAAAGAAUGAAAGAUAGUAAGAGAAUCAUCAUUAUUAUUCAUUGAUAGGAGCCGUUUAUAUAUAAGGAAUUACAAAAUACCAAUAUGGUAAUGAUACUGAAUACAUAGUCCUAUUCUAACUACAUAUAUAUCCUGAUAGCAUAAGACUAUCCUAGAACAAUGCGAAAUAUCCUAGAACAGAUACAAAUUUAUUUUAUUUUCAGGAAAAUAAAAUAAAGAAUUGAAGUCAUGGUUUUAUUUUGAUCUGAAUGGUCUUUAAAGUCACGAUUUUUUAUCCAAAUGCUCUUUCCGUCAAUUUUUUUUGUUAGAAUACUAUCAUGGUCGUUAAAGACAUUGUAAUUUUUAACAGUCACAUACGGUAGCAAUUUAACGGAGAAAAUUGACGGAAUGACGUACUUGAAUGAAAAAUCGUGACUUUAAGAACCAUUCAGAUUUUCCUCUAAAAAAGAACCAUUCAGAUUAAAAUAAAACCAUAAAAACUGAACAAAUAUUGACUUCAAAUUAGAAGGAUUAUAUAAUAUUUUACCCUAAAAUAAAUUACGUAUCUAUCUAGGGUUAGUUCUCUAUAAAAGAGAGCUCUCCUCUUCACACAAAUCACAACUACUACGUCGUCUAUUAUGACUGCCAUAGAAAACCCUAGACUGCCUCAGUUACCUAAUGAUAUCAUUCACCAAAUCCUCCGUCGCCUUCCCACCAAAUUAGCCGUUCGUAUGCGCUGUGCUUCCAAGAAGUUCAAAGAUCUGUGGUCAAUAGAUCUCGACGAGGGCCAUCCACCUGAUACGGAUCAUGACAAUCCUCCUCAUCAGCACACAGAGUUCAUCAACUUUGUGGAGACCUGUUUGGAUUCCCGCAAAAACGACCAGCACGUUGAUAAAUUCCGGCUUCGCAUGAUGAGGUAUUCAUCUAACGACAAUGCUUUCAUAUCUAGAUAUCUGGCUUUUGCUUUCCAGAGAAACGUCAUGGUCUUAGAUGUCAGCGUUAGAUCUAAACCUGGGUUAACAUACUACAAUUUACCCUCUGCCUUUCUCGAACAAAAUUAUUUAACUUCCUUGAGUUUGGAGUACGUGAGAAUGAAUCUAGGCAAUCGUCGUAUAAAACUUCCGUUGUUGAGAACUUUGUCCUUCAAAAAUGUUGUAUUGGAAAAGCAGAAUGCUCUCUCACAGUUGGUUUCAGCGUGCCCUAUAAUUGAGAAUUUGUCAGUGAAUUUCAAGGACACUGAUGACAAAAAGUAUCGCUUCUCGUUAGAGUCUCUUCUGGGUUUGAAGUGUAUGACUACAUUACAUGUGGAGAAUAUGCAUCUAGUGAGUGAUCAUGAUAAUAUUAGCGUACACAAUCUGCCUGUGGGUAAUCUGCCUUUGAAAACCAUGAGCCUCAAAACUGUCCACUUGAACUCAUCGAUUUUUUCUUGCUUAAUUUCCCGUUGCCCUUCUAUUGAGUAUAUGUCACUCAGUUCAUGUUCUUCUCCUUGUGGGUCUUCGAUUCAAUUUACAACUUCUAGUCUCAAAACCUUUGAAGUUACCGAUUUCAAUGCUCAGCAGUUAAAUGUAUACGAAGCUACGAAUCUGGAAUCUUUCACAUUGGUUUCAGAACUUCCGGUACUUGGUUCAGAGAUUUCAGAACUUCCGUUACUUGGUUCAGAAAUUGGACAACUUACUCGAGCUUCGUUGUACGAGUGCAAAAACUUGAAACAUGUGAACAUUCGCUCUGAGCACCUGCAAGAAAUCAUAUUAGGCGGCUGCAAAGAUUGUGUUGAGGCCAGAAUUGAUACUCCAAAUCUAAUGUAUUUCAACUUUGUUGGCAAUUUGAAGUCCACAAUUUCUAUGGAAGCUCCAAAUUUAUGGGACACAAAUAUUACACUUCUGUGUGGUGAUUCGACUCCUCCAUGGAGACAUUUCCCAACUGUGGUAGACUUUCUUAGAACUUUUGGUCACAGCAAAAGAAUCCUUCUAAAUUUUGAUGAUGCUGAAGUGGAUUUCUUCUUUCCAGAAAGUUUCAGAAGAAGUGUCUCCUGUCCACCAUUGCCUAGUCUCAAGAAUCUUGUAGUCUGGCGUAAAGAAAAGCUCAAGGGAAGAGAUUCAGAUUUGCAGAAUUCCAUGCUUUGGAUGGCACCUUGUGCAGAACUUAGAAUAAAAAAUAAAUGAGUUUGGCUUUAAAGUUAAAGUUUUGUUUGCAAGUUCCUCCAAACUUAUCCUGCUAUCAGUAUUGAUCAAUGAAUAAAUUAUCAGAUGAUGAAUUGCUUUUGGUUAUCUACUAAAACAUGGUUCUUUCUCGUUGAGAUUUAUUAAAUCAUGAACGGUUUUAUGGUUACCUUUGUACAUCAUACUUCACUACUUAGAAAAUUUGGUUAUCCCCAACUGAUGCUUCAUGGUUCGAAAUUUGAUUAUCAUAAACCCUAGACCGGCCCUGACCUUGGCGAUAGAGGGUUAUUUUGUUGAGCUGCUUCUUCUUUUUGUUCAUUGCAUUUACAGAAAUAAAUCAAAUAAUAAGUCAACAGUUUGGAUCUUAUUUUGGUUCUCAAUGAUUGUCCCUUCCUAACAGUUUGGAUCUUAUUUUGGAUCUUAUCUUAAUUAUAAUAUUACAACGAAAGCAGGUUCUUCAAGGACAAGGCUGUUCUUUUCUUUCUUUCUUUUUUUUUCUUUUUUUUCUUUUUUUUGCGAAUAAAGGAGGACAAGGCUAGCAACUCUACAUCCAUUAUAAUUAGGAACGCCUAUUAACUCUUCCAUUAGCAUUCAUAGUUGAGAAAAAGAAUACAAGACCGACGAAUAUUUGGAUAUCCAAGUAUCUGGCUUUGCUAAUCCUCGUGUGAUUUGCGAAAUAACAACAUUCACCUGGCCGCUACAUCUAUCAAGCUAUCAUAUGGCUACCAAGACAACAAUACACAGCCAAACUUAUGGUUUGUCCCUAGUCAAGACAGCACCACCUCACUUACCUGAAGACAUUGUCCGGCAAGUUAUCUCACUCCUCCCCACUAAUUCCGCCUUUCGCAUGAGCUUUCUUUCAAAGCAAUUUGAAGAUGUGUCGUCUUUUCUCCCUGUGCUGGAUCUUGACGAGGGUGACGAUGAAGCAAACCUCAACGAGCCAAUUCAAGAUGUGAAAUUCACCAACAUCUUAGAGAGGUAUCUGAAAUUUCGUGAGAAAAACUGUAAACCCUUGAAUAAAUUUAGGCUUCGCAUGGCGAUGGACACUGUCAGAAAAGACAUUGUACAAAAGUUAUUACGGAGUUUUGCAGCUGCAAAUAGCAUCAACGAUGAGUUGGAUCUCAGCCUGAGAAGUGAACCUAGAGGCUACUGCAUAAACUUGGCCCUUCUUAAUCUCAACUCUUUAACUACUUUAAGUUUGGAGUAUGUCAGAAUAAAGGGUCUUCAUACUUGUUCUCUUCCCUCUUUGAAGACUAUGUCCCUCAAAUCUAUACACUGGUCUGCACCAUCAAUGUUUUCGGCACUACUCUCUAAGUGCCCUUCUAUUCAGUAUUUGUCACUGACUUCAUGUGGUCUUUGGGGAUCCAUCAACGUUUCAAGUUCUAGUGUCAAGACCUUGGAAAUUAGAGACUGCGAUUUUCAGCGUAUCGACGUGCAUGGAUCUAAUCUCAAGUAUUUUACAUUAGUUUCGGAAUAUCCAGAACUUACGGUUGUUGGUUUACAUGAGUGUGAAAAUUUGAAAUAUAUGAACAUUGAUGCAAAGCACCUGCCAGACUUUGGGUUAUACGGAUGCACAGAUUUUGUGAUGGCCAUAAUGGAUGCUCCAAAUCUUGAUCGUUGUAAUGGUCAAGAACUUGGUGGUAUGAAUGGAAGGUUUAUAUUGAGUGAUUUCCAAUGGUCUAGAGGUAUGCUGAUAGGGAAGAAGCAAUGUUUCGACCGAAUUAGAAUGAGCCUGAACAGUUUGUGAACAAAUGAUUGCAUCAUUCAAAGGAUACAUUUCAUCAAAAAAUUACUGCACUUUCGGUUUAUGUCCUACUGGUACAAUGUAGGUCAGUUGGGACUUGGGAGAUACUCACAUUUUAAGUCCGAGGGUUAUUAUUAUUAUGAUUAUGCAUGCUUCUUGUUCUUAUAAAUUCCUCUCCUUGUACUUGUAGUAGAAAUAAUGGAUUGGACGGAAAUACUUGCUAGCUUAGGUUAACCAAUUUGUUUCACCUCUAUAUAUAUAUAUAUAUAUUUGAUCACAAGCAAAUCAUCAAAUUCUUAAUAUUGCACUGAUCCUCCAUAGUAAGAAAAUUUUGUUCCAUUUUUAUUUUUUAUUGUAAUUAAUUUCGAAAAAUAGGCCACUAUGGAAAUUCUUGUAUGCACAACGUGUAUUUACAUAACACAAUUUUAACCAUUCAUAACAAUUCAUAUGUUUGACCACCAUGUUUCUAUAUUAUUUCCUCUAAUCCUGACUAUCCAUGUAUGUAUGUAUGUGAAAAUACACGCUGUGCACUGAAGAUACUCUCAUUAUAAUAACCUAUUGAUCCCUUCCUUUUACAAGUAGGAUUUCAAUGGACUCUAUCCAACCAAUACGCUAUCUUCACCUUCUACAAGGAGGAUUAUACCAUUAUAUAAAGGAUCAGAAUCGACUUCUAUCUUCUCUCUGCAUCUAUCUCUUAAUUAUCAUAUAUGGCUACCAAACGAAACACACACACACCACCAUGACCGGAACUCCAAGACUAUGGCACGACAUGAGUUGCCUGACGAUAUUAUCCGCCAAAUCAUUCCAUUUCUUCCCACUAAAUCUGCUUUUGACAUGAUUUUUCCUCUUCAAGCAAUUUGAAGGCGUAUGGUCUACACACCCAGUAAUAGAUCUCGACGAGGGCAACCUCUCUAACAAGGCACUUGAUCAAGAUAUGAAGCUCACCAACAUCUUGGAAACCUACUUGAAGUUCAGGAUUCAGGAAGAAUGACCCUCCUCGCCCCUUGGACAAGCUUAGGCUUCGUAUGGAGAUGAACCCUGUUAGAGAAGCUAUCGUGAGUUUUGCAGCUGAGAGAAGCAUCAAAGAGUUAGAUCUCAGCCUUAAAACUGCACCUUUGAAAGGCUCCAACUACAGCUUAUCGUUGAAACGUUUUAAUGUCUAUAGUUAGUUUAAGUCUCGAGUACGUGAAUAUCAAAGAGUAUUCUAUUAGUGAUGGAGUGUACGUCUUCCUUCUUUGAAAACUAUGUCCCUGAAAAACGCAUGUCAGUUGGUACGAUCUGUCCGAACUAAUUAAGGGCUGCAGUUCUAUUGAGUAUUUAUCUAUAACUUUGUGUUCGAGUCGCUUUAGGGCAUUCCUUUGUAGUUUCAAGUUCUACUGUCAAGUCUUUGGAAAUCAGGGAUUGCGUUAUUGGAUAUGCUGAGGUACGACGAUCCAAGAAUCUUGAAUCCUUUACCUGGGUUUCAAGCUCCCCAGAGCUUCGACAUGCGGCUUUGUUGAAAGGCCAAAGCUUGAAAUAUAUUAACAUCCAUGCAGAAUACCUGAAAGGCAUAAUGCAAAGAUCGUGUGGAGGCCACAAUGUAUACUCCAAAUCUAAAAUAUUUCAAUUUCAAUGGUUUGAUACCCAACAAUGGGGGGAGAAAGACUGUAGUGAUGUUUCAUCCUUCUGGUGUGUUGCAACUUGCAAGGAGUUCCGAUUAGAACCUGCAAAGGUUGAUUUUUCCAACGGAUAAUAGAGCGCACUAUAUUUCAUGUCUCUUUGGAUUAUUAAGGGUAGGCUCGCUGGACACUCUUUUUUCCUUCACCUAUUUCUCACAUGCCAGCACAAAAUUCAAUUUCAAAUAUCAACAUUCUUAAAACUCCAUCAUCAUAUUCAAUUGUACAAAGCGUAAACACCCCUAUGUCGCAAACAAAGCCCGACAGAAAAAAAAAAAAAAAAAAAAAAGGUACAACGAGAAGCUUACAACUACGAAGCAGGAACAAACCUAAUGAUCCAUGAAAAAAGCAGCAGAGAAUUAGGACUACAGCAAUUCAGUAUGCACAACACUAAUGAAGAAAAUGUUAACUCAUAUACAAAGAGAUCAUCUUUUGCCAGAGAGGCUGAUCGAGCUGACUUUCAUUGGGGUUGCCACCACCAGGGGAGCUUCUGGGGAGUCGCUGACAGCAUACUUAUCAUGCAUGAAACGGCUCUCCACAAUGGACUCGUCCUUCAAAAGAAUCUUGUAGCAGUAACAACUCUUGAGGCCUUGCUGAUUCCUGUAACAUUCAUGGGCACUGUUUUUCACCUGCUGGAAAUCCCAUAUGACACUGAACUUUCCCACUGUUGCAACGAGGUGACGCUCUUGUUUACCACUUUCAGUGACCUGUAAACACACAUUAACAAAAAAAAAAAAUUCAGAACUUGAUCAAAAGGGAAACAAAUCUCAUACUCAGCACAUGUGAACACAAGAGUUUCUAAAAUUAUACUAUGAUGAUGCACAAUGUAGUGCAAAUCUUCUGCAUCCCAAAUCCAAAAUCAGGUACGAAAUGAACAACUAAGAACUAAAUAUGUCAGAUUUUCUGUUAUCCAAACACUUUGAAAAAAGACUCGGUGAACAAAGCAUAAUGAUUUUAACCUGUUUAUUUCUAUGGAGUACACAAACUUUCUAAAGCCAACAAAGCACGCAACAAACCUUAGCAUUUUAAUCCAACUGCUAACCAGAAAAAGUUGUACUUAAAAGUCUUAACAAACUACUACUGAGGAAUGAGCUGCAGGGGUGCAAAACCUAUAAAGCCAAAACAAUUGUUCUCUUGGUAUGAUGCACCACAAGAUAAGCUGUUGCCCAUAUCAUAGCAUACAGGGCAGUGAAUAUUGACAAACUGAAACACACGAUAUACAACUAAGAAACACACACAAUUGAACUAGGCAAUAGAGGGAUAAAAAUACAUAGAUAACAUCAAAGUUUCUAAAACUUCCAAAAUGACUGCUUAAUAUGAAAUUUCCAGCAAGAUCAGUCCAUGUCCUUUCCAGCACCAGUUUCAAGUCACUCCCUAUGAAACUUUUGAUCAAAGAAAUUUAUCAACUCCUCACACAUGAUACUCUUUGGAUAAGGACCUAACAACUAUAGCCACAACUAAACCACGAAAGCACCUAUCGGUCAAUGAUAUCAUUAAGUCACAGAGAAAAUAUUAACCAAAUAAAGAACAUAAAACCUAAAGGUUGCAGAUGAAAGAUAAAGCUGUACGGAAAUUCAGCUAAUAUAAAGGCGCAAGACUUUUGAAACCCAUUGCUAUAGAUGGACAAUUGGACACUAAUCUAACCAAGACAUAUUAUGAAACUGAAGUGUAACACUUAAAGAAAAUGAAAACUCCUUCAAGACUCAUUAAUAUAGAUGGACAGUUGAAACCACAAAGUAUGAACUUUAAAUUACCAACUACAGCAAACAAUAUCAUAGACUCCUUAUAUCUCGUUAAAGCAUGCAUAUCAAACAAUUCAAUAACUGUAGCAAUUUAAUGGAAGUAUUCUUACCCAAGAGAAAUGGCCUCCAUGGAACUUGUUGUCUGCGCCAGCCAAAUGCGAGUCAAGAGGGAUCAGCUUCAACAACCUGGGAGCUGGUAUCUUGUUUCCCAUUCUACCACUAAACCCAGUCUUUGUCUUUCCAUCUUUGUCAGUGAACAAAGUGCAUAUAAGGACCAAAUAAGUGUCGGUCGUACCCAACACCCACUUCCCAUCAUAAGUCACAUCAACAUGAGUAAUGGGGGAACCCAGCCCUGGAAACGCAGUCUUUGCCUGCCUCAUUGAGGUCUUUGAAUACAACCGUAUCUUCCCAUCCAGAGACCCAACAACAAUAGACCCAUCUCCAGUAGUAGCAAAGCACUGAAAAUUCGUCCCUCUCGAAAACUGAUGCCCCUGAGACCACUCCAGGACAGGCGAAUUAGCAAUGUUCUGAACCAUUCCUCUACGCUCACGCAUAUCCCACUGGCAAAGCCUGUUAUCAUCCAGACCCAGAAACGUCGACUCAGAAGGAUCCAACUGCGACCCUUUUGUGUCAUUAGUAAUAUCCCUCAUUGUCAUCUCAGUCCCAUCCUUCUCAAACUUCCACUCAGUCACAAUCUUCCCAGUCUCAAUGUCCAGCUGCUGCAGCCCAUUCGCUUGAGGCUUCCCCUCCUUUAAUGGACUCAUAAGCAUCAUAUUAGUCUCACCCCUCAUCAGCAGAGCCUUCUUGGGCGUCAUUUUCAAACCACCCCCACUGUCGAAUUUCGCAACCACGCCCUUCCCAUGAAUCCCAUGGCUGAAAUUCUUAUAAACCUGCACACCAGAAUCAUUCACCAAGAAACUAUUAUCCAAUGCGCCAAGUGUCAAGCUCUGAACACCUCCAUUCGCAGCCUCCUCGAACUCCUCCAUCAACUGCUGGUUGGACCGGACCGGCGUCACCGAAUUGGGGCUCCUCGCCAUGUCAUAAUCAUCAGCAUACUCCCACGCCGAGUCGUCCGCCGCCUCCGGCUUCACCCAGCCCAAAAACUCCUUGCCGUAAAUCUUGACCUUGUUCUCCUCCGUCGCCUUAAGCCCGUACACAUUCUCAAACAAGCAGUCCUGAAACUCCGUCACGAAUCUCCGGUACUGCUCGUCGGUGUAGAAUUUCAAAGCCCAGACUCCUUUGGACACAAAAUCCACACGUCGCUGAUCGCCGAACAUCUUCAACUGCAUGUCGGCGGAAACCCUAGCCCUUACUUUUCCCGCAACCUUGAGAAUCCACUGUCCCUUGCCGUCGGCGGAGCCCUCGUAGUCGUCGUCGUCGCUGUCGCCGUCGACGUUGGUGGUCUUGACGAAGGAGAACGAUGUGAGCUUGCUGGAGACGAUCCACUUGGCGUUGGGAGUGUUGCCGCCGAUGUGGAGGUAGAGCUUGACGGCGUUAUGCGAGACGACGGAGGCGGAGGCGGAGGAAGAAGAAGAAGGUGGAGGAGUACCGUACUUGAGCUUCAAGGCUUUGAGCUUGGCGUCGAUGUCGCCGAUCGGGGUGGGCUGGGUCUCCGGAGCGUCCUGAUAGUCUUCGUCGUCGGAUUGGCGUUGUCGUUCGUCUUCUUCUUCGGAGUAGUCGUCGGAGUCGGAGAUGUGGUCCUCGCGGCUCUGAGAGGUUCCCAUGGUUUCAAAUCGGAGCUUGGGAUAUACAGGGAUUUCGAAAUUUGGGGAUUUUGGAGGAUUUGGGGAUUUUGAAAAUGAGGGAGAUUUUGGAGGAGCGGAAUUAUAGAGAGUGUGAUUUGCUGGAGAGGAGUUUAAAGUUGGAUUGAGGACCCGGUGGGAUCGUUUUUAUAGAUGCUCUCUGGUGUAGACGCGUGGCGAGUUCGAAAGCGAGUAGCGUCGAUUUGACGUCGGUGGCCAACAACAAAAGGGGAAAGCGUUGUGUUACUUUUUUUUUUUGUUUUUUCUUUAAGGGAAGCGUUGUGUUUCUUAUUUUAUCGUUGAUGGAAAGCGUGAUUCUAACGACGGCAUUACUUCUUGGCGAAGAAAAUGAAAAUUGUUGUUUUAGGUCUCCUCUCCCUAAAUUGAUUUCUUGCUCAGCUCCGGCAUCACCGGUGCCAUGGAAUCCGUCACCGGUCCGACGAAUUUUGGGGCAUUGACUCUGCCACGAGGGCAGCCUCUCCUUAGCUUGUAAUCCUGAGUUUCCAGUUGCUAUUCCUGGCCAAGGUUUUCCAAAGUAAGCUGCAAAGGCAUCAUUUGCCAAACUGUUCCUCUUCUUGAGCUCUCCUCAUUCCAGUCAUUUUAUAACAUUUGUAUGAUUCUCUAUUUUAUAACAUCUCUCUAAUAAAAAUGAAAUUUGUACUGUUUGUGGUCAAUGCAGCCCUCUUUUGUCCCUUACGAUGGUUUGGAUAGUGUUAAGUGACACAAAAAAUUAGUUUCUCUUCUUCAAAUCAAAGAAAACAAAAGAAAACAAUAUCGAUUACUGAAUAAUGCAAGUCUCCAACAAUAUUGCUAACAGAUAUCAGAGACUUAAGCCUCACAAUAUAAGGUACUAUUGCAUAGCUUCAUUACAGGGUCUAUAGGCUUUAGCCUCACAAUUUAAAAUUCCAGCUUUUGCCGAAAAAUUACUCUACAUACCAGCAGACAGUUCAAUUUGCUAAUAAAAACAGAAGUGCCUUGGCCACCUAAUUGUAUCCUUAAUCCCCAGAACAUCAAACAAGUUGCUAGUUUUGCAUCUCACAAGGCGUCACGCGCAGCAAUCCGGCAUGUAAUAGCAUCAGCAAGUGAGGACAUCCCUAACUCCUGGCUAGUUACCUUAUAAUGCUGAAAAUACAAAUGUUGAUUAUCAUUAACUGGAAAAACCAGCAACAAAGGAAAACAGGUACCAGACUAGCAGCCGAGUUGAACAAGAUGCACACAUACCUUCUGUAUCUGGGCUUGGUCUGCUCUCCCUCCCAGCUCCUCCAAAUUAAUCUCUUUUCCAUUGACAAGUUUCUCUACUGCUUUCUGUUCUAUCUACUAUAACAAGGAAAUUAUCAAAACAGGAAGGGCCAACAUUGUUCUGCCAUAGUGAAGCAAUACAAGGCUUGAACUGCUACAUCUUACAUGACAAAGGGAUCUUACCUCAUCAGAAGUAGCAUUGAAACGAGCGGCAAGCACAUAAGUUGAACUUUCGGAGAUACCACAUCUUUUCAAGGAUUCUGUGAUCUAGUCAAGAUCAAAGUUAAACUUUUCAGUAACAGGAAAAUAUGGAAUAAAUCAUAGACCAUAAUAGUUAAUUAAGAACUGAUUACAUGCUUGGAUCCUGAGUAGUUGUAAACAAGCUCAGAAUGAAGAGUGCGUGUUGUCAGUGAGUCUCGGGACUUGGAUAUGAGUGUCUUAUGUGCAGCUGCAAGCAAAGGGAAAACAUCUGGGAUCUGUUUCCAUGGUAAAUGAAGUUAGCAUUAGUGAAACUCAGCAAAAAGAGAUUACAAAGUUGAGACAAAAAAGAAAAGAAAAUACAAGUAGAUCAAAGCAUGUAGGACUAUACAAGUGAAGCAUUCAGAAAUGCCACUUCUGGAUCUAGUGUCGCAGCUUGCAUCGAGUCAAGCAGUUCCCUGCAAGAUAGAUGGGUUUGCUAAGGACUUCAGUUCUCCACAUAACAUAGAUAAUAACAAAGAUGGUAAACUUGAUGCAAUUAAUGUUUCAGGGAAGAAGAAAUAAAUUGAUCCUCUCAUUUAGAAUCUUUUUCGUAAACCCUGAUUUAGAAUUUCUCAUGGAGCAUACGUAGCAGGGGGUUUUAUUCAAAUGUAACUCAAAUAGAUUUUCUCAUUCUUUUACUUCUAUUUUGAUGUGACUUGUACUUGUACUUGAGAAAAAUAACCCAUUUUCAGUGCAGAUAAACAUUCAAAAAUUUCUACCAUGAGGGAUGUCUCCUACAUUCACAGGCAUUGAUAAUCUGGUUAUAAUUAGAACUAUGUUGACUAAAGAGAUAAAUGAUGAUAAACAAACUUUCUUUCUGAAAUUUUAAAAUGAACAAGUUCAUAUCUACGAUUUGCUAAUAUCUAAGAGCACAAAACUCCCCAAUAUGAUGUAAUCCCAGAAAUUUACAUGAGAAAGAAACACCCAAAUUAAGCAAGGUUUCAAGUGAGGCAGUAAGAGUACUUGGAAUUGGUGACUUCAAUGAAGAGAGCAAGAGAGAGUGUGUUUCCAUUGACCUCAAACAGCUUCAUCGUCACUCCUUCAAAGUUGUGAGCUCUGUACUCUGCAAGAAACAACGGAAUUGAAGCUCACAAAUUGCUAAUUUGAAUACAGAAUCAAACUAUAAACUCGUAACAAUCCAAGAUAAACUAUAUAUAUGAAAUUAGUUAUCCAAUGGUGUCACGCCCCAAACCCAAAUAUGAAAGAACUGUGACAAUAAUAUAGAAAAGAAAAACAGUAGGAAGACAAAGAGGUCAAGAACUUCCUAAUUCUUUUUGAAAUAAACAUUACUCCUCAAGGUAGGAUUACAUUUCUGAACUUCCUAAUUAUACAAGGUUCAGUUUUGAAAAGAGGUAUAAUUACAAAAGCUUGCAGCAACAGGUCUGACAAAGGUAUACAAGAUAUUAACACAGAAACAAUAUGAACCGAAGAGUGGUAAAACAAAAAUCUAUGCACUCAUCCCAUUUCCUAAGGAUCUGUAAAAGAUAACAACGAGAACAUGAGCAACUAAAGCUCAAUGAGUAGUAUACUGAACUGUCACUAAACAUAAAACGAAUAAUAAUGGGAUGCCACAGCGACCUGUUAGCUAAUACUAAUAUUAGGAAUGCCACAGCGAUUCCUGUUAACUAAAAUGGCUACCACAACCAAUGAUCAUGCCAAACAAGCGGUCACAUCAAGCAUAAGCACAUUGCCAACACCACUCUCUUGUUGGCUAGAGGAUAUAUAUAUAUAUAUAUAUAUAUAUAUAUAUGUGCUGAUCAGGUGCGGACGUCCGCACCAAAGUUUUUGGUGCGGAUUUCCAUUUUUGCACCAUUUCCCGAUCGAAUUUACUCAAACUUCCUUCNNNNNNNNNNNNNNNNNNNNNNNNNNNNNNNNNNNNNNNNNNNNNNNNNNNNNNNNNNNNNNNNNNNNNNNNNNNNNNNNNNNNNNNNNNNNNNNNNNNNNNNNNNNNNNNNNNNNNNNNNNNNNNNNNNNNNNNNNNNNNNNNNNNNNNNNNNNNNNNNNNNNNNNNNNNNNNNNNNNNNNNNNNNNNNNNNNNNNNNNNNNNNNNNNNNNNNNNNNNNNNNNNNNNNNNNNNNNNNNNNNNNNNNNNNNNNNNNNNNNNNNNNNNNNNNNNNNNNNNNNNNNNNNNNNNNNNNNNNNNNNNNNNNNNNNNNNNNNNNNNNNNNNNNNNNNNNNNNNNNNNNNNNNNNNNNNNNNNNNNNNNNNNNNNNNNNNNNNNNNNNNNNNNNNNNNNNNNNNNNNNNNNNNNNNNNNNNNNNNNNNNNNNNNNNNNNNNNNNNNNNNNNNNNNNNNNNNNNNNNNNNNNNNNNNNNNNNNNNNNNNNNNNNNNNNNNNNNNNNNNNNNNNNNNNNNNNNNNNNNNNNNNNNNNNNNNNNNNNNNNNNNNNNNNNNNNNNNNNNNNNNNNNNNNNNNNNNNNNNNNNNNNNNNNNNNNNNNNNNNNNNNNNNNNNNNNNNNNNNNNNNNNNNNNNNNNNNNNNNNNNNNNNNNNNNNNNNNNNNNNNNNNNNNNNNNNNNNNNNNNNNNNNNNNNNNNNNNNNNNNNNNNNNNNNNNNNNNNNNNNNNNNNNNNNNNNNNNNNNNNNNNNNNNNNNNNNNNNNNNNNNNNNNNNNNNNNNNNNNNNNNNNNNNNNNNNNNNNNNNNNNNNNNNNNNNNNNNNNNNNNNNNNNNNNNNNNNNNNNNNNNNNNNNNNNNNNNNNNNNNNNNNNNNNNNNNNNNNNNNNNNNNNNNNNNNNNNNNNNNNNNNNNNNNNNNNNNNNNNNNNNNNNNAGAAAAACGACAGUUUUGAGUGCCUUAAUGAUAACCAAAUUGGCUGAAAUUUUGCAGAGAUGAUCUAUACAUUAGUAUCUAAAUACUAGACGGUGGAGAUGUGAAAAUUCAAUUGAAAAGUGAGUGUAAAAUGGAAAUCCGCACAGUAAGAAUAAAUGCGGACGUCCGCAGCUGAGAAGCGAUGCGUGUGUGUGUGUAUAUAUAUAUAUAUAUAUUUAUGCUUCCACAGCAUAAAUAACUAUCUCACCAAGUUCAGAACUUUCAAUUCCACUUUCACAUUCAACAGUCACCGUAUUAUGAUUAUUCCACAAAACACAUUCAACAUGUAACAAGAAUCCAAUGUAUACUGAGUAACCAAAAUGUACUCACCUCUGUACAAGGAAGAUAGUUGAAACGGUACACAAAUAAAAACGAGCUCAAGUAGCUCCCUCAACACCUAUCAGAAAUACACCCUGAAUUAGACUCUGCAAUUCAAGUUAUGUUUGAGGGAUAAUGAAAAGAAACAUAGACAUUAGCAAAACUUUGUAUCUACUGGAUUGGAGAAGAUGAUGUUGACCAACAGAAUAAAUGAAAUAAAUAUUUGCAGAGAGGAAGAACAUGAUGAUGAUCAACGGUUAUUAGUUUUCGGAUUUAUCAGUUUGACCUCUUCCCGGCCCCGACUCUUAUCCCGUGAAAAAGGAAGAAGCAACAGCAUGCAUGCAAAUCCUAAUGCUUGUCGAUCUUAGAAGAACAUGGGAUUUGAUUAACAAAAUUUUGAGAAGAGCUACUAGAAUGUGGGAUUUGAUUAAACGCAUUCUAGAUCAGGGGAUAAGAAACCAACUUGACAGAGACAAUAAACCAUACAAUUGGUGUGCAAUAAUGUUGAGAGCAGAAUAGGAUAGAAAUUGAGAAACCCAGUUCUCAAUCAUCUCCAGGUUAUGUGGAAAGCUAACAAAGGGAUAGAAACUUGGAAGCUAAAUCUAAUUGAACCCAUAAACAAAACUAUAGCUUUUGAAGUUUACCAGAGAAAACAGGGGAACUAACAAAGUAUAAACUUCAUCAAAUUAAAGGAAAACAGAGGACUAAGUAUUACCGAUGAAUUUGCAGGGUUUUGCAGAGCAGUCAAGACUGAAGCUUGUGCGAGCCCAAACUAAAUUAGGGUUUGGAGUAGUCCAAUUUUUUAGGAGGGAACGACGUCGUUACGGUGGCCAAAAUUUUGGCCAAAAAUUUCAUAAUCGCGCCAGGUAGGGGUCGAACCUACGACUUUCUGCUUAGGAAACAGACGCUCUAUCCACUGAGCUACAGGCGCUUGUUUGCUCAUGUAUUUGCUCUAUAAUAUAUGGCACAAUUAUUAUUGUUGAAAAUUUUAAAAUAUUUACUUGGUCAAUUAUGUUCUGGGGUAUAGUCUGUGACUGUCUGUCUAUCUUCAAGCAGAGCCCUUGACGUGUCAAAAUGAACCAGAUCACAUCUUUGGCGCGUAUUCCUGAAUUUCUGAAGAAAACUGAAUGACCCUAUGGUUUUGCAUCUUUUGGGCUUUUUUUUUUCUGGGCAUAGCUUUUGUGCCUUCCCAGGACAAACAUGUCCCUCUGCCUCCUACUCCUAUGGAUGCUCACCAUUCCUCUCCAAGCCAACUCUCAACCUAACCCUAGAGGUCUGUAUACAUAUUUAUUCAAACCCACAUUUUGUUCUUUUUGCUUUUGGGGUAUUUUUAUUAUUGGGUAAUCAUUGUUUGUGCAUUUUCACCCUAAAAAUCUGGUAAGGUGAUUGUUAAACCUAUUUUGUUGAUUUCGUCUGUUGGGGUUCCUUGAUGGGUUUUUCUUGUUUUGUUUGAUGAGAAUAUUUAGACAUGAUUGGGGUGUGUUCCAGAUUAGGCUUUGGGUUUUUCAAUUUCAUACCAGCAAGUUUCGUAUGACAAACCAAAUUUUCAGGUUUUGUCCCAAAUUCUAGAAAUUGCUUUUCUAAGGGCUAAAGUCCUGUUCUUUUUUCCUUGUUCUAUUUCUCAUUUUGGCUUUAGCUGUAGUAGAAUAUAUAUAAUCCUUGCAAAUUGAAGAGUUUCAAAUGCAUAUAUAAUCCUAUGGUUUUUUUUUUUUCGUUAAAUUGGUAGGGGAUAAAAUAUUCAUUUUCCCAUUAUCUUGGCAAAUUGAGCUUACCAAGAGAAUAACACACCAACAAUUUAGCUCAAUGUCAUAUGAAAAGUUAUGUGUUCUCUAAUGCAUGACCAAAACUGCAGGUUACCUCCUAAACUGUGGCGCCGGGGCCUCAUCCAAUAAUGACGUGAUUGUAGGUAACCUGAAGUAUGUCACCGAUGAAGGUUAUAUAUCAGUUGGAAAAACAAGCAACAUCAAGAACAAUGACUUGGUUCCCAUACUCACUACAUUGCGCUAUUUUCCAGACAAGUCUGCCCGAAAAUAUUGCUAUGAAAUUCCGGUGAUCAAAGGGGGAAAGUACCUGGUCAGGACGACUUACUAUUAUGGUGGUUUUGAUGAUGGUAAGGAGCCACCGAUUUUUGACCAGAUUGUGGAGGGGACUAAGUGGAGUGUGGUUAAUACAACAGAGGACUAUACCAAUGGACUUAGCUCGUAUUAUGAGACAGUGGUGCUGGCAAAAGGGAGGACACUAAGUGUGUGCCUUGCUAGGAACAACAUGACCGGGACUGAUUCUAGUCCCUUCAUCUCAGCUCUUGAGCUGGAGUACUUGGAUGACUCAGUGUACAACUCCACCGAUUUUAACAAGUAUGCACUUAGUACUGUAGCAAGGGGAAACUUUGGAAUUACUGAUGAUGGUGACGUAGUUGGGUACGAACUUUGCUCCUCCUUUAUUACUUAUUACUCGCUGCAUUUACAUAAUUUCAGUAUUAUAGUACUUGCUGAUAUUUUAGAGUACAUUUUAUACCAGUAGUAUCAUCUGUAUAAAUCACAAAUGAGGCAGGACUAACCUAUAGAAUUGAGUUCUUUCUCUAUUAGAGAGAUGCUCUACAAUAUGAUCCACAUGAUUUUAUUGUUAAUUAUUAUCUUGGUACCAGCUGUUACUUUGAUAUAUGUUUGUUUACCCAUUCUUGGUUUUGAGGUCAUAGGAAUUAUAUGAUCUGGUAAUAGAUAUAGUCUGUGAGGUUCAAACUUCUGUAUUCUGUUAAUAUGAGUGAUGGUCUUGGUCUGCACAUCCAUAUUCUCAUUAUUUGUUUGCAACUCCAUGCUAAGGUAUAAUGGCUUUAUAAUGGCUUAAGAUUUUGGGUGCAUUGGUUUUAUAACAGAAGUACUACUGCAUUUAUCACAUCUGUUCGUCCAUCUCUGUAAGAACUGUGGUGCAAUGUCGUCCAUAAAAAGUUUCUCUUUUUAGAUUUUAUACUAGCAAAUAUUAACCUUAAGGUAAGUGAGACCGUCAUUUGAGAGUCAUUAAUCUUGAUGUAAACUUGUAAUACUACAUCACUUGUAUUAGGUGAUCCACCUUUGUAAGAAAUGUCGUAGCAAAGUUGGCAGCAAAAAGUUUCUCUUUUGUACACUAGUAAAAAUGAAUCUUGAAUUUUUAUGCUGGAGAUGAAAUAUUUUUACAGAUUAACCAAAAGGAAAUAUAAGUUUCAUCUCUGGAUUUGGGCAUGUGUUUUGUGCUAAAGCAAUGUCAUCUAGUGUAGAAAGCCAUUAGGAAUCAGCUGACAAUUAUAUAUCCUGAAGAACUAUGAUCUGAUGGUGAAUGUGUAAAUUUGAACAUAGCUUUCCAGAUGACAAAUUCAACCGGUUAUGGCAACCGUUCAAGGACAACAACCCCGUGUCCACUAACAAGGCCAAUGUCACUCCCUCAGAUUUUUGGAAUGUCCCACCAGCAAAACUAUUCGAGACUUCUGUUACAACAAGCCGAGGGAAGGAACUUCAGAUCCAGUGGCCAUCUGUGUUACUCCCCAGUGCCGCUUACUACAUUGCAUUGUACUUCCAGGACAACAGGAACCCAAGCCCUUUUAGUUGGAGAGUUUUCAAUGUUUCAGUGAAUGGCAAGCCCUUCUCUAGCAAUGUCAAUGUCACCACCAAGGGUUUAACAGUUUAUGCAGCAAAGUGGCCUCUGUCUGGAAACACUGAGAUUGUCCUGACUCCUGGUGCAGGCAUGCCUGUUGGGCCGGUCAUCAGUGCUGCUGAGAUCAUGCAGAUUUUUCCUCUUGGAUUAGAGACUCUCAACAGAGAUGGUACACAGUUUAAUCAAUCUCAUGGUUAUUGUUCACCAAAGACAUCAUCUUCUCUUUCUAGUUUUAAACAAGAUUGUAAUCUCUUGUUUGAUUUUACUCUAGUCACCGCAAUGCAUGAGGUGAAAAGAAGUUUUGACAACCCACCUCCCGACUGGAGUGGAGAUCCUUGUCUGCCUGAAGGCAAUGGUUGGACUGGUGUUACAUGUUCUCAUGACAAAUUUGCUCGAGUAAUAUGUCUGUAAGUUCACAAAGAUCUUUUACAGAACUAAAUUGUUUUACUGAUGUAUAUAUAUUUGUAUGUCAUACUUACAAGAUGGGUAGUAUUACACUAGAGGAUAUAAUAUUGAUCUGCAGUCAAUUUGUUUGUCCUGUCAUUUGAAGGAAUUUAACUAAUGUCGGGCUAUCUGGGUCAAUAGCACCAAGCAUAGCAAACUUAACUGCCCUACACAAUAUGUAAGUAAUCACGCAAACGUUAUCAGCAUUGAUGGGAUUCUCUCAUCAUUUUAAAUGGUGCCUUUGAUGGCGUUGUUUCCUUGCAGUUGGCUUGGCAAUAACAAACUUGCAGGCGAGAUCCCAGAGAUGGGCGCAUUGAAGGAGUUGGAAACUUUGUAUGUUAUAUAUAUCGUCCUAUCAGUAUUCAUGUUUUAUUACUUCCCCGUACUAUCAAUCCAUGCAUAUGUCUUCUGCAAUGCUUUGAUUCUCUUCUGUUAUCCUGGUUAAGGCAUCUAGAGAACAACCAGCUUGAAGGUAAAAUCCCUGAAUCAUUAGGCCAACUUCCGAAACUACGUGAGAUGUGAGUAUUUGACAAAUGAUUAUUAGACCAGUCACAUGUUUGUUAUAAUGUUAUCUGCUAACCUGCUUUUGGUUUAUAGAUAUCUGCAGAAUAACAAACUCAAGGGCGAUGUGCCUAAUACACUACAAGAUAAGAAAAUAAAGAUUCAGUGAGAAACACGGUCUUAAUUUCUAGUUUGCAUUUCAUUUGUGACUUCGUGGACACACAUUAAGGUAACACUUAUAAACAACAUUGCAGGAUGAAAUACCAGGAAGAGAUCAGAUCACAAUCUCCAGCUGAGAUGUAAAUAGGACGCUGUAGUAGAUGGAAUGGAACUAAAUGAGUUGAGGGACAGGAAUGGAUCCAUCGUACCAUAGAGUGGAGAGAUGGCAGAUGGGGAUUUAUGAGCCCUAGACUAGUUUGUUUUGUGAAGGCUUCGUGUCAAUGUAUCUCAUUUCUCAAACUAUCACCUCCCAUAGUUUUAAACUCAACAAACUAAUCUAUAACAUCUGGGAUAUAGACCGCUAACUUGUUAUACAGAAUCCAAAAAACUACUUAUACAGAAACUGAUUACUUGAUUGCUAAUGAGAAUGUUAUGAAAGGCAAAGCGCAGAGGUUUUCUGAUAUUGCCUUAUUGUUUUGCUUGCACCCUGUGAUUAAAUGGAUUGCAUAUAGCUCAAGCAAAUAACAAUGAAAAUGAGAGAGUUUGUUCGAACAGAUUUUUAUCAAUAGCAAUGUGGUAAUACCCGCCUAACUAUUGCAUUAGGAAUGAAUGCAGUCCUCCUCUGCUGUAGCAUAUCGGCAUAUCCUAACUGAGUAGUCAAAAAAUGAUAUAGCUGUUCCGCCAUGGAAAAUUAUUCUAUGUAACUUCAAGCUCAAUUAUAGUCUGUGUUUGUUUAACAAAUGCGUUGUAUGCAUACAAUAAUAUGUAAUAGGUCUAAUGUAACCACUAUUUAUAUUUGUUCCGAGCCGAUAAUAUAGAUUUUUCAGUCCUUGAUAAAGAUAAAGAUAGUAGAAUAAUAGCAGAGUCUCGCAGCUAGGCGCGUGCAUGCUAUCUAGUGCUAACUAACCACACAUAACAUGCCCUACCCUUACGAUAUCACAAACAGUAUCCAACUACCCAACGCUCAAGUUAGACAUCUUAACAGAUAAUCUCUUUUGCAGAUAAAUCUCAAUUCGCAUGGACCUCUGUGCGAAUUCCUUUUUAACCCUUAGCCAGAUUUUUAACCUCAAGAUAGUAGAAUAAUAGCACAGUCUCGCAGCUAGGCAUGUGCAUGCUAUCUAGUGCUAAUUAAACACACAUAACAUGCCCUACCCUUACGAUACCACAAACAGUAUCCAACUACCCACGCUAACAUGUUUGGCUACUCACAGUUAAUUUCUCCCAAUAUCUGAUUUCCUUUAACAAAAAUAUGGAUCUAAGAAUGAGUGGAGAACACUACUCACCAAUUCACAAACAAUACUAGAUGAGGAAUUAAAACAAAGAACUCAGUAGUCUUUCUUUUGAAAUUGCUGAAAUCAAAUUUGUUAUGAGUUAUGAUUGCGUACUAACUGUAUGGCCGCAAUUAUUCACGCAGAGCAUAUGCCAGCCUUAUACUGAUCUGAUACACACAAAACUGGCAUGAUGAUAUGCAUGCCUCAAAUUUCUGUGUUCAAUAUCUAUUGCAUGCUGGGGUGUAUAACAGUAUAGGUGUGCAUUUGAAUAAGAAAAAACAUGGCACUGUGAUUAACUUGAAGGUGUUCUAGGAUAUUCUAUAUCUUUCUAGAUAUUUUUUAUGUGUGCAUUGGCCUUAUGCCAAUAGGAUAUGUAGUUAGACUAGAUUUAUGUAUUCAUAUCCUUACCAUAUUGGUAUUGUGUAAUUCCCUAUAUAAAGGGCUCAUAUCAAUGAAUAAGAUGAUGAUUCUCUUGCUAUCUCUUUCUCUACACUUUAUACUUUAUCACGUUAUCAUGCACUUUGUUCUAAACCUAGAGCCAAUAGCCCACCAUUUGUUUUCCAAACCCUAAAAUCGGGCAGCCUUGUUUUUCCCGAUUUUCGACCAAAAUUCCAACUGCCCUCCGCCGGAAUUUUAUAUCCCCAGAAAGCUCUCUCCGCCCCGGAUCCAACACCGCCGGCCUCACCCUGAGAACCUGCCGGAAAGUCUCCGAACCGGCCGCCGGAAGAUUCCAAACCGCCGCCGCUACCGACCACCGGUUCACCACCUUCCCUUGCUCCGAUCAACCUGAAUUUUGGAUAGCAGCUUCCCCAUCCAGAGAUGCUCCUCCUGUCAAAUUUUCAGCCACAAAUUCGAAGUAUAAGUAGGCGAAACAUUAUUUCUCCUCUCGGCAGCCUCUAGAAAGGUACCAAAAAUCCCGGAAUUUUAUUCGCGGGUCAAGAGUGUGUUUGAUCACUCUUGUUUCCUUGUCUGGGUUGUGUAUGAUCAACCCCGACCUAUCACCGGAUUGUGUUUGAUCAAUCCGAGGCCUUUUUCCGAAUUGUGUUUGAUCAAUUCGCGGCUUUUCCGGAUUGUGUGUGAUCAAUCCGAAGGACAAACCAUUAAAAGCAUUGUUUGUGACCUCUAUCGAGUCUCAUAACAGCUUGGUUUUGUAUGCAAGAGCAAUGUAACAUUCUGCUCAUUUGAGUUUUGACGCACUCGAUGCCUAAGGCGAAUCUUUGCUUGGUAUCUGUGGAACCUUUCAUUGCAAAGGAUUAAACCACAUGUUUUGAUCCCCAGGCUAACAAGCCUAGAUGCCGAGAUUUCAUAUCUCAUGCGCUCAAAGUCUUUGACGCGUCACAUCGACAAAAGCCUUCAAUGGCAAUCUGUGCAAAAAGUAAUGACCACAAAGUACUGUGGAAUGCACUCAUGGAGCGUUUCUUGAAACGUUCAUAUUACUCUACUUGUUGAGUUAUUAGUCAAGUGGAUUGAUUACCACCUUAAUUGACUACAUAUUGUCGAUGAUCUUUUGUGGCAUCAUGAUCCAUAAUCUUUAGCGGAUUCAAUCAUCAUCAAGUUCUCUAGGUCCUCUAAGUUGGUUUGGAACUACCAACGAGACUUGAUUUUGAUCAUACAAACUGGAAUUGUAUAUACGCUAAUGUAAUAAACUUAUUUGGGAUUAUCCCCUAAUGUGGAGACAACAAUAUGGGUCAUGGCAAUGGCAGAAAACGUCGUGCCGAUGUCUAGAAAAGAGGGAGAGGUGUCGCCGGCUCUAAUAGCGACACUCCCGGUCUAGACACCAUUUUAUCAAAACUACUCACGUCAGCUCAUGACAAUGCAACCGUUGUGGAUCUUCGGAUCACUGGUUUAAGAUUGUCAAGCUCCUUCAAAUUGUGAAUGCAUACAAAAAGGUAUAGAAAAUCAAUAUAAGGACAAGAACGUCAUCCUCAUAAUCGCGAAUUUCAAAGAUUCGGAUCCUGCUCUAGCUACCUAUGACUUUGAUGUCAUCGACUAGACAUUGAUUUUCGUUCCAAGCUAUAUGUACUAAGGCGUUGUAUUGAUGCCCUUCGUCUAUUUGAGACCUCGAUGUACUCACAUUAGCAAUAACGAAUGCCUUGAGAAUUUUUUCGAAGUUAUGAAACUAUUCUCCUCUUAUGGUUCGUAUUGAUUUACAAACAAGAUGUACAUUUUUACUAUCGUCCUUAGAAGCAUGACAUAUUUACAAUCUACAUGGUUAGAUUGUGCUGUUUUGGUCUCUUCCAAGUGAAGAUGACGCAUGGCCUUGCAUCCUUAAGUAGGAUCGCUAACGUGUUUCCGGUUAAGUCUUUUACUCUAUAACGGAUUUUCCAUCAUCAAUUGUUCAACUAGGCUCAUCCAAGCUCAGUGUGAUGUCUUAGAAUUGUCCGAAAUUAAGGAGAUAGUGGUUUCAAGUGUGCCUCGCACUACCGACCCUCCACGGACAUGCCUGGUCAUACUGACUUGGAGUUACCGAAAGCUUUUGAUUUUGGAUCCCCCUACGCUAUUAAACCAAUUGCCGUGUUACAAAAGACGUUGAAGACUUAUCAAAACCGGCAAAUUAUCAUCAUGGUCGAAUCCUCUAGGUCCUCUGAGUUAGUUUAUGUUUAUGUUCAUGUCAAGAAGCUUUUGCUAACUAGUCAUGGAGUUUACGACCUUAGAACGACUGAAAGGACUUGGUUUUGAUCAUACACACGUCAUUUUUGGCUAAGACAAAAGCCUACACGCCACCUGCAAGCUUCAUAGCUUAGCACAUGCCAAUUCUGCGAAAAACAGCAAUCUAUCCCUUCUGAAUAGUCAACUUUGUUUGAGCUUUGUGAACAGCUCCGGAUGAACCAUACAGUGAGCUUUAUAUCAUUGGAAAGCUCUACGAGUCUAGUUUUCAGAAAAUUUCGCGGUUCGUCCAUAUCUAUUUUAAUGAAGAAGUUAUGGCUGUUUUAGUGCGCAAAGGUCAUUCUGCGCGGAAAUUUUUAUGCACUCUCGGGAUUGCAGCUUUUCGUAGCUUUUUUUAUCCUUCUAAAUGGUUCAAGUGGAACUAUUAACUCGCCUAUCUACUCCUUCCUGUAGAUAUGUCUCAUCGAGAUAUGGAGUGCUUCGUAGAUAGUUGAACUAUCCACAACAUUCUAAGGAACCGGCAACUAUUUUUGGAUUUUGUGCCUUUGUAAAUCUUCUGUGACUACAAUGAUUGAAUCAUACCGGUCAUUCAAGGAUGCGGUUUAGCUUAAAUCUUGAUGCCUCAUGACACCAUGAUCAAUGUCACAGAUACCCUCUAUGCAUUGAGAGGCAAUCGAACCAUAUUGAGCUUUAAAGACAUUCCUGCUAAUAGUUUUCAUUUGAAAACACAUUGUGAGAAUGAACAAGAAUUCUUUUGUGUAUACCUUCUCAUGAAUGCGGACUGAAGCGCAUCUUGGAGAAAUUCAUGAGUCAAUCUAGUGGAUUGUAUGUCACUACGAUUCGAAUAUCGAAUCCCAUGUUGUCGCCAAACAUGAUAUUUGGGACACCGACUCAUAUAGGCUUUGAUUUGACCAAAUCGGUCAUCCUGGAAGAGACAUAAUGGUCCAAAUUUUUGAGAAAUUCUCAUGGAUAUCCAUUCUUCCGCUCAAAACGAAGACAUUCGGGAUCUAGCAUCACCAUGAAGCAUGGUGGUGACCCAGGGGACAUUGACGUCACCCGAACACGGCUCCAACUUCCCGGAGGCCGUCCGGUCAAUUCCUCAAGCAAUUGAGGUACACCGGUCUUCCCUCGAUGUCGCAUUGGCCCCUUGCAAUGCUCAUUACUCGUUUUGAAAGCCUAUUCUUUAGCUAAAUUAGGAGUGAGACCCUCCUACGCUAAAUAACACAAAAGUGAACAUUCUAUUCUUACAUAAAUUAUGUAGAUAGAUACAACCAACUUGCGGACACCUUUUAUGUUUUAUGGUGUUGGUUGAAGUGUUAGCACACUGGUCACUUGUUACACUAUUAUCUACUGCUUAUGCUGCUUAUACUUCUACGGGCUCACUACCUAUUUUUUAAAGAAGUUUAUCAGGAUGUAAGUUGAAGUGUCCUGUACCACAUGUUCACAUGCAAUACGGUCUCACCGAGGCUACGACUAAUCAACUUUAGCUUGUCGCUCGAACAUUAUUGAUGCGCACCAAUCUUUCUAUUGCGUCUUGGGGCUAUGCAAUAUUUGCAUGCAGCUUUACUAUUCAUCUACGACCCACCAUCAUUAAAUAUUGUUGUACUACAGCUCGUGACUGUGUACCAGGAUUGACACGAAAUUAUAAUCCUUGAGCUCGACAGGAUUGAAACGGAUUUCCAAUCCUUGAGCUUAGCUAGAUAUUUAUUCUAGGUGCCAAAUCGCACUGCCACUGCGCACAAUGAUGGGUCAUUUGAGAUGAAUAAGUAUUUAGGUUGGAUGUGAACCUCCACCUAUAAUCCGCAUAUGUAGAAAUCUUGUCAGGCGAUCUCUUUCACCGCUAUAUUGCGGAUUGUCACUUUGAUGAGACAAUAUUCCCGCCGUUAGGGGGAGAUAAGAACACAAAUGUUCAAGUGGAACGACGUGAAUUGUCGUGGUUUGUCCCCACUAAGUCUCAUCUUGAUCCCAAAUGCUUAAAGUGUUAAAGUGACGAGAUCACAUGCUGCAAAUAUGUCUGCAAGGAUUGAUGUCCCAUCAAGAGAACAUGGCAUGACCAAAAUGUGUUGGUCUUGACGCCAUCACCAUGGAUGGUGAUAUAGUGACACCAUAUAAUGGCAAAAUUGGUGUCACAAAGCCGUGUGGCUCCCCAAAAGAAGGGAUGCCCUUAGGUUCGAUAUUUUCUCGCACUAGGAAGAAAGCGAGCUUGACACAACCUGAUCUAUUGAUCAAUGAUACUCAAAUCCGUCUCAUGAAGUCUGAAUUGUGAUUAUCGUUGGGGGACGCCUCAAUGUCAAAUCCAAUCCAUAUAGAGAUCUCUACAAGUAUUACACUAGUGUACAUGAGGACAUGGGAUAAUGAGUCUACUAUCGAACCACCCUUUGUUGAUGGAUAUCAACUUAGUUGAUUGGCCUAAUGGAAAGAUGCGAUCCAGCAUUAACAAAGAGAUAGGUCCUUGGGCAGGUGAUGCCGACACCGCAAGCUAAACCCUAUCAACUAUACAUUUGUUAGAUAGCGUAGUGAGAACAAGAGUUUAGACUCACUUUAUGGCGCAAGGUCUCUCCCUAACACGCACUGAGAUCGACUACGAUGAGAUAUGCUCUCGUAAUGGAUGUCAUUGAACUCCACUACUUUGUCAGUUUAGUAGUUUCCGAAUAACUGAACAUGCAGCCUAUGAAUGUGGUCAUAAUAACAUCUCUAUGGGAUCAGAGAUAUACAUGAAGCUCUUAAACGGACUUCAUUCAUCCGAAUCAAAUGGCUCCAAACUACAGGAGCAUGCGUUUGCUAAAUGUAUUGAAAUGCACAUGGACUCUACUUGAUUUGGAAGAGAUAUGGUGAAUUAUGCCUUUGCGUGUUCAUUCCGGAUUUACAUGGACUCUUGAUGGAUCAAGAGAUGCCAAUAUGUAUCAACAUCCGAAGAAAAAGAUCUUGGGAAGACACGGUCUCGAUAAGACACUCGAUGACUGUAUUGAUGAUGAUUUUUCAUCAAUCGGCUUAGGCGCUCUAACGAAAGUGAGGCCUAUAUAUACUCCCAUGAUUAGUCAAAGUCUUUACUCUAAAGAGAGAUCCGUUGUUUUGUCUAAAGCAUGAUGACAAAUAUGUGUUAAGAGAUGGAGUUCCCAUCUAAGUACAAUUAGACGCAUCAAUGUACUCAACACAAUAUGAAAGACUUGACAUCUCAUUUGCUAUGAAAAGUUGUAAAGCUAAGUAUAGCUAUGCGCCCACGCAACGCCAAUGUAAUGGCAGUAACUCUUUUUUCAAUACUUAAUAGUAUGAAAUGUUAAGGCUAAUUCUAUCCAUACAUAAGAAAGACACAUCAAAAGCGAAAUCAAAAUCUGCCAAGUUUUGUAGGUCAACUUCACGGGACCUACAAGAAAUCUCACUCACUGGAAAAUGGUGAAAUUGGUAUCAUUGGAAAGGUCUAUGUGUCUACUUUCCAGGGAAAUCAACCAUUUGAUCAUACCUAUCAUAUUGAGUGAGUUAUGGCUGUUUUCGUAAAGUAGGACGAAUCUGUCUGAGAAUCUGAUUUUGGAAAAACAGUCAACUUCGACGGGACUUUGUGAAUAGCUCCUGAUGAACCAGAACGUGUGUAAUAUACGGUUGGAAAGCUCUAUGAGUCUAGUUUCCAAAAACGUUACGGUUCGUUCAUAUGUAUUUCCUAGAGGAAGUUACGGUUGUUCUAGUAACUGAAAGUCAUGCCACGCGGAAAUCUAAUUUCCUGCACGAACUUAUAUUUUGAGUUCACAAGCAGCCUUCUCCUCAAGAUCUAAGUGUAAAAGAUCAUUUGAGGACAAUAUGGCAUGAUUUAGUUAAUCAUUGCCCAAUGCCACAUUUGAAGACAUGUUAAAAAGCAUUGACAUGCUAAGUUGUUGAAAUUUCCGUGAUUAGUAAGAAUCAAGAAGAGCCCUAUGAUUGAUGUAAAAAUCAGGGGGAGGUGCAAACUUCAGGGGGAGUCUAGCACAUACAUACAUGUCACUAUCAAAUGUGAAGGGUGCGUUGUACUCUUUUUCUCCUACGAUCAAGGUUCAAUUUUUCUCCCACAGGGUUUUUAUGACUUGACGAGGUUUUUGACGAGGCAACAGAUCAGCACCAUUGCAUAUCAGCGUGCGGCACAAGGGGGAGUGUUCUAGGAUAUUCUGUAUCUUUCUAGACAUUCUUUAUGUGUGCAUUGGCCUUAUGCCAAUAGGAUAUGUAGUUAGACUAGAUAUAUGUAUUCAUAUCCUUACCAUAUUGGUAUUGUGUAAUUCCCUAUAUGAAGGGCUCAUAUCAAUGAAUAAGAUGAUGAUUCUCUUACUAUCUCUUUCUCUACACUUUAUACUUCAUCAGAAGACGUACAUUCAACUAAUGUAGUAUUGUUGUCCAAAUACGCAUAUAAGACUUGAGAAUUUGGGGUUCAAAUUUAUCUUUUUAACCAAUGGCCGGAUUCAAUAAGCAAUAAGCUCAAUAGAAAGUUUCUUAUACUAUGUGUACAUUUAAGUCAGUUGUAUUAUACAUAUGUGUACUGUGAAUUGUGAUAAAGCAUAACCAAAAAGGAAUGGAAAGUCCUAUAAGAUCUGGUUAAAAACAAACAGCCGAGACAAAGUUAAACAAUACAAAUAUUUCAUAAUUAAAAAGGAAUAUGGUCCCACAAUCAUGUAUGACAUGCGUAUCUCUAAAUUUCUCCAUUUCCAUUAGCUUUCGUUAUGAAACAUAACUUGAGCGUCGGAUUAAGCGCGCCAUUUUUAUUGAAUAUUGAAUUUAACUAGUAAUAGUACAACUCAUGUAAUUAAUUCAUUACAUGAGUUGUACUAUUACUGGUUAAAUUCAAUAAGAUCAAAAUUAAACAGCAAUGCAAAAAUUAACCGCUGGCCGAGUUAGAUUGACAAAGAAAAAAAAGAGAUUAGGUUAUUUUGUUAAACUCACAAAAAUACAUAAAUAUCCCACGAUUCAUCAAGCCACAAAAAAACAUAAACAUGAGUCGAACUCGUAACCUCUCGUGAUUCAUCGAGCCUUAAAAUCAGAUUAGUCCGUGUUUGGUCGGCUGUGGGGCGAGCUUUGGAGUUCUACGUUCAAACCAAGCUACACGCUUCCACUUUCACAAAACAAACCACACCAGCCACACCACGUCUCUACUCUUACCAUUACCGCGCGCUCACCUCCACCCCCAAAACUCUCAUAUAAAAAUCCCGCCUUUCAUCUCUCUCUCUCUCAGAGUGACUCACCUAAAUUGAUUCUCUCUCUCAUUCUUGGAAUGUGGGCUACCAACCCUAGCCUCUUCUUCCCCUCCAAACCCUUCUCCCUCCGCUGCCGCGCCGCUGCCGGCGACCCUCCUCGGACCGCCGCAUUCCCUCGCCUGAUCCAGUUCCCCUUCGCCGCCUCCGACGUCGCCUCCGUCAGCGGCCGAAUCGGCUUCGACACCGAACUCGACGGCGGCGCGGCGAGACCUCGCGGCGGAAGCUCCGGCGGUGGUACUAAGGUGACGGCGAAGGAGCCCAAGUGGUCGCGGGAUAGAGAGAGUUACUUGGUGGACGAUGGAGACGCGCUGCCUCUCCCCAUGACUUAUCCAGAUACGGCUCCGGUGACGCCGGAGGUCGUUGACCAGAGGCUCCGGUGCGACCCUGUAGUUGAGGUUAGAAUUGUGAAUUUAACUUCAUUUGAUUAGGGGAUGAAGUUGUGAAAUUGGAUGUGGAUUAUAAUUUGAUUGAGAAAUUUGGGUGCUUUGUAGGAUUGCAAGAUAGUAGUGUAUGAAUGGACAGGAAAGUGCAGGAGUUGCCAAGGCUCAGGAUAUGCUAGUUAUUAUAACAAAAGAGGGAAGCAAAAUGUAUGCAAAUGCAUACCUUGCCAAGGAAUCGGUAAGAUGCUUGUUGAUUUUCUGAGCUUGUAUAUGUGCUUUUUAAGUUCAUGGAUGAAAUUAAGUAUGUGUUUUUAACUAAAUUACUUGUUGAAGUAUCAUGCUUGUUCGGUUAUUCACUUGUACUUUAUGACUGUAAUGUGGCAUUUGUCUGGUUUUGGUUCAUUACAUGUGUGUGUUCGAGUGUGUGUUCUUACAUGGAGGUUAAGUAAAUACUCUUCGCUCUUACUGGAGGAAUUAUGAUUACAUUAGUACUCAGUUGAAGGCUUAUAAAUUCUGUUCAAUAGGUGUGAUCAAGUUUAGAUAAUAAUAGUGGUGAAGAAAUACCCGUCUGCUUGUGAGUUAGAUAUACUUGAGUAGUUUACAUAUUUUAGUUACAUAAGCUUCUCUUUUUACUUGGUAGUAGUAAACUUAUAUAUCCAACUGGUAAUCUUGACAGCCUAACUCAACUUUUUGGCCUUAGAAUAUAGCCGUAUCCAAGUCCUUGGUUCAAAUCCUCUAAUGCACACAAGCCAAGUAAACGAAGUCCUGAGAUUUUUUAUUGGGGUAUCUGCUCUCAUUGGUUUCCCAGCAUCUAGGAAAUCUAAUGUGGUACAUUUUGCAUUUGGUUUUUCAGAAUUCUUAGUGCAAGGAUUAUGGAGAGAUUUUAGCGUAGUCUGCGGCUAAGUUGGACAGUAAUUCAUUAUUGGAUACUAUUUAGCAUUUUCUUACUUCAUUAUUGAAUAUUCAUAUUAAUCCUAAGUACAUUGGACCUGCUGAAUACUGCGGACAAUACAUGCUUGGGGUGUCAAUUCAUGUAUUGUUGACUUUAAAUGAUGCCCUCCUUUUUAUUUAAACUCGAUGCUUUUCAAUAAAAAUGUUCUCUUUUCUGAAUAUCAUGUAAUGGGACUUUUAGAUACAAUUACAUUAAACCUCUUGAAGUUUCUUAUAGUUGCAUCGGGACUUAGUUAUCAUGAUUCUUGUUUUGAAUUGACUAUGCAGUUUUAAUAGGUAUUUUAAUAAAUCAUAUGGCUGUAUCUCACUCAAUAUGAAUUUAGUCAUUCAUAUUUUAUCUUAUGGGUGAGAUGCAAGUUUCCAAGCUGUCCUCAACUUAGGUACCUAGGUUCUGGUUAUAAAGUUACCAUAUUGGAAAAUGACUGUCUUUAUAAGAUGUUUAGAAUUGAAUGAACUCACAUCAGCAUUUCUCUUUGGAUUGGAAAACCCACAUAAGCAUGCAAUGGAUCCUGAGGGAAAAGUGUUGCUAAAUUUAUGCCAUCCGCAAUUUCAUAUAUGAUUACGGGUCGAACCAAAACAAAAUACUUUUUCCUGGUGGGUGUGAUCCAUUGGACAUAAAUCAAAUUUUUCCGCUUUUUUGGUUCCUUAGAAUUUAUUCCUGGUAUCAAGAUGCCAUUGUGUCGGAAUAUCUUAUCCAUCUCUCCGGGAAAAUGGAUAUCUCCAUAAAAGAUUUUAAGUUCUAUUCCUUUUUUUUUUUUUCUUUUCGGACCAAGCCACCCUACAUUGGAUCUCUUUUGGUCCAUUAUCAAAUUAAUAGCAAGCUUUGCCUUCACUCAAGCACCUCCUAGGUCCACCAAUUUGGUUUUCUUUCAGACUUUAACUGUUGGUGUAAUGCUAAACUUAGGACCACACAAGCAUUCUUUCUUUUUGGGUAAGAAUGCAUCCACCUUCUUUGUUUCUUGCAUAUCAUUAAUUGAUGGCAUAUCUCAUGCCUUAAGUUUGCCACUUCUUAGUUCAUCAGUUUGUGGUUUGAUGGUAAAGCCAGGACCACGGAUAAUGUAUAGCAAGCAGUUCAGGAGUCUCCUUUAUAUGUACACUUGGAGGGAUAUAUGGGAAUAUUUGAUGGUAUGGAGGUUCAUGAAUCAUGACCCUCCUUUAUCACACGGAGAGAUAGAUGCGAAUAUCUGAUGAUGUGGAGGUUCUGUUGCAAAAACUAUACUGGUUCCUUUAGUUUACUUUUGUCGUUAGAAUUGGUACGUCUUGCAAGUUGUUUGCUUUUUCUUUUACCUGCUGUAUUUAAUAUAGACACGAAUGUUUCUAAACCCCAUUUUUCUGUUGAUGUAUAUCCCUAGAGUUCUCACAAAAGAUGUUCAUGAUGGCAGGAUAUGUACAAAAGAUAACAACUCGAACCAACAUUGAUGUUAUGGAGGAUUUGGAUAACGGAAAACCACCAUGAGCUGAACAAAAGUAUAAUUUUUGCAAUUUUUCGAAUAUCGGGAGUAUUUACACUUACUUUGAUGAGUUCCGGUUCUCCUGCUUUGAAGUAAGAAAGAGAUUUAUCAUUGUCUAUUAUUUUACUAGGUUGGGGAGCUGUGGAGUAGAUAUAGGAUGAGGCUUCUGACUUGUAAAAUAAGUUGACAGUGUUGUACUAUUGGCUUUUUUGGGGGGAUAUUAGUGUCAGGAAUGAGUUGAUUGGUUGUAAUUCGAUUUAAUGCCAUAACAUUUUGUAUCUAAUUACAAAGAAUCUUCAAUAAAAUAUCAACUUCUCACAAGGAAAGUUUCGUGGUCUGGAAAGGAGAAUUGUAGUCGCCUUAGUUUUUGCAAAGAAUAUGUUCUUUUCUUAUCUAUUCUUUGCUUUUUUUCACUUCCACUUUGGAAUAUUUUGUUCUUGAGGUUGCUACCGGUUUGGAAUCUUUACCUUUUACCUCUCCUUUACGGCAUACACAUCAUAUAAAGGCUGCACGGGAACACCCAAUUUCCACCAUCUCAUACUGAAGGCUUUUGGAGAGUUCCAUCAAAUAUUUGAUUCAGAUAUGUCGAACAUGAGCUUCCUUGAUUUCCAGUACAACCUAUCAAAACGGAAGUUUCUGCGCACACCAACUCGAUUGUUUUCCUCCCGGGACAGACAAAACUCUGGCUUAACACCUGGUUUCGAGCCAAAUCUCAACGAGAUGAAGCGAGUCUUUGAGAAGUUUGACACCAACAAGGAUGGGAAGAUAUCUCAGCAGGACUACAGGGCCAUAUUGAGAGCACUUGGAAAGGGAAGCAUGGUUGGAGAAGUGCCAAAGAUUUUCAAGCUUGUUGAUUUGGACGGGGAUGGGUUUAUUAACUUCAAGGAGUUCAUGGAAGUGCACAAGAAGUCAGGUGGGGUGAAAACAAUAGACAUCCAGAAUGCUUUCCAAACAUUUGACCUGAAUGGGGAUGGAAAAAUAAGUGCAGAAGAAGUUAUGGAAGUGUUGAAGAGGCUGGGAGAGAGGUGCAGCCUCGAAGAAUGCCAGCGAAUGGUAAGAGCGGUAGACACCGAUGGGGAUGGUAUGGUCGACUUAGACGAGUUCAUGACCAUGAUGACUCGAUCCAUGAGACGAGUUUAGAAAUGUCCGAUGUGUGUCUGCAGUAGUGUUUAUGCUCCUGUAUGUAUAGCAGUCUGCUGUAUAAUGUGCUAUCUGUAGCUAAUGCUGAUGACAUAAUACGGCCUGAUGGCCUUUAUCUUUGUUUGUUUGAAAUAAUGCUUCUAAUCUCCUUUUUAUGCACCAUUUUGCUCCCAUUCUGGCAUUUCUGACUUUGCGCUUGCUUUUGUAUUUUAACUAUCUUUCAAAUGAUUUGGAGUAACAGCUCUCCUUGGCUUACCAGACAUGGCUGAAAUGUCAUUUGAAUGCAAUUGUAUUUUAUGGCACAGUUAAGAGUAAAAGGUCAGCUACUGCAAUGGUUCAAAACCACAUUAGGUGGUAAGCAGAAUGUCAUAUAAGCUGAACGACCCUUGAUUCCAGCUUUCUCAACAUGCCAGAUAAACUAACAAUAUGUCAUUCCCAAAAGAAGAAAGGGCAGAAAAAUUACAAAAAAAAAGAAAAGAAAAAGAUAGAAGAAGAAGAAGAAACAAAGUUCAACGACACAAUCUCACUUUUAAUUUAUUUUCAAGCUACCAUCCUCAUGUCCUAAUGAUACAUAAAAGAUUAUAUCGACUGAAGCUAUGGGUCAAUCGAAAGAGCGAUCAGAGAGCACAAGGGGGAAAUAGCAAACGAAUCAGCUUGGGAACAAACAGGGCUGAUUAGUUGGCUAUUAUUUACGUUGUGUUUUUGCUGUUAGCUCUCCAGGGAUUACUGACUGAUUGACUCAUCUGGCAAACAAACAUGAAGAGGCAACAAUAAAACAUUUCACCAUGAAGAUUGAAGAGGCAUGCUUCACUAAGAAGUGAACACUCCUCCAGAGCACAAACCAACCACUAGUCACGACAUGUCAUUAGAAACUAGCACAAAAAAUCCAUGCUCUCACAUGGCUAUUGGCUAGUGUGGUGAGGAACUAAAGCCACAACCAACUCUACAGGUGUACUGAUAGAUUUUAGGACUACAAAAGGAAGCUAUGGUCACAAAGAAAUGUUCCCGUCACAAAUUGUCAUGCACAAGAGCCGGCAGACACUGUUAAUCAUGCGGAUGACUGUUGACUUGCUGCCCAGUGACCACUCAUAGAGCAAAGGCCUCAACCGACAAAUGCACUUAACCAACAAAUUAGACCAAUAUCCCACACCUCAGCAAAUAUGGUAAUGAGAUUCAAGAACAGAGUGGCAUAGAACACAAACAGAAGCCGAGUUGCAGAGAAAACCCAAUACAGUAUAACAUUAGGUUCAUAUGAUGAUUGAGCAGAUUAACAAAAUAAAUGCUAUCCCAAAAUAGUACCAAAAAAUUGGGUAGAUUAACACAUGAUGUUUCUAUAAGUACCCUUCGAACUUUAAGACACCAUUAACCAAAGAUGUUAUAAUUGCAUCAUAAGACAAAUCCGUAAGCUGAAAAAGGAUGUGAUAAAAUGAUUUGGCAUUUUGACAAAUAAUAGAUCCAAUGUCAAAACAAGCUGACAUUACAUAUAUAGCUCAAUUAUAUAUGCCAAAACAAGAAAUGGAAAGUUUAUCUCCUACCAACUAGGAACAACAAUGCUCAUCUAUCUUCAGAGUAUCCCAUAUAUUGCUCGGCAUUGUUCAUACUUUUUACACACCACUCUGCAACUGGGACAAGAACCUCUUUAGACAAGUCUUCAAGUGACAUUUGACUCACCAAUAAUCCCCACAAGAGCAUUUGCCAUCCUUGAAAUGAUGAAAACGUUUAUUGUCCCUAACAAUUAAUUCCCUUCCAACAAUCUUUGACAUGAUCUUAAUGGCAUUGUGACAGUCACCACAAACACGAAGGUUUUUUAUGAUCCUAAGUGGUGUCCUUGCUGGUGUACUAAUCAGACCAUAUGCGAUGGCCAAACGCUCACUGUGAUAGAGCAAGGCUUGCUCCUUUGCCUCCUGGUCAAUGUCAUGAAGAACAUAUCUUGUGUCUGGUACAUAACCUCCUCCUCUCAUCGAAUUGAGAGCCUUUAACUUUUCGUCAUCCUUGUAUAAUGUGGGGUUUUUGAACUCAGUGAUUCUGUUUUUACCGUCAAGCAUGCUAAUAGCAGUACGCUUUUUUGGUGGUGGAGUUGGGAUCUUAUCAGUAAUAGCCUUUGACGGAUCAAGAGCUACCAUUAACUCCUCAGCAUGAUCUUCAAGAUCAAUAUCUCCAUGGAUCCGAGCAUAAUUCCACAAUGCCUCCCAAACUUCCACAGUAGGUUCAAAUGGGAGUUUCUCAAUAUAAUCAACUGCUUCAUGUAGAUGACCACAUUUUCCAAGCACAUCUACAAUCCCCAAAUAGUGCUCCUUCUCUGGAUCAAAGCCGUACUCUUCUUUCAUCGAAUAAAAAUGUAUAAAUGCUUCUUCCACAGCAUCUGCACUAGCACAAGCCGAAAAAACUGCAAGAAAAGUGUCAGAAUUGGGCUUCAACCCUUGCUCCCUCAUCAGCUCAAACAUCUGCAACCCAUCAUCUCCUAAUCCAUUCUCCGCAUACCAGUUGAUCAUCAAAUGCCAAGAAUCAAUAUUCUUCUCCACCAGGUGAUCAAACACUCUCCGCGCAUCAGUCAUGCUCCCACACUUCCCAUACAUCUCAAUUACUUCAUGGCUCAAGUCCCGACUACUCCUAGAUGUAGACUGCAAAAAGAAGUCAUGAACCUUCUUCGCAUUCUCAAAAGACUUCGAAUCCCCACACAGCUUAAACAGAUAACGAAAGCAAUCAGCAUCAGCCUUAACCCCGUCUUCACCCAUCAACUUCAGAGCAUCUUUAACCUUCCCCUCUUCACACAACCGCCUCAAAUCAUCCACUGAAGGCGGCACAACCACAGCUGCUUCAUUCUCCGCCCGAACCUUAUUGUUGUUGUUCCACUGGUUAGGGCUCUGAGCCUGAGGAGUCCACUGAUUAGAGUUUCCAGAUUGGGGGUACCCCCGAUUCUGAUUCUGAUUGUUCCACUGAUUUGGGUUUCUGGGCUGCUGAAAAUUGGGGCUUGGAGGGUUCACCUGAUUAGGGUUUCCAUAUUGGGGGUACCCUCGAUUCUGAUUUUCAUUCCAAUGAUUUGGGCUUCUGGGUGGUUGCUGAAAAUUGGGGUUUGGAGAGUUCACCGGGUUAGGGUUUUGGCUCCAUUGAUUAGGGUUCCCACGCGGUGGAUAGCCCUGAUUCUGAUUCGGAAAUGGAUUAGGGUUUUGCUGUUGAGGAUAGCCCUGACUCUGAGCCUGAGGAUUCCACUGAUUCUGACCCUGAUAAUUGCUAUAACCAGGUCUCUGGGUCUGUGGAUUAGGGUUUCCGUAGCCCUGGCUCCACUGAUUAGGGUUGAAAUUACUAGGAUCGGAGGGUGGGUUUUGCUGUGGAGGAGCUCCUGGGUAGUAAUUUGGGGCGGCGGAGGUGCUCAGGGUUUUGGAAAUGGUUAGGGUUUGGAGGGCGGUGGUGCAGUGAAAUGAGUGAGAAGGGUGGAGAGGGCGUACCUUGUUGAAGAUGGAGGAGAUUAGUGCUGGGCUUCGAGCGCGUCGAGUCGCCAUUAGAGAGGCCAUUUCUGAAAGGGAGAGAGAUAAAAGCUAAAACCCUGAGAAGUGAAAGCGAGCUCCUUUUGUAGUCUUGUAAACCCUGAUUCGACCCGGUUUGGGUGGGGCGGGCCAAAAACUCGGAUCAAGUAGUUUCUCAAUUGGUUAUUUCUCGGGGUCGUGUCGUGUCAGGUUCGUGUCAGGUCAAGGAAUUUCACGUGUCACAAGAUACAAACUCAAACCCAACCUAUUUAAUAAUCGUGUCAAAAAUCUAAAUUCAAACUCAACCUGUUUUUUAAACGGGCAACAUGUUUCUUAAACCCAACAUGUUUCUCAAAUAGUUUCUCAAUUGGUUGCUUCUUGGCUAUCAAUGGGUCGUGUCGUGUCGGGUCAAAGAAUUUCACGUGUCACAAGAUACAAACUCAAACCCAAUCCAUUUAAUAAUUGUGUCAAAAAUCUAAACCCAAACCCAACUUGUUUCUUACCCGUUUUCAACCCGUUUAACCCAUUUAAUAAAUAGUAAAUGACAUCCAAUUACCCCAAACAGUUGCAAAAAACAGAAAACCUACAUUUCAAAAUAUAGUAAAUUACUAUAAAGUUACUGAUCAAAUUUCAGUUUACAAAUACAUCCUUUACACAAUAUCUUACACAUUUAAGGACAAAAUUUAACAAAUUAGGACAAAUUGAUGUCCACAUGCCAUCUGUCACUACACAUUUUACGAAACUACCCUUAAUCACAUAUUAUAUUGCUGCUACUGUCAACUAGGAUGCCUGUCGCUGCUACUGCCUACUGGAUGCCAACUUUGAAAUCUGCUACUACCUAAUAAUAGGACGCUGGUAUUGCUGCUACUAGAUUCGAAAUCUACACUUCCAAUAGAUCUAAACAGUAGCAGCGAAUUAACCCUCCCAACAAAUCUUGCAGUAGCAGCAAAUUCCCUCCAACAUAUCUAAACAGUAGCAUCAAAUUUACUUUACCCACAGAUCUCGCAGUAGCAGCAAAUUUACUACCUAAUAAUNNNNNNNNNNNNNNNNNNNNNNNNNNNNNNNNNNNNNNNNNNNNNNNNNNNNNNNNNNNNNNNNNNNNNNNNNNNNNNNNNNNNNNNNNNNNNNNNNNNNNNNNNNNNNNNNNNNNNNNNNNNNNNNNNNNNNNNNNNNNNNNNNNNNNNNNNNNNNNNNNNNNNNNNNNNNNNNNNNNNNNNNNNNNNNNNNNNNNNNNNNNNNNNNNNNNNNNNNNNNNNNNNNNNNNNNNNNNNNNNNNNNNNNNNNNNNNNNNNNNNNNNNNNNNNNNNNNNNNNNNNNNNNNNNNNNNNNNNNNNNNNNNNNNNNNNNNNNNNNNNNNNNNNNNNNNNNNNNNNNNNNNNNNNNNNNNNNNNNNNNNNNNNNNNNNNNNNNNNNNNNNNNNNNNNNNNNNNNNNNNNNNNNNNNNNNNNNNNNNNNNNNNNNNNNNNNNNNNNNNNNNNNNNNNNNNNNNNNNNNNNNNNNNNNNNNNNNNNNNNNNNNNNNNNNNNNNNNNNNNNNNNNNNNNNNNNNNNNNNNNNNNNNNNNNNNNNNNNNNNNNNNNNNNNNNNNNNNNNNNNNNNNNNNNNNNNNNNNNNNNNNNNNNNNNNNNNNNNNNNNNNNNNNNNNNNNNNNNNNNNNNNNNNNNNNNNNNNNNNNNNNNNNNNNNNNNNNNNNNNNNNNNNNNNNNNNNNNNNNNNNNNNNNNNNNNNNNNNNNNNNNNNNNNNNNNNNNGUACACCACUCUCUCUCUCUCUCUCUCUCUCUCUCUCUCUCUAUACCAAGGCUUCUUCCAUAAUCGAAUCUGCGUCUCUGAAUGCUUCCAAGCAGCCCACCGACGCCCACGACCUAGCUUUGAUUCCUGAUCUGAAAUACCUCGCCUCGUUGCCAAGAUCUCUCAAGCAACACAUCGAUCACCCACACACUGAAAUCCUCAAGAAUUGCGAUUUUGCUCAUUCUCGACUCCACAAGAGCUUCAAGGUCUCUCUAUCUCUCUCUUCAUUUUCACGUUCUUAGAGAAUCAGAGAAGCAAUAUCCCAAGGCAGUAGCAUCAGAGCUAGUUGGAUCCUCAACGACCUCGACUCCGUCGACCAAGUCCUCCUCUCUUCCUCUUAUUCGAAAGAGCUAUGGAGGUUUGCUGGCUAAAUUGGCAAUUUUAAUAGUUGUGUUACAUUGAAGGAGUGGGAUCCCUUGAAGGAGUAUUGUUUUGAAUUGGAAUUUUACCAAGUUGGAAUCUUUCUGAUCUUCUUAUUAUCGGUUUCACUUUGUGUGUUGUAGCUCAGGCUUAGUGUUUCUAGUUGUAUUUGGUGUUGAGAAGUGUUUAAUUAUGUGCUCCAUUUGAUUUUUGGUAGAAUUUGUGGUUUAGGUUUGGGAUGUUUCAUUUGGGAAAAAGGAAGGGUUGAUUGGUGACGCUAGAAUUCUUCUUUUCAAUAACAAAAAGCAAUUGAAAACAGUAACAACGAAUGUAGUAGAAUCAUCGACAAAAGUAGUAUCAUUGGCAAUAGCAGUGGGUUGAAUAGUAGCAGUCGACAGUAGCAACAACAUUCCAACCGGUAAUAGCAGCAAGAUUCUAAGCGACAACAACAGCAACACUCCAAUCGACAAUAGCAGCAACAUUCUAAUCCAUAGUAGCAACAACAUUCAAGCAAGUGUAAUAGCAGUAACAUUCCAGCAAGUGUAGUAGCAGUAAAAUUCAUUGAUAUAUUCUAGCAAGUGUAGUAGCAGUAACAUUCCAACAAGUGUAGUAGCAGUAGCAGUAGCAGUAGCAGUAGCAGAGUUAACCUUCAUUGUCCAACCUAAUAAAAUAUUACUGACCCCCAGUAAACUUCUUAUCCACCCCAUAACAUAUUACUGACCCCUAGUAAACUUCUUAUCCACCCCAAUAACAUAUUACUGACCCCUAGUAAACUUUAUUACCUCUUAAAAACUUGUUUGUGUUAGGUUCCCACGACAAAACCUGACCAAAAUCUCUAGUAGAUGGUCAUUGGCAUCGAUGAUGGACGUCACCAAUGAGAGAGAGAGAGAGAGAGAGAGAGAGGAUCGUCUAAAGGCGGAGGCGAGGUGUUGGUGCGUGACGGAGAUCGGAGGCGGCCGUGGUGCUUGGUGGAAGAUCAGAGGCGGCCGUGAUGCGUGGCGGAAGAUCGGAGGCGUCCGUAGUGCGUGGCGGAGAUCAGCAAGGUGUUGGCUAGCUUUGGAGAUCAGAGAUCAGAGGCGUUAGCGUUGGAUAAGAUCGACGUGUGUGGAGGAGAUCGGAGGCAGCCGUGGUGCGUGACGGAGCUCGGCUCACCGAUGUAAUCGACUUCAGAUCUACGGUGUAGGGUUUAGGAUUUGCAUCGUCGACUUUAGAUCUGCCAAUGAGGAGGAGGCCGUGGCAGUAGGCGGAGGUAAGGAUGAGGUCGUCGGAGUUGGUGGAGGCGAGGUGAGGUCGUCGGCGAUGGAUUUGUGAGUGAGAGUUAGAGAGAGAGAGAGAGAGAGAAGAGAGAGAGAGAGAGAGAAAGCAUAUUGUGAGUGAAUAAGAGGUGGAGGGAGAUGUGUGAGAUAGUUAGGUUAAGGUUAAAGAAGUAAUUUUGGUAAGAUUAAUUGUAAUAGGCAAUGAAUAAAGUUUUUUAUUGGAAUGAGCAACAAUGCCUAAUAAUUAGUGCUAAAUGGGUAUUAUUCCGAUGUUAAUCCUUGCUACUAUUUCUAUUGGAAUGUUAACCUCUGCUUCUACUUCUACUGGAAUGUUAACCCCUGCUUCUACUUCUACUGGAAUUAAUUGCUACUACACUAAGUUAUUGAAAAUCUGCUACUGUAUUCUAUUUACUGAAAAAUCUGAAAAGGAAAGACUUUUCUCUUCUAAAAACAUAAUUAAUUAGUGUAGGGUUAAUUUGGUAAAUUAAACCAUGACACAUGACAUGUAGAGAAAAGAUUGUCCUUAAUUGUUAAAAUGCUGGUGCUAUUAACAUAUCUUAUUUUGCUAUUCACACAUCUCCUGCAUGAAGUGAACCAAUCAUAGAGCAACUUUAAGUGGCAACUGUAUAAAUACAAUAAAAUUUGUAUUGAUAUGAAAACACAUAGAGUGUGUGAAUAGCAAAAUAGGGUGUGUUAAUAGUAUCACCUUGUUAAAAACUGUCCUUAUUUGUUUAACAACAACACAAGUGGAUUUAUUUGUGUUUCAAAUCCUUUUAGAGGAUGUAUAUGUAAUUUGCUUUUUAAUAAAUAGGUCGUGUCAUGUUCGACAAAAUGACCUCAUGACAACUGUGACCCAUUUAAUUUAAUAAAAAAAAACAUCAUUUGAUUAUAUUUAUUAAAAACUCCACAAAAACAUAAUUUUAUAACGAAUUAACCUUUGUUUAGUCCCUAAGGUUUACACAACUCAUCUACUUAGUCCUCAAGGUCUAAAAAUCAUUUAUAUAGUCCUCAAGGUUUUGGUUUCUCAUUUAGAAGGUCCUUUAGUUAAAAAAACUGUUAAACCACUGUUUUUCUGUUAAAAAGAUAUAUAUAUAUAUAUAUUAUUUUUUUUUUAAACUUACUCUUAAAGGACUAGACCAAGCUUUUCCUAAGAACUAGCAUUCAACAUGCCAAAAUUUCACCUGACGACCUCCUGUCUAAUGGUUACUAAUCAUGGCGGAAUCACUGCUGUCUUAGUGUGGGCAAGCCUAAUCACUUACAAAGUAAAGUAAUCUCACAAAAAUGAAACAAAAGGCAAAGAAAAAUAUUUUUUGAGACGGAUAAUAGGGCACAAGGUAGAAUUUAUUCAAUUUAACAUAAAUACAAAUACCAAACCCAGAGCCUUGCUCUCAGGUAAACAGCUAAAGGCUGUUUAGCUACUCAUAGAGUUAAAUAUAAACACAAGUACUUACUUAUAAAUUUACAGCACACCACACCAGAUGAUUACAGACUUCAAUCUAAAAAAAACACUCUUAUUAUUCUCACACUAUUCUAAAGAUUGUAUAAUGACUCUAUAACUUCUUGAGAAAGGUUGAGAAAAUUUCUGAUUUCUGUUUUUUGGUUCCUUCUUCAAUUUCUUCCUACUGAAGUUUGAGGCUUCUUAUAGAGAGCGGAACUCAAACUAGAAUUCAAACACCCUUAUUCAUAGUGGUGGACAAGAGGAAUCUUAUCUUGAUAACUUUACUUUUGAAAAAGUAAAGUCGAAAGCUUUUAAGUGCUGGCAGCUACUUUCUUUUUAUCAAAAGAAAAGCCAUUUGUCCUGAAGCGUCGGCAGCCACUCAGCUUUCCAGCAUAUUUACAAUGUUGUGAUAUGUCUCAGGAUCUUCAGAAUAUCCCACUGAGGAGUUGAGACCACUAUAUUCCCAAUCUCGUGCUGUGUCUUCAUCUCCAUUGUCGAGGUCUGAAUCAUAGGGACAAGUAAUCUUAUAUUUUUCAUCAGUCUCAACCUUUUCUAACCACGUAGUGGUAGCUAGAGUGCAAUCCACUUCUUUCCUCAUAAGAGCUGUGAAAAAGUCACAGUUCUCUGGUGGAGGGUGAUUAUAACAAGUAACCAUGAUUUUUUCUCCGCUGGCUAAAAGACUUGAAUCAUAGUCUUUUAAAACUACAUCUUUGAUUGUUGCUAUGGCCAUGGCUUUCAUCCAAGGAAUGUUUUGAUUUGGUCUUCCAUUACCACUGGUAAUAAUUGGCUUUUGAACUGGACUUUAGAUUAAUCUGACAUGAUGAUAUGGAGAGAUAUAAUUCAUCUGACCAUUUACCACUAUCCAUUCUGGAUGGGUCGAAAUGAAUUUUAACCUUAGGAUACAUCCAUCAGGUUUGAUAUUCUUGACUGCUUUAGCAAUUAUUUCUGGAAAACCUCUCAGGUCUUCAUUAGUUUUUGUCCACAAAUUAUGAACAAAACCGUUUUCUACAAGCCAUAGCUUGUGCUUAUGAGGAUGCUCUGCUUGAACGUUUACCAGAUAUCUCCCAUAAUAUGGGCCCGGGACAAUUGAUAAUGUUUUUGGAAGAACAUCUUUUCCUUCACCUAAGAGGUUAUGGAAACUAUACCAUUCAGAUUCUUUUAAGGCUAGAAUAGGAAUUCUAGCGCUUUCAGGUGUUUCGAGGAAAACAACCUUGGAAGGUUAUGUUGGAACACCUUUGUCUUUUGUAUGGACUCCAUACAUUUCUUCAGUUAAAGCCUUAAGGGUUUGAAGCAAGUGAGCUUCAUUUUCUUCAUAGAAUGAAUACAAAAUAUUAUCAAUAAUAAUCUUCUGCUUAAAGGCCAAUAGCCUAUCUGUUCUAAAAACUGGCUUCUAAAAGAUCUUCAGAGGUUGAUCAUGGAUGACCUUCUUUCCUGUAACUAAUGGUAGCUUAUUUGCCGUGAGGGGGUCUUUUCUGCUUUUUGGCAAAACAGCAGCCUUCAACGGACUUGAUAUGCCUUUACCGUCUGCCGUUUAAGACGGGCUAGCCAGUCUUUUCCCCUGAGACUGAUCAGUUAAGGCUGAUCCUUUCGGACACAGCAAAAACUCAUUUACGAGUUUAUCUUCAUUAGUACCACCGGAAUGACAGGAACGACCAUCUUCUUUAGAAUCUGGUUUAGGUUUGAUUCUUGAAGUUGGACUAGACUCAGCAGUUCCAUAAGAAACAAUAUACUGAUACCCUGGUCCGUCAUGGAGUGGUCCUACGGUUUUAUAACCGCUUUGGAAUCUUUCCCAGAGCUUCUUUUCCUCCGAUUCUGGCUUUCGACUUCUGGGAUUGUGACCUUCUCUUUCAAACGUCGCCAUUUCUCUUGUAAGCGCGUCAGGCAAAUAGUUCUUAUCUCCUGCAACCAUUUCAACAUCAUAUUCAUAUUGAGUUAAAAACAUUUGCCAUCUUAACACUCUUCCUCUAUCUGCAGCAUCAGUUAAUUUGUAGUUUUUGAAGUUUUUUACUCUUUUGUUGUCUGUUCUUACUACAAAUUUGUUUCCAAGGUAUGCCUCAGCACCCUUGAUGCUUUUAAUUAAGGCAAGGACUUCCUUGUCUCCUGUGGAAUAGUUUAACUCAGCAGCGUUAAACUUUUCAGAUAGAAAUUUACAAAUCUUUUCAUGAUUUGUAUCUGGAGCAACAGCUAAAACAACUCAUGCCCAGUAAUAAUCAUUUGCAUCAGUCUGUAAAAUGAUCAGAUCUCCUUCUUCAGGUAACUGUAAAGGAGGAAGGUUUUUUGUUAAUUCCUUAAUCUUUCUACAGUAUUACUGUCGUCUGUUGUGAAAGACCAUUUUUUCUUAGAACUUGUUUUAGGAGAGAGGAGGGCAGUUAGACCACUAACUUGAGGAAUAAAAUCUCUCGCAAAAUUAACAACUCCCAAAAAUCUCUGUAGAGACUUUGCAUCUGGGAUAUUGUCUGGAAAUUGGCUGAUUUUCUUAACAAUGUGCUCUUGGAGACGAAUCUCUCCAUCCUUAACAUGAAUGCCAAGGAAAUCUAUUUCACCUUUAAUAAGAUGAAUCUUCUUCUGUCCGAGGAUAAUUCCUUUCUGAACGAUAAGCUUACACACCUGCUCAAGAUGCUUUAAAUGCUCAUUCAUAGUUUUGGAGAAGACAAGAAUGUCAUCUAUAUAAACUAUGCAGAAGUCUGAAUAUGGUUUGAAAAUAUUAUCUAUUUUUCUUUGGAAAAUAGACGGAGCUUGCUUAAGACCAAAUGGCAUAACUACCAUUCAUAAUGCCCUUGAGGAGUUCCAAAGGCAGUUAAGGCAAUGGAAUCAGGAUGCAUUUUAACCUGCCAAAAGCCUAAUUUUGCAUCAAACUUUGAGAAGAUUUUUGCUCCCUUUAGCCUAUUGAUGAGAACUCUCACCUGUGCUAUCUGAUAACCGUCUUUGACAGUCUUUUUGUUCACAUCCCUGUAAUCAAUUACCAUUCUGGCUUUUCCUCUUAAUUGUUUAGCAUGAUUUCUUACCAGAAAGGCAGGAGCAUGAUGAGGACUGUUUGAAGGCCUGAUUAACUUCUUUUCCAGAAGUUCUUGGAUUUGAUUCUCCAUUUCUUUUCUAUCUUCUUCUCUAUAAUGAGGGAUGGCCUUAACAUGGCAAAUAGUAUUUGCAUCAUGCAUUUUUAGCUGACAAUAUAUUGGGUCUCUUUCCCAAUACAAUUGAGGAUCUUCACUGAUUACUGGUUUCAACAAUUUCUCUAUUUCUGUGAGAGUUGGUAUUUUCUUUUGUUCUACCUUGUUAGCAUAUAGUUUUAGAUUAUGCUCUCUGAUGUAUUCUUCUUCUCCAUCAGAACUCUCGUUGUCAGAAAUUUGAUAUUCAGAACUUUCCUCUGAUUCAAAGUCUUCUGAACUUGUUUCUUCAUUCACCAAUAUCUCCUUGUGACCUUUAAGCGGCUCUUGUAGCAACAAGACGGGUUUUAAAAUUGGUUUAUAAUCACCACUCUUCGCUGGCGACUUCUGAUAUUGGUCUGUAAAUCCUUUACUGGUAACGCGUACUGCGUCUGUUAAUCGGGAUUCCCAAUAGGAUUUUUUAUGUUUUUCAAACCCAAUCAUUUUGGGCGUUUGAAUUACUGUUUGUUGAAGAAGAAAGUCAUUCCCUAUCAACAAAUCAGCCAUCUGACCUUCACACUGCCAAAGAAUCUUGAUGGUAAAAGUGUCUCCUCCCAAGGAAACUUGCACAUUUCGUGCCAUUGUAUCCAUAACUAUGUUGUUUUCUUCCAUUGCAACUCCAGUAACUGUCCUUGGAGAUUUUUCCCAAUAUUCUUCAGGGAUAGCAUAUUUUUUUGCAAGACUAAACCCUGAACCAGUAUCUACAAAUGCAUGUAGAUGAUAUUUUUUGUAAUUGGGAAACUUCAGUCCUAUAGUAAUAUAAUUACUAUAUAUGCUUGUCUGGACUGGCAUUAUUUUUUUCUUGCUUUCUUGAAUCAUCAAGUAAUUCUGUGAAAGGAUUGACCCUUCUUUCUGCAGUUUUUGAUUCCAGAGGAUUGUCAUUUGCUAGACCCAAUAUCGGAUUGGAACUGGAAUUGAGAGAAUCAAGAGAUUCCUUGAUUUCCCUGUUUUGACUUAAUGAAGUUACAAACUUCAUCGUUUUUAUAUCUUCUUCAAGGUUUUUUUCUUUUUCUUUUUUAUGGAAUACAUUGUAUUCCUCUUCUACCAGGACAUGUGCUUCAUUAUCUUUGGUUUUUCUUCUGAGUUCUGCAAUAAAACACUCCCGAUGAUAAGUUUCACAUGUACCUUCACAGUACAUGGGAAUUGUAUUAUUAUCAUCACAUUUGCAAUAGUCAUAAAUGAAUCUUCCUGGAUUGGGAUGGAAGGUACUGAUAAUAUCAGUGUCUUCUUCCUUCCAAUUCUGUAUUUGUAAUAAAAAUAUAGGACGAUCUCCUAUAUCUUCUUCUUCAGAGUUUUCUGAAGUACUUUCUGUCUCACAAUCUGAUGAGUACUCAAGAGAAUAUAUUGAUUCAUUCUCUUCAUCAGAAUAUGCGACUUCAAAGCCUUUUAGAUUAGCAUACUCUAUUGCUUCAUCAUACUCAGCGAUUAAGGCUUUAGAAGAUCUCUUGUCCUUUUUAGGACAUUCAUUUGCAUAAUGUCCCUUUGCCUUGCAAAGCCAACAUCUGCAUUUCUUUGUUUCCUUAGAAGAAAAAUUCGUCUUCUUUUUCCUUUUGAAAAAUCUCUUUCUAGGAGAAGUUUGAGACGAUUGUUCUUUCUUAUAUCCAAGCCUUUUCCUGAACUUAUACUUCUUUUUAGAAGCAAAAUUUUUAUCACGAUUGGUGCUAGAGAACUUCCUUCGGUGUUUUCUUUCUGUAGGAAUAUGACAUCCCCAUUGUGUUGGCGUAUCCAAAAUCUUUGGACACAUAUUCUCAACUCCUCUGAGUUGCUUCUUGGCCGUUUUGGAUUUUAUGUUCUCUAUGCAUUGCUUUCUUAGGAGAUCCCUGACUCUUUCUACAAUUCCUCCAACAGUAAAAUACUGAAGGGGGUUUUCUUCCAAUGAUUGUGCUACUGCGUCAUUCCAGGGUUCUGGCAAUUUUCUGUAAUAGGUUCUGAUGAGAUCAUUAUUUUCAAUAUCUCCAAUAAUGCAGUAGUAGUUCUGGAACUCAUUGGUGUAUUCCUCAAAAUACCUCAUGUUACAAAUACUCAAUUUUUGAAUAUUUGAUUUAGCUCUUUCUUUAGAUUGUUCACUAUGCCCAGUGAUGUCUCUGCAAAAUUGUGUGUAGAUGAGCACUGCAAAGUCUAAAGGACUAUUAGUCUGAGCCAAUUUUGCUACCCAAUCAGUCCAUUGAGAACUUCUCUUGAAGGACUGGUACCAUUUCUAGACUAUUCCAGUUAAGGUAGACUCAUAAUAUGCAUGAGCUUCCUCGUAGGCAUAUUUGGAUAAUACUAGAGCUUAAGUUAGCUUUAGACUAGCAACCCAGUUGUCUAUCGUCUUUCUUUUAUCUCCUACUUGGUCCAGAUCCAGAUAAACCCCUCUUUCGGACACUGACUGUCCCUAUUUGGGUUCUGUAGGGAUAUACUUCUGAGAACUUCGUUCUCCAUAUCUUCUUGUAGGAGCUUGUCAUUUUGGAAGCUUGAUAUUUUGUUCACGAAUGAUCUUAGUAGGAUUGUUGGUGAUGUUUUGUAUUACAGUAUGACCACCUACUGGAGGGUUUUGCCUUUCACCAUCUGUUUCCAUCGAAGCUCCUAAUGGUUCUGGUUCAUCUUUUGCUGCUUGAUAAGGAAGAAUCUUCCUCUUUUUCUUUCCAAGUUGAACUUGAGAAAUUACUUUCAUAAUCUUUUCAAGUUCUUCUGUGGAAUUACAAGUUUUAGCUUGUGCAUAUAAUUUGCUUAGUUCUCCUGCCUGGAACAUUCUCAUAGGCCUUUUAGUAUCAUCUUCUUCAAAUGAUUCUUCAUUAUAAACUGGUUUAGUUCCAGAGGUACUAGCUUCUUCAUAAUUAGCAAAGGAAUGCCUAUGAAAUUGUAAGCUAAUCUUUCCUCCCAUGUUUUCGUAAAUUGAAGCAUUGGAGCUUUCAAGCUGUCUGACAGGAGGGGUCAGAUUCCAUUCUCUUGAGAAUGUUACUUCAUACCAUUUCGUGACAUGUUUUUCUUGAGAAUUAUUUUUUGGGUUGGUGAGAACAGAUGUAGUGAUUCCAGGGCUGUUUAGAAACCUGGUAUUAGGAGUUACAUUUGAGCUCAUCAACUUAUAAUAGAUUCGAUAAUCUAUCGCUAGUUCCAUCAUUCCUUGCUUCAUAGAAAUUCCAUCUGUCUUGAUUCUCAAUCUUAGAUAGUGAGCCACAUCUCUGAGAUGCGUUGUGAAGUUUGGAAACACAUUAAAAUAUGCAACUUGGUUGCACAAAAAAGCUUCUACCGUUCCUAACAGACUUUUCUUAAAGUCCGUUAUUCUAUCGUCUUGUAAGACACAAAGAACGGAACAGUCAAUACCGUCUCUGGCUAAGAGUUUUAUUCCUACUUAAACUGCACCAAUAUGCAUAUAGGAAUAUUUUUUCUGGAAAGCUUUGCUUACUUCUUUUGGAGUUAUUAACCUGAUAUCCGUUUCUCCACCUGUGGCUGGAACAGUUAAUUCAAGAAUCUUGAAUCUGUGAGAAUCCAUAAUAAAGGAUCCUUUCUUAUAUAUUUCAUUGAACCUAAAUCUAGGAGCAGAGGCUUCUCGCACACUAGAUUCGAUUUCAUUAUACUCAAAUUCUUGAGCGUUUAUUAAUUGUACCGGAACUGUGUUCCUUUUACUGAGGAUUCUACUCAGCAUCUUCAUAUCGCUCUUGGUUGUAGAUUUUGAUUAUUUCCAUUCAAGUAGCUUUGGUUCACUAAACCUUAGCCUACUUUCUCCCACUAGUAGGGGUGGAGAAUUUAUGAUAAUUUUACUAGCUACAUUUUGAACUAGUGCUUCUUCAUCUAUUUUCUCAUAACCUUCUCCUUCCUUUAUCUUUUCUACAAACUUUUGCAGACAAGAGAUUCUGUUAUGUAACUCUCGAAAUUGAAUUUCGAGGUCAAUACUUAUCUCUUGGAGAUAAGCGAUAUUAUAAUUCUGCUGAUGAAUUAUUGCUUCCACAUUUUCUGCCAAUUUUUCUGUAGGACGAUGAAAGCCAAUAGCUUUAACAUCUUCCUGUCUUACUUUUAGAUCUACUUUUUGAUUCAUCAUGUUCUGGAGAUAAGAGUUUCUAUGAGCUUUUUCAGGUUUUCUUGAGUGUUUCUUAGUUCUACUGCUUGCUGAUGAAUAUUAUUAGCAAGAUUUUCAGUACGAACUAAUUUAUUUUCAAUGUCUGUUAGAUAUUGUUUUUCCUUGAGGUAAUCUAGCUUGAUUUCAAGCUUGGCAAUUUUUGAAUUAAUUUCCUCAAGUUGAUUUAUCCGUAGAUUAAAUCUUUCGAGUUGAUCUGAUAUUUUAUCAGACAUCUUAUCCUUAGAAAAACGAUCUAGGAACUCGAUUAAGCUUGGUCUUGCUGGAUCAAGCUCUUCUACUCCAAUUUCUCUUUGGAGAUGAAUAUGUUCGUCAUAGAGCGUAUUUAAUACUCUACACACGUAUUCAAUGGAGUACUGAUUUUCUUGAAUGUGCCUUGAAUGAAAGCACACUUCCCACUUAUCGGUUCCUUUUGUAAUACAAAAAGACUGAUAAUUUUUAAGUUUGGAUUCUCUCUUAUUAGUCAAGAGAAGCCAACUUUGUGGCAUAAGCCUUUUUCUUGCUUUUGAGCCAAGCAGGCUCUGAUACCAGCUAUGGCGGAUCUAACCGAUGCUCAAAAUAUUAAGAGAUUUUUGAUCUUCUUCAAAUGUUUCUUGAAGAACUUCAAUUUCUUCUUUCUUCUUGUAAUUCUUUAUAUGACAGUUUAGCUUCUGAUAAAAGAUCAAGUCUAGUAGCAAUAGACUCUCCUAUUGAUGAUAAAAAUAUUAACUGUUUACCUUUGAGUAGAAUGAUAGCUUUUAUAUUUAUAAAAUGUUAAAAAUAAACAAAUUCAAAAUCCAAGGCCCAUCAUGCUUUGUUCAUUUUCUUUUAAACAAAAAUAUCAUAGAAAAACAGAAUAUUCUUUUUUUUCUGACGGAAAAUUCCAUCAGAAAUAAUGGAAAGGACUAAUCAGAUUAACAAUUGUAAGUUCAAGGACUAAACAGAUUAGAAUGAAAGUUCAAAGACUAAAGGGAUGAAGUACCUAAACUAUAAGGACUUUAUAGAAUUUUACCUUUUUAUAACUCAUGAAUAAUCAAAAUCCAAAUUUGGAUAAAGUCAAACACUCCCAAUCUGAAAUUGAAAAAGAUAUAAUUAAAUUUGAAGUUUAACUUUGAAUGUAAAAGCCUCAAAUCCUAACUUCCAAGUCUUCUUCACUUUAUUUAGCAUAAAAGACAAGAGUUGAUCAAGUAAAACUAAGAAUCAGUCAAAUAAUUAUCAUAUAUAAAAUUGUCAUUGACGUGACUAAAAUACCUUUGCAAAGAGCUGAUGAGCCGCGAACAGAGAGAGCUAAUGAGCCGUGAACCUUAGGGUUAGUGUAUUGAUACAAGACUGAAACAAGAGAAUUUAUAGUGUUUCGGUAACCCUAGGCUAAAGUGAAGAAAGUCGUACUGGACCUUUAUACACAUAUAAUAUUACUUUUUAAAAAGUAAUAUAUAACCUGACCCAUCUAAUAAACAUAUUAUGUGGGUUCAUUUCGUGUUAGCGGGUUGACCCGCGGUUGACUCGUUUAUUAAAUGUGUCAUGACGGGUUGACCUGCUGUUGACCCGCUUAAUUUCGUGCGGGUUUUACCCGCUUAAUUUCGUGCAGGUUUCAAGUUUCGUUGUCGGGUUAUGUUGGAAUUGACAACCCUAGUUUCUCUGCCUGUCUAGAGACGCCGCAUGGUUGCAUUUUUCUAAGGUGACGUUAUUCGCCCACCAUGUUUUGUUAUUCAUACACCUCGUUUAUAACUAGAGUCAGUUAUGAAGAGUGUUUCAUAUGGCUCUUAAUCAUAGCCGCCUCUAGUAAAGUUUUGAUAGUGAGUUUUUUCGUCAAUCACUAUCAUAAUCGGUGUCAGCUCUUUAACUAUAUGGAAGAGAGAUGCACAGUACUAAGAUGGCUUCAACGGUAGACCUCUUAGGGCAAUCAUUGUGUGUUAUCCUCUAAACCAGUGGCGAAACCAAUUAAGAAUUCAAAACGGGUUGAGUUGUUUCUUAAGGUUUGUAAAGCACAAAAUUUUUUGUUUGAGGUAAUGAGAGCUCAUCCUCAUGCCUUUACUAUAAACAUACAACAAGGUGGACAUAAAACCAAAAUCUUGUAGAUUCAAAAUUACAACAUUAAAGAAUAUGUUGGGGUCAUGAAAUAGGAAGCUCCAAGAAAAUUAGAGAGAAAAAACCCUAAAGAACAUUUCAAUGCCACGUCCGGCGGCGCGUCUUUUGGAUGUCAUCGUCGGACAUGCGAUCUAAUAUGAGUCCACUGAUUAGGGACAAAGGUUCAAGGGCUGGAGAAGAGAAAGAGAGAUGACAUUCUUUCGUGAUGUGAGGGUAUGACGAGCAUAAGGUCUCUUUUAUCACAGCAGGCAGCGGUGGAGGCUUCGAGCAAGGGAGCCACUGAGGCAGACUACUAGUGUGCGGCGAAGGCUAUGAUCUGGUGCACAACGGAGGUCGGUUCUUAUCGUGUUUUUCCCUACUCAGGGGUUGAGAUGGGUUGAUGCAUGAUACAAGGAUCGAGCCUCUGUUUGGAUCGAGUUUCAGGUUGAAACCACAGAGAUCCUGCCGGUGAUGUCAUCAGGUGAUUAUGCGAGGCGACAUGCUCCGACCGUAGCAAUGGUGUUGGUCCAGCACAAACGGAUCAGAUCCGACCUGCAUUCCCUUCAGAGACGGACCUAGAGGUGGGCUGGGGUUUGUUGCAGCCCACCUAUUUUUUAGGGGAGAAAAACUUAGGUAUAUAUCAUGCAGCCCACCUCAUUUUUUAGGGGAGAAAAACUUAGGUAUAUAUCAUGUAUGUAUUAUAGAUGUAUAUAGCAGCCUUAGAAAAAUACACUUUAAGAAAACAACCAAAACAAAAGGGAAUAAGCCGCUCUCAAACAAAUAGGUCGCUCUCUGUGCAACAACUCUCUUACCCUCCUCUGCGAAAAACAAAACAGCGUAGUGCUGAUUUCUUACAGCGAAGAACACACCAAGGGACAAGUUAAUACUGACAGGUAUUGUAGUCCCCUUUCUCAUAAUAUUAAUUUCAAUACGAAUUGGGCAGGUUUUAAUAUUUGGGGCUUUCAAGAUUUGUUAAAUGUUGAUCUAAUUGUUUAUCAAUGAUUAAUACUUUUGAUCAGGACACACGAAUUGGUUAGGGUAAACAAAGCUAAAUUGGGCAAAACGAAUAAAAGAGUUUUUGCCUGUUAAGGUAUGUAGGGGUGGAACCGGUACGGUAACCGACUUUUUUGUCCCAAACCGUAAACCAUCCCGACUUAUGUCGGUAGGUUAAUCUUGAUACCAAUACCGACUGAAAAAGUUGGUAUCCCGAACCUUCAGUAACCGAACUUUCGGUUGGUAUCGGUACGGUUAGGCUUAGAACCGAACUUUAUUGGGCCUCUUAAUCUGUCACUGUUUUAAAUGAAAAAUAGGCCCGGACUAAAAAAAAAAAAACAACAACAGCAAAGUAGUGAUUCAAAGUUUCAAACACUGUAGAAACCAAAUAUUUUCCUGUGUUUCACAUGUUAAAUUCCAACCCAAAUAACAAAAUUACAAAUCCAUAAAGUCACAAACUCAAUCUGACAGUCUCAGACUCUCAGUGUCUCUCACAAUCAACAAACUGACAAAGUUACAAAGGCACCCUAUUAGCCUAACUGCCCAAGUGACAAACUGCAAGGCUGCUGUCUGCAACUGUUGAACUGCACAUUCUAAUAUUAAGUUACUAACACAGUAUUGACUAUUGACAGCAUCACAAUAACACUAAAGAAAUGAAAACCUAAUAGCAAUGCAUCAAAGAGGCAAAGACCAAAACUUGAAACAAAUUACAAAUGCACAACUGCACUCACAAGUCACAACUCUAAAAUCAUUAAAAUACACACUAUUGACAACUGACAACACCAAACCCUGAAACAAAUGCACAACACCCUAAAACAAUGAAUCUUCAAGUCACAAUUUAAUGAUUUUACUCAAAACAAAAGUCACAUGUCACAUGUCACAACUCACAACUCACAACUCACAAGGCACAAGCAUUAGUUUAAAGUUUCAACUGAAAUAGACAAAUAGUAAAGACUAAAAGAGUUUAAACUUUAAAGUCUUAACAAAAAAAUAACUAAAACAUCAUGACAAAUUCAGAAACCAUCCAUUUUUAAACACACUGCUAGCCUGCUGCUACACACUGGUUUGCCCAGAACUUUCAGUAAGCUCAAUUGGGGUUGAUGCUACCUCCUGUCCUUGAUUGAAACCGUUUUCUGCAAAAUAAAUAAAAUUCACAUGGUUAAAAAAUAAGGUAUGUGAAAAAAUAGCAAAUUCACACUGGUUUCUAAUAAUUACCUCUCUCAAUCUCCUCCAACUCAGCGUAAAUGGUGAGCUCAUCUUCACUGGGAUCCUUGUAUAGGUUAGGUUGAUCACAUUUUAACCAGUCGCUUGUGCACACCAGGGCCUCUACCAUUUUUGGUGUCAAUGAUGCUAAAAAAGGAUCGACCACUCUUGAUCCUAAACUAAAUGCAUUUUCAGAGGCCACUGUUGAGCAAGGAAUAGCAAAUAUAUCCUUGGCUAGCUUUGUCACACCCCAAUUUUCGAAAGAUAAUUUUUCAAAAUUUUUGGCAUGAUAUAACCUAAAAUAUUAUAAUUCCAUAACCUGUUUCAAAAACGAACUUCAUAGGAACGAAAUUUAAUGCGGAAAUGUAAUUCACACAACUCAACACUGAGUUAAAUAUUACAUUUCUUUAUUUACAUAAACUUGAAGGUCAAGACAUGAGUUUAAUACUGUCUAAUCCCAAAUAUAAAAAUAUACAGAGUACAGCAAAACCCACAAAAAAAAAAAACAAUGCCACUAACCUUCCGCCUCAACCCUGCUGAUCCUCACCUGCAGGUCUAACCCCUACACCAAGAAAUGGUGCACCGGGUUAUAAACAACAAACCCGAUAAGCUAAAAAGCCCGUAUAAGUAAUUCUCAAAAUAAACACAACACCUCCAACAACCCAUUAAAACAUAAGAGUAAUUUAUAUCAAUAAUUAAAACCAAAAUUUCAACACUAUCUCAAUUAACAUGUACCCAUGAGUCUCAAGUAUUAAUAAAUACCCCUCAUGACCUACAACAAUAAAAUGUGUACCCAUGGGUCCCAGAUACCAUACAGUAUCUCCCAUGACCUACAUUGACAGACGGAUUAGAGCUCUAUUCCUAACCGCAACCAAUCACCCGGCCAAAGGCUUGGAACUAGGUUUGACUGUCUAAUAUCAAACACAAAAAUAAUAAAUAGCAUCUUAACCGCAACCAAUCACCCAAUUAAGGGCUUGGAACCCGGUUUGGCUAUUUAUCCAACAAUCAUAAUAUCACAACAUUAUCCUCAACAACACAAUAUCACAUCAUAAAUUAUAUCCUACCACAUGGAUAUAUUUACAUGAACAAUUAUAGAUAUUCCACAAGAAUAAUCUAUCAAAAAUCAAUAAAAUUUAUGAUCACAUGAAUCUCAAAAUAGCAUUUAAAGAAAACUUGUUUUAUCUUACCCAUGAGCCGUUGACGAUCAAGCUCAUCUAUUUUUAAAAACAAUUAAAAGCAUAUAUUUAAAUCCAACAUUAUCAUCAUUAUCAUCAUAUGACCAUAUUAACAUUAGGUUCAAAAUUGAACCUUGGUGAGAUUUACUCACCUCAAUAGCCCGCUGCGUUUCCGCAAAACACAAGAGCAAGCCAACUCACAAUUUCACAAAUCACCUAAAAUAACACACAUAUUAACCUUAGUAACAAACACAACAUGGAUCAAAGUACUCGUAACUUAAAGGUUGCCCCCAAGAAGGGCAAUCCUUCCUCCAAGACCUCCCAAGGUCAUUGAACACUCAACAACAACCAAACUACCAUCAAGAUCAAACUUUCUAAGUUUCCGAUCUAAUGAACACCAUGAACAACUUAGCACCUAAGAUGCAAAGACAAAACCUAAUCAACACUUAGCCUUCACCCACCAUCAACACCCUCACAACUACACAACAAGCUAACACAACAACCAAACCCACUCAUACUGGCCAGACACGCCGCCACACACCACCACAGGCGGCGGCGAGUGGGCCCCAUGCGCCACCCCGCAAUGCUACCAGUUGAACAUCCAACAAACUCGACUCGUAGAUCAAAGUAAGAGGAACAACUUUGUACCUGUGUACUAGCCUCGAAUCGACCUUGAACUGCUCCAAAAUCCGGUCACAAAUUCGAGCACCAAAACUGAAAAUCAAAGUUGAAAACUCAAAACUGAGUUGAUUGCUUUGCCCAAUGACACACAAGUGGAAGAGGCAAGCAAAACUCACCCAAUGAUGCACCUCGUCACCGUCGUAAACGGCAGUUUCAACCAAGGCAGCACCAUCGAUUCCGACCGAGAGAGACGUCCUCUGCUGGCGUCGUCUGUGGCCAACCGCCGUGCAACACCGACCUAGGCUUGAAGGCAGCAGUCCUGGGAACCCGACGUGAUCGGCGGCGUCCCAAACGGUGGCAGGACGACUGGGUUUGGUGCCGGAGAAAACGGGAGAACACGGAGGCUCGGGGAGGAAGAGAGAGAAACUGAAAGGGGCUUUGUGCAAUUUUAGGGUUUCUAAAAUAACCCACACACACAUUUUCUACUUAUACUCAAACCAAAACCGGAAACUAACUUCCUCUGACCAUAACUUUCUCAUACGACAUCCGUUUUAGGCGUGUCGUAUGUCUACGAACUCGUAUCGACAAACUCUACAACUUUCAUGAAGGAAGUUUUCGAAAAUAACUUACGGAAAUAAAGUCAACUUUUGGCCUCUUAAAAGUCAAAGCACCUUAAAAUAACUCCCAAAACUUCGACUUCACAUAAACCAAAGAAUUUCCAUAAAUAAUCCUUCAUUAAUUAAGGAAAUAAUACAAGGAAAAAUGAUAUGAAAAUCUAGGGUAUUAUAAGCUUUGAUAGCACUGGAUAGGUUGCCUCAUUGCCUUUCCACCACUUUGCAAUUUCAAAACUCUUGGAGAAGAUGCUGACAUAUCUAUCGGAUAAGUACUGAUCAACUUCAUUUCUUAUACAGUUUGAUUGCUCAGCCAUCCUCUCUGUUGCUAUCUCCUUGCUAACCUCAUCGAGGCCAUCCAAAUCAUCUGCUUCCAUUUCAAAAUCAUAGAGAGAAGUCUGCUCAGCCAUCUCAUUUAUGUCUUGACCUCUGUAUUCUUCAUACAUCUUCAUCAAUAUCUUCUUCAAGUCACUUUCUAUCGAUUCAAUCACCACGACACUUGCUUUAACUUUUCUCAUUGCCACUUUAGCCCACUGCAACUUGUAUCUUGGGUCCAGAACAUUAGCUAUCAUGGUUACCUUGUUCACAACCUCAAAACUGCCCAAUACUUGUCAAACUUCUCCUUCAUAGAAGCAGCAACCCUCUUCAAAACUUCAUCAGAAAACUCACAAGCUUUGUCAAUCUCAGUCUACAAUGUAAUCAUCUCGACAAAUAAGAUGUUUGUAGUCACUGUUUUCCAUGCACUAAGCCUCAAAGUAGCUUCAUAAAAUUUCUUCAAAAAAAGACAAAAGGCUUCUGCAUUCCUCCAGUCAUCAUAACCCGGUGGUCCAACCUUGUCCUGAAAAUAACUUUUAAAUGCACCAUCUUCUUCUGCCAUCCUCCCAAACACAACUUCAUACUUCAAAGCAGCUUCUAGCAUAAGAAAAGUGUUAUUCCAUCUUGUUAUUACAUCCAAUGGAACAUUGGCAUUAGCCCUGCAUUGCUCCAAAACAACAAACUCCCUAAACUUAUCAAGCCUCGAAGAUGAACUCCUCACAUACUUUGCACAAUUCCAUAUCGCUGCAAUCCCAUUCUCCAACUCCUUCAAACCAUCCUUAACUAUUAAGUUGAUAAUAUGACAAGCACACCGUAAAUGCAAAUAAUCCCCUUCAAACAUCAAAGUCUUGUAGCCCCUCAACCUUCUCUUCAUGUAUUGCACCGCUACAUCAUUAGCAGAUGCAUUGUCGACGGUGAUGGUAAAGACUUUUGAGAUCUCCUAUUGCCUCAAACAUUGCUCAACAACUCUACCAAUAUCCUCACUGAGAUCUCCUAUUGACUGACAAUUGGACAAAAGUUUAUGAUUCUUUUGUGCAAUUUCCAGUCAAUGUCCAUAAAAUGAGCUAUAAGAACCAUGUAGUUGAUGUUUUGUAUCGAUGUCCAAGUGUCCGUGGUGAUUGAUAUUCUUGUGUUUGCUGCCUUCAAGCCACUCAACAAAAGCGCCUUCUCAUGAUUGAACUUAUCCAACACACUCUUGGCAACCUGCUUUCUGUUUAAUAUCGGCCACUCCGGUUCUAAUUCAUUGACAAAUUCCCUAAAACCCUCCUUUUCCACAAACCUAAAGGGUAGUUCAUCCUUAAUUAUCAUCGCUAUGCACUUAUCAUCACACCUCUUUCGGUUAUACUUAUGGUAAGUUCUUGCUCCACUCACAUUAUCUACGGACAACUUGGAUUGUUUGGGAUCAGAAUCAGCUAGUUUGGGAUGCAAUGGGUGUUCCAAACAUCUCUUGUUUACAUGAGACCACAUUGAGCUUGUCCCAUUCCUCUUAACUAAGCACAACACUUCCUCACCACAAAUGUUGCAGGUGCACCACUCUGGAUCGAUUUCAUCCGAGUUUGGGAACUUACAUCUAGUAAAGUAUGCCCAAAGAGGACUUUUGUUGGCUGGUUCUUUUCGUUUCUGCCCACAAGAAGAUUGAGGUUGUGAGCUUUGUGGCCGAGGUUCAGGUUGAGUUUGAGGAUGAGAUUGAGGUUGAGAUUGAGGUUCAGCUAAAGGUUGAGGGCGUUAAGGUUCAGGGGGAGGUCCUAAUGGGGAUGUGUGUAAGGAUGUAGUUCCCUCUACAUUUGCGGUUGAUUGAAUAGAUGGAGAAGAGCUACUAGUCUGACUACUCUGACAUUGGGACAUUGUUGUAUCCACUAUGAAUAAAAAAUAAAAAAAGACACAAUUAACAACUAAGUUGAAAUAAGAUCAUUCCAAUAUACACCAAAUCAUGACAAGAACCAAAUCAUGACAAGAACCAAACCGGCCAACCACACCAAAAGUGUGAAAAUGGCACCAAAGGAAUGGACCAUCCCAAAAAUCAAACAACCUCAAAGCAGUAGGGUAACUAGGGUUCCUAAUAGCCUAAACUCCCUAAGGCAGUAAAGCCUUGUGCAUUAUUAAUACUACUGUUUACAUCACAUCAUCUUUGUCUUUUGGCUAUCUAUUCUUGCCUACCUAAUUUGCUUACAGCUGAUCCAUUUGACUAUUAAUAGUAAUUAUAAGUUUUAUGUAGUCCAAACUAUAUGGGGAAUGAUAUCUGAAAUCAUGAAUCAAAUGACCUUCUAGUAAGAAUAAUGAGGACAAAUAUGAUGUUACUUCACUGAGGGCUAAUAUUAUCUAGGAGACAGAGAAGAUUUCGUUUUCAUUGGCCAAGUAUAGUGAUAUAUUAUCUAGGAUCCAAAUUAUAUAGACCAUGACUUUCUUUCAAUAGAGGGCAAAGAAAUUAAGCCAGUCUCAGCACUCAGCAGAGACGAGACAAACCUAGGAGAGAAGCUAAGGGUGUCUAAGCUAAUAGGUUAACAAGAGGAUGGAUAGAUUAAGUUUCAAGAAACUUUCUGCAAAAUUUUCAUUUGUCAAGAGUCUAGGGCUGGCAUCAAACAUUAUAUCUUCCAAACAUCAAAACCAUUAUGAAGAACAACAGUCUAGGAACGAGGUGAUUAUCUCUCUUAAUCUUAAGGAAUAUAAGAAAGAGUUCAUAUGGGAAGGGAAGAAACUACCAAACAAGCCAAAUUCCACAACCCUGUCCUCACACAUUUCAUGAUAGGCAACCUCACCCACCCCCCACCCUAACCCCCUUCGUGGCUCAGAUUUCUAUUCUCACAUGGUCUCGCACCUAUUCCUCAAAGAGCAGUAUCCCCAAGUUUUCUUAAUAACUAACAAUCUCAAAGCACACUGAUGUAUUCAGAUGCAUUGAAACGUGUCAUAACAGUCUUCUCACCCACAAAGGAAAAGAACUGGUCACGCUAGAUAAGAAAACGAAUACUAAAUUACAAGUGUAGUAAAGGUACUCUGCUGCAGAACUUAGGAGUAAAAGAAACUGUAGGUACCUAUUUUGCCACAAAAUCAUUCUAACAGACUAACACAAAAUGUCAAUUCAUAAAUCAUAAACAUCCAACCGACUAAAUGUGGGUAUCCCACAAGACAAGUAUUCAUUUUAUGCAUACUUGGGUAAAUCAACCAAAUGAAAACUAAAAUAAAACUGAAACUCCAAACCUACAAACAUCUUCACAUAACAUAAGGAGAACAACAUAAAAAAUCUAUACAGAAUCCCAGACUCCGAUGUAGAAACCAACAUUAAAAGCUGAUACAAACAGUCCUAAUUCCGAACAUCAAAACCAUUUAACUAAAAGCAUAAUCAUCCAUCAAACACAAAGCAUAAUCAUCCUGCUCACAUCACCAACUUAAAAUUUGAUUACUAAGAACUUAUCUAGGAACCAAAUAACAUAUUCAAACAUCCAAGAACAAAUAACAAAUAAGUAAAUAACAUAUUCAAACUAAGAACUAAAUAACAUCCAAGAAGAUCAAACAUCCAAGAACCAAAUAACAUAUAUUCAAAGUUCAGACUAAUAAGUUAUCCAGGAAGGCAGGAACCAUACCUUGUCUAGCUUCAGUAGCUUGCCUACCUUGCGCUCCCCUACCACUUGCGCCCCUACCACCUGCGCCCUUACCAAUUGCGCUCAUCCUAAUCCUUUGGCGACCCAUUUGUAGGAUAAGAGAUGAUUUGGUUGAGCCGGAUGAGGGAUUGAGGGAUGUGAUGAGCCGAAUGAGGGAUUGAGGGAUGCGAUGAGCUGAUGAGGAACGAAUCAAAGGGCGGAUUGACUCGACUGACUGAGUGAGUGAGUGAGUGAGGAGUUGGGAAUCGAUUUAGGGUUUGAGAGAUUGAGAGAUGAGAGUUUGAGAGCGAAAGGAGAGCGCAAAUGAGUGACAAAGAGGAGAGAGCGACUGAGUGUUAGGAUUAGAUUUCAACGGUUAAGAUUCAUUCUUCUUGAAAUCAACGGCUAAGACUAGAUGAUUUUUAAUAUUAUAAAAAAUUCUAUACGGUACAGUAUACCGUAUUUGUAUAAAAUUUCAUACCGUUACCGUACCACGUACGAAGUACGGUACGGUACAACCGUACCGAAAAGUCGGUAACCGACUUUGGCGGUAAUCGAUUCCGACGGUUUGGCUGGUUUUUCGGUUGGUACGGUUGGAUCGGGACAAAAUGUCAACCCUAAAGGUAUGGGGACCUGGGAUAUUGGGCCUAUAUAUGUCUAGGCUCAAUUUUUUAUGUAGGCGGAUCAGUGACAAAGCAUGCCCAGUAAUUAUGCACUUUGUCUCACAUGACAAUCUCGAGGUCUAAUAAAGGAGAGGCUGGUCUUAAUAAUAAAGGUAAGAAUGUAGUUUUAUUUUGUUGUUUGUUACCUAGACUUAUGAUGAAAAAUUAUAUCUAUUCUUUCACAGUAGUAUUUAGCUUUCACAGUAGUAUUUAGCUGUACACCAAUUGAGGUCUUUAGGCGACUAAUAUUAUCGUUACAUGAAUGGUUAGAUAGGUAUGGUUGUAAGUUGUAAUAGGUUUGAUGAUUUGUGCUCACUUGUAACGAGGGUUGUCUGUCAUUAAUUUGUCAAGCUUGUCACCAAUGACUGAGACAAGUAUCGAUAUCUAAUGUAUGAGCUUUCUGACAAAGGAUAAUCAAUGAAUCGAAACUAUCCAUUUCUAAGUAAAAAAAAUUUAAAAACCGAUAACAACAUAAAACUGAAAGUGAAUGGUAGGCUGGAAGCACUACGUACAUUAGUUUGUUAUUCAUGAAUGGAAAUUUUACACACUAUAUCGUAGGAGAGCUAAUAUUCAAAUCAUUCAUUUGCUAGCUUAAACAUGCCACCCUAAUUUUUUUUUUUUUUUUUUCACAAUAUGUACCCAAGAACAGAUAAGGGCAAAUUCUCCAAACCAGCAUCAAAUAGAAAGAGAAUAUCAUAAAACCAAUUUACAAGAACUAGAACUGGUGCCAUCUGCAUAAUUUUUCUCGUCAUCGAUCUCUUUUAUCUUAUCAUUCCUGGUGCCACCGGAGCUUGAGUAACUCCUCGCCUUUGUCUGUCCAAGUUGGCUUCCCAACCUUCAUUAUAUUUUCAAACAACAUAUAUUAAUCGCCCAGAAAUGUAUCCAGCAGAAGAUUAAUAACUUAAUUACGACAGAAACAACGUAGGUCAAUGCAUGCAUGUAGAUCAUUUCAUUAUGAGUUUUUAAUACAAAUUCACCCAGCAACAUGCUCAAUUGCUCAUAUAUAUAAUAACAAUCCAAGAUAUGCAUAGACUUCGUUUUGUUUUUAGAUGUCGACAUAGCUACCAAACAUGCAGAAGAUGCAUACAAAGGCUCGAGUAGUUGACCCAAUUGUCGUCUUAUAUAUGCUGCUGCAGUUUAGACUUGUUUUCCUCUAAUUUAUGCAAGUUGUAUAAAUAAGGAGCUGGAUAAGUAAUAGUAUUGUUUCCCUAGUUGGGUUUCAUAAUUAAAGAUAUUAUCACUUUCAUUGCUAAAAAAUAAUAUUCUGCGGAAACUAUUUGCUACUAAACAAUGAUCGAUGGUCCCUUGAUUAAGCCUUGCCUUCAGGUUCUAAUGGCUCGAAAACCAGGUAGUAUUGGACCAUUGGUACAUGAAUAGGGUAACACCGUAACAGUUAUUAUAGAAGUUAGAACAUCAAAACCAAAGUUUAACUCGCAAAGUUUAACAUAUAUGUGAGAUAUGUUCUUUAAUUUGUAGUUUCACGCAUAUAUUACAUGUGAGAAAUUAACUUAAGAAAUUUAGUUGAGGAUCAGGGUCGAUUGCAUGUGAGAUGCUUAUUGAGAAGUUAAUCGAAUACCUUCUUUUAGCUAACAAAAGAAGGUAAAAAGAACAAUUAAGAGAAAAGAGAUGAGAAAGAAUGUAUUAUUACCUAUUCCCAUAUCAAAACCACGACUCUUGAGCUCUCUGUAUUCUUGACAAAGUGCACAACCAGGACAGCAAAAAUGAACUAGGCAAUCCACACAAGGUGAUUCUUCCAAGUCGUACUGACCUCUCAACUUCGACCGAUAGAAACACGAGUAUAAGCAAGCAAGAACAGUAGUUGCAAGAAGAAUCCCAUAACACGUUCCUUGUUGAGCACAAGCUGCAAUACACCCCAGCAAUAAAACAGAUCAAUUAGACCAGACCAUACAUAGGCAUAUAGCUUCAGGACUAAAUCCAAACAUAACGAGUAGAGCUUAAGUGUCUGCUUACAUGAGGAACCUUGAUCCACUAUCUCAGCUAUCUGGCCGAAGGUGAUGCAAGGGCAAAAGCAAGUGAUCAUACCUUCAAAUUUGAUGAAAUUGAAAAACCAGUAUUCGGUUAGAAACAAAUAGCUAGUAACAAAUAGUAUGUAUACGUAAAAAUAUACGAUAGACGACGAGUCGACGACUCUCUUUCACUUACAAUUUGGAGGAUCAUCACAACAAUGGCAAAGACCAGUUGACCACUCCCCUCCUACGUGACGAGCAGAGUGCCCCGUACUGACUACAUAUGGAGGAGCAUAGACUCUUGCUACACCAUGAGGACUCAAAGCUGGAACCUCAUGACCUGGAACAUGGUGAUCAUGAUCAUGACCUGCAUAUUUCUCAUGGUCAGGAGCUGUGGGAUACAUAUUCGGGCUAGCUCUACGUACGUAAUCGACUUAAUGCCUAUUCGUGAUUUGGGUCCGCAUUUGAGUACUAGUAAUUCCCAACUAUAUAGAUAUAAGAGUGGAUAGAAGUUUGAUGGAAGCAGCGUGUGUGUGUAUAUAUAUAUAUAUAUAUAUUCAUCUGAUAUAGACAGCCUCUCUUGCUAAAUUAAUUAGUUGAAUCCAUUGGAAAAUAUCUAAUUGAGAAAUUUUAAGAUUCAGUUAGGGAGCGACAAUACAAAGAGAAGUACGUAUAUAUAGGGCUGGGCACUUAAUACCGGAAUCCCGAUCCCGUACCGGUCUCGUCCCGAAAGUUAGCAGGACGGGACGGGAUAGGUUUUGAAAAUGGCAAUCCCGUCCCGUUCCGUCCCGUUAUGGUAAUGUUGAAACGGGACGGGAAGGGAUCGAAACUAUCCCGAAAAAUCCCGUCCCGUCCCCUAAUAUUAGAAUACUUGAUUUUAAUCAUUUUAUACUUGAUUUUUUAGGUUGCAUGGUGUUACAAUACACUCAACCACACUCAAUUUGGUCUAAAACAGUACUUUUAAUUUCAUUCAUGUUCUUUUUUUUUUUUGCUUGUGUGAUUUUGGAUAAUUUUAGUUGUUGUUUGAGGGUUAAUUUUUAAUGUGGGAUGUAAUUUAGCACUUAUGCACCUAUGUUCUUGUUGAUUUUAGUACUUUUAAUUUCAUCAAUGUUCUUUUUUUUUGCUUGUGUGAUUUGGAUAUUUUUUUUUCAUUAAUUUCAUUAAUGUUGUUUGAGGGUUAAUUUGUCGGGAUCCCGAUCCCGUCCCGGUCCCGAUCGGGAUCGGGACGUAUGGGACAAAUUUCUAAAAAUGCUUUCCCGUCCCAUUCUUUUAUUUUUGAGACAGGACGGGAUUCACCAAAUCCCGGCCCAUCCCGUCCUGUGCCUAGCCCUACGUAUAUAGGAGAAAUAAGCUAAAUACUAGAAUAUUCAGGGCAUGACACAAGUGGCUUAUAGACUAGCAGUAUUGUCGACCAUGUUAACAUUCAUGGAUUUAUUGAAAAGAAAGGAAAUGAAGGAAGAAGACAGGAAAGAAAAGGAAACGCUGAGAGCAUUGUGAAUUACCAGAUUGAAAUCAAACAGUACAACAAUUCCUACAUCUACAUAUAUAGGAGAAAUAAACUAAAUACUAAAAUACCCUUCUAAUAAACUAAAUACAUAUAUCCUUAUAUUUCUAAUAGACCAUAUAUAAUUCUUAUGUAUAUGAAUCCAUUUUACUUUUUCUCCGUAACCAAUGUAAUCAUUUACGAUUAACCUCUUAUGGAAUCUUUUUUGAGCAAAUACGUUUUUAAAUAAAAUAUCAUGUUGAAGAAGUCUUUUUUCCCGCUACCUUAUGGUUCUUCAAGGAUCCUUUUAUACAGUACGUUAGCCAUUAAGGAAAAUUGAUUUUGGCAUCAAAAGAUACUCCUCUUCUGAUGAAUAAGUGGAAAUAUUAUCUUGUCAAUUUUUAGCAAUGUCAUUUUUAUGUAUGGUCUCAACCAAGAAGAAUCCAUCUAAACCAAUUAUCCAAGCAUUCCUUUGACUUUUUGGUUAUCUUUUAAGCAUACGGUCGAAAUUUCAAUGGUACGGAAUCAAUUGCGCGCUAGAAAAUACAUUUUUAAUGUACAAUGCUAUGAAAAAGCUUAAUUAAUACAUUGUUUUCAAUUAUUCCAAUGAUAGGAUCAUUGGCUAAAGUGAUGAAAUUUUGUAACACAUUAGGGCAUCCGAUUAGUAAGUCCAGUUGGGCAUCCUAUUAUGUUUGUUCAUGUUCAGUUUAAGUUUACCUGAUUAGGAUUACGCUAUUGCCACCCUAUAUAUUAUCUUCUUGAUUUACCCUACAUUUUACACUUCUGUAAAUAUUCCCGGUUGCCCUAGCUAGCUACUAUAAAAUACCGAAUGAUAAGCCAAUGCGAAUAUGCGUAUUUGACAAUGUUACCGGUGAUGGAGGAAGCAUUCAACUCCUUGGCCUAUGAUGGAGAAAUGAGAUAAUAAGCGCGCAUAUUCGAGCCAUUACAAUCAUCUAUAUAUGGCCAUGCCAAAGCUCCGAAAGGAGCUUUAUUUUAGGGAUAAUUAUGAGUUUUUGCUAUGAGUUGUUCAUAUUCGUUUAAUUGAGUUUUUCAUAUUGUUUACAACGUUUGUUUGAUUCAGAGACUCUCCUAAUUACACAAACUUACUACUCCUUGUUUCAUAACAUUUCAACAGGCCAAUUCAAGCUAAGCCUUCAAGAGUGCAGAUCAAUAAGCAGAUGGCUACGGGAGCUGAUAACAAGUAGUUCAUGCUAGUUUUGAGAACAAAAUGCUCCUUUUUUUUACAUGCGUGCCCGUGAUAUGAACAUCAUCCCUUGCCUUCCUUAUUUCCCUUCGGGCCUUUUCAACGUCUCUCUCCAAAUCCUUAACUUUAUUCAGAAACGCUCCCAGUUUGCUCCUGAUUGCCUUCAUUGUGAAAUCUAUUUGUUCCCGAUCCAUUGCCGAGCUCGGAUUGUAGAUGACUGAAUUAAUCUGUGUAAUAACACCAUCAAUCGAAGACUUGAUGUUGCCCAACUCUUUGAUGGCAACUCUAGUUUCCUCGCGCCUCGCCUCAUUUACUUCCAGCUCAUACUUAAAGGCUUUUGCAGACUCCUCAAACCAAGUGAUAGACCAGUGUCCAGCCAUUGCUAUCGGUAAAGUACAGGCAGCAAUUGCGGUUGCAACAGAUGGAGCAGCUAUAACUGCAGUCACAAUCCCGGCAAUAGCCAAUCCAACCAUAGCACCUACAAAUAUCAUAAGCACAACGUUCUCCCAUGAUUUCAAGUGUUUCUCCUUCUUACAAAGCUUAAUGAAUUCACCUUGAAACUUCUGAAGCAUUUCUUCAUGCUGGAUCUUCAAACUUUCUGCCUUCUUGAGCAAGUUUUCAGCAGAAUGAUCAAAGGUAUUAUCAGAGUCUCUGAGCUUCUUCAAGUUAUCCGCAAUCUUCCUGUAGUACUCAGUUCUGCCUCUCAUGCCAUUGUGGAUCUUAAAGUACUUUUCAAUCACAGUUGUAAUAUAUGAAUGGCUAUUGCGAGCAAGUGUGAGGAAUUUUUCCAUUUCAGAAAGGAAGUCCAGCAUGUUAGAGCUGUUCUUCAUAUACUCGUCAGCCAUCAUGUUCACCCUUUCUUCAUUUUUCUUCUUCUUACUACUCCCCUUCCCUUUAGUUGCAUCUUCCUUGAAUGCUAAGAUUGCUCGCACAGUCUUCGUGUUUGACCGACUGACAUAGAGUGUGAGUUGUUUCAAGGAAUCAAUUGAGAGACCUCCUCCAGCCUUGAGGGAUUUCGCGAUUUCUUCUGCACGGGCUUUGAGGUCGGUGUCCCACGAUUGCAAGUCUGUAUUUUUCUUGCAAACUUCCUUAAAUGACUUCUAUUCAGCUGUGGAGACCAACUUGUUGUAGGAAAAUUUUGCAGGAACCGGAGCUGAUCUAAGCAUUCUCAUCAUUUUUUUAGGCCAAAUUUCGUCGCACCACAGAUCCACGUUCUAUCACUGAAAUCCAAAAACCGUUAUGUCAGUGUAAAAACUUGAAAAACGGCAAAACAAAAAAGGGCUACAACAUGAGAGAGUCAAUUUUAUCAUCACUGAUGGACCCUUGAAAAUAACCAAGAAAAAACAGAAAACACACAUAAUUUACAACUGGAGAAAUGAAAAUGAAACAAUCUAAGCUGAAAUUAACUAUGAUAGCUAACCUUUCACCGAGAAUAAAAGAAUUGGAGCAAUCGAUGAGGUACGAAAAUUUGGGAUUCGAGGUUUGAGACAAAAGAAAAGUGAUCGGUGCUCUCUGUGCAAUGCAACUGCUGGAGUUGUGUUCAACCAGAGGACUCUCCAUAUCCAUAUUGUUUUAUAGUGGUGGUGGUGUGUGUGUGGUGGGGGGGGUGGGGGGGGGGGGGGGGGNNNNNNNNNNNNNNNNNNNNGGGGGGGGAGGUGGUUAAUUAAAACCCUUUUCUCACCUUUAUUUUAUGGUUUUUCUUUUUCUUUUGGCUUGUUCAUGCAACUUUCCUUGCGUUAUUUUCUGGAUAUGGGAAACGAAUCUAUUAGUUUGAACUUUGAACCUUGUUCAUCAUGCAACUUGUGCACAUAAUAAUAGGUAUGUCACAUUGUGACCGUAUGGUCAUUCUAUAUGUUGCCUAACAAAGAUUAAUACUGGCGACUAGCCAGCCUGAUUUUGCUGGUGGUUGAGAGUCGUAUGCGUUCGUCGCUCAUAUUAUGUAGCUUGAUUAGCGCUAGCUAGCUUUAUCGGUUUUGGUCCCAGCAGCUAUCCCUUGUUUUCUCUUUUAUGCUUAGAUAUAAAUCUGUUGUGUAGAUCUUAUCCCUUUGAUCUCUUAAACGCAAUUGCAGUUUGCACAUGGACAUGCAAGAGGGUCCAUAACAGUCCGUCUUUGUAGAAGCUUCGAUCUGUAUAUGAGUAAGAAGGGUAGGCAUAUAUACAGUAUGAUGCAUGGUUGGUGGACAACGAGAUGGGAGAUCAAAGAGGUGGCCAUUCCUAGCUCACUCACUCUUCCUCCACAUUUUGGUAUGUGGAAGUCGAAUUGUGAUGCCAGUGUGUGCUCGUCAUCAUGCCGCAUCGUAUAUGUUGUGUGUGUGUGUGUGUGUGUGUGUGUGUUUGGUGGCCGGUGGAGCUGGGGAGGGGGGUUGCGUACGUGAAAUUGUGAGGCUAAAUUGUGAUUGGAGUUGGCUGUGGAAUGUUAGACUUGAUCAAACCGAGUAUAUAUGGUUAUAUUUUGCCUCAAAAUCAAUCAACACUACCUAGCAGCCUGUGAGCUAUAUACCUUAUCACAAGAACGAAGUGCAUAACAAAUUUAUCUGUACCUGCUGCAUUUGUUUCAAUAUGUGUUGAACGUCAUCCGCCAACCCUCCAUUAGCUAGAAGAACAAAAUUGAUUUGUGCAGAAAGAUUCUUUGAAUGCCUCAGUGCAGUCACCUUCAAUAGUUACGUACGUACUUGCUGCAGUUACAAGGAGCAAGUUGAGGAGGUCCGUCCUGAGGUCCAGACAUGUCCAGUAGUACACCACCAGUCCCCACACCAUGUGUAUGAUCGAUUAGGUAGGAAGCAACUUUCCGGAAGGCAAGGCUGCAUCUACAUUCAGCUUAAACCGUCCAUGAUUAGUGGUGGUCCAAAUUCUCUUUGGUUUAGGCCAAAUUGCAUUUGCCUUCUUCAAUUAAUUAAUCUUGAAUAAUCUCGCUGCCAAAGAAAAACAUAUUCUGGAGGCGCCACUUGAAAAACAAAACAAAAAAUAUCGAUAUCAGAUUCGAAAAUAUCAAUCCGUCUCAAUGCGUAGGUCUUAAGCAUGAGUUAUUGAAUUUUCCAAUCUAUAAAUACUUGAAGGAAAACGUUGGAUAUAUAUAUCUUCCAAAAUCCUAACUGCAUGUUCUCUCCAAGAAAAAAUGUUGAAGCAGGAACACCAAGUCUGUGGUGCACCUUCAUGCGCACAAGCUGCAAUAGCACCACCAAUCAAACAAUUAAAUCAAUUAGACGGACUCAUAAGAAUUCCAUCUCUUGUGACAGAACGUAUACUAAAGCCAAAUAUGUGAAUUAAGCAUAUUAUCUUCUCGAUUUACCCUAUAUUACAUUUUGUGUGCAUGUGAAUAUUCCCCUGUUGCUCUAGCGUAAAAUAUCUGACAAACAAUCUAGUAAAAAUAAAAGGUAGAGCGAACCGAGUGAUCAUAAAACACCAGAACUGUAUCAACCAUAGCCAAGUGCCCACAGGCGUACUUUGUCAAUGUUCAUUGCCGGUGGUGGAGGACGCAAUCAACUCCUUGGCCUAUGCGAGUUGUUUAUUAGGCGCAUGUUUAUAAGCAUAGCUAGUCUGUGAACGAUUGUGUUGGAGCCAUUUCUAUCAUCUAUAGCCAUGCCAUUAUAAAAAGCUGCCAUAUGCAUGAUAUGCAUACAUUGUUAAUCUCUAUUCACUGUUCGUACAAAUGACUCUUUGAUAGCAGCACUACAGGUGAAUUUGAUAAUUACAUCGAAUUGAGUAUGGCUCUCGCAUAAGGUCUGUAUAAAAUGGACCUUCAGUUCUUGAUCAUCAUAUAAUAUGACUAUGAUUCCCAUGGCUGCAAAUUGUGGUUAUAUAAUUAGUCUUCCUAUUCUAUUCAAAAAAAUAAUUAGUCUUCCUAUUAAUGUAAGCUUUCAUAAAUAUACCCUAAUUGUGAGCAUAAAUAAGAAGAGAAGAACAAUUGGAUCGAUGGUUUGAAAAUUGGAGGCUUGGGUGGAUGAAUUCAUGUUCUUAAAUUAUUAUUUUUCAUUUUUUAAAUUGUACAUUUUAUUUAUUUUCACAACAUGUACAAUUUUGUUAAAAUAGUUCAGACCAACAAGAUGGGCAGACUCUCCAAACAAGCAUCAAUCAAAUAGCUUGAGAAUAUAGAUUACAAACAAGUGUAGAUCUGCAUAAUUUUUCUCGUCUUCUUCGAUCUCUUUUAUCUUGUCAUGCCUGGUGCCACUGGAGCUUGAGUAACUCCUCGCCUCUGUCUCUCCAUGUUGGCUUCCCAACCUUCAUUAUUUUCCACAAAACAACAUUAUUAAUCGCCCAGAAAUGUACGUACCAACUAAAAGAUCGAUUAUUAACUUAAUUACGUAAAGAAUCAAUGGUCAAUGCAUGGAGAUAUAUCAUUUCAUUAUGAAGUUUCAGUACAAACCCAGCAACAUGUUGAUAGAUACAUAUAAUAGAGAUAGAUUUGUUUUCUAUCAGAUGGAGGUACCAAACAUGCAUGCAGAAGAUGCUUAAUUAGAUUGACCCGAUCGUCUACCUAGUCGAUAUGCUGGAAUUUAAUUUGAGUCGUCGUUGUUUAAUUUUCUGAGUUAAUUAUAUAUGGUUAUAAUUAGUUGCAUAAACAAUAAGUCUGGAUAAGGAUAGUAAUGGACUAGUUGAACAACUUGACCUUCAUAAGAAAGAAUCAUUUUCAUUACUGAUUGAAAAUAAUAUUCUGCAGAAACUAUCUGCUAUACAGAACAAAACAAUGAUUUAUAUGGUCCCUUGAUGAAUAAGCCCUCAGGUUCUAUAAUGUCUCAAAAACAAGGUAAUAUUGACACUUAUAUUUAGCUAGGGUUGCAGUUAUCAUAGUAUUUAGAACAUGAAACCCAGAAUUGGCAUGGGAAAACUUCACAUUUUCGACGUCUGGAUACGCUCUCGUUUGUUUCUUUAUUUGCUCUACAGAUACAUAGCCAACACCAUACUAAGACAGACGUUCUUUGAAACUUAUACUAGUCAAUUAACUGGCCAUGAUGAGCAUUUCUACUCUACGUACGUACUUCUCCCAUUUCCUCGACCUUUACUUCUCAAACAUCACACUUUAGAUACUAACGUUUGGUCUAAUGACAUAAGUCUUCUCUUCCAAAAAUUAUGACAUAUUGAGUUGUGCGUACGUCUCUUGUAAUUAUCUAAAAUUAAGACGCAUACAUCACUAAUCUUAUGAAACUAACUUGUCGGUCGUGGUCAAUUUAUUGGGAGAUGCUAGCUUAUCAAUCAGAAGUUAAUGACAUAGCUGUUUUAGCUAGCAAAAGAGAGUAUGACAUGUUAACCAAGAACAAGAACAACAAACAAAAAUAAUAAUCGAGAAAGAAGGUGUAAAUUACCUAUUCCCAUAUCAAAACCACGAUUCUUGAGCUCUCUGUAUUCUUGACAAAGUGCACAAGUAGCACAGCAGAAAUGAACUAGACAAUCCACACAAGGUGAUUCUUCCAAGUCGUACUGACCUCUCAAUCUCGACCGAAAGAAACACGAAUACAAGCAAGCUAGACCAGUAGUUGCAAGAAGAAUCCCAUAACAGGUUCCUUGUUGAGCACAAGCUGCAAUAUAUAGCACCAUCAAUCAAACAAAUUAAUUAGACCAGACUCGAUCAUAAGAAUUCGAUCUCUUGCAUGUGGUACAACGUACUAAAGCCAAAUAUGCGAAGCACGUCUAACCUAUAAUCCUUAGCUAAUAAGACUUGAUAUUUUACUGUAAUAUCAGGUAGCUAGAGAUUAGUUAAGUGGCUGCUUACAUGAGGAACCUUGCUCCACUAUCUCAGCAAUCUGGCCGAAUGUGAUGCAGGGGCAAAAGAAAGUGAUCAGACCUUCAAAAUUGAUCAAAUCGAAACCAGUAUUCCGUUAGAAACAAAUUACCUAACAGAAUCAACUAUCAAUAUUUCGAUAACAAUUUACUAUAGAUCGACAGCGUCGACGACUCUCUCUUUCACUUACAGUUUGCAGGAUCAUCACAACAAUGGCAAAGACCAGUCGACCACUCCCCUCCUACAUGACGAGUAGACCGCACCGUAUUGACUACGUAUGGAGGAGCAUAUACUCUUGGUACACCAUGGGGACUCAUAGCUGGAACCUGACCAGCUGGAAUAUGGUGAUCAUGAUCAUGACCUGCAUAUUUCUCAUGGUCAGGAGCUGCGGGAUACAUUUCUGGGCUAGCUACUUAACUUACUAGUCGACUUAAUUAGUGCCUGCUGAUCUAUGUAGUGAUUCAGGUUUGCAUUUUGAGUACUAGUAAUUCUCAACUAUAUAUACAACAGGCCUGUAGCUAUAGGAGCGCAUAUAUAGAAGUUUGGUGGAAGCAGCCUAUAUGGCUUGAUUUAUAUUCUUCAUCUAGUACAAGUAUACCCAAUUAUCCCAUUCCAGGAAGUUGUCUAGAAUAUUCAGGGCAGACAAGUGGCUUAGAGACUUGGACUAUUCUCCAUUGACUUGAGUUUUGUUUUAAGUUUACAUGUUUAGUUUUGUAUCACUAUCAUAAAAUGGCAUAAGCCAGUCUGAAACCUUGAAAGAGGACAUGAUUCUACUUUUUAUAUUUCAAAAAAUACAUGUCAUUUAGAAAUGUUAUAUAAGAUAUGUCAAAUUAACACAAACAAGAAAAUCAGAUAAGUAAAUGAUUAAAAAAUAUAUUUCAAGAAGAUUUAGAAAUGCAUACAUCAAAGAUUUAGCUUCAUAAUAUAUCCGCAUCAUUUUUCUGAAAGGACAGUAGAUGUCUGAAUUCCACAAGCUACUCUUUAUGGUUAGCUUUUAAAAAAUCGAGAAGUUCCACCCCUUAUAACUUCUUAUUUGGUACCUCGAGGCCGGUCAGCUUUUUAAAAUUAUCAAUCUAUCCUUCUUUAGUUGUUUUAAGCUAUAUAUUUUAGUUUGUUUUGUAGCCGCACCGUCUUGUGUCUUUUAUAACUUUGUUCACUCUAUAAAUUAGGCUCUAAAAUUUUAUGAUAGUCAAUUUCUAUUCUAAAAAAUGUAAGUCUCAAAUUAAGGAAAUUGGUCUAGUACCUUUUCGUCUAAUGACAUAAGUCUCUCAUUUUAAGUGAGUGGUCGUGAGUUCGACUUACAGUAUUGUAACACAUUAAGUGUGUAUUUGAUCAAAAUUAAAAAUUAAAUUGAGAAAUUGUAGAAAUAUAGGAAUCUAGCUAGCAAGUGUUGUUGACCAUAAAAUAGGAAGGACCUCGAUCAUAUCCUUCUUCCUUUACAAUAAUCCUUGCUUUCACACUUAAGAAUCUGGUAGGAAAUUGUUGUAGUGUUGUAGUCCAAAAUUAUUGUUAAAUAAAAAAGAAAACAACCAAAAUUGUGCUAAUUAAAAAAAUCAACAGCACAGUAGUUAAAAAAAAUUCCAAAAGAAGAAUCGUUGAAACACAGUAUGCGACUCCACUGGGGAUCGAACCCAGAAUCUCUGGUUUCGUAGACCAGCGCCUUAUCCAUUGGGCCAUGGAGUCACAAUUGAAAGCUCGACUGAGAAAAAUAGAAAUAAUCAAAUAUAGUAUCUAUCAACCGAGGGACCCAUGUUCACGCUGACGUCAGCAAAACCAAUACCCUAGCCGCCCACACGUUUUACCGCCAAAAAUGCAUAAAAUUGAAUUGCGGGUAUUUAAAUUGGAGCCCUAUUUUCUGUAGAGUGUGGAAGUCGCGCAGAUAUGGAAGACGAAGAAGAAAUCAUCUCCCUUUCAGAUUCCUCCGAUUCCGAUUCCAGCGACGAAUACACCGCUGACCCAGACGACUUGGAUCUCGGUGAAGAAGAAGAUGACGAACAAGAACACCUCGAAAACGAAGACCAGGUCCAAAACGACGACGUCCGCGAGAAUCGUCGCAGACCCAAGGCCCGCCCUUCUCCGCCGCGGCCGCCGUCCGCCAAAGAUCGCAAAUCGAAGAACGUCGAUGCUCUCCUCAGGUGCCUCUUGAUUUCUAGUUUCUCGUUUUCAUUUCGGUCGAUGAAUUAAUCUCCGCAGUUUUUCAAUUUCUAGCUGGCUAGGGCUUGUUUGCUUUGAAAAUAGUUGAAAUUGAGAGAAAUUUAAGAGUUUCGGUGAUGUUUCGAAGAAAUGAGCUGUGUGGAUUGAAUUUAGGGUUUAGCGGAUUUGAAAUUGAACUGAAAAUUUGCGGCAUUUGAUGUUAUCUCAGCGGCAAUCUUGUGGUUAAGAGGCAGCCGCUUCUGCCGCGAGUUCUCUCGGUGACGGAAGGAGCUACGGUUUGUAGGAAGCCUUUCAAACCGCCGUGCUCCAAAGGCUAUGAUGAUGGAAAUGACCAGCUGGCUCGCCGUCUCUCGGCACGCAGGCGGUUUGUUCCCUGGGGCGGUUCAUCCAGUGCUCCCUUUGUUCCGGUUAUUGAGAGGGUUACUGGUUUGCCUAAUGAUGGUGAGAAGGAUAUAGUGGAGGAGAGUGUGACACUGCCGCCUGGGAUUGUUCCUUUGGUGUUGUGGCAACCUGAUGAAUUGGAGGAUGGGGAUGUUAAUAUGGUGCAGAUAGUUGUGGACCCUCUGCUUGUUCGCUUCCUUCGACCACAUCAAAGGUAUUCUUUUGGUUCUAAAGCUGAUUUCAUUUUGUUUUUCUUUUGGAUGUUAUAUUUUUCAACCAUUCACAUGACUACAUUCUAUCAUUGCUACGGGUAUAACUUAACUUUUGUCAAGCUGUUCAUGAGUGGAACCUUGUAAAGCUCCAUCAACUUGAUGUUUUCAGUUCCAAAAUGUCAAUUAUGUCGCUUAAUUUGAAGAGGGUCUAUAAAGUUUAAGUUUACCAGAUGCUUUCAUAUGGUUUUGGUUGCUUUUAAUUCAUGAGAUGAAGUUUUGAUGCAGAGAAGGCGUUCAGUUCAUGUUUGAUUGUGUUGCGGGAUUAAACAGUGCUGCAAAUAUAAAUGGAUGUAUUCUCGCAGAUGAUAUGGGGUACUCCACUUUCUAUCUAUCUCUCUCUCUCUCUCUCUCUCUCUCUCUCUCUCUCUCUCUUUUAUUGAAUUAUAUAUGCAAUAAUUCCAAAUAUAUUUUUUUGUCUGGUCUAAGGAUCAUGUCCUGAGGUUUUCUUAAACUUGUUACUUUUGCAGUUUGGGAAAAACAUUGCAGUCGAUCACAUUACUUUAUACCCUUCUCUACCAAGGGUUUGAUGGGAAAUCAAUGGUUAAAAAGGCCAUUAUAGUCACUCCUACCAGUCUUGUGAGCAAUUGGGAGGCUGAGAUAAAAAAGUGGGUCGGAGACAGAGUUCACCUCAUUGCUCUAUGUGAAAGCACAAGAGAUGAUGUUGUUUCUGGAAUCAAUCAGUUCACAAGUACUCGCAGCCGUUUGCAGGUAGGAUUUCUGUAACUUAGUCUGACAUUUAUCUGUAAAGGUUGAACUUAUGAUCUAUCCACUUCAGGUCUUAAUUGUUUCUUACGAGACAUUCCGGAUGCAUUGUACAAAGUUUAGCCACAGUGAAUCGUGUGACCUUCUCAUAUGUGAUGAGGCUCACAGGCUAAAGAAUGAUCAGACGAUGACGAAUAAGGUGUGAUGCCUAAAAUUUCUGGCUAUCUGUCUGUCAUUGUUAUUACUAUUUUUGGACAUUUCCCCCUGAAACCAUACUUGGAAUAUUCUGUCAGGCAUUGGCUGCUCUUUCAUGCAAGCGGAGGAUUUUGUUGUCAGGAACUCCAAUGCAGGUAGGACUCAACUCUUUAUGAUUUGUCAUGAUUCCAAGUUACUUAUUUCUCUUCAUAUGUAACACGCAGAAUGACUUAGAAGAGUUCUAUGCCAUGGUCAACUUCACUAAUCCAGGAAUCUUAGGUGAUGCUGCACAUUUUCGUCGCUACUAUGAGGUGAGCUGAUUGCAUUUCCUGUGUACCCCUUAUGGCCUUGAAGCAUGUUUUCAUAUCAUGUUCAUUGUUUCCUUUGUUAUUAGUUUCUUUUUGUUUCUCGCUUGCUCCUCCCUAUCAAAACAAAGCUAACAACAAUUUUAUUAAAAUGAGUUAUACCUUCUUUUGGUGUAAAAAUAAAUUCUUUCUAGCAAUAUCUUUUUUCGCAUAUAUAUAUAUAUAUAUUAUAUCCCUGGAUCUAUAUAUAUAUAUAUAACAAAUUAUUGAUGACAGUAACACUCUUGGAAUUGCAAGUGUUUGAGGACUAUCUCUUUCUGAUGAUAGGAAUAGGCAAAAUAUUUAACCAGUAUUUCUUUUCUACAAUUUGGUAAAAAAAAAAAAUUGGUAAAAUGAACAAAACGUUUUCUACUUGUCCCACCUGUUUCAUGUAUGAAUCCCUGAAUAUGAGUUCUUAGUUCUUACAUACCUAUUCUAUGAAGGCACCUAUUAUUUGUGGAAGAGAACCUAAUGCCUGUGAAGAAGAGAGGAAUCUAGGUCUUGAGCGCUCUUCAGAACUAAGUGCAACAGUUAAUCAGGUAACCUUAUUUUUAGCUCUUAAAGGGGAUUGCUUACUGGAUAGCUUAAGCUGUAUUUGUUCCUACUUUCCUAAAAUGAGUUGUAUCAGUCCAUCAACUGUAGGAGUUGUAUAUCAUUAAAUUUUGCAAAUCAGCGUUUAGUUCAUGAUUUAAUAUACUUUUGCAGUUUAUACUGCGGAGGACUAAUGCACUACUUUCAAAUCACCUGCCACCAAAGGUAUGUACUUAUCUUAGACUUCAAAAAAGUUAAGGAUAUGUUGUGUGUCUGAACAUAGUUCAUGGCCGAUCACGUGUAGUUUCAUGUAUAAACUGGAGUAGUAUACAUACCCUCUAUGGUUCUGUGUCCUAUUUGUCUUUCAAAUUUUAUCACCUUCACUGCAUAUGCUGGUGCAUUUCAACAUAUUCAAUGACCCAUCACUUGAAGUUUGAUGUUCAAACUAUGUGCCUUCUGAGUUCCAAGUCUUAUCAACUCCUGGGUAUGCGUGCUGAUUAUUUUUUUUGUGCCUUUGCGGUAAGGUAGUGCAGAUGUAUAUUCACAUUUAUGGAUAAUAUAUAUUAUGAAAUUCAAAAGAGAAUCUCCUGUGAGUGUGACUACAGGAACUUAUGACCGGAGUGGUUGUAGUGGAUCUAAAAUAGAAGUUGCUUACUCUAUCUCCUAUAUGUGUUAUAAUUUCUAAUCCAUAAACCUUACUUUCAUUAGCAUGAUGGAAGUUUAAUGGCCAUCCAAGUAGAUAUACUUCUCUACAGUUUCAACUUUCUAUAAGAGAGACAGUCAAAAUUUUGUGCAGACAUGACUAGUUAUAUUAUUUGUGUUCCUUUUGAAGUUUGUUACUUCUGAAUGUCUGUGUUUUGUUCUCCUCUUGCAGAUAAUUGAAGUCGUCUGUUGCAAGUUGACUCCUCUCCAGUUAGACCUUUAUAACCAUUUUAUACAUUCUAAAAAUGUGUGUUCUCUUUCUUUUUUUCUUUUUUUUGUUUCUUAAGUAGUUUUUUUGUAGGUGCUGAACUAUUGAAGUUAUUGAACGAGCAAUAAAUGGUUGUUUGUUUGUUUGUUUCUAUCAAAAACAGGUUAAACGAGCAAUCUCAGAAGACACAAAGCAAACAAAAAUAUUAGCUUAUAUAACUGCUCUAAAGAAGCUAUGCAAUCACCCAAAGGUAUGCAUAUGUAGACAUUCUGACACAUAUGCGUGCACAUUCAUGAUUUGAUUUAAUCUGGGAAAUUUGAUUCUUGGUAUUAAUUGCUACUACCCCUUGAUCUUCCUUUUAAAACAUAUCUUUAUUGUGUUUACUUAUAAGAAUCCACAUAAAGACUUUUUUUUUUGUUCUUUGUUUUUUAGUUUUUGCUUUUGAUUCAAAUAGAAACAGCAAAUUGAGAUCCAACAAAGUCUAUGUAUGGGAUUGGACUUAGGAUUCAGGGAGUUUGCAUUAUACAAAUUUCCCAGAUAGUCAUUAGGAUUGGACUUUUACUUACCUCUUCUACCUUCACAUUUAUUUACUUCAAGUUAUAGUUUGGGUUGCUUUCAUUCAUGAAAGGUGUUCAUCUUGUAGCUCAUCUAUGAUACUAUAAAAAGUGGAAGUCCAGGAACUUCAGGUUUUGAGGACUGUAUUCGCUUUUUCCCUCCACAGAUGUUCUCUGGAAGGUAUGUAUGUUUGUCUUUUCUCCCAAUAUGAGAAUCCAGUAUUCAACUCCUGUAUUCAAUGCAUCACUUUUUAUUUUAUUUUAUGUUGUUAGAUCUGGAUCAUGGACUGGCGGAGACGGAGCUUGGGUUGAACUGUCAGGAAAGAUGCAAGUUUUAGCUCGAUUGCUUGCCCAAUUACGAAACAAGACUGAUGACCGCAUUGUCCUUGUCUCAAACUAUACGCAGGUAAUGCUGUGCCAUGAUUCUAGAACAUAGUGUCUGUGUAUAACUGUGUGUGUAUCUUCUCAGCCUCUUGUUCUUUCUGGUCUGGAGGCAGUAUAUGUUUUGCAAAUAAUAGAUCAAUGUCAUCAGUUGGGUCACUUUAUGUCCUUGUUCAAAUACGCUGGUGUAUCUAAUUAGAAGACAGCCCAAAUGCUAUAUACACCUUGAUAUCUUUCACUAGUCCUGAAGUUGGUGACUAGUUCUGUACUUUCUUUUAUUAAAAAUGACUUGUGCUUGUAAUUUCUGGUGCAAGUAUCAUUUUAGUCAUUUGAUUUGUGGCCCAUCUCUUUCCCUUUUUAACCCAUCCAUGAUUCGAUGGAAAAUAUUUACUUGGUCUACUACUCCUAGAAGAGUAAAUACAAUACCUGAAAUCUGAUGUUUUCAUCUUUAGUCCUCUAUAGUCUAUGGGCGUCUGUUUAUAAUCUGACCUUUGUUGACUUGCCUCUUAACUGAUGCUGCAGUUCUGUUUGAAUUAAUUAAGCUAUCUCUUUUACAUAAGGAAACACUUCAAUAUCCAAUUCGACAUUUAGUCGCACACAUUCAUUACAGCAACUUCUCUGCGGAAGGAACUAGGCUUUAAGUUGUCUUUUUGUAUGGUAAUGUCUUGUAUCAGACACUGGACCUAUUUGCACAAUUGUGUCGAGAAAGAAGAUACCCAUAUCUGAGGCUUGAUGGAACGACAUCUAUCAGUAAAAGACAGAAGUUAGUAAACCAAUUCAAUGACCCCUCAAAGGUAUAUACUUUCUGAUGCAAUACAGAUUCUAUAAAAUUCUUUUUAUGUUUCUCCUAAGAUUUGGGCUUAUUAAUAAUUGUAACCAAAACAUUUGUAGGAUGAAUUUGCAUUUCUCUUAAGCAGCAAGGCUGGUGGCUGUGGUCUCAAUUUGAUAGGCGGAAAUCGACUGGUGUUGUUUGAUCCUGAUUGGAAUCCAGCCAACGAUAAACAAGUAAUUGCUUAAGUUAAACUGUAUAUGUACAGCGGAGAAGAGAUCAUAAUAUAUGAAGUCCUCUUCAGUUAUUCUAAUUUGUUUCUUCACCUUUCCCAUGUAAAGGCUGCUGCUAGAGUUUGGAGGGAUGGGCAAAAGAAGAGAGUAUACAUUUAUAGAUUUUUGAGUACUGGAACAAUUGAAGAAAAGGUUUUCAUGUUGCACCUUUGAGUUAUUAUCAUUUGUUUCCUUUUGCAUUUAUACAAUCAUGCAAUUAUUCUUUAUGAUUCUUAAUUUCAAUAAAUCAUCCUGAUCUUCAACAGGUCUACCAGCGUCAGAUGUCAAAAGAAGGACUUCAAAAAGUUAUUCAGAAGGAACAAGCCGAUAGCCCAAUGGCACAGGUCUGGAUUUAUAGCUGUUUCCUUUGUGGUUGUUUGUUCCCUUUAAAUGUAUGUUAUACAGAAGUACUUUUUUUCCAGGGGAAUCUUUCAAUUGAGGACCUACGAGAUCUGUUCACAUUUCAUGAAAACGCGAGGUAUUUCUAUCUUCAAAUCCCUUUCCAGGUCUUGUGCUUUUCUGCAAUAUCAUCACGAGAUAAGAAAAAGUGUCGUCGUUUGUGGAUCACUCGUAUAAAUGCGGUUCAUUGAGACAGUAAAGUAUUCUCUAGUUAUAGUAAAUUAAAAAUCUGUACAAGAAACAGUUGCUUCUGAAUAGUAAAAUAUUUGCACAAAAGUAGCUCUAUAUAUCUACAACAAGAAAGAAUUUACUCGAUGAAAAGGCUGUUUGAGUUAUGUAACUGUGGGUCAUAUACUUCAUUGGUAGAAGCAAUAGUUUAUAGUUUUCAUUAUUCAUCUAUUUGUAAAUAUGGAUUAGUGUUGCUUUCACUUUACGUCUACUGUUGAGAAUCUUAUACAUAGGAUGGAAGUUUCUUAACUUCCAUGUAGAACUGUAAGAUAUAAUUAAGAGUAAACUUAGCAUAUGUAUCACAACAGUGCUAGGUCGUGCAUGUAAGCAUUUAGCCAGCAUUGCAACCUCUUCUACAAUAGGUAAUAAAGUACUAGACAGUUCAUUUUAUGUCCAGGAAUGAAGCUUUGUAUUUGUGUUUGCUAAUUGAUUUUACCCUUUUGAGUGUUUUUGGAAAUGCUGGUUAAACUAAAUGUCAAAUGUCGUUUUCAUGCCAGUAGUUCAUCCUGUUAAUGGGUUUUACAAAUUUUUUUAUAGGUCUGACGUGCAUGAGAAGAUGAAUUGCAUCCGUUGUCAAACUUAUCAUGAUACACCUCAGAGUUUAGCAGAGGGAGAUAUAAACCAAUCAACUCAUAACAGCAGUGAGUUUUCACCAGAAAUCUCUGACAUAGGUGGAUUUGCAGAAAUUGCUGGAUGCUUGCAGAGGUUAAAGAGCUCAGAAAAGCAGGUUGGGACAUCUAUUUCAUAGUUGUCAUAGUUCAUAGAUACUAUACUAAUAGCCUUCUAUUAUUUCAUUUCUGAACUGUACAUAAAUAUUUUCUCUUUUCAGAUCGGGACACCUCUAGAGGAAGAUUUAAGUAACUGGGGACAUCAUUUCUACCCUACUUCAGUACCCGAUGCUAUUCUCCAGGCUUCAGCUGGCAAUGAGGUAUGAUAAAUAAAUCUUUGUAGUUUUAAUGUCUAAGUUAUUGAUUGAAUAAAGGGUGGUAGAAAUAGUUUCACCUGUAGCUCAGUCAGAAAGGUUUACCCCUGGUGACAAGCUUUCAAACAUUACUUAACAUUCACUCAAAAAAAAAAAAUUGAUAUUAUACUAUUUGUCCUAAACUUUUAACAUAAUUUUGUUGCAAAGAAAAUGAAAAGUUAAGGGAAGUAACUCUAAAAAUGUUGCUUCAAAUCUGCAGUCAAUCUUACAUCACCUUCCAACAUCCUGCUAGGUUUUUGAGCUUUUUGUUACCAGUUGUUUUAUAUUUGAUCUUGGAUUCUUUGAUCUUUUUAGAACUUGAACACCAACUUACUUUAGGAGAUUGUGAUAAACUAAUUCAAGCAUAUCCGCCACUGAUGUUAGCCAUGCGAAUCAAACUUAACCAUUUAAAUUGCGUUUGUUAUCAAAAUUGUUUUAGGUUUUACCCUAAAUUUCUUAAGUGCUGUUCAUUGCUUAAGAUAAAAAAGUAUGAUAUAAACACUUUAAAAGGUAACAGCAUGUAUUUUUUGUGAACAAGGUACUAGCAUUUUCAACAAUACAAUUUUCCUUGUCUAUUGUGGUAAUAACUACCACCUCUUUUUUCUUUCUCACUUAGGCUCAGGAACUCAGAUUUUGUUAUCGUCAUUAAAUAUUUCAUAGAAACAAAUGAUCACAUCAGUAUGGAUUUUGCUGCAUUUGGCAUUCUUGUAAAAAUGACAAAGAUUUUGUGAAACAGAAAACAGAUAUCAUGACCAUUGUCCAUUAGUGGAAGUGAUGAUAUAUAUAUGUGUGUGUGCGUGUGCUUGUGUAAAUAUUGUAAUGGUUACCUUUGGAAAAAGAAAGAUCAAAAGAAAUGUUGUUUCAGGUUACUUUUGUUUUUACAAACCAAGUGGAUGGGAAGCUUGUGCCUAUUGAAUCAAAGGUAAGCUCAAAGAUGCAGGGAGAAGUAGGAAAAGAGAAUAUUUUCAAAUCAAAGAAAAACCCGAAUCGGAAAUCCAUGCUGAUGUCUUGGCAACGAAAACCACUUGAAUCUCUUUCUUCGAGUGCAAAUACUACCAGAGGCACAUUAUCCGCCCAUUUGAAGUCCUCACAAAGCUCCUCUGUGAAAUCAGGGAUAACUUCUUUAAAGGGUUCAAUAGCAUUGAAGCCUCAACUCUCUCUUGGAAAUCGAUUGCCCCAGAAAAGAUCUUCUCCUGAUACUGUUGAACAUGAUGAUGAUUUUCAGUAAAUCUUCACUAACAAUUAUUAUCAUUGUUAAUAUGUGAUUGUUUUUCUAUAGAUCAACAAAUUAAGGUGUCUCAUAUCAUUUUACUACUAAAACUAGACAGAAUCAUAUUAUCAGGACCCCCUGGAAUGAGUUGUAAGGAAUCCACUCAGAUUAUCAUAUAGUUUUUCUUCACUUGUAAGAAACAGUACAUGAUUUAAAAUUCAAUGCAUAUAGAAUACCUCAUCAUGAUAGAAAAUUAUAAAUGACUUUUUUUUAGAGAAAAUUAGAGUAACACCCAAUUUUCUAAAGUGGUUUUGGAAAAAAUCCAUACUUAUUUUUCUUUCGAUCCACACCCAAAUCCACGUAGGCAACAUUCCUUACAAAGUGUUGGUGCAUAUUUAUUAUUGUUUUUGUGUUUUCUUUGUAUGUCUAAGUUAUCCUUGGGCAACCUACCUUGUAGAUAUUAUUAUUAUUAUUUUUUAAUUUUUUUUUUAGGAUGCCUUCGUAUAGUUUUGUUGUAUGAUUAUAACAUUUUGAAAUUAUGUGAUCUAUGGCUUAAUUUAUGCAACCUUUAUAGCCAAACUAUCAAAAUGUUGAUACAAGUUUAUUUCUAUUGAACAAAAUAAGUUUAAAAUUUGUUGUUGUUCUUUUUUUGAAAGAGAAAAUAGUAUUAAAAACUAGAGCCUCUGGGGCUACUUGUAACACCCCAGGACCCAUUCCGCCGUAACACGAUAUUGUCCACUUUGGGCCUACCGGCCCUCACGGUUUUGUUUCCGGUAGCUCAGAAACAGCUUCCCAGUAGGUCACCCAUCCUGGGAUUGCUCUAGCAUCAGCAUGUUUAACCUCGGAGUACCCAUCCCCUCUGAAGCCGCUGAGCCACCAAAAGGCCUCGUGUUAGAUUGGAGGUGGGCAUGUACAUAUACAGCAUAUAACCCCUCUCCGUUUGGCCGAUGUGGGAUAUUACAAUCCACCCCCCCUUGGGAGUCCGACGCCCUCGUCGGCACACUCGCACCACACGGCAGAGUGGCUCUGAUACCAUUUGACACACCCUAAAGACCCAUUCCGCUGUAACACGCUAUUGUCCGCUUUGGGCCCACCGGCCCUCACGGUUUUGUUUCCGGUAGCUCAGGAGCAGCUUCCCAGUAGGUCACCCAUCUUGGGAUUGCUCUAGCAUCAGCAUGCUUAACCUCGGAGUACCCAUCCCCUCCGAAGCUGCUGAGCCACCAAAAGGCCUCGUGUUAGAUUGGAGGUGGGCAUGUACAUAUACAGCAUAUAACCCCUCUCCGUUUGGCCGAUGUGGGAUAUUACACUACUAGAGUUUACAAUGUCAAAAAGUAAGGCUCUAGAAGUCUCAUUUGGAACCUUAUCAUUCCAAUACAAAGGGGAAGUACAAGAAUGAUUAAGAUUAGCAAUAGCAUCGGCCACAAAAUUGGUUUCACGGAACACAUGUUUAAAGCUAAUAGAAUUAAAACUAAUCGCCAACUCUUUAAUGUCCUGGACUAGCUUGAUCAAUCCCUAAGGUGGCUCAAUUCGACCAUUCACUGCUUCAAUUACUAGUUUGAAAUCUCCUUCCACUUCAACUCUUGUAAAGCCUUUCACUUUUGCUUUCACCAGGUUGUCUCUCAAAGCUAAAGCCUUAGCAACAGUCAUUGAAGCUCUCCUAACCUAGCUGGAUGCAGCAGAUAAAGGCUUGCCAUGAACAUCUCGGAUGACAAUACCUGUCGCCGAAUCUCUAAUGACGGAAUUACCGUCAAAGUUAAUCUUAUAAAAGAACUAGGGGAUGCUUGACACUUGAUAAUGGUACUCGGGUUUUGAAUUUGCACACCACUAAAACUUUGAUUAAGACUAACACAGCUUGUAGACAUAGAAGCUGUUGUCAUGGUAGUGGAGAGGGCUCAGGAGUAGCCUCUUUAACAAUUGUAUCAUUCCUGGUUUUCCAAAUCUGCCAACAUAUGCUAAUCACUUUUGCAAAUAAAUCAGCAACAAAAGGAUGUGUAACAAAAAGUUCAUUAAAGACUUUAAGGUAACCCUCUUCCCAAUCAAUUGGGGGGACAAUAUUUGAUAAAUUCCAGACAUGUUUGGUGAAAUCACAAUAACCAAAAAGAUGAUUAACUAUUUCAUUGUUUAAAAUUUGUUGUUGUGAACUUGUGUAUCACCUAUAUAAACAUCCAUGACCACAUUCUCUUUCUAAGUUUUUGGCUUUCAAAAGUAUUGUAUCUAGUGGUAUGCCACUCAUGAGAUUUAAUUUCUCAAAUCUUUUCUUUAGUAGUCAUAGUGCCAUGAAUUUUCUCAUGGUAAACUAUCUUGAAAAAUAUCAUGAUUUUUUCUUUUAUGAGUUCAAAUGUUCAUAGUCAUGUUCUGCACAUAAUUCAUGAUGUUUUGGAAUUGGCACAAAUAUUAUGUAGCCAACCAUUGGAUACCGAAGAGUAUCUGGACACUAUGGAUCAUUCUUCAGCUAUCUAACCUUUUGCUGUCAAAAUUCUUCAUCUUCAAGGAAUGGAUGUUGGAGCAAGCUCAGAAUUUGACAAAUGAGAAAUUUAAUGCAUUACUUAUAUAUGCUUAUUCAUGGUAUUUGGACGAACAUGAACUCCACAUUAUGGUCUCAGAAACCCCAACAGACUGAGGAAAUUGUGUGCAGUUCAAUGGCUUGGUAUAAUGAAUACUCACAAGCGCAUGGGUCUCGCCCUAAAAUGCCUAGCUCUCAAAGUAGGAGUAGAUGGUCACCGCCUACUCGAGGCAUCAAACUGAAUAUUGAUGGUGCUUACCUGCCAAAUGAAUCUGAAGGAGGAGUGGGAAGUAUUUUAAGGAACACACAUGGACAUGCACUUGCAGCUUUUGCUCAUCAUGUUUCUUUUGUCAGUUCAGCUAAACAUGUAGAGUUACUAGCUAUCAAGGCUGCACUGGAAUGAUUAUUACAGUAGGGCUACAAACUAGGUCACUUUGAAACAGAUUGCAAGGUUGUUGUGUCAGAUUUGUGAGUUGCAGAUUUCUCUGAUAUGGAAUACAUAAAUCUCAUUGAUGACAUUCAUAGACUUCAACAAAUGAGGCAGUUUUCGAUUGACUUCUCUCCAAGAACAGCAAACUCAGUUGCUCAUAGAUUAGCUAGUCAUGCUUCUGAUUCAGUUGGAAAGAGUGAAUGGAUUAGUUCCAUUCCUAUAAUGCUUAGAGAUCUUCUAAGUUUUGAUUGUACCAACAUUCCAUCAAUAUAAGGAGAUACUGCUCCAGUUUUCAGUCAAAAAAUAAAAAAAUAAAAAAAUAUAGACUAAUCAGACAUGUGACAAAGGAUUUUGGUGUUUUAUUCUAUGUUUGCUCUAUUUUGAAUAACUGAUUGGUCAUUGGUCAUGAUAUUAUUUAGCCUGUGAGAUUCUGGUCCUAGUGCACUUUGUGAUUUCGAAGGGCAGAUCAAAAUACAUGGAUGGGCUCAAGCAUCCCUAAACACAAAAUCUAAUAAAAAAACUAGGUAUAUGUAACUUUAUUUUCUUAGAAACAUAUACUCUUAUGCAGCCAAGCCUCCCUACUCUUAUGCAGCUAAACCUCCCUGACCCCAAUUUUUUUAUUUCUCUAUACUCUUCAGACUUCAGUUCCUUAGUUCAGUUUCUCUCUGCCGUCCUUGCGAGCCUACGACAAAGUCUCCCCAGACCCAAGUAUCCCUAAGGUUGUAAUCCUGGAUCCGUCAUUGAGGAUUCCGAAAUUGGGUAGCCGGAUUGGUGUUUGUGCAUCAGCUGUAGGAGGACUAAAGUGGCUGGAUCUAGUGGUAACUUAUGUAGAAAGUUACUUUAUGCAAAUGAAGUAGUAAUAUUGUGAUUCUUCUGUCCUAGUUGCAGUCCUAAAUCACCAGGGAGAUGGAACCACCGAUGUUAGUAAUAGUGUGGAUGAUUGCUUGGUCAUUAUGGAGAAUUUUCAUUAUUGUAGCAUUGGAUAUAUAUAUAAACCGUGAAGAAAAUAAUGUGGCGGAUAGAUUAGCAAAUAGUGUAGAGGAUAUAUUAGCACACUUUGCUAAUAGGGGUCAUUCUAUUGAACUCCGUUUAAAUGAGGAACCUGCUCCUGUAAGAGUUGUUCUCCUCGAAGAUUUGUUUUUUGUAAGUUCCGAUCAAGGGUUAGGAAUUACAGCCAUACUGAUGGGACAAAGAAUUAUUAAUAAUAAUUUGGGCGUGAGGAUGAGCCUCCCAACUUGACGGGGUUCUAAAACCCACUACACUUCCCAAAAAAAAAAAACAUGAAGUAGUUGUUUUUUCUUUCUUUUUUAAAAACAAUUAAUGUGCUUAAUGUUGUCAAGUGAGAGCUCGAAAACUAAUUCUUUCUUAGAUUAGACAUGAGAUUGAAGUCCGACGAAGGCACAAGAAAAAACUUAUACAUAGAAAUGACACUAUAUACUAAUCUAAUAUGUAGAGAAAAAUUAUGAAAAACCCUUUUCGUUGAUCAUCUAUUGUUCACGACUUUCUAAGAAGAAUAAUAUGAAACACCAAUCUCAAGCCUGAAGGCCUUGACAUUCUUAAUGCAUGCUCUAGUUUAGAUCAAGGAGCUCAUGAAAAGAUCAACUCUACUUAAAAGAUAGAACGUCCUAACCUAGAGCAAUGCCUCUAAAUAACCGAACAAGGAAUAAGGACAAUGGUCCUCCAAAAAGCUUAGGGUCUUGAUUGCACUAACUCAGAACCCAAUGUCAGCCUCCAUGCAAAAUAAUCUUCACAUUCUCUGAUUCUCAACCACCUCCCAACCUCUCGAAAAUAACAAGAAGCUAAACUAGCUACCACAACUAUCAACAAAGAAAGUAAACAUUACAAGUAAUGCUAGAGUUGUCUCUCUAAUGAGCGUUUUGUUUAAGGACUUCAUUGUUGGUAUGUAGAUCAAAAGAGUAAGUUAAGAAACAUUUUAGACCUAGAGUUCAUAUAGCACUUGAUUGGCGUGAAUUUAAAUUGAAUGGUUGCCCACCACCCACCGUUAAGAUUCUUGAUUGUAGCGCCAUAUAAGAAAUCUUCAACUAAGAAACGUUUUAGAGCUAGAGUUCAUAUAGCACUUGAUUGGCGUGAAUUUAAAUUGAAUGGUUGCCCCACCUCCCACCAUUAAGGUUCUUGAUUGUAGUGUCAUGUAAGAAUUCUUCAACUACUUCAAAUGUGAAGAUAUAACAAGAAUUCUGCUUGUCUAGAACAUGACAUAAGCCUAUAAUAUUUUCUUCUAAUGUCAGCUCUUGUAGAUUUGGUAAAUUGUUGUAGAAGUUUUGGGAGUGAAACAUCACUUUUUAGUGAGAGGUCAAUGUGUAAGGUGUUCAAAUUUGGGAAAACAGACCUUGUCCCAUCUGGGACUUUGAUCUUUCAAUUUGAAAAUUCCUUAAUUCAAUCGUGGUCUGGUCUAUAAAGGAACUAUAGUUUGACGUUAUUGAAUCAAGAAUUCUAUGUUAAGGUUCGAUGACCAACAUGGCUAGUUGACUUAUGUCUUUGUCAACCUUGAGGUGCUCUUCAGUCAGAUGACUUUGAUCAUGAAGUGAAUUAUGUAGAAUUUAACAUGGUCAUUCAUCGAGGUGUCUUGGAUCCCAAUUAAUAGAUCAUAGUAUAUGGUUUUUUCUUUUAGACGCUUGGUCUAUAUGGAGCUAGAGAAAGUAGUUUAUAUGAUGAACGACGAUUAAUCCAACUUUAUGUAGCUACAUAAAGUGUAAUUAUCAUAUCCAAAGUUGGCUAUUCGAAUGGAGCACUUGGAGAUUGCUGGCACAAGCAAGAUAAUUUGCUGGCAUAAGCAAGCAAGUUCAACUUUGGAAAUAAAUAGAACAGACCAAAGGGACACUGAUACUAGGGCGAACUUAGUGGAAAACAUAGUAUAUGUCAACAAUCAAUUACAUAAAUUCUAUGAAAAACAUAAAAAAUAAAAAAUCAGAAUUGACAUUGUAAGAUCAACAAAAACCAAGGACUUAUCCAAAAUUUUUGUACAUUAUCAGUGGAAAGACUAAAGUAACAUGCAUAUGAAUAAUGCAUUCUAACAAUUCAAACAUGAGAGAUAGGAGAUUUCAAAACAUUAACUACCCACCCUUCUUCAGUGGCAUGAACGCAUUUGAAAGAUGCGUAUUGGUGAACAAGCUACCCAUUCUUUUAGCCUUUAUAUGAAUAAGCAACUCCAAAGUAUCUGUUUUAAAGAUGGUCUCCUCAUGACGCCAUACGUAUCAUUUAAAAAUGAACCCCUAAAAUGUAAACCAAACAUGUAAACAACAUAAUUGAUAUCGUAGAGAAUGAAAUUUUACACCAAGCGAAAAGACUGCUUCUAAAGACACGGUAGACACUACGCGGAAUCUUCUUUCAUCAGACCAACGCAAUUCAUCUCUCACACUCAAUCAAUCUUAUUAUUGUGCAUGUAAUAGUGUGUACAAGAUCAAACCUUGUAGUUAUUGUACCAGUUACUUUUAACAUGUUGGACUAGGAGAACUUGUGUUUUAUUUAUGCAAUCACAUCGUUUUUCGUACUUGUUUGUUUCUUUCAUAUUGCAAUUCAGUUAACAAUUUCAAGUCAUGAAUAACCUUAUCAACAGACAUGCAUGUACGUGAAAUCCCGAACCUGCUUAAAAAUAUAUAUAUAUAUAUACAGUCCCCUUCCAGAGUGGGAUCCCGCCUUGAAAUUAAAGUGCGGGACUCCUUUCUCAACAACUUUGUUCAAAACCAAAAAACCAAAGUAAGCUAUGCCUAGUUUAAAAGAAAGUAAAUACAUAGCUACAUGAUACUUUAUUCACAUACAUUUUACAUGUUUAGUACACGUACUAUACUUCAGUUUUACAAGUAAUAUGAGCUAGCUACAUCACUUAUGGUUGCAAUUGGCAAUAGAAACUAGUUGGACUUGCUUGUUAUUACUUUCAACAACUCUAAGUUUUAGCUAUAUGUGUACUCUUUCUUUUUUCAGCUUGCUUUGAAUCUUUAGUAUACCUGAAACAAACACAUAAAUAAUUUAGAAAAUUAUUUGGAUUGCUGCUUUGUCUUAUUUGAAAUGUUGAUUCACCUACUAGCUAGCUUAUGUCUAACACAUGAUUACAUGCAGCCAAUCACAAGUAAAAGUCUGGAAAUUUCAAUCAGACUUGUGGGUUGCAAGUAGCUGCUCACUCAACAGCUUAAAACUUGGGCAUCAAGUUUAAAGCAGCUGCAGGCACUUGAAGAUAAAUUUCAAGUGUUUUUACAGCAGGAGGUGGUAGCAAAUUAAUAGUCAGAUAGAUAAGAAUCUGACUAAGAUAGGCUAGGGAAGCUGGAUGUGGCAAGUCUAUACAUGCAAUAUGCAUAAUGAUUACAUUAAUCCCUAGAAUAAAUAGAGGUAUUCACCCGAGAAAAUAACAAAAUAGAAUUUAGAAGUUCAUAAACGUAGAGAAAAGUUAAAAUAAGAAGGAAACUAAUGGAGGUCUGAAACAAAGUGCUAGUGUCUAGUAGUGAAGUUUCAACUUUGGUAAAACAGGUUUGAGGUAGGGGAAGUUAUGGGGAAUCAGUUUUGUUUUAUAAACUUGUUAUCUUGUUUUUCAGUUGUAUAUAUAUGUUGUUGUUAAAGAUGGUUAUUAUGUUUAACUUUUCAUCAUAUUAUUAUCUGAUCUUAUGUAAUAUAAGAAAUGAAUGAAGUGUGGGGUUGAGGCUAUCACUUGAAAGGGACCAACUAUAUAUGUCAGCCUUUUGUAUACAAAUAAGGAGAGAAGCCCUUUUAAUUUCAAAUUGAUAAAAUGAUCUCUAUUAUGGUAAAAAGACACUGGUGACCAAAGAUAGUGCAAGAGUACCAAUUUGAAAACUUAACAUAUAUAUGUGUAUACACUUUUUGUUUAUUGAAAUGACAUGAGAUUUGCUUUACUGAGUUUAUGGCUCACCCAUUUAUGAACUUGUGCAGAUGUUACACUUUGAGAGAUAAAAAACAAUACCCUGGAAGGGAUCUGAAGUCUAGGAGGAGUAAACUACAACUUGCUGUUUUUAUUUUUUGUUUGUAUAAUAAGGUUUAGUCUAUAAGUAUUCUUUCAUAUUUGUUGUAAGAACAGUAUUUAUGAAAUAAAAUUACUCCUUCAUUAAGUUACCUCUUAUUCAAAUGUUUUCAUAUAACUUUUACUUGUCAAAGGUUCUCUUAUGUUUGACAAGUCGAAGUUAUUCACGUCCUUACCCGGGAAUAAAACAUAUUUUUCAAAUUUCCAAGUUGGGGUGUGACAAGACAUAACAAUAAAGACUAGAUUUUCCAAUAAAGCCUCUUGCUCUGGCUUAAAUUUUAUGUUCAAGCAGCUAUCUGAACUAAAUGUUGCUGCUUUUUUAGGCAAGAUCGUUCUCUUGUGCUAUAUAUUUGAGAGAUCAAGUGUGUCUUUUAGGUUUCUUCUUUUUUCAGUUACUCCUAUGCUGCAAAGAGAAUGCUCUUCCAAUCUCAUGAUUGGCUAGUUCAUAUGAACUAGUAAUUUUAUGUUCAAACAGCUAUCUGAACUAAAUGUUGUUGUUUUUUUAGGUAAGAUCGUUCUCUUGUGCUAUAUAUUUGACAGACCAAGUGUGACUUUAAGGUUUCUUCUUUUUUUCAAUUAUUCCUAAGCUGCAAAGAAAAUGCUCUUCCAAUCCAUGAUUCAUGAUUGGCUAGUUCAUGGAAUAUGAACUAGUAACUAGAGGUUACAACUAGCUACCACUAAGUUCGCCCCAAUAUCGGUAUCCCAUUGGUCUAUUCUAUUUGUUUCUAAAGUUGAUCUUGCUUGCUUGUGCAGAAAAUUACCAAGUGCCAAUGAGCACUUGGAGAUUGUAAUUAUCAGAUCCAAAGUUGCUUAAAUCUACCAAAGUAAUCUAUUGAUUUAGAUAUGACCUUCAGGUUUCAUUCAUAUUACUAGCAACUACUACUUAUCACCCAUACUUAUGUAACUAAUAUCAGACUUGAUCAAGGGUUUUCGAGAGUUUCAGUUGUGUGGCGAGUCCUACUCUAUGGAUGGUUCUGUCGCAUCGAUGGCUGCACGUCUAGCGACUAAGCUUUCUUUGAACAAUCAAGAGGAACCGAUGCACCAUGGAGACCUCCGGUGUCCGGAUAGUGGUUUUGUUGCGCUGCGCUUUUACUUGGUUGGAGUUAAACAACUCAUCAUUAACAUCCAAGCAAGUAACAUUUCAUUUUCUUGUAGUUGGACAAAAACAGGAGAGCUAAUUGGAGGCAGAAUAUUAGACUAGUCGGCAUCAAAUGGCAUAACAUUUGACAUAGCGAUGGAGCCACUUUCUACUGCUUCUAGCAUGUUAGAUAAAGGGACUUUGUUAGUAUAACAUUUUUAGGGUUUUGGGUAACGUUCAAAGCACCUAAAAGAGAAGAGUUUAUAUCCCUGAUCUGACAUUGUGAAUUGAGCCUUGAAGAUUGAUUUGAUUAUGUUAGAGUGAGUUCUUAGAUAAGACAGAUGAAAGUUUCUUAAACUAGAGUGAAACAGACAGGUUUUGCUAACAAAAUGGGAGACCAAAAGGGAGACAAUGCCCUUUGACCAAGUUCUUCUUCCUCCUAAACCCAUAAUGAGGGCAUGAGGAGGAUAAUGCAGUUUCUUCAAUCGGGAAUCAACCACAUGUCAAAGACCCAUUAGCCUUAGGAGUGCAGAUUUCAAUCUAGAUUAGGGUAAAGCCAUGUGCAACUACUUUGAAGGUCAAUAGUUCUAAGAGAGAUCGAGUAGGAACAAAGAAUCUUUAUUCUUCUUCUGAAGUUUAGAGUAAAUUUAGUCCUAGAUUGGUGCUGUUUUGUGGGAUGUGUAAGUAGUUGAAGAUGACCUUGGGAGACCUCAAACGACACUUACAAAUUAUAUGCAAAGAAUAGAAGUUCUUGAGGCUAGAUCAGGUAUGAGGGAGGGUGCAAAAUUGAAUUGGUAUUAAGCUAGAUGAAGUUCGAUUCUUGUCACAGUCCUCGUGAAUCCAGAAUUAGAUUAGGGAACAGGUUUCUCUAAACCUUAGAGGUUAACUAUUAUGAGUGCAAGGGUAUUACAAACAAACGAAAACAAAGAUUUUCAUAAUUCUCAAGAACUAGUUAAGAGUUUGAAGAAAACGAACAUAUGACAAUUGACUCUGAUAAUGAAUGAGUAUAGAUAUAAAACUCUAGCAAUGAAGCUAUAAACCCUUCACUCCGCACGACAUACAUGUAGGAUUAUGGUAUUCAAAUGAAUUAUCUUUAUGUUUUAGGACUCAAAACUUAUAUUCACUUGCGUGUCAUUUUAAAUACCAACAAUUUGAAGACAAACAUGAAAAUAACAAUGUCAUAUCUUUUCUCUUAUAUUUUCUGUUGUUUAGGUGUAUUGUUACAGACCACAAAAGGUUGUAUAGUAUCGGAAGUUCACUUGUGUAUUAUUUGAUUUCUCUAUCAAUGUAAGGAGAUAUUUAUCUUAGGAUAAAGUACUAGUGUGCAUUGUGGAUGCAAUGUGGUCUACAUUGUCUUCCCUAUCAUUAUUUCUUUCUGUUAAUUGAUCAAACAGAGAAGGCCUUGUUGGAAAGGAUCAUUCAUAUGGAGCUGCGAUCUAACCCAUAUCAUGACAUGUGACUCCCACAGAUCCCCCUAAUCUGGACAGACACCAAAAACUUAACCUUCUUCCAAUAAAGAAGAGAGAAAAAUAACUUAUAAAGUGUCUGUCACAUUUGACUAAUGUGGUAAGGAAGCUUUUGCAACUCCAUUGUCAUCCACUCGAAGUGAACGAUGAGAUUGGCCACCCCAAUGAAUAUAUUCCAAUUAUUAGGUGUUACUCGGUGUAGAAUAUCAUGAUCAAAGUGGUUUUACGUGCAUUUGUUUUUAUUUUUUUUAGGAGUAAAUGCUUGUGACACCCUGUAGUUUACACCUAAAAUCAGUUUUGUUCCUCUUUUUUUUUUUAAACUGGUAUACCCCUAUACUUUGAAUUCUCGACUGAUUUACCCUUUUCCCAGCUGGUUAUGACUGUGACAUGCUCAUUAACAAUGCUUGUGAGAGCUUCAAUGGUUGGGUUUUGAGAGCAAGGUCUAAGCCCCCUAUUACUAUGCUAGAAGAGAUAAGAGUGAAGGGUUAUUUAGACUGUUAAUGAGCAUGUCACAGUCAUAACCAGCUGGGAAAAGGGCAAAUCAGUCGAGAAUUCAAAGUAUAGGGGUAUACCAGUUUAAAAAAAAAAGUGAGGGACAAAACUGAUUUUAGGUGUAAACUACAAGGUGUCACAAGUAUUUACUCCUUUUUAUUAUAAGGUGACAAAUCCAAGUAACAUGAGAUGUCUACCGGACAUACGCAUAAAACAAGCUCUCCUUCUAAUAUAAAUGCAAACAUCUCCAUGUGGAUUCUAACCUUGCAAGUAAAUCAUCAAAUUUAAAAGGGUUUAGUAAUCCUUGGUUUCAAUGUCCAUAGCAUGCUUAAACAUGUUUAACAAUUAGAAACAAUUGGCAUUGUUUUGCAGCACCAGUGGUAGUAGCAGCAGCUGAGUAGUUGUACAACUUCCUCGCUUCUUCCUCUCUCCAUGGAUCCUAGGAUUUCCUUCUCCAAUGACUUUGCAGACACUCAACAAGCCAUCAAGCAUGAAGCCAUCUACCGAGAAGCGCCAGUUUCUGCAGAUUUCGAGUUCUCUGUGAACAACUUCGGGAUGAUAGCUGCGGAUGAAGUCAUAUUUCAGGGCACAUUGUUGCCCUUGAAGGACAAUGGUGCCAACCAGGGAGGGAAGACUACUCUAAGGGAUGAGUUACUGGCUGAGGAUGAUUAUAGUGACAGGUUUUCGAGGCCAUCAAGGAGUCUAAGCCGGUGGAAGGAACGAUUGGGACUUAAGAGGUCUCAGAUUGUUCCAAAGAAAACAGAUAGGAGUACUCAUGGGGGUCUGGAAAGCAUAGUGGAAGAGAGGAGGCAUGUGUUUGUUCAUGAGGCUAUACUUAUUAGCAAGGAAACCUAGGUAACAUGAAUUUUCUUACCCUUUUCGUCUCGUCUCACGUUUCUUUUGCACUUUUGUUCAUUAUGCUAACGCAUGAACACAAUUAGACCUAAAGGUUGGUUCAUGUGCAGGAAAUUCUGUGUGAAAAAAGGAGGAUUGAGUUGCAGAAAUGAUGGGAUCUGAUGCAUGAUGUGAAGCUCUUUGUUUAUGCAAGGAACAUGUAGUUCCUGCUAACUAUGAAGGUAUGGAUAAAGUGGUUAAAUGAGUGCUAGUUUAGAGCCAGUGGCUUAGCUUUUCAGUCGUUUUGUCCAGUUGAUUCUAGGCAACACCCCAUUCCCCUCUUUUUCUUUCCUUUUUUUGUUUUUGUUUCCAGAGAAGCACUCCAUCCGAUCCUCCUGAGAAUUAGAUGAAGAAUUUAUCAAUUUGACUGUUUCAUUUUGUACAAAUGUUUUCAGUUGAAGUUGUGUGACUUGAUUUGUAAAUUUUUGUAUUGAUCUACCGCACCAUGGUUUCUUUCAUUCCCAUAUUGAUAUUGAUCUAUUCAUCUCACUUUAUAUGGGAGUUAACCUGUUGCGAAUAGCCUGAUACCGACAUUGAAAAUUUUCAUACCUUUUCCUUCUUCCUCCACUGGCAAAAUCAAUAGCAAAAUUGCGCUCCUUCCAAGUAUAUUUAACCAGGGUGAGGCUUCGGAUCGCUCCCUAAAAUGUGGGAUCUGGAUUUGAAUUGGGUUAAGAAAUAUUACUAAUCGAAACCUGGUAGAGGCAAUCAGUAUCAGCCAGGUACACAGUUGAAGUGAGACAGAAUGAGAGUGCACUAUAUUCAUGCUUAGUUACUGACCAGGUGUAUAUAGCUUGAAAAAUCCACAAGAAUAAAGCUCGUCUGGCAAAGACAGCUCCAUUUCAUCCAUAGGUCUUGCAACAACCGCUAAUAUCAAAAUCCUAACCUCUUCCUUACAUCCAACUGGAUCCAUCUCCAAGUCCUUUUUCAAUGAUAAGUCUAUAGAUUUGAAAUAGCAUUACACAAUCCUAAGAAAGAUCAAGGUUGUUAUACUUGCAUGCACCCAUGCACUUCUGACUUUUGAAGACCAACAAAGAGCAUAUAGUCAACUACCAGCACAGCUCAGUGAUAAAUAAUUUUUGAAUGAAUAUUUACAACUUUGAAAGAAUAACAAUGGGAAUCUAACUAACUAUGCCACUCAAUCAAAUAUCUACAAUUCACUCGAAACAAGAACUCAUAUCUACAAGGACUGUCACUAUAGUAAAGGCCUCUGUACACUACCUACAAUCUUGUUGCAAUGGAACGAAUCUGAUAGUUCCACUAACUGUACACCUUGAAGCAAUCGUUCCAGUACCUGUACAACUUUUGUUGGAGUCAGUAUCCCACCAAGUUUGAUUCACACAAUGGGUAUCUUCUUAUCGUAACUGUACAUCUUGAACCAAUCAUUCACCGUUGCUUGAUCCCAUAUACCAGCAAGUUCAACUUGCAAGAUACCACAUACCAGCAAGUUCAACUCGCAAGAUGGAUCGGUCUUAGUACAGAGAUAGACAGGUCAUUACUGAUCCCACUAUACCCCAGGGGAGCAGUAGCUCAAAAGUUUAGUCACCAUUAAAUAAACCUGCACCGAAAAACAAAGAAGAGUCUGUUAAAAAUGUAGGAUUCCUAGUGAUGGCGAUGAAAGAAAUAUUUUGUGACAAAUUGAAUGUCGAACCAUCAGUUUUGUUCCCAUGGCUGAGGGGGACCUAGAUAUUUCUCCAUGGACUCUUUCUUACGCUCCAGAUCAAGGCUGCAAAGCAAAAUAAGUUUAGUCUCCAGAGGUUAAAGUGCUUGAUAAUUACUAUAUUAUGUACUAUCCAGAUAUAUAAAUCAAGAAUACAAACUAACCUAUUUCUGAAGCCAAGAAGAGCACAAUGUACAGCACUUGCACAAGCAGAAGCUGGAGCUAUAGCAGCUGCAGGGACUGCCCGAACAGCAGAUGCCAGAGCUGAUCCAGCACCAGCUCCACGUUGGUAUUUCUUCAGGGGCAUCCGAACCAAGGCAGAAGCAGAUUUCCCCAAACCAUCACUGAGACUUUCAUAUGCCUGUCAAAGCAUGUUCCAAUUAACGUCAAACACAGUAUGAAGCUUUCCACCAAACAGAGAUCAUAGAGGAUACGAUGACAAGGGAGGCACUGAGCAUUUCUUCCACGCCAAUAUUUGAACUUACAAUGUUGUAAUAAACUACUUUAAUCGAAAUCAAAACAAACAGUAAACAGUAUAAUAGUAACAAAAGGAGGAAACAAGAAGAAUUAUGAAGAAAACACGAAAAAAAAAAAAAAAAACGAAGUUAUUGGAAGCACCAAAAAGAGGAAAGCUAACAUGGUGUACUGAUUACCAAAUGUUGGACUAUCACCUGAUGAAUUCCUUGUUGGGCAUCUUUAGGUUGAUUGGAUCUAGCACUGGAUUUUACUUUAUGUGGUCCGGACCAAGGUACAGAAGGAGGAACGCUUGUUAGCAAACAUUCAGCUUGGAGCAAAAUAUCAUGAGCCCCAGCUGCUAAAUGUACUCCAAGACCAACAGCUUCAAGAGAAAUACUUCUAAGAAAUGCAAUUGUACCUGUAAGGAAUUUUCUAUAUUAUGAACACCAACAUGCGUCAUGCUACCAGUAAGCAAUAUACUGCUACAUAGCUUAGAUGAAUAACAUGUAUCAAUUUCUACUCAAAGUUAUUAAGCUUUGGAUAGUUCAGAACUAAGUCAAUAACUAUAAGACCACCUUCAGGUUAAUUCCUAUUGUAAAUAAGUUUCUCUAGGUCCACUCUAUACUGUACAUCCUCUUGAGACUAGGACCGAAUCCAAGUUCUCUUUAGAAUUUCGACCAACACUCUUAGCAUAAAUUUUAAAAUACUAACACCAAGAAUAAUACGGAUGCAUACACAUUCACUACACAGACAUUUGACUGAACUCACCUCUUUGCAUUCCCUUCAGUACCCUCUUGUCCUUCCUAUAGUGCUCAACUGGCAAAGAAACCAGCUUCGCUGCACCCGAACCAACAGCAACCAAUGACCGAAUGGUAGGAAGACCUCGCAAUAUUUUAUGAAUCUACAUUUUAAAAAUGCAAUGGCUCAUUAUAAAUACACUAUUAAUUGCAAAAGGAUAGCAAUCAUAUAGAUGUACCAACAAACUAAACCUGAUUUUGAGAGAUGUCUUCUAACCACUCCCCUAUAAUUGUUUCACAUACACUGCCCCAGCCAUAAAUGCCAACAGCAUGAACAUGUUUAAGUUGCAGCUCUACCCCCUGCAUUUAUUUGUGGAAAUAUGGUCAGCGAAUACAGGUGUUUAAAUUUAAACAAUAAACACAGAAUACAGGUAUUAGUUAUCAGGACUUAAGAACUCAGAAACAUACAAUUAAUCAAAGCUUUUAAGAGUUUAAUAGCUGCAUUUUCACUUUCCUAACUGGCUCGAAAAUUAAUAAAGAAGUGACACCAGAAGCUUAAAUCUUAACAAUCCUAAGAGAUUAGUUGACACCAGAAGCUGUCAUGUCUUACAUGGGAGGAUAUAUGUCACAAAGAAGUGAUACCAGGAGAAAACAAGAGAAUGUUUAUGAGAUUUUCAAAUGAUUUUUUUAUUUAUUUUUUCACAGUGAACUUUAGGAGUACAGACUUGUUUUAACAAAGAUUGUCAUACGGUUCUGUUUCUUUACACAAAGAUCGUCAUUCGGUUCUGUUUCUUUACACAAAGAUGUAAGAACUGUUUUCCUCAUGAAUAAAUCAAUAAAGGUAAACAGACACAAACUUUACCUUCCAUGGGACAAGAUUUACAAGUUCUACGUACUUCCCGCCUCUUAAUGCUGCCAGAUCAACACGGCUAGGACUGUAGUCCACCCUAACAAGGAUAGGCCAUAUAUCGAACUUCUGCAGAGGGAAAUAUGAACUUUUAAAACAGUUAUACAUCUAUUAACACAUUAAAAUCCACAUAGUAAGGAAACAAAGAAAAGAAUAUAAAUAGCUCAGCAAAAUAAAGAACACAAUCCUAAAAUGAUUUGAAUCAAGAACACUUAUGGCUCAAAUGGUUGAGUUGCAAAUAGAUAUUUAAAGACACAAAAAUAGUGUAAUCCUUUUUAAUGUAGUACUUGGACUUGUGGAAUAACUGAAUAGUGAGAAGCACAGACAUUUCUUCAUACUUAGUCCCACGAGUUCCAUUGAUUGUUCAUGAAUGAGCAGGAUGAUGUGAUUAUAUUAUAUACGUCUAUAUACACACACAUAUAUUUUGAGAUGGCUAAAAAGAAUACAAGCUUGAGGACCUCAGUAGCCUCAAAGAUCUGGGCUACUAGCUUAACAAUUUGUGAAAAGGAUGUUAAGCUAGCGACAAUAUACCAUCACAUGCUAUGGAGAACCCUUCAUAUUCUUAAUAUGACAUAUCAUCAUGUGCAAGAACAUGUCAGGACUCAGGACCUCAAGUCUGAAAGUCACAAUAUGGGAUGCAAGAUAAAACUCAAGGAAAUCCAGAAAGAAGCAGAAAUAAAACUUUCCUGAAAGUAAGGAAGAAAUGCUUCCUCUGCAAUGGCAUGCCCUGCAAGAUUAUUACUCUUUGUUGGCAACACUUUUGAACCAUCUGAAUCUUGAUAACAACCAGAAGACUGAUCAACUGAAGAGCUCUUUGCCCCAAAGAAGCCAAUGAGAAAAUCAAGCUGGCACUGGUGAAGAUGCAGUAACAUGGGAAGGAAUGCGACUCGCAACCUGUGAGGGAAAAAAUACAAAAAGCAACAACCACUGUUACACCACAUUGUCAUUCCAUGAAAAUUUAAAGAAAUAAAUAACAAUAAAAUGUAAUAUAAAAUUACUGACAGGACAUCAAAAUUUUGAAUAACAAGGCAUACAUAACAAUUGGUCACCACUUCACAACAUACAUAAAAUACCCCAAGUGUUAAUAAGCUAAUAAUCUUUAUAAGACCUCACAAUUCUGAAUAAUAAGGAACCUGUUACAACCCCCCUUAUUCAACAGGUAAUUGUAGAACAUAAAGAAAGAAUACCUAUACUCUUCCAGAGGUGUCAGAGGAUCUGGUCUGACCGCUUCUAAGUCCAGCUUGAAUCCUUUUGAAGAUGAUUUCCGAGGACGAUCCUUUGAAUGGUAAUAUCCUAGCAACUUCAAAUCCAAAAGGAAAUAUAAAUUCAAUCUAUUUGGUAAGCCCCAAUCACUAUAAUUUUGGUGAUAAAAGUAUAUGAAACUUACAAGUUUCCAAGGAGCAUCUUUGCUCUUAUCAUAUAGAUAAAAGUCUUCAACCGAAAGAGAGAGCUUGGAGACACAGAUUUCACCAACUGGGUAAACGUCAUAUUGAAAUUCCAUCCCACAUAGUGAGAACUCCAGGCAUACAGUAGCAUCCCUUCCACUAAUAUCCCCCGACCGCUGCCCAGUUGCUCUAGAAUCAUGCCAGUCAGAGCCAGCAAACAUUCUCCAUCUAACAUCAAUGUUCUUAAGAAGUACACGUCCAAUGACUUUCCCUAGAUCAAUGCAAUUUGUACCGCCAGUAGAAGGAAGCUUGUCUUCGACAAAUUGUUUCUUACUACUUCUACUCGUUUCUGGAAUAUGAUUUUCCAAAAUAUUUAUGGAUGUGCCAUACCAUCCAUGAUUUUCUUUUGACCUAUCUCCAAUUCUGGUAUGCUUGGACUUGGUCAUAAUCUCCUGAGAUGAUCGUCUGCCAACAGACAAUUCCGAGAGAGGUCGUAGCUCAGAUAAGCAAUACCCUUCAAUUAAUUCCAAAACAUUACCACCUUGUAGGAAUGAUGUUUGACUACUUUCUGAUUCAACUGAAGGCACUGACCCAUCAUAAAAUUGACCAGGCAAGAAAACAUCAGGAGUUCCAAUACGAGAGUAACAAGCCUCUCCAAGCUCCUCAUCAGAUGAUAAACCAAUUUGUGACUCAGAGGAAUCGUAUUGGUAGGUGUGAUUGUUAUCUCGAAAUGCAUCUUCGGAUAUCUCAUCCAUUAACCCAACAACCUUAGGCUCUCCCUCUGUAACUAGAUCAGACGUGUGCAAUUGAGCAGUUGGAGACUCACUAUCAAAUAUCCUGAUUUCAUCGGCCAAACCUCUCAACUCUUGUUCCUGCUGAAAUUUAUUCCAUCUCGUCUGCAAAUGCGCAAUUGAUUCCUCCAUGUCAGGAGCAAAUAGCUGUUGGAUUUGAGCAGCCAAGCGAAUCAGACUAGACAUUGUGUCAUGGCAUGUUUCCACAAAAAUGAGAGACUUUGAACAUUCUACCUCCCAGAGAAGACCAUUUCUACAAUUAGUUCUCAAAUUUGCUUCAACGAGUGCCUCCCUUGCAACUUUAACAUACCCAAUCUUGUGAAGAUGUUGUGCACUGUAAGCACCAACAAUACCCUCAGGCUUUGACAUUGCACGAAGAAGAAGCCCAAGAUCUUGCACUCUAAUUUUAUAAUUCAAUUCUGUGGAACCUUCAAUGGUUGAAGUUGAAAGAUUCAAGGAAGAUGCAGCCAAAAGACAAGAAACAUAUUCUUCACAUGUCCCUUGGAAAGACGAAUAACUGGACUCUGAGUCUUCACUCCUGACCACCGUAUUCUUUUGGUAGGGUUCAUAGCUUAAUCCAAUAUCAACCAAAUUAAGCACAAAAGAAGAUCCACGAGGUGCUUCGUCAUUUUGAUUACACUUCUCCUCUGCUUGUUCAAUUUCAGCAGGAAUAAUGAAAAACGAGCAUAGUGCAUCUGGCCAAUCCAAGCGACCCCCAACAGCAACAAUUGUGGCACAUCUGACAGUUAUAGAUGUAGAGCCAUGAAAACCUGUGGGAUCCCACAAAUGUACAAUAUCAGAACCAGCAAAUCUUGAUGAUAAUGCAUUUGAACCUCCUCCAUCCCCACGUUUCAUUGUCGAGUUGCUACAUGUGAUCAGAAGAAAUUCCUGAUCAGGAAUACUAGUGAUAGAACCCCAUAACUUUCCUUCACCAUGUGCCAGCCAGAAAAAAGUGGCGCCUGGAAUACCUCCAAUACUCGAAACAGAUAGCAUUUCAAGCUUCUGAACUUUCAGUCUUAGACGAUUCCACGACCCAGGAAGUUCACUCUGCAUUGAGCCUUGGACAGUCUCCUUUACAUCCAAGCUAAUCAAUAUUUCAACAGAAUCACAGUCCACAAGAACAGAUGUCUGAGGCAUGGAAGAUUCUUCUUUAUCAUUGACAGAAUCGAGAUCCCCACUAGAUAUGUCAUUCAUCACUUGAUCCAGAAGAUGACACAACUCUUUAUAUUGGGAACUGUCUAACUUUAUUGUGACAGCAGGUAGACGAACAUUUAGAAAAAAUGCAGAGCUCAAAAUAAUCUCUUGUCGUGUCUGGGAGCUUAAAUCCUUAAGAUCUUUCACAGUAGAUACAGAAGCAAACUCAUGAUCUUUGCCCACAAAUUUAGAAAUGCUCCUUGAUUCCUCCAAAGUAGCAAGGCACUUGGCUUUCUUUGCUAUCCAAGGACCCGUCACAUAACCCUCUUGCCAAAGCAUACUAAUGACAGAAAGACUGCCUUUUCUGUUGGUGACAGAGAUUACUUUUUGUGCCAUAAGUUUCAGCCUCUGCAUCUUGCCAGAUCUGAUUUCUGCAUCGUCUUUACUUAGAGAACUGACCAGGAAAACAUCAAGAUCACCAACAUUCAACUGUAAAGAACGUGUGACUGUUGAAGAAUACCUUUUCUCUGAAGUUGCAUUCAAGGUAGGACCAUGGUCUUGAAUUGUGCAUUUAUCACAAGUCGAAGGUGAAGUAAAUUCGAGAGCAAUAAAUUGAUCCCAGGAAGAGAAGCUUCUAGUAUUUUCACCAGCAUUGGAACGUAAACAGAUAAUUACCCGUGCAUUCGGGAUAAAUAUAUCACCUUGCACACUAUUUGUUGAAGACAAAGUUGUAACACAACUAGAAGCUCUUCUAAGAUCCCUAUGAGGUGAUCCACGGUUCUUAUUAUAAGCCUCCGAAGAAAAUUCAGUCUGGCUAUUCACUUCAACAGUCUUUCCAAUUUCCUUCAACUGUUCUAAUAGGAUAUUUAAUAAAGAGAAGUCCACCCAGAAAACAAAGUGUGGCAGUUUCAGUGAAAAUGAUGUUGGCCCAGUUGAACUCCCAUCAGAUGAACUAGAACUCACUGUACAUUGACAAGAAGUGACACCUGAAGUUCUAAGCAAUGUAGUUCUGACUAAAUCAUCCCUAUAUCGAAAUGGAAAACCUUCAGUAGCUAAACCAUUGGAUUCAGCCGAAUAAGAAGAUGAGGCAUGCAAAGGAAGAACCCUUAGAACAUCAGCUUGAAGAUGUUGAAUUGAAGAAGUUUGGCUUUUAACCUUGUUACUGUCUUUGUGACUUGAGUAAUUGGCAACCUCAAUAUGGUCCAUUGUUCCUUCAAACCUCAUAUGCCGAGAUGACACCUGUUGAAUAAAAGGUUUUAAGUUAGUGCAACUGGGAAUGUUGAACCACUGGGAAUAAUAGUGUAGAUUUCAAAGUCAAAAGAUAAAGAUGUUCCUGAACACAGUUCAUACCUGCAUAACAAGAAGGAUAUCUCGGGAUUCCAUAGAUAGGUAUAGAACAUCUGAAUUAGAACCUAAAUUGCCCUUUGUGUCACACAAAUCAUUCUGAUUUUCAUCUUGGAAAGGAAAUACAACAGAAAUCCCAGCUAAAGUUGCUUUAAGAUUUGUUUCAACUGGCUGCUGUUCUGUACGCAAAAAUUAAAAUCAGAGUUCCAUAGACAAAUGUCUAAAAUACUGAAUAAUGGCACAGCCAAAAAACCUACUAACACAGAACAAACAUCAGAAUAAAAAACAUUAAAGAUCAACAAAUCAUGUCCAUGUCUUUCUCCACCUCGUAACAGUUUUGUUUCUUUGUCAACUUAUUUAAGUUAAUUUCAUGCUCUUCUCAGAGAGUGAUGUAAAUUAUUAAAUAAUUUAAGUUUGAAAUAAAAUUUGUGUAUGCAAAGGUACAAGCAAUUCUUUUCCCAGCUGGGUGUUGCCAAUAUUGCCGACUUAACAACAUCAGACAUAAAUCAUGCAAAUAGAAACGACAUUUACAACAACUUGACACCAUAAAUAUUCCUGAAAAGAUGUUAUCAAGUGACACAGAGCUUAAAUUUAAGUGAUAUAGCAAUUUAUUUGAAGUCACCAUGUAAUCUAGAUAUAAAUUACAAUAGAGGGUAAAACUUCACUUACCAGGGGCAACAUUCAAAGAUCCAGAAGCAAGGCUGGAUACAGCUGUGAUAGCACUGACAACAGAACAUGUCCAAUUCCACAUCCCACUACUUCCUAAUGCUGACUGGGAACUUCUCAUUCCAUCAAAGCAUUCAAAAAACUGGUCCACACUGCACAAAAUUUGAAUAUGACUGAUGAGAUGAUACAGGUCUGCAACAGGUGUGUGGUAUGCUUAUGCUACAUGCAUAACAAUAACCAUAGUAGGAAAAAAACUAAAGGCUAACAGAGAAACUAAACAACCCUAACAAUAGAUGCAAAAAUGUACCAACAGAGCUUCCAUUCUACCAAAAAUGGGACAAAAACACUGACAACAGGGGGAGAAAUACCAACCUUGCCCCAAAAUCAAGUUCUUCUGUACCAUUGCUUCUGUUUUUAUUGAUAUAAUAUGGUACCCAAUCUGAUAUAACACGUGAUCCGGGUAGCAGACCCUCAGCAACUGAUUCUUGAAGUGUCAAAGAAGCGGAUUCGGUGGGCAAACUACCACAAACUGGCGUCACAUUAUCUGUUGCAGAAUAAGCAGAUAUUGCUGAACCAAAGUGAGAUGCUGUAUCAAGGAAAAUAGAAUCAGUUGGCACAUAAUUGCUCUGAUCCCUCUCCAUACUUUUACAUACUUCCCAAGCAAGUAAAAGCCAUUUGAUGGUGCUCGGUUGAAAUCUUAAUUCUACAGGUUCAAUAUAAGCAUCUACAUCCACUUUCCCUAUGUCUAAAGAUCCAUUCUUCCAAGGAAUACUUAAUUUUAAGUUCCCUGAAAAUCCGCCUCUUCUCCCAGUCAUUAUCGGAGUGGUAACACCUGGAGGACGGCCCCCUGAAAUAAAUUCACCAAAUGUUCUCUCUGUCACAGAUGGAUUAAAUUUUUGAUUAUCAACAUCAUCCAUUUGAAGCAGUUCAAGUACUGCUCCCUGAAACUUGACAAAGGUAGUUAGUUGACUAUUCCCCAGAAAGUUCACAGUUCUUGCAUCAGUGUUUUGAUUAGCAUCUUCAGAAACACCUGUUCCGCAUUCUGCUUCAGAAAUGCGAAGAACCAAGGUUGAAAGAGACCCGGAUGUCUUCCGGUCCUUCUCUAAACAAGGAUCAAAGGCAACAAUUAACUUUUUUAUCCUUACGUGGAAGCUGGUAAGCAACCACUUUACCAUCUUUGCAAUGGUUUUAACACCUUCAUGCACAUCCCUGGUUGAUUUCGUGGCACUGUCCAUCAUAUCAGCAUCAAACUUCCCGGUGUUACUACUAUCUUGGUUCUGGUUACCACUUCCAGCUGUAGCUGGAGAAUUCUUCUCCGUACAAGGAGCUAGCACGAGCUCGAGCUCAUUUACUUCAACCUCACAACCGUUCCCCUUCCACGGCAUCCUAACUAAUAGCGAACCAAUAGAUCCUUCUUUUAUCAUCAUCAAUGCUGCCGCACCAAUCUGGAAAAACAUCCACCAUAACAAAGGAACAAAUACACAAAGUUAUAAGCUACAAUAAGUUUCUCUAAACUCCACUAUAACUGAAAACAAUAUCGUUUGCGAGGAUAAAAUUCUAUUAGAGAAAGUUUGGUUUCAGUUUCAUCAGAAACUUGAGUAUUUUUCUUUGUUCUGUUUCAAUUAAAGAGCUAUUAUUUGGUUCCUUCUAUAUCCUAGGCAAGUUAAUUCUACAAUAUCGAUCACAGACUACUGUCGAAAAAUUCCGAUUUCUAUAAACAAAGAACAACUGGAAACAAUUAUCCAGCUCUGCUGCAUCAUCAUCAAAAACAAAGAAGAGGCAAUUCCGAACCGAAAACAGAGAGAGAGAGAGAGAGAGAGAGAGAGAGAGAGAGCUGUGGUUACCUUCUGGUUAAGAAAAUCAACAUUGAGAGCGAGGUCGCUGAGCUGAAUGGUGCCCUCGGCGAACUGGACGUCGAGCUGGUCGACAUCGAUGUCGCCGAGAAUGAACUGGCCGAGCUUCUUCUUCAACACGAACUUGCAGACUCUCUUGACGGCCCACCGCGAGAACAUCGCCUCCGCCGACUUCGCGAUGUUCCACAUGGCCGCCGCCGCCUCGGAAUUCCAAAUUUAGGGUUUGCGAAACGCUGCGUUUUGGCCCCAACCUCUUUCUGUGUGUGUAUGGAGAAUUUGGUUGUGGGGUUUUGAUAUGAUUAGAGAAGAGAGAGAGAGAGAGAGAGAGAGAAGUUGGGUGGGAGAGAGGGAGGAAUAAUAUGACGACGAGUCGGUCGCCGGAGAGAAGACUGUUGUUUUUGGCUUUGUUCUUCUUUUUUUUGGUGUCGUGUGUUUCUGCGUUUCCUUUUCCGCGUCGGCGUCUCCCGGGGUUUUUAAUUUUUCUUGCUUUUUAUAUAUGGCUGUCUAAUUGCAAAAUGUUCGAUUCAAUUCUGUUUGAAAAAUACGACAGAACAUAGAAUCCUUUGCAAGUUGGUAAAUAUUUGGACAAAAUAGAGAUUUUUUCUUUAAAAUUGAGGUACUUGUUGUGUCAGAUGAAUUUCUACUAAUAAAGAACAAUAUGUCGUUUGAAGAAUUUCGACCAUUUUUUUUAUCUUUUCAUUUUAUUAUUUGAAACAAUUUCUAAACUUGGUGAUGAUAUGGUUAGAAACUUGAAGAUAAAUGCAUGCUUCUUCUCUUCAUCAUCUUCUUUUUGUUGACAGUCGCCUCUUUGCUUAUAGGGUUUAUAGGCAUGUUGAUGAUAAAUUUUUCAGUGCUCUCGAAGGAUCAUCUAACGUGUUUUUUUAUUCUAUUUAAAUUUUGACAUAUGAAUUUUCAUGAUUAAAAACAAUUUUAACGAUUUUGUCAAAUAUCAUUUUGGAUUUUUUGUUGAUUUUUUAAAUCCUAACCCCUAACCUCUAAACUCUAGGUCAAACUCAUUAAAAACCCAAGACGGUCGUUUCAUAAAAUAUAUAAAACUUUAGUUUAUAUUUUAAUUGUAAUAAAUCCACGUGUCAAAAUUUAAUUAGCAAAUGAGGACCACGUCAAGUUUAGUCAGUUAUGAGGUUAGCUAUGAGACAAAAGAAAAUAUGAAUAAAACUGCACAACUUUUAAAGAUUGUUAUAACAAUGAAGUCAUUUGUGAGCUUCCUAAAAUGAAAGCAGUAAAUCUUGGUAUUUUGAUUUUCUUACUCACAUGAACAAAACUAGAAAAGAUACAUUGGAUAACUUGAAACAAUAUGUAUGUGUCUUUGGCGAUAAUGAAUUUCAUAAUUUUAUUGUACUCAUAAAUUUAUCACAUAAAUCCAUAUGAGGAGUUUACCUUCCUCAAUAAUACACAUAUUAUGACGCCUUUUGAAAAUACAAAACUAGAACAAACAUGAUUUCUCAUGUGCAAAUUCUGAAAAAUGAAAAAUAAAAUAAGUUUAGGGCCCAACCGGGUUCGAACCGGUGACCUCUUGAUCUGCAGUCAAAUGCUCUACCACUGAGCUAUGGACCCACUUUGAUAAGUGUUUCAGUUUCAACAAUAAACAUGAAAAAUAAACAUGAAAAAUAACGCUGGAUAUACAAAAGAGUGUAGUAAUGGACCCAUUUACCAUCGAGGCAGAGGUCUCCCUUGUCCGCAGACAGAAGAGAAUCCGAAUUGAACAGCGACCAGCGGCUCAUCUUCAGCUGCUGCUUCAUCUUCCCAUUUUCUUUUUGCGUGGAAAGGAGGACAUCUAUCUGGUAAGUAGAUUUGGCUCUGACGCUUAGCUAUACCAAGUUUUGAUUUCGAGUCUCAUCCAAAUGCGAUACAACCCCAAACCCCACUAAACCGAGGUUUAGAAUUGUGCAACCCCUGAGUUUUUACAUUAGUGUGUCAAAGAUGCCUACUUUUUGGCCUUUGGUUGCAUAGCAUGUCGCUGCAUUUUGAAUCUUUCAUUGAAACAAUACACCCAGUUGACAAAAGGGGAUAUAAUUAUGGUUGUGGCAUGUUUUUGAUCAUCAAAGAGCUAUAAACUGAAUAAUCCAGAUGAUUGUUUGAGGCUGGUUGAUGUUUUUGUUUUGUUUGAAAAGGUAGAUACUUUCUAUUGAAUUUCUUACCUGCAUCUGGAACAUAAAAUUUAUGCUUCUGUAAGCUUGGGUUCUGAAAUCAAGGUCUUUUGUACAUUGUACACAAAGUUUAGUUGUAUGAAUGAGAGUAGUUAGAUGAGAGACCAACAUCUCUUCUGUCUAAUUCAAAUGAGAAUUAGAGCUAUCUGACUGAUGUAAUCGGACUGAUGUCCUUCAAUGCAUUAGGGGUCUUUAUCUUCUUUAUGGUCUUUUGUGGUUGUGGAUGGUCCUGUAGACUCAAAUUGGAACAGUGAUCGAUUUCCAUGUUACACUUCAUUUACGUAAAUCAAUAGCUUUUUUCGACGAGUACGUAAAUCAAUAGUUCAAUUUGCACCUUGUAGGGCAUUUCUUAUUUUUAUAGAACUUGUUUACCAGAAAGAAUGGUAUUAUAGCUCCGUUACCAAGGUGAACCUGCAAAUAUUUCACCUCGUGUCUAUGUUUGUUGAGUUUAUUGAUUAAACUUAAGGUUCUGGAUAGUGCAUGAGAUUGUAGUAAUGGAUCAUAUAGGGUUAUUGGAGUUGAAACUGGACUAUGAGGAGUCAUGCCCCCUAUAGUAUUAGUCUUUAGGUAUGUGAAAACAUAAACAAAACUAUGUGGUAAAUGAAAAUUGUUUGUCUGUGAAUAUGACUAUUGAGAAAAUGUCUCUGAGCAAAUUUAUGAAGCUAAAUGAGGUGGGAUGUUCAGAUUGGAGUUCUUGUAGUUGUGCUAUUGUCUAAACCAUACUCCUUUUGCUCUCUGAAAUGGUCUAAUCUCCGUCCCCCCCCCCCCCCCCCCCUCCCCUUCUUUAUGUGUCUUGCUUAUCUUUCUGCCUGGCUACCUUGUUAAGAAGUGUUACAUCUGUUUCAGGAUUGGCAGGCACUUUUGUUAAAUUCAGUAGUGGAUUCUCGUGUUGAAUGCUCAGAUGGCUUGUUCGUUUAGUUUGCCAUCAACUGGCCUCCAAACAUUUGGAUUGAAUCCUCAAAGCAGAGUUUCACAAGCGAAAUAUGGAGUUUUUACUUUGCGAUCCUCACCUGGGUCUCUUCGUGUCCGGGCAGUGCAAGAGACUGGAGGGUCCCGCAGACUAGUUGAUAUAAUCAGAACUGUGCCAGAGCUCUCAAGUAACUACUUUCGAAGUCCAUCUCGUAGGGCUCUCUUUGGGGGAAUAUCUUUGUUGGGUGGGUUUUAUGUUGCACAAACGAUAUCUCUGUCAUUUGGAGCUUUAGGAGUCAAUGAUGUUAUUGCUGCAGUUGUGUGUGUUCUCCUGACAGAAUAUGUUACCAAAUUUUAUUACAGCAGACCAAAAGUAACAUUUCCUAUUGCUCUUCUCAACAAUUUCAAAAUGGGAUUCACUUAUGGCCUGUUCAUAGAUGCUUUUAAGCUUGCCAGUUAAUGCCAUGUAAAACUGGUCUUGACCAAGACCAUUUUGGACAUGUAAAGUACACCAUUCUCUGUUUAUGCUGAUAUUUAGAUUAAAAAGAUGCAUUUUUGAAUUAUACAGUCUCGUCUAUUUAUUUAUUUUGUUAUUAUAGGCAAGUAUGCAUUUCAGUUGUGUGUUGAACUCUGCUAUAAUACUAGAAAUAAGGGAGAGAAACAUGACAGAAUUUCAUGGCUACAUCUUCAUUACAUUCACUGGAUCUUCAGCAAUUCAAGGAUCCCUGUUAUAUAGUCCUCUUACCAAUGCAUUUUGCUACUUGAUAACUUGAAUCAUUGUAUUGUAUAAUUUGCCAUGCAAGACAUCCUGCAACUGAGCAAUUUGCAGUUUCAUUUGGUAUGCUCUCUUUUUUUCUAAACAAGCUGCAGCUGGUUUGUCCUUUGUAGUCUUCUGGUCAAGUUCAAUCGUGUGAGUUUGCAGAAACCUUCAUGUUACUUAUCUUGAUAUAAAAGGUGUUUCUCACGCCUUACUAGUUUGGAACAAGAUUGUCUGCACUUUUGACACUUCUUUCACUACUACUACUGUCAAUCCUGUGAGGCUAAUACGUCGGCUGCUGACGUUUUCAUAGAACAUAAUUGUGAUUAUUUGUGGAGAAAAUCUUAGGUGCGACAGCCGCACCACAUGUCCUGUGCGACUGGUGGGUUGCACAGCGACACGUGUGUUUUUUUUUUCUUUCUCGCAGCUCUUCUCCCUUCCUCCGGCGAAACUUUUUCACAACUCUUCUUCUUCCUUCCUUCCUUCCUCUCUCUUCUUCUUCCUCCUCUCUUCUUCUUCCUUCCUCUCUCUUGGUGGAGGCGAGCUCGACCGCGGUAGGUUGUCAGCCGUAUGGUGGAGGCGGCGGUGGGAGUUCCAGGCGGUGGCUGGGCAGAGAGCCCUGCUAUGCUUUGAUCGGAGGGGAUCGGUUUCGCCGGAGAAUAGAGAGGAAGGAAGGGAGAACAGCUGCGUAAAAAAAAAAAAAAAAAAAAAACAACGUGUCGCACAGGACACGUGGUGCGGCUGUCGCACUUAAGAUUUUCUCUUAUUUGUGUGUACAAGUCAUCUGGUUUUUAGAAAAAAUAACAAUAAUUCAAGUUUGACACAAAUAUUACAUAACCACAUAGGAGAAACAAAGAUAAGACCGCCACUUACUGUGGCAGGUCAUAUCCAAGUACUGUUUCCUCUUUGAUGAUUGCAUUUAGGACUUCAGCCGUCUAAACUGACCCUAGCUCGAAUGAAACCACAUAUAAAGAUAACAAUUUCAUUUUGCUUUUGAGACCUGAGCUAAGAAAGAUCGAGCACAGCUUUAGCUAAGAAAAUUAAGAUGGCAGGGGGUACGUUCAACAUUGAGGGUGGGGGUAAACAUUAUGAAGGAAAGAUCACUCUCUUUGUGAUCUUCACCUGUGUAGUGGCCGCCUCCGGCGGUCUCCUCUUCGGAUAUGAUAUUGGAAUCUCAGGAGGAGUGACUUCCAUGGAGCCAUUCUUAAGCAAGUUCUUCCCAUCCGUCGAGAAGAAGAUGAAGAAUUCCGGUGAUGGAAACAUGUACUGCAAAUUCGAAAGCCAGAUCUUAACAUUGUUCACCUCUUCCCUCUACAUUGCAGCGUUGUUAGCUUCCUUCUUUGCUUCGGUUGUAACCAGGAAAUAUGGUCGGAAAAUCUCCAUGUUUCUUGCAGGCUGUGCUUUCCUUGUAGGUGCUAUCUUAAAUGGAGUUGCCAACAGCAUUGUACUCCUAAUUCUCGGUCGUUUGUCUCUUGGUGUUGGUGUUGGAUUUGCUAAUCAGGUACCAAAUUAUACAUGCAUCUUCUGAAAUUGCAGUUCAUGGUUCAUGCAUAAUCACAAAAUCGAUAAAACACAACUACUUACUGCAUGUAAUCCAUGUAUAGGGCCGUUACUAUUAUCUAUCCGGAUCUUUAAAGAUUCCUCUUUUAUAUGCAUAAUAAUCUACAUAAUAUUGAUAAUAAUCUUCCGUAUCACCAUACUAUUUUAAACUCCCUAUAAAUAGGCCUUCAAAUUGUUCUGUUGAAAUUAUGGUAAUAAAAUCGUAUAAUCAAUUAUCAACGGAAGAAUGUCAUUUGUCGAAAUUUGGCAGGAAAUUUAAACUUUCCCUUUGUACCAAAUUUGACAUGCAUAUUGCAUUUGACAUAACUGAGGCAACCUUUGGAUCUAAACCUUAAGCACUAGCGAUAAUGCUGGUGCUUAAUUAUGGUUAGGUUUAAGGUUUUUGAGUUUUGCCUCAAACUACACAAGCUAAACCAUAAAUCUAUAUAUGCUGUAGAUAUUAUUAGUAUAUCUUAAAAUGAUUGAUAUUUCUUUCGUAGUUGGAUCGAGACCAUGAUUUCAACUUUGUAACGAGUUUCGAGAUUUGUACAUAUUCUGUUUGUUAGUGUAGCAUGAAAGAGAAGCUAAAUAUUCAAGUGAAAAGGCUUCUUUAUUUACAACAAUUUGGAUUAACAUUGCAGGCUGUCCCAGUUUAUCUAUCGGAGAUGGCUCCAGCAAAGUUUAGAGGAGCACUUAACAUUGGCUUCUCAAUAGCUUGCACUAUUGGUAUCUUAGUGGCCAAUCUUGUUAACUACGGCACAUCAAAGAUAAAGAGUGGACAAGGUUGGAGAGUUUCUCUAGCUCUUGCAGGGGUUCCAGCUUUGAUGUUGAUUAUAGGCUCACUCUUUUUGCCCGAUACUCCGAAUUCCAUCCUAGCAAGAGGUCACUUGAAGGAGGCCAAGAAAGUAUUGCAAAAGGUUCGCGGCACUGAAAAUGUCGAGGAAGAGUUCCAAGACCUUAUUCAAGCAAGUGAGGCUGCAAAGAAAGUAGAGAACCCAUGGACAAACAUCAUUCAACCGAGAUAUAGGCCUCAACUUGUUAUUUGUUGUCUCAUUCCAUUAUUCCAGCAGCUUACGGGAAUCAAUGCGAUCAUGUUCUAUGCACCAGUUCUUUUCAAGACAUUGGGUAUGGGAAAUGACGCUUCCCUCAUCUCUGCAAUCAUAACUGGUUCUGUUAAUGUUGUUUCUACUAUCGUGUCGAUUGUUACAGUCGAUAGGCUUGGAAGAAGGGCAUUGUUUCUUGAAGGCGGAGUGCAAAUGAUCGUGUGUCAAAUUGCAGUAGCAAUCCUGAUAGGUUUAAAGUUUGGAGUGAGCGGAGUAGGAUCACUUACGAAAGGCGAAGCUGAUUUCCUUUUGUUUUUGGUAUGUAUAUAUGUCGCGGGCUUUGCAUGGUCUUGGGGUCCGUUGGGAUGGUUGGUGCCUAGUGAGAUUUGUCCCUUGGAGAUCCGAUCAGCUGGACAAGCCAUCAAUGUGUCGAUUAACAUGUUAUUCACUUUUGUCAUUGGGCAAGCUUUCCUCACCAUGCUUUGCUCCAUGAAGUUUGGGUUGUUCUUCUUCUUUGCUGGCUUUGUUAUUAUCAUGACCAUCUUUGUUGCAUUCUUCAUACCUGAAACCAAGAAUGUCCCAAUCGAAGAGAUUAACACGGUGUGGAAAGCACACUGGUUUUGGGGCAAGUACAUUCCAGAUGACGCUAUCAAUGACGGUACAGACAACAAGGGUAGAGUUGAUUUAUAGGAGAUUUCACUGUGUUAAUAAUUAAGAUUCAUAUUUUCGCAAACUCUGUAUUUUGAUUUUUAGCUUUUUAAGAGAGCAUGUUUUGCCUUUUACCAAUUUUAGCUGCUACAUUACUAUCAGGUGCUUUGGUUUAUGGUAAGAAAAGAAAUAUUUAAAUGGCGACGUUUAGUUCAUUAUCAGGAGUGCUACACAUAACUAAAUGAUGCUUACAGAAUUACAGAGCAAUUGAUUUGUUUCAUAUAUAGUAUGAAAAAAAAUCGAUGUUUGGCAUCAAAUGCUAUUACACAUGAUGCAACACCUCUUCAAUUUGAUCGGUUGUGACUUGUGAGUAGUAUGCCUGAGGUGGUGGAAAGUGGAGUAUGGCGGUCACAGCCAUAUAUUGUAAGUCCAAUCCGCCAAAAUCAAAAUUUUGAUGCUAAUCUUUGAAGGGGACAAUGUAGGCAUAUGACUUCGAACUCAUGGUCAGUUUUCGUUGAGGAGCUUUGAAAAUUUUCAAGAAAAUUAACAAGGUUUUGACCUCCCCAUAUUGGUGAUAUUGCUAAAUGAUUUAAUUUCAGUGUGAUUUUCAAAUUAUUUUGCAAUGAUAGGUCUGCGGACCAUCAUAUGGUUUUUACAGGGCCCUUUCAUUGAGGGAUUCUUAUUUUUUGUCACUUUUAGGGAUAGACCCAAACCAUUAGAUUUGUUUUUUAAUGGGCUUUGAUGGCUGAGAUUAAAACAAAAAACUUAACACUUAUGUCAAACCUACACCGUUCAAGAUUAUUAAAAAUAAAUCCCUCGUUUGGAUGACUUAACGAUCACCAAAUUUUCUGAAAAUUUGUAGAAAUGAUCUACUCAUAUAGCCCAACGAACUGAACGGUGGAGAUUUGAUUUUGUGAUCGAAAAGUUCGUGAAAUAAUCUAUCCCUAGAAAAAAAACAAAAAAAAGAUCCCUCAUUAGAAAGGCCCUGAUGGUUUUUAUAUUCGACUAUUGGCAUGUCACACCCCAAAUCUGAUAUAUUUCAUUUGAAGUGUGAAUCACACUGUAAUUGCAGUAGAUAAAUUACAAAAAGCAAAAUGUGCCAUUGAAUAUAUAUAUUUUUUUUUUUUUGAAAGGGAAAAGCACCAAAACCCUAUUCUCAGACAUGUUAGAAAUGGUACGGCCGCUCUGCUGCGUGUGCAUGCUUAAUCCUACUCAUAUUUUAUCAGCAUUACCUGCCCGGGCCCUGUCAACAUCCCAGCUUCAUCUCUGAAAGUUGUUAUUCUCAAACCGGUGUUUUCUCUGUUCUUAAUUAUCACAAACCUGAUUUGGGGGUAACUGUAAGAAACCCUAACAAUAAUUAGUUGAAAAGAAAAACAACAAAAACAGAAAAACAAAAGACCGACACUUUGGCAGUUCAUAUUCAAAAACAGUUUCCCGUUUGAGAAUUAUAGUUAGGACUUGUGCUGUUUAAACCGACUGUUGAACGAAACUACAUGCAUAUACAUGAACAACUUAAAAGGUAGAAGGCAUCACAAUUCCAUCUGGGUUUUCAUUUGACGUCUCUCUCGAAAGAUCGAGCACAACUUUACCUAAGAAAUAAAGAUGGCAGAGGGUACGCUUAACAUUGAGGGUGGGGGUAAAAAUUAUGAAGCAAGGAUCACUCUCUUUGUGAUCUUCGCCUGCGUAGUGGCGGCCUCUGGCGGUCUCCUCUUCGGGUAUGAUAUCGGAAUCUCAGGAGGAGUGACUUCCAUGGAACCAUUCUUAAGCAAGUUCUUUCCAUCCGUCGAGAAGAAGAUGAAGAAUGCCGGUGGCGGGAACAUGUAUUGCAAAUUCGAAAGCCAGAUCCUUACAUUUUUCACUUCUUCCCUCUACAUUGCAGCGUUCGUAGCUUCCUUCAUUGCUUCAUUCGUAACCAGGAAAUUUGGUCGGAAACUCUCCAUGUUUUUUGCUGGCUGUGUUUUCUUUCUAGGUGCUAUCUUAAACGAAGCUGCCAGCACCCUUGUAGUCCUAAUCCUUGGUCGUCUGUGUCUUGGUGUUGGUGUUGGAUUUGCUAAUCAGGUAUAAUAGUAUACAUGCAUGCAUGCCUGCUGCAUCUUCUGAAAUUUCUUUUCAGGCUAGGGUUUUAUACUUAAAUCAAUGUAAUUAGACAAUAAGCGAAAUUACUUAAAUUGUGAUUUUGUCGCCCACAAAAGAAGUAAUAUAUUGCGCUCUAUCUAUCAUUAUAUUAUGGCAGGUUGUCCCUAUUUAUUUAGCGGAGAUGGCUCCAGCAAAGUUCAGAGGAGCACUCAACAUUGGCUUCUCCAUAGCUUACACCAUUGGUAUUCUAAUGGCCAAUCUUGUUAACUACGACACAUCAAAGAUGAAAAAUGGACAAGGGUGGAGAGUUUCUCUAGCUCUUGCCGGCCUUCCGGCAUUGAAUAUGAUUAUAGGCUCACUCUUUUUACCCGAUAGUCCAAAUUCCAUCCUAGCAAGAGGUCGCCCAAAUGAGGCCAAGAGAGUGUUGCGAAGAGUUCGUGGCACUGAAAAUGUCGAGGAAGAGUUCCAGGACCUUAUUCAAGCAAGUGAGGCUGCAAAGAAAGUGGAGCACCCAUGGAUAACCAUCACUAAACCAAGAUAUAGGCCUCAACUUGUUAUUUGCUGUCUCAUACCAUUUUUCCAGCAGCUUACUGGCAUUAAUGUUAUCAUGUUCUAUGCACCAGUUCUUUUCAAGACUUUGGGUAUGGGAGAAGACGCUUCUCUCAUCUGCGCAAUCAUCACCGGUUUGGUUAAUGUCAUCGCUACUAUCGUGUCGAUUGUUACUGUUGAUAGGCUUGGAAGAAGGGCAUUGUUUCUUGAAGGCGGAGUGCAAAUGAUCGUGUGCCAAAUUGGGAUUGCAAUUUUGGUAGGAUUAAAGUUUGGAGUGAGCGGAGUAGGAUCACUAACGAAAGGCGAAGCUAAUAUCCUUUUGUUCUUGGUAUGUAUAUAUGUCGCCGGCUUUGCAUGGUCUUGGGGUCCGUUGGGAUGGUUGGUGCCUAGUGAGAUUUGUCCCUUAGAGAUCCGAUCAGCUGGACAAGCCAUCAAUGUAUCUGUAAACAUGUUCUUCACUUUUGUCAUCGGGCAAGCUUUCCUCACCAUGCUUUGCUCCAUGAAGUUUGGAAUAUUCUACUUCUUUGCUGGCUUUGUUAUUAUCAUGACCAUCUUCGUCGCCUUCUUCAUACCUGAAACCAAGAAUGUCCCAAUCGAAGAGAUUAAUACGGUUUGGAAAGCACACUGGUUUUGGGGCAAGUACAUCCCAAAUGAUGCUAUCAUUGAUGGUACACACGGCGAGGGCAAAGUUGAUUUAUAGGAAAUUUUACUUUAAUGAAACAAAUAAUUAAAAGAGUAUUCAACAAACACUCUACCUUGACUCUUUAGUGUUUUUGUAUUUUCAAGUACCAUGAGUCCUUAGUUAUUUUUGAAGUACCUUACUCAGUUACUCCUUAGUUAUUUUGGAGAGUAUGUUUAGCCUUCUGUCAAUUUAAUUUAGAAACUCCACCACAUUUGCUAUAUGUUUCUUCUUUUAGUUUUCCCUCUUGUAAAUAUAGAAAACGGGAUUCUGCUCUAUUAUGGUUAUUAUUUUCUGUUUUACCAUAUGGGGGGGGGGUGCUUAUCGAUUAAGUACAUAGUAAGUGACAAACAAUACAAAGUAACCCACCUAUAAUGAGCUUGUGGCGGAUGUAAUUGCUCAUGAAGAACACCAAAUUCUGUAUGGUAGAAUUUGUAGUAAUAGAUUUCCAAGCUCUGCUAGAGCCUUGAUCUUUGAUAAUGUGUGAACUUGGGUUAUCCGAGAGGUUUUACUUCGUAAUUUUACUUUUUCUUUUAUAAAAAAUAGAAGAAAAGGUAAACAAGAAGACUUUUCGUAUAAGAAACGCAUACUUUAGGCAUAUUGAUCCGAUAAAAUAUCCUACUUAUGAGUGUAUUGUUUAUUGUAACUAGACUACGAGAUUAGUGUGGAAGCAAAGUGCUAGUUACACUUCUAAUAAAACCUUGUUAAUUAUGAGUUUGAACUUCCAUCAUUUUCUUUUCUUCCAGUUCUAUGAACUUCCAUCAGUUGAUAAAUUUCAUUGUGUCCGUACAUGCACACAUAGAGACGAUCAGAGAUUGAAAAAUAAUAGAAACAAAGUGAAAGGUCACCUUGGAGUUCAUUAGAAAGAAACGCUUUGGUUAACAAAGAUGCCAGGAGGUGGGUUUAGUAUUGAGGGUGGAGGUAACAACUAUGAAGGAAGAGUCACACUCUUUGUGGUAUUGGCAUGUAUAGUGGCUACCUCAGGUGGUCUCCUCUUCGGAUAUGACAUAGGAAUCUCAGGAGGAGUGACUUCGAUGGAUACAUUCUUGAACAAAUUCUUCCCAGAAGUGAUCAAGAAAAUGAAGAAUAACUCUCCUGAUGGAAAUAAUAUGUAUUGCAAAUUUGAGAGCCAAAUUCUCACAUUGUUCACCUCUUCCCUCUACCUUUCUGCGUUGGUGGCUUCUUUCUUCGCAUCGUCAGUAACUAGACGAUUUGGUCGAAAAAUUUCCAUGUUUGUGGCAGGGGUUGUGUUUCUUCUAGGUGCUAUCCUAACUGGUGUUGCCAACAGCAUUGUACUUCUAAUCAUUGGUCGUCUGCUACUUGGUGUUGGUGUUGGUUUUGCUAAUCAGGUACAUUAUAUAUAUUACAUGCAGCUCUAUAUAUAUUUUUAUAUGAAAAAAAUGAAAACGGUUUUCCUUCAUGGUGCACGAAAUAGAGAAACUUUUGGAUAAUCAGUUUCAAAGAAACAAUUCAUGCAUGAUGCAUGGUGUUUCAAUAUCUCAAAAGAAAAAAAGGAAUUAUUCUUCGAAGAAAAAUUUGUUAUGUAGGCUAUUCCAGUUUAUCUGUCUGAAAUGGCUCCGGCAGAAAUUAGAGGAGCACUUAACAUUGGCUUCUCAAUGGCUAUUACCAUUGGAAUUCUAGUGGCUAAUCUAGUUAACUACUGCACUUCUAAGAUCAAAGGUGGAUAUGGGUGGAGAGUUUCUCUGGCUCUUGCCGCUGUCCCGGCAUUGAUGAUGACUGCAGGUGCAAUAUUUUUACCCGAUACUCCAAAUUCCAUCCUAGAGAGAGGCCACCCUCAGAAAGCCAAGAAAAUGUUACAAAAGCUUCGUGGCACUGAUAACGUCGACGAGGAGUUUCAAGACCUUAUUGAGGCAAGUGAGGCAUCAAAGAGAAUGGAGCAUGCAUGGAAGAACAUCACAUUUCUGAGAUAUAGGCCUCAACUUGUCAUUUGCAUUCUCAUUCCAUUCUUCCAACAACUUACCGGCAUCAAUAUCUUCAUGUUUUAUGCACCGGUUCUUUUCAAAACUUUAGGCAUGGGAGAUGAUGCUUCCCUCAUCUCCGCAGUUAUCACCGGAUGUGUUAACGUCCUCGCUACAUUGAUCUCAGUAUUGACCGUCGAUAGGUUUGGAAGACGAGUGUUGUUCCUUGAAGGUGGUGUGCAAAUGAUAAUUUGUCAGGUAUACUACUAAAAAUUGCUUGAUGAUCUAGGCAGCUUUACCAUGAUGUUUUCACACAGAUAGUUCUUUACAUUUUGUUUAACAUGUAUGCAUUCUAGAUUGGUGUUGCAGUUAUAAUUGGGUUGAAGUAUGGUGUGAGCGGAGUAGGAUCAAUUUCGAAAGGAGAAGCUGAUAUCGUUCUCAUCUUUAUCUGCAUAUACGUCAUGGGUUUCGCAUGGUCUUGGGGAGCACUUGGGUGGUUAGUGCCCAGUGAGAUAUGUCCUCUGGAGAUACGAUCGGCGGGACAAGCCAUCAACGUUUCCGUUAACAUGUUGUUCACUUUUCUCAUCGGCCAAGCUUUUCUAUCCAUGCUUUGCCACAUGAAGUUUGGUCUCUUCAUCUUCUUUGCUGCCUUUGUCACUCUUAUGUCCCUUUUCAUCGCAUUCUUCAUGCCUGAGACGAAGAAUGUUCCCAUUGAAGAGAUUAACACAGUGUGGAAAGCACAUUGGUUUUGGGGUAAGUACAUCCCAGAUGAUGCUGUUAUUAAUGGUACGCACAGAAGGGCUGUAGUAUGAUAAGGAACUAUAAUGAGAUACUGACUCCAAUGUUGCAUCAUCAUGUCAAGUCACGUUUUCGAACCUACUUUACUAACUGAUGUGAUUCUAAUGUAAGGAAUGGAUGGGUUCUCUAGAGUUAUUAGAUAAUUAGCUUACACAAGUGAUGACAUUUACUAACUUCAUAAUCUAAUAAGGGGCAAAGUUAAAUGUUACGUUACUCAACAACCACCAAUUUUCCUAAUAGUACUGCCAUCAGAUUAAAACUUGUUUUGAAUUUUAGAUAUAGGUCGUCCUGGGUGAUUAGAGAUCAAGGGUUAUUUUUUUCCAAUAAACGUUGGUUACAUUUCUUUAUAUUAUGGGCUAAUUUUUUAAAGCGUUGGUAAUUUUCUCUUAAAUUAUUUAGGAAAAAGAAAAACGGAGCGAAUUCAGUGCACCGUGGUGCACUGAACCAACCUUAUGUUUUAACAGUCAAACAAAAGUGGCCAAAAAAGUCAAAGCAAACACAACAACAGUAAAAAAAUCUAUCUGCCUCUCUCCAUCCCCUCGCCUCCAAAAUCCUUUUCUCCUCCGAAAGGCUGAAACCCAGCCUCUACAACCAUAAGCUACAUGUCGCCGCUGUCUUCAUCAAGGAGCCCAGGCCAAGGAGUUAGAGCCCAAGAAGAGAUUGAAAGGCCACUGUCCCAAAAUUUUCUCAAUGUUCAUUCUUAUUUCAUUUUGAUUAUUAAACCAUUUGAAAACCAGAAAUUCCAUAUCGAUUUGCAAACCAGAAAUUCUCAAGAUAGGAAAUGUUGAAUUUAUCGAUUUGAAUCUAUUGUCUUUUUUUUUUUUUUUUNUUUUUUNUUUNNNNNNNNNNNNNNNNNNNNNNNNNNNNNNNNNNNNNNNNNNNNNNNNNNNNNNNNNNNNNNNNNNNNNNNNNNNNNNNNNNACCAUAUUGUGAUGGAUGAAUCUAUUGCUUCUUUUCCUCUUAGACCUGCAGAUUCCUUGAUGAAGUUUCUACAGUUUCGAUUGCUUAUGUAGACCCACCAAUAGAUUCCAAUUGAACCACGGUUUCUCCGACAACCGUCGCACCAAAGGAAGAGUUUCGUUUUCCAAUGGCAAUUGAAGAUACGACACCGGAAAAGGCAGCGCCGGCGAAGAAGACUCAUUUUCAUUGUCGAUCUGAUUGAGCCCUUUGUGUAGAGAAACUCCACGGCAGCGACUUCAUCGGAUUUCAUCUGGAAAAAAAAAAAGAAAUUAAAUUCAGUUUACUCUCUUAAACUUUAGAGCUAAAAUCAGUUCAGUGACUCAUUUUUUUUUUUUAUUCAGACUCAUCCCUAAAUUUUUAAAUUGUAUCAGUCAACGUUAAAUUUUAAAUUUUCAUGUGAUUUUGAUGUCAUAUGUUGAGUUGGAGGUGAUAAGAGGUCUCACAUCUCAGUUUUUGACUCUCUUUUGGCCGAAAAACCCAAACUACCCAUGUUAACAAUUUUUUUCCUUCUUUAACCUUCAUUUUUUUUUCUUCUCUACCAAGAUUCAAAUUCCUCUUUUAGUCAAAAAAAAAAAAUAAUAAAAAAUAUUCAUAUCUCUCUCCCUUCAACGUAAUCUUCUUUGUAUCCAUCCCUAAAUCUUCAAAUCCCUCCUUCUCCACAACCCAACUCUCGACACCGCUAUGAGCCUCCUCAUUCUAACUACCACGUUGAAGUCCACAAAUGCAUCUGGCUGUAAUUCUGAGUCUUUCGAAUCCCAGCCUUUUCAGAUUCAAAUCCAAAACCCCCAAUUUACAGGGGGUAAACUGAUUCAAAACCCAAAAAAAAAAAAAAAAAAUUUUGUGAGAGGUUGUCCUUUCCAGAUUUUACCCACAUCUUGGAAUUAAUUAUUAUCCCUCACAAUUCCAUAUCCUUAUGAUUUUUUUACCAGGUUGAUUAGUUUUUUUUUACCCCUAUUUUCUUUAAAAGUGUUAGAUUUUUUUACCAGGUAGAUAAGUGCAUUAAAUCGGUUCACUUGUAUCUUAGUGCAUAAAAGAAUUUUCAAAAGAAAAGCUUAAAUCUUAAAAAGACGUGGAUGAUUGACUCGUUCCAUACUAGAAAUAAUAACAGUACCCAUGAAUAUUAAAAAGUAAUUGUUAAAACUUUUUUUUUUUUUUUUUCUAGAAACUACUCAAAUUGGUCGUCACUGUCACGAGUUAUGACUUUUGACAAUAAAAUAAAUCUAACUUUAUCCAAAAAAAAAAAAACUCAAAUUCAAAGUCUUAAAUGCGUAUGGAGUUACCUUGUGGAGGUCAAAAUAUGAUGCAACUUAAGCUAGAGCCAAGCCAACGUCACCCAAUAAUUUUUCGGGUAAAAUCUUAUUUUAUACUCUUCUCCCCAGUCCCCAGGCCGGCCAUCUUUUUGUCCAAAUAGCCGCGACGAGAUAGAAAAGCAAGAAGAAAAGAACGACGAUAAAAUAUAAUAUAAACGGCACGACGUAGCCCAUUGAUUCCAGCUUACUUCUCUUCCGCUUCUCUCCGUCUCACUAUCAUCGUCGUCGUAACCUCCGCUCUUCAUUUUCCGACGAAAUGGAGCUGAAACCUGGUCUCUCAGCUCUCGUCACCGGCGGAGCCUCCGGUAUCGGUAAGCCUCCUCCUUCUUCUAUCUACUUCCGUCCAACUUCAGUAAGACUAUCUCUAUUAGGUUCAUUAUAGUGUGCUGCAGAGUCUCCUCUGGAUUUUGAUAGUGAUUGCGUGUUGGAUUUGAAAUCUUCAAUCGUUUCUGUGUGAAAUGAUUUUCUUGUUUAUGGAGUGAUUGCGAUCAAAAUAGUUGCGAUGGAAUUCGUAUUGUUGUUAGUGAUCAGAGGCAUAAGGUAUUCGAAUUCUUAGUCGUGUUUCGGUUUGUUGAUUUUGUAGGGAGAGCUCUCUGCUUAGCUCUGGGAGCUAAGGGAGUGUUUGUGACAGUUGUUGAUUACUCUGAAGAAAGAGGAAAGGAAGUUGAAGCACUUGUUCGGAAAGAGAAUGCCAAGUUCCAUAGCAAUUUGAAGUUUCCAUCUGCCGUCUUUGUAAAAUGCGACGUGACGAAUACAGGUGAUUGCGCUGUUAGAACAUAGCUGAUGAUUUCUAAGAAUGAAUGGACUAGUUGGAGUUAAACAGCUGUGAUGAAUUUAAUCCUGGAAUGCUUUUAUUUAUAAGUUCUGGCACACAUGUAAUCCGCACUAUAAUACAUAUUUCACAGGAGUGUAUUGGAGAAUGAUAGAACAAUUUGAACAAAGCAAAACAUUUUGUUUGCAAGGAAUGCUUUCGGCGGUUAAAAUUUUCUAAAUGUAUCUUCUUUUCAUAAUCAUGAACUUGAAACUCGAAAUUUGCUUCUUACUCAUCUGUAUGGGGAGUCAUUAAUUUGGAAUUAGAUGUACCUCUCAGACAGUAACAUUACUCUCUCUUUCAUUAACAGGUGAUAUAACUGCUGCAUUUGACAAGCAUGUAGCGACAUUUGGAGGUUUGGAUGUCUGUAUUAACAGUGCAGGCGUUGCUAGUUCCAUUCCAUUCUACAAGGAUCAAACUGAUGGCACUCGUACAUGGAGAAGAACAGUGAACGUGAAUUUUAUUGCAAUUAUAGAGUGCACUUAUCUCGCUGUAUGCUUUGAGCUUUCACUAUCUUUCACUAGUAUACUUCCUAUCAGUAAAUGUGAAUGUACUACAUGUUAAUAAACCUGUCUUUGGUUUUCCCCAUAAGCAUAAAAUAUCUAUUAAUUCCCGUACUAAACAAAGUUUCCUCCAUUUUUUUGUCCAUGAAUGUUUUCUUAGUUCAUUUUAUCGACUAUUCUUGGAUUAUGAGGGUUACUCUUGCAUUCCUUCAUAUUUAUUCUACCAUGAUGUUCUCUUCUUUCUUUUUUGUUGGACCAUUUACGAAUAGUAUUGUCAAUACUGAGUAUUAAAACUUUUGUUGAGAAUAAGCUCUAUCUGUUAUUGGCUGAAUAGUGGAUAUAUGAAUCCUCUUUUCAUGACCACUAUGUUGUUAGACUAUAUGUUAUAGAGAUUUUUCAUAUCCUGAAAUUCUCAUACUAAUUGAGAACUUAAGCCAAAAGCUAAUUGAUUCGACUGAUAAACAAAGAAACUUUUAGAUUGUCUUUAGUCUUGUAGAGACCAUAUCUUCUAAAUUGCAUCAUCCUAUUUUGGCGGCUCAUUUUCUUUCAAGUGUCUGCUUGCUUGCAACUUUUAAUUUGGGCUUACUCCAGUGGAUCAAAAAGUAUAUUCCAUCCUUUUAUUUCUUCAUUAAUUGACUUUUAAUGUGAAAGACUACUGAUGAUGAUGCUCCGACAAUAUGUGUAACCUUUUGGGAGGAUUUGACAGCUAUGUUGAUAGUUUAAUUCGUACCAAUUAUACUUUGAUAUUUUCAAAACUCUUGGUUAAUUCUCCUUCUGAACUUUUCCGUAGCUUAAACAUUAGUGUGAUGUGUAUCUUGUAUUCAAAACAGAUUAAAACAAUGCAAGCUAUGCAAAAGCCUGGGGUAAUUAUCAAUAUGGGGUCUGCCUCGGGUCUUUACCCAAUGGUCACGGAUCCAAUUUACUCUGGUUCGAAAGGUAUGUUCUUCCUAAUAGCUUUCUCACUUAUUUUCUCUCUUAAAACCUUUCUUUGGUCAGUUUCUCUACUUUUACUGUCAGGGGUUACAUAUAAUGUUAAGCUUACCUAACUUUGUCAUAGGUACGUUCUUUGUACCAUUUCCAUAUGCAAAUUAAUAAUCACAAGAUGUAUUUUUUUACAGGUGGCGUUAUUCUAUUUACUCGAUCCCUUGUUACCUAUAAACGUCAAGGGAUUCGUAUCAAUGUGCUCUGUCCAGAAGUAAGAUUGUAUCUUAAAAAGUUAGAUUUAACUGAAAUAAGAUUCUGAUCUUAAGGAAUAUAAUAGUAAAGAGAUUAUUGCCAAAAUUGUUGAUGCAGUUUGUGGAAACUGAGAUGGGCUCAAUGAUCGAUUCUAAAAUGAUUGAUUUAUCGGGGGGCUUUCUCUCUAUGGAAAUGGUGGUGAAAGGUAAUUUUUAUGUAGAGGAUGUUCAUUUGCAAUUCCAGUAAUCAUAGAAGGAGGCACAAUUUAAUUGUAGGCAAUAGGUUCUUAAAUAAUAGAGUUUUGGAUUCUCUCAGAAUGCAAUAAAGGAACCAUAUAUGCAUCACAUUAAGGGAUCUUUUAUUAUAUUAUUUUAUUUUAUAACUAGUCGCAUGCCCCAGUAUGGGGGAGGUGUUGAUUUGUAAAAAUGAUCUGUUCUUACUUGUCAUACCUUCAAAGAUAACAGUUACUUCAGUACUAAACUCUAUGUAUUGGAAAGGUCAAAACCUUCACAGUGGUUAUUGGAUAGCCUUAUUCUUGUAUUUCAACCGCUAAGUGUGUGUACCGUAGCACUUAAUAUGGUACGCACAUAUAUUGUGUACAUUACAAUAUAUAUAUUUUUUUUUGGGACAAUUCCAUGUUUCGUUGCAUCAACAGAGUUCAACUCUACCCAUAGAAUCAGUGAUAGGUCUUUAAUUUUUGUUUUUAUAAAUUUAAAAUAACUCCUACAGUCUGUCUUCACUGCAGGUGCUUUUGAGCUUAUAGCUGAUGAGAGUAAAGCUGGUUCAUGCUUAUGGAUUACAAAUCGGAGAGGCAUGGAAUAUUGGCCAACCCCCACAGAAGAAAAGAAAUACUUGCUUACCUCUUCAAGAUCGAGAAAAAGAACUAUGGCAAAAGCUCCUUUUCAAACACCUUUGAAUAUUCAGCUUCCAGAAAGCUAUGAGAAGUUGUGAGUAAAUUUACAUCAAAUAUCGGUCGUUUCUUCUUUUUCCUUAUGAAAAGUUACAAACAUCAAUCCUUAGAUGAUCAAUUCGUUAUGGUUGGAUACAUGUGAAUACAAAAAUUGGGCAGAUGCAGAAAAAAAAUUAUGAUAUGGAGCAACUGAGCUAGUAUGUAACGGUAGUGGAUACCAACUCUUAUGCUGAAGAACAAAAAGAUGUUGAAUGAUUACUUUUACUGAUAUAGGCUGAAUAUGAAGCUUGUCAUCCAUCAAGACUUCAAGAGUACUUCCAUUUGAACUGGUUUUACUUUUCAAUUGACCCGAAAAUCCAAUGAUCGUGGAACUUUGUUGAAAGAACAACUAUUUUAUUCUCUCUUUGGAGAAGAGUGAAAAUAAAAAACUUCGAACUGCGUAUGCAAUGUGCAUCAUGAAGUUUGGUUUUGGUCUCAAGGACUGAAAAAUUCUUCGAUUUAUCCGUUUACAUAUUUUGUCUUAUUAUUGCAGUAACAAUCCUAGAUUUUAUAUUGAAUGAAGGCAAACGGGUUGUCAUUAGUUUUGGUAUUUAAUCAUAGUCUCUUUUUUCAGAGUUGUUCACACAUUGACCCACAAUUUCCGGAAUGCUACCCAUAUUGUUCGUGCAGCAUUGAGAUUACCUAUUAAACCACAUCAGGUUCUUGUGAAAAUCAUUUAUGCUGGUGUAAACGCAAGUGAUGUAAGUUUGUGAAUCCCUUGAAGCACUUUUCCUAAUUAUUGAUACUAUAUCAAGAGUCCGCUCCAUUCCACCAAAUGUUUUGUUGGCUUACUUAUUGGUUAUCAUUUAUAUCAUAUUAUAACUAGUGUCUGGAACUGGACUGAAACUUUGUUGGAUAAUUGGAUUACCAGCUGCUUGAGCCAGUGGCACAAGGGAGCAAAAGAUAAGGAAUCCAGUUAUUUUUCUGUCCUGGAUCAAUUUCUUCUGAGCCUAAGUUGGUUUCAGUAAAUUCUACAAACAAGCACAUAUAACUCUUGUAGGUUAGUUUACGCUUUGGGGUUUAGUAUUAAUUGAUGGCCUUUUCUCUAACACUUAAACUUUGAGGUCUAGUAGUUGUCUAACAAUUAUUGGUGGGCAAAUGGUUGUUUGUUUACAGCUUCAUAGCUAUUCUGUACCUCAGACUUGCAUAGCUGAUUUUAGGAAUUUCCGCCUUAUCUUCAUGUCCCUUUAUUUUCAAAUUGAUAUCAGCUAGGUCCCUUGUGUGCUAUAUAUAAACUGCUAUAGGAUGCUCACAGGACUGGACAAAGAGUCUUGAGUCUUGACGUAGAGUAAAUUACUUCACAACAACACCAUAUAUGUGUUUAAUUCAAAAAUCCUGUGCUGGGGAAGAAUGAUUCUGUUUGAUGAUGGGCAAGAGUGUACAUAGAAGGCUGCUCUUCUAAAGUGAAUCAGGAUGGAGGUUGGGGAGAGAUAAACAAAGACAGUUAGUCUGAAAACUUUGGGUUUUUCUUUCUUCCUACUUGAUGGUUGUUAAAAUAAUAAUAUUCAGGACAUGCCUCGUUUUGGGUAUAGUAAAUUCCACCUUUUCACUAUCUGCACGUCCAUAAGUGCAUGCUCUAACAAGGACUUAUUGUUGGCAGGUAAAUUUCAGCUCAGGGCGUUAUUUCUCUGGAUCCAACAAAGGCCUUGGCCCCCAGCUUCCAUUUGAUGCUGGUUUUGAGGUGCAGGAUUAUAAUAUGUAUAGAUAAACACUUCGUGACAUUCUGCAAUCUCUCUUGCAGUUGGCAGUUUCUGUAUUUCUGAAGUCAUUGAUAACUAUAACACUUAAUGAUGAACAUGUCACAUUAUUGCAGGCCGUGGGGAUAAUUGCAGCAGUAGGAGACUCUGUCACUCACUUGGAAAUUGGUACUCCUGCUGCAAUCAUGAUUUUUGGAAGUUAUGCUGAAUUCAUGAUGGUAAAUUACGGAUAUUUUAGUGACGCUUGCUUUUUUUUUACUGCGUCUGUCAGCUGUAUCACCUAAUCAGUAUUACUUGUCUAGAGAAGGAUUCAUAUUAUAUUUGUUGUGGACUCCUUUUAUUAAAUUAUCAUUAAUUGAGUGAAUUAAUGCUGAGGUUUAAACUUGCACUAGGUUCCUUCAAAACACAUCCUUCCUGUGGAAAGACCAGAUCCAGAAGUUGUUGCAAUGCUUACUUCAGGACUAACAGCAUCAAUCGCUCUAGAGAAGGUAUGUAUCUGUUUUCACAGAGAAAUUGGGUAAUAUAGAAUCCUAUAUCCUUCUUUGUUCUUGUUACAGAUAUUUGACACUUUAUUUAAAGCUUUAAUAUAUGAUAAAUGUGUUGUUGUCGAACCAGACAAUUUGGUCAUUCUUAGACCUCUAAUAAAGGGUCCAUAGUCGGUAAUGGGUGAAAAUAAUCUUCACAGCUUUUAAUGGCACUAUUCACCCAGUCUGAUAGACCAUGUUUCUACUUGUCUGAUUUGUUUGUUUGUGAUGAAUUGUUAGGCGGGAGGACAAAUGGAAUCUGGAAAAGUAGUUCUUGUUACUGCUGCUGCUGGAGGGACUGGGCAAUUUGCUGUCCAGGUUUGCCUUCAAAUUCUGUAAUAGCACCAAUCACAUGCAUGCUUUUUCUUUAUUCCCUUAGAGUUUAUGACCAUUUGUAACUGCAUUGCACGGUCUUUGAAAUGUUGACCGAUGUACAUGUAUUAUGGUACUGACAACAAAUUGUGCUGAUGGUGGAAAUCUGAGGCAGAAACCUCAUUUCUUAGAUGGUGUCCUAAAAGGCUAAAAUCGCCAACUUAUAUUGUUGAAUGCUGAAUGAAAUAUAGGUGUUUCAGGCAUCUUUCUUUCUUAUAAAAAAAAAAAAAAAGAAAUAAACAUUAUCACUGUUGGAAUAGUGCUCCAGGAACACUAUCCUCCUUAUUCACUACUUCUAAAUGGAAUAUUGAUAUCCCUUUAGUUUAAGCAGCAUGAGCAAGCUUUUGGUACACACUAACAUGUUAUUUUACUUAACACAUAAUUGGGUGGCUUAGCAUUUCCUGAAGUUUGAUUAAACCUUCCAUGUUAUGAGGAAGUUCCCUUCGUUUUGGGCUUUGGUGAUGUUACUAUCCUAAUAUCCUCUAUCUUGUCGCUUACACUGAUAACAAAAUUUUAUUUAAGUUACUUGUUUCAGGCGGAAGAGAAGUUUCUGUUUUUUUGUUGAAAUUCCACUUCAACUCUAAAAGAUUGUACCUUAGAAGGCUAAUAGCUUGUUCAUGUGUCUGAUAAAUGAUCUAAAUCGAAGCAAUUUCCUAGUGUUCUAAGAUUCUAUUUCAUUAUAAUCACCCUAGAUCUUCUCUCUGAGGGAAGGAUUCAUUUUCACUGAUAUAUAAUUGGAUACUUCAUUAUUGAUGUUUCAUACAUUCCCCUUAGAAAAACUAUUUAUCGGUUGGUGAUUUAUGCACAGCUCGCAAAGCUAGCCGGAAAUAAAGUGGUUGCAACUUGUGGAGGUGCAGACAAGGCAAAACUUUUGAAAGAAUUGGGGGUUGAUCGAGUCAUAGAUUAUAAAGCUGAAGACAUAAAAACUGUAUGUGAAUUCUCCUUCCUUAUCAUUAAAUUGUUUCUUUAGUAUUUGUUGGAAUUAUAUGAUAAAUUGGACUGGUAAUUUUAAUUUUGUGAUUCAAAUGUCAAUUGAUCCAGAUUCUUGCUGGUAAAAUUAUCUAUAUCUGACUUCUUUCUUCCAUUAUUCUUAACUAGGAAGCAGCUGUAGUAUAAUCUCUAUGUUAAGUUUUAUUUCUAAAGAUGAACUGCUAAGCCUUUAGUCCUGGCUGCCCUCUUUUCUAAAGUGGACUCCUUGUCCACCUCAUUGGUCUUUGCUUUUUGUCUCAAUAAAAAGCUGUUUCUUUUCCAAGAAGAUUAUCUAUGUCUGACUACUGAUUGUUCCCUGAAUGUUUGUUUUGAAUUCUGAGAUUUAUAUUUUGGCUUGAACAUGAACAUAUAUGGUUUGUUAUUAUUGUUAUUCACUGACUCGAACAUCCAAGUUGCAAAAGUAAGUAGGCUCGUGAUAUAAUUGGUAUUCGAAUACAGAAUUGACAAUCUGCCUAUUUGUAGUCGAGAACUUGGUUCUCCCAGUUUGUUGAAGUAAUUUGACCCAUCUACUCGUUUGUUUUGUCACUGUCCAUUGUUUCCCAACUUAUCUGAUUUCUAAUCACUGUAAGUGUUUAGAUAUACAGAUUGACCGUCAGGAAAGUUGAAAUGUACUUGUGUCAUCCCUUUCACUUUCAGUUUAAACUUGAUUAUCUGUAAUAUUACUUGUAACAUGGCCUUGUAUAUGUUGGAUAUGGAUAAUGGAACCCUUGUAGUUUUUGUUCUGUUUGAUUUGAAUUUAGGAAUCAAUCUUCACAUAAAAAAAAAAAGUGGAGGACUGAUGACUUUCAAUCUUCCAGGUUCUAAAGAGAGAGUUUCCAAAAGGUAUCGACAUUAUCUAUGAGUCAGUUGGUGGCCACAUGUUCGAUUUGUGCUUGAAUGCUCUGGCAGUUUAUGGGCGGCUUAUUGUAAUUGGAAUGAUUUCUCAGGUUGGUUAUUCUGCUGUUUUCUGCAAGCUUACACCGUUGCAAUGUGACUAUCUUUGUUGACACUUAAGAUGCUAUUUGAAUAGCUAAACUGUAGUAUAUCAAAAAUAUCUUUUCUUGUUUUGGCACUUAUUAUGUAUAAACAGUUACCUUAAGGAUAGUGUAUUUUCAUGAUUUGGCAUAAUUUAUGUGAAGAGUUAAGUUGAAUUUAAUCCAGCUAUGCAUCAUCUUUGGUACAACGGUAUGUAAUUUUUACUUUGUGCCCUUGUAAUGGAAUUAGUGAUUAAAAUUGCAUAGCAAUAUGACUGUGGGUGAUUCCCCGCAUGAGAUAUGUGAGACCUCGCAUAUCACUUAUAUUAUAUUGGGUCUACACGUGUACCCAAAUUAUCCAGUUCACAUGUUAUCCAUGUUCUUGGGUCAGAACUUUGCCACACAUAUGGAGGCAUGUUGAAUGUAACGUCCUACAUUAGAAACAUAAGACCUUGCCUAAGAGUUAUAAGAAAAAUGGGGCCUUUCCACCCAUUCUGAAUUGGUGUCAAGUAGGAUGUUCAGACCCUAUGCUUUUGAGAGGCAUACAUUACACUUAUUAUCCUAUGCUUAUGCUUAGAAUGGUCAAAGACUUCAGAGUUUCUAUUACCUUUCUUAGAUCUCUAUGGUUAAGGAAUUCACUGAUGGAUAUGUAUGAAGUGAUUUAGUUCAAGUUGGUUACUUAUAUAGUUUUCUUUUUGUUUAAAAUUGUAAAGGACUGUAUCAGGUGUAAAUCCAGUCACAUGAUGGCCUUAUUAAUAGUGAGAAUUAGUUUUUGCAUAUAGCAUUUUUUGUUUGCUUUAUAAUGUGGUUGUUUCAAAUGAGAUAAUUGAAUUCAUCUGGUUUCAGUAUCAAGGAGAGCAUGGGUGGAAGCCGUCAAACUACCCUGGAAUUUGCGAGAAGCUUUUAGCCAAAAGCCAAACUGUGGUAUGUAGCAACUAAGCACUAACCUUGUCCUCGUCUAUAGUUCUCAUUCCAUGCUCGUCUUUCUCAUCUAUCAUUCAAAUAUUUUAUCUUUUACUGGUGACCAUGACUAACUGCUAGACUACUUGACCCAUCUAUAAGAUCUAUUCGCAUUGAUAUGUGCAACAAAUUUUAGAAUAUCUCAUGUCUGAUCCAAUAUUGAGGUCCCUAUAUUUCAUGUUUGUAGUGUAGCUGAACUCAAUCAAUAGAUAUAAAACCAGUUGAUGUACGAACGCUAAUGUUUUCAGGCUGGGUUCUUCUUGGUACAAUAUAGUCAGUUCUGGCAGGAACACCUGGAUAAACUUGUUCAUCUUUUCACAGCAGGAAAACUGAAGGUAAGUAGUAUAAACAUUGACUAACUUCUUUUUCAAACAUUUUUCAAUGUGGUUACAAAGUACCGACUAACUUGCUGUUUUUAUUAUCCAUGGACUUUUUGGUCUUGAAUAACUGUCAUUCCUCAACUAUCUACCUUCAUUUCAUAGGUUUCCUUAGAUCCGAAACAAUUUCUUGGUGUCCAUUCUGUUCCGGAUGCUGUCGAGUAUCUUCAUUCCGGUAAAAGUGUGGGGAAGGUAUUGCUUGAGCUCCCUCUUUACUCAGUCAUUUUUUAUGCAACUCAACUCUGAUCCUAAAUUACCUUUUUGCUUGCGUCAAAAAAUGUUCCAGGUUGUGGUUUGCAUUGAUCCAUCCUACAGGCAACAAACAUCGAGAUUAUGAGCAGAUGGUCUUUUGGUUCAUGGUAAUAUUUUCUCUGUUUUUGAACAUUGAACCUAUUUGCUACAAAGAACAUGUAUACUUGCAGAUUCGUUUAAUAAGAUAAACUGAAAGCCUUGAAUGGUGAAGAGUCAACAAACAGUUGGGCCAAAUACAAAUAAAAAGACACAUGGAGAUCCAUACAGAUACAAAUACGAGCAGUAUAAUUUGAGUGCCAUACAUGAACCAUACAGAGUUGUACUUUAGUUGCAAAUCUAUUGUGUAUUAAAUUUGAUACUCUUUUGUAUUAACACCUAAAUUUGAACUUCUUUUGUAUCAACAUUGAACCUCUUUUGCAUUAACACCUAUAUAUGGGGGCAAUUUAGUACAGUAUAUAAGCUUUGUGCUGCGAGCAGCACUUCUAUGCUUAUUCUUUUAGUGAUGCCAGCAUGUGUGGCAUUUUUUUGUUUUUGUUUUUGUUCUUUCUUGAUUAAGAAUUGUAAUCAAAUUAGUGGAAAUUCAUUUGUACAAGAAGUUGUUUGCAGAGACAAUGGGGUAAAGAGCUAUCAGAAUGACAUGUAUUCAGCCUGAUCAUAAUGCUGUGAGCUCCACUCAAAGUGCCUUCUCAUUACAGACUCGUACUUGCAAAGGCCAACAUUUAAUUUACAACUUUCAUUUGGGUAAAAUGAGUUGCCAUUCUGUUGGCACUCCAACAAACUGGCUCUCCCGGCCUAGAACGUUAAUGUUUGGUACAAAUUUCCUUUGGGUAAAUGACCGCCAACAAACCAGCUCUCCUUCUCUACAUUGCGGAUGUUUAAUUAAUUUUAAGUUGAAGCAUAACUCAUUACUUUGCCCUAGGUAACACGAGAAAACCAAUCACAAGAGUUCAUGUUCUUCUAAUCUUAUUCGUAGAGGGUGUAUAAACAUACAUACAUUAUAGACGUACAUAUAUUGAACAUGCAAAUAUAGGUCUAUGCACAAACUUGCGUACAAGUGCAACUAGCUAGUUAGUACUCUCAAGUCUCGACAGGCUGAUUCAGACUUUUCACUAUAUAGAGCCAUCCAUCCACACAAGUUUUUACUCAAACAAAGACCCUCGGAACAGAAUCGACAGGCCGAACAUCCACCUCCCUCAACUCCGUCUUCAACCCCUUCCCCCCUCCGUUUGCUAAAGGAUGCACUCCGAGAUUCGGCCCCGUCAUAUAAGCUCGGUGCUCCCUCUCCUUCUCAAAGGAUACCCCAAACCUCUUCUCCACAUUUCGAGCGAGAUCUUCAUACAGCUGACCAUCCCUAGUCAGUGCCAUCAUAACCUGUGGUACCCCAAGAGGUAGAAUGUCGCCCCUAUCAACCUGCCACAAAUAUACAGUUUCACCUACAUACAUUUCCUUUGUGAUCAAUGAACAACAACGACUGUGUUUAUCGAAUCUGGUGUAAAAAAAAAAUCUAACCUGCCAGAAAUGGAACACCUUCCCAUAGGUCUUACAAACCUUGUCCAGAUCCUGACGCUGGAUCGGACCCGGCAAACCGGGCAUGAACAAAACCCCACUCUUGACCUCAUACUCGUGAGAGUGCCACAGCUUCUUCUCAUCAUCGGGGAGAGUCAAGAAGAGUCUCUCCGAGACGAGGUACUCGAGGCCGAUGAGCUUAGCAUCGGCCUCGGGGCUGUCGUAGAUUAGGCACUGACGCACCUCCUCAUUCUGGUGCGCGCAGUAAUGGUGAGCUUCGACCUGACGUGUCAUGUCGUGCGCGUAGAAGUGGAAGGCGCAGAGGUGCUGGUGGACCUUGUUGACGGGGCCGAAGUCUUGGAUGGCGGCGGUUGCGGUUUCGAGCAUGGCUGUUCCGGUCUGGGUUGGCUCACCGGGGACUCCUGUGAAAGUAGUCGCCAUUUUUGUGUGCUUGGUUGGUCUGGUUUGUGUGAAUCGGUGAGAGAGCUAAAGAGUAGCACCGGUGGUUUUGAUAUGAAGGAAGCGGCGUUUAAAAGCUUGGAGUAGGAAAUUAGGGUGUUUGCAUGCAUUGUUACGCGUGUUGGCAGAAAGCAUACGUGGCGUGUAGCAGUUGUAACGUGGAGAUUAACGUGGCUUUUAUACGGGUUCAAGAGACCGAAAGAAGCUGGGUAAGACCGUAAGAGAUUGUGAAGAUUCAAACACCAUGUUGAACCAAGGCCCUCCUUUAGCUAAUCAGCAAUAUCAGAGCUUUACAUACUUCAAGGAAUUAUAAACUCAGUGUUAGAACUAUUGGAUAACAAAAGUGAAAUAGACCGGAAUAAAAAGGAACGACACAAAAAAUGAUGCAGUAUGUGUGUUUUUCAUUUAGCUGAGAACUGGACCCAGUGUCCCAGUGUUAGCAUGGGAGAAAGUAAAAAGGAGAAGUAUGAAAUAGACGAAGUAAUUGAGGACUAUAUUGUGCUUUUAUACGCGUUUGCGAGGUAUGGAGAGAAAAAAACAAAUAUUGCACUGAUGUAUAUUUAGCUUUUGUAUAUCAUAUAAUGUUGGGGUUUGUCUAUUACACUGAACGGUAUAACAUACCUAUCACUAAAGGAGGGGAGGUUUAGCCAGAGGGGUUUUGAUUUCAAAUUUGGUCUGUGUUUCCAGCAGGUAUGUUAUAUCUGACAGCGUUUCCAGCAUACAUUCUAUACCUGACGGCACAGCAGAAUUUUCCAUAACAAAAAAGGCUUGUGGUCUGGUGGCUUGAGACUACUCUAUGUUUGAGCCCAGUAGGUAUUUUUGGUCCAAGACUCGGGGUACGUUUUGGAUAACAUUUGGGCCAGUACCUGUGGCCCUUUUUUAAUACGAAGCCCACGAAGGGUGGCGAAGUCUGGCAACACGCGAGCUGGAGUUUGGCAAAGAUUCCGAUACCCCGCGGGAUUCGAUGUCCUCGCGGGAUCCUUUGUUCCAGUUCGUGUAGGGUUCUACAGUGCAUGGCGAAGUAGAUUUGGAAAUGGACUGUAGUACUCCGCGGGAUAGGAUCGCUUAGUGUUUGAGUUCGCGUACGACGCUACAGUGAGAUGAUGCGGGGCAGUGAGCAAGACCUAGGCGAGGUUUGUUCUGGACACGUGUUGCACGGAUCGCGCGGCUCGCGAGCUGGUCGUAUCCUUGUGAAAUUCUAAUUGCUGAGUCCGAAUGGAUUGUGAUUAGGUCUAUGCGAAUUGCUAUAUAAGGGAUGCUUGACACAAUCAAUCAUACAAAACAAGUACAAAUCCUCGAGCAUCCUCGAAACCCUAAGUUCUAAGUGCACCUCGCCUUAGAUCUCAGAGCCCGUCUGGACUCGCCUCUCCUCCCUAAUUGUUGCUCUGCUCGCUUCGAACAGUGAGUAUCGAUUCACAGGUGACUAGAUAGUUUGCUGGUAAUUCCUCGCCCGCGAGGUGACACCGGAGCUCUACUUCGCCUGAUUAGAAGUCAAGAACGCGCACCGUUCUCGUUCCGCGUCCGCGCGGUGGCACGCCCUGCAAACCCUAAUUUACUUUUGGUAGCACAAGUUACCUCUCUACCCCUGCUGAGGAUCGUGGCCAAAACAUUGGCACGCCCAGUGGGACGGGGAGUAUAACAUUCUGGUCAUCAUUGGGAAGUCAGGCGGAUCCCCAUACGGGAGACCCUCGAUUUCUUGUUUGAAACACAAAUCACCCCCGUUACCAGCCUCAUAACAGCGCGGCCUGUCGCUCACUCACGAAAGACCAAGUAUUAACUCCGUUCGGAAACCCAGAUUUCAGCGAACCUACGAUGGCAGAACUAACACCUACUAGCAGCACUGGCCCCGUCACUCUAGCUGAAGACCAGAUAACGGCCCUGGUCGACCGCCUAACGGCUCACACCGACCAGGCAACCCGCCAAUUGCAGGAGGGUCUUGACUCCCUCACCCUGACUGUUAAGAAUCUAUCUGAAGUAGUCAUGAAGGAUAGAGAUAUCUGACUUGCUAACCAAGAAAACCUUUCUAGGCUCAGCGAGGACUUCAACUUCCAUGCCGGUCAAGUCAGGGAGGACAAAGAUUUGGUGGAAGGUUCCCUUCAAAGGAUCCAAAAAGAACUGGAUCAGAGUAAGGUGACUUUCACAGAAACCCUGCAGCUUACCCGCGCAACCGUGGAUGAGCAAACCCGUCGCUUGGACGAGCAUGAUACCAAGCUACAAUUGCAGCAGGAUGCUUCUUUCUUUGGAAGUAAGAAUGGCAUAGAAAAGCUCGAGAAAUAUAAGGAGCAACAUGAUAACUUGAGCUUAAGGGUCUUGCAAGUGGAAGACUGGAUGCGGUCUCAGGCACCAAAGAAUCAUGCUAUGAACUUAUUCAGUUCAAGUGCAACUGAGGGAUCAAGGUAUAUUCCACCUAAUGAACGCCCUAGGGGGAAUCCGAAGGUCGGGGCCCAGAAGACUCCCCAAUUCACAUUGGGAGCCAGUUCGUCAAAGACACCACCCCUUCUACCCACGACAGGCAACCCUAGAGUCGCACUUGGGGGCUCCGGUGUCUUCCCAUCUCAAGGGAUCGGGACACCAGAUGACCCAGUUAUAGCUUAUUCCAGUUCGACCCCUAAGAACAUCGGGCAGGCCCCUAGCCUCUCCGCAUGGCACGGCCACGAUCAGGGGGCAGAAUCCACACCAGUAACGGCAGCCGAUUGGCGCUAGCUCAUCUCGAGCAUAGUCAAGGAGCAAACCGGAAAAGGUGAUGCUAGCUUGCAUUAUCGUGAUCCCUAUCCUGAUAGCGUGGCACAAUAUCCCUUCCCUCAUGGGUUUAAGAAUAUUGUCUUCACCAUUUUCUCCGGGGAGACAAGGGAAGAUGCAGCAACACACAUGGCCCGUUUUAAGGUCCAAUGCGGCCAAUACGGGAAUGAUGAUAUGCUCAAACUCAAACUCUUCGGGACUUCUCUGUCCGGGGCUGCUUUCACCUGGUACUCCAGGUUGAAGCCUGGGUCAAUAGCAGAUUGGCCCACUAUGGAAAGACUCUUCCGAGAAACGUACGGCACGAUUGAGCCUGAAGUUGGCCUCGACUCCCUCACACAGAUGAGCCAGCAGAGCAUGGAGUCCGGAGUUUCUUUCCUCCAACGCUUCAAGAUCCAGCAAGCCAAGUGUGAUUACCUGCUACCUGAGCAGGAAGCCAUUAAGUUGGCUAUUAGAGGUCUGGAGCACCGCCAGCGGUUGAAGCACCAUGGAGAGCGCUUUAAUUCCAUGGGUGACCUGACUAACAAAGUCGGCAGCUACGAGCUAAUCCUGAACGAGUUGGACGACAAAACAAAUGCUUCCNNNNNNNNNNNNNNNNNNNNNNNNNNNNNNNNNNNNNNNNNNNNNNNNNNNNNNNNNNNNNNNNNNNNNNNNNNNNNNNNNNNNNNNNNNNNNNNNNNNNNNNNNNNNNNNNNNNNNNNNNNNNNNNNNNNNNNNNNNNNNNNNNNNNNNNNNNNNNNNNNNNNNNNNNNNNNNNNNNNNNNNNNNNNNNNNNNNNNNNNNNNNNNNNNNNNNNNNNNNNNNNNNNNGCCAAUCACCAUCCAGUCCUUUGCAUGGACCAAGCCGGAGUAUGAGUCAUACACCUAUGAUGCUAAGAACGCCCACCUGGUCUUUAAUGACCUAAUCGAGGUAAGAUACGUGCGCUUGGAUCACAAGAUACCGCCCAAGGAGGAGCUGAAAGACAAGAAGUACUGCACCUUCCACAAUGUUUACAAUCAUGACACUAAAGAUUGUGUCAAGCUUCGAGACCAGCUGCAGACAUGGCUGAACUCAGGCGAACUAAAGAUGAAAACACUGGGUAGUACGGCCUCGUUGGUUGAUAUAGACCCUUUCCCGCCUGUAGUUGGCAUGGUCGAGGUAAACUGGGGCAAUCAAACCAAGGACGACGAUCGAUGCUGGGCACCUAAAAGGGGCCGCAAGGAAGGUGACGAGAGUGCCUGCCGGCCACGUCGCCAAUACACCUACAACGAAGAUCUUGCACAUGAGGUUUUAGACGAUCUCAUCGACGAUGGGCUCGUCACAGUGGCCAAUUCCUUGCCUUACGUAGAAUAUAAGGAGGGGCGCAUUCACUGCAAGUUUCAUAAUAGCUGGGGGCACAGAACCAGCGAAUGCCAGCAGCUUAGAGACCAGGUUCAAGACUGGCUCGACCUCGAGUAUAUUCGCUUUGAGAAUAAGGGCGACUUCAUGAUCGCAACGGCUGACUUCGCUUGGCCUCGAGUCGGCCAGUGAAGAAUCACAUUAGACUUGUCACCAAAUGCAGGUUUACGUGAACCGCCGGGCCGAAAUCGCAAACGGCCGGCGAAUAACUAUACUGUCCCGAACAACCAGCAAGGGAAAGCAGACGACCCAGCUCGACAGUUGGUCGCUAAGCUCGGAACAGACCGCCCCUCCCGCAAAGAUAAGGGCAAAGCAGUCAUGAGGGACGAUGGACCGUUCCCCGUUGAAGAUCCCCAACCUAUGAGUCCCAGGACUCGAGAAGAGCUGGAAAGGAGGAUAGAGCGUCUCGAGACGUUCGUCUAUACACAUUGGGCAGAGGCGGUACCUUCAUCCCCUGCCACAAGUGAGAUGGACAUGUCAGACUCCAGCGGUGAGCGUCACAACAACGAGGCCUCGAGCCCUCGUAAAGGCGUCCUAACCGACCCCUAUAUUCCCCCGACGUCCAAAUCAGCAAUCAAGGAUGGAGUCUGGUACACACAGCAAGGGGGCAAGACAGUUACCAUCAGCAGGGCUAAGAAGCGAAAGCUCCAAAAGCGAUACGGUAGUAUCCUACGUGCCUUACGGGCUGUCGAAGAGGGCGCUGUACGUCCCUCACAGUUCGCACAGACGCCUGAGCGGAUGUGGAGGGAAGCAGAGGGUUUGCGCGCAUUCCUCCAAAUGCCGCAUGUCACACCCCCAAGGAUUUGCGAGCAGUUCAGCGACGAGCCUGCACCCAAAGCAAAUGUCUUUUGCCGACUCGCGGUUCCACCAAAGCAGGAUCCACAGCCUUCCAGGCGCAGGCCAUCACCAGAACCUGAAAGAAGAAGGGAUCCACAGCUUGCUAGGCCCAAACCGUCACCAGAGCCUGAAAAGAGGAGGGAUCAACAGCCUUCCAGGCACAGGCCGCCACCGGAGCCCGAGCGGAGAAAGACUCCGCCUACCGGUCCCAGGCGUAAGCUGUUCACAACCCCGGACCCAGAGUCCAAACGCGAACCGUCUCAGCCUUCACGGCAACGGGAACGUCAAAAUCCGGAGGCCAAUAUCAGAAGGGAGCCACCACCACCACACCAGCCUCGGGCACGAUCUACCCCGGAGCCCGAGACUCGGAUGGUUCCCCGAGUAUCCGCCCUACAACGGUUGAAAAAAGAAGACAACGAUAAGGCUCUUCUGGCAACAGACAAACAACCAGCCAAGGACCAUCAGCCUUCAACCAAGUCAGUAUGGCGUCCGCGGCAACCCGAGGCUCAAGAGCCACCAAUAGCCGCACAGGCGCCUUCCAGUCCUAACCUCGCCCAACAAAUGGCCCAGGGUUUCCGCGAGAAUUCAGAAGACGACGAGGCACAUUCAGAACCUCGUACUUAACCUAGAGGAAGACCGGGACCAAGGGCAGGCAGAAUCAUUCACCUGUAAUAUGAUAGAGAUCUCAGGAUGGGGUGCUGAUGAAGGGUUUAGCAGCGAAGCAGUACGCUUUCGCGGUGCUCGAAGGGGAACACGGGAUCAUUAACACUCCCUUGGUCCUAGUUCCUGAACAAUUCUCCUUUCAAGUAGGGAUGGUGUUCUUCAUUUCGGAAAGAUACGCUCUCCCACCAAACACAACCUGCAGUGCGGCGGAUAUUCCCGUCAGCAGCGAGGAUGUCAGUAGCAUACCCCCGCCAUGCAGCAGCGAAAUGGGCCCAGUUCCGGCACAAGCCGACGACGCCCCAUAGGUGGAAAUUACGAGCAGCAUCAAACAUAAGCAAACUCUAACCUUCUCCACACCAACUUUGGACAUGGCCACUGUAUAUCACGGCCGAAGUCGAAGGAAAAAUGAUCAACAAGGUCAUGGUCGAUACCGGUGCCGCGGUCAAUGUUGUCACAACCCGUACCAUAGGACUCCUAGACAUCCCGCGCUCAAUGAUCCAAACCACGUCCUUAACAGUCAAGAACUUCACCGGGCAAGUGUCCAGAACCCUAGGCUUGCUAUUCCUACGGGUCAAGGUCGGGCCAGCAUCACGGGUUUACACUUUUUUCGUCGCCGAAUGCGCUUCCUCUUACAGCAUGAUUCUUGGCCGAGAUUGGAUCCACAGAAGUUUUUGCGUGCCUUCCUCCAUGCACCAAGAACUAAUGAUUUGGGACGCCGAGAACCGUGAAACGGUCAUCAUCAAAGCCGACCCGCGACCAUUCUCUAUCUCCGCCAACUUCAACGAUGCCCGAUAUUAUACUACAGACUUGGGUCCGUUGGAUGUUCAAGGAGUCGAUAACAAGGGCCGCCCAUAUGGAAUAACGGCCUCCAAUCUAACGCGAUGGGGACUUACCCAGGCGAAGGACGAUUUGCAACGUCCUCACACCAUCGCGAGUCCCACACCCCGUUCUGAU